rnacentral:lncRNA from 1 species
UCCAGGUAGGCAAUUUGUAAAGAACUGACUUAAGGUUUCUCAGGUCACCCUGCCUUGUAUAUUUCUUUUGUACUAAUAUUUCCCGGAAAUAUACCACCGAGGGUGUCAUGAAAGUUAUGAAAGAGAUGUGGCUUGUUAGAUGCUUUUCAAGGAAACUGCAGAUAUGAUAAAACUCUGUAUACCAUAAAUGAAUAUUGGUAAGGAAGUUCACGUUAAAUCAAUACAGCUUUUAGGCUAUAUAGCCUUUUCCAAAAAUGGGUUUACUGGGUUGAUGGCAAAAAAGGUUUUGUGCGGACAAAGGCUAGAGUUUUUUGUUUUUUUGAGGGUAAAAGGGACUUCAUUAAUCACAUCAACAUGACAAAGAUAUGUAGGCAUGGGUAUAGUGGCCUCGUUAAAACCUCCUUAGAGAAAACUCAAUGGGGUAAAACUUCAGGGGAGGAAAAAAAGUGUCACAGAAGACUUAAACAACGACAUUAGAUGCAUGCCAAUCAUCAUAAACAGCAUCCAUGAGCCACAAAGGACCCACAUCCAUCUAGCACGACAAACUUUGUUCGCGGAGACUGAAGCGAGCAAUUCGAUGGGCAGCCUUAUUCGCUUGACGAGGGAUAUAUUUAACAAUAAUAGACACAAAACUGGCCAGAAGGCGACGCACCCCUUCCACCAAACCUCCCUCAGCUACAAGGCAUUCCUCCUCACUAUUAACCAUAAAAACUGCCUGCAAGGAAUCAGAGUCAAUCUCCAGAGGCACCAGAGACGCAUCCAACGCAAAAGAGAUUCCGAUCUUUAGAGCAUACAACUCCGUGGCAAGUACAGAGAUCCUGCUUGGAGCCCGCAUAGCCAGCGCCCCAACCAAAAUCCCUUGAGAGUCACGAACGAUCACACCAGCUCCCUUAGCUCCUGUCUCCAUAUCAGCAGCCCCAUCCACGUUUAGCUUAAACCACAUAUCCCUAGGAGGCUUCCAUUUAACAUCACGAACCGGCGAGGAUAAACUCCAUGAUUGGCAACAGAAGACCGUUUAAAUUCAUCAUCACAGUCCUUUGCUCGUUGAACCAAAGUUCCGGGAGGGGUGGGUUGAGAGCCGAGCAGCACCCCAUUUCUUUCAUUCCACAACACCUACAUAGUGAACGCAAAAAGGGACUGCUUAUCAGGGGGAAUAAGAGUCUAUGCUGCAUCCACCCAGUUGCCAGCAUCAGAUAAAUUAAGAGGAAGAAAAUCGCUGGGAAAAUCUAAAGCCUCCCACACCUGCAAACAAACGACAUAGCCCACCAACGCAUGCAGCGUGGUUUCUCUCGCAGCAAGACAGCGGCAGCAGACAUCCUCCUGUGUAAUCCCGCACCGAAACAGUACCUCCUUGGAAGGGAGGAUGUUUUGAGCCACCCGCCAUAAUAGGUGGAGGAUUUUCUGUGGCACUUUCAAUUUCCAUAAGUGCUUCCAGCUCUUCAAAGAGGGAGAGCAAGGACCAGCGCCACUCCCAGUUGACUUCUCCUCUAGCCGCUUAUACUCCAGUGCUACCCAGUACCCACUCUUAACCGAAUAUCUCCCAUUUUUGGUAAUGUUCCAUAUUUUGCGAUCCAAGUAUCACUCAUCAAGGGAAUAGAGAGGAUAGCUUCAGCUUCUAGAAACGAGAAAGUUUCAUAGACCUUCCCCACAUCCCACCAGCCACUCACUGUCAUAAGAUCACAAACACGAGAGGUAGGAAGAAGAAUAGGAAUAGAUUGGAUAGUGAAAACUAUGUCAUAAGGCACCCACGGGUCACUAUAAAUAUGAACCAAGCAGCCAUCGCCAAUGCGCCACUGAAGGCCCAAACGGAGCAAAUCCCGCCCCUACAGUAAAGAUUGCCAAGUAAACGACGGAAGCGACCCACUCGAAGCAGCAAGAAAAUCAGAGUUUGGAAAAUAGCGCGCCUUUAGCAUACGUGCAAUCAGUGAAUUUGAGAAUUCCAACAACCGACAUCCUUGUUUACAUAGAAGUGCUUGAUUAAAAUUUGUCAAUUCUCUAAACCCAAGCCCCCCUUCAGAUUUGUGUUGGCAUAUGAACUUCCACGUUUUCCAAUGAAUACCUCUACCAUCGCUUUUAGACCACCAAAAUUGGGCUAGGAUGCUUUCGAUCUCACGGCAUAAUCCGAUGGGCAGACAGAACACACUCAUGGAAUAUGACGGAAUUGCCUGACAUACUGCUUUAAUGAGCACUUCUUUCCCAGCCUUGGAUAGGAGCUUGCCUUGCCACCCAUUCACUUUAUUCCAAACUCGAUCUUUAACAGUACGAAACAGUUUCUUCUUAUCCUUUCUGAUGAUGGUAGGGAGGCCCAGGUACCGCUCGUGGCAAGGGGCAUGUUCAGGAGCUGACAAAUAUCUUCCUGCAACGCCCUCGGGGUAGAAGGGCUAAAACAAAUAGCAAAAUUUUCAAGAUUGACCUUUUGUCCAGAAGCUGCCUUAUACACUCCAAAAUAUACGUGUCAACUCUAGAGCCUCAGCUGUCCCACCGUUACAAAACAGAAGGCUGUCAUAAGCAAAAAAUAGAUGGUUAAUAGCAGGAGCAGAAGGGGCAAUGGAGACACCCUGCAGUGUAGAGUCCUUCUCUGCCUGCUGAAGUAGAGCGGAGAAGGCUUCAGCCAUAAUAAGGAAAAGAUACGGUGGUAUUGGAUCCCCUUGCCGUAACCCUUGAGAGGGGAUAAUAUGCCCAAAAGGCCAUCCCUGAAUUAAUAACGAAUAAGAGACAAUAGUCACACAGCCCAUAAUCAAUUGAAUAAACCGAAGUGGGAAGCCUAUAGUCCGCAACAUCUUCUCCAGGAAGUGCCAUUCAACUCGGUCGUAUGCUUUGUGUAACAACCCAAAACAAAAUAUCUAAAAAGAAAGAAAAUAUCGAAAAAGUAAAGAAAAUAUCUUUUAGCGAAAAGACAAUUUUGCCCUUGCAUUAUUUAAUGGGGGAAAUUUGACUUUUAAUCGAGAAAUAAUUUGGGAAUUUCGCUUGCUCCGUUGCGUAGAGCACGGCGAAAGGAGUCCGUAAACACGGAGUGGGCCCGAAUCGGAGUUGUAACGAAAGAGUUAUGGUCGAAAGAGUCUCAGUGGCAUAACCGUAAAUAUUUUGAAGUUGGAUCUAUAAAAAACCCAGCAGCUCUCUCUUCUCGCGCAGAAAACGACCGCCGCCUUCCAGAGCUCGCUGGCGCCGCCUCCGAGCACCCCUGGCCACGGGACCGGUGGCGUUGGAACCGCCAUCGAGUCCCCUACCUUUUCCACCUACCUCCACCCUUGGACCGCCCGGAGCUGAUCGGAAAACCAUGUUUUCCGACGGAUGUUCGUCCGAUUCCACCCGAACUUGCAGCUCGAUUUUCUCCUUCAAUUCUCCACCAAAUCGAUCGAGUAAGGUAUGGUUUCUCAGUUAUUUUUCACGUUCUAGCUGAUGGAUGUAUGGGUUUCGAUCGAUUUUAGCUCUAAAGCGAUCAAUUUUCGACUUGAAUUCUGGGGCCCCGGAUACUCCGAAAUUGCGAACCCUGGGGCUAGGGUUUGGAUUUUAAGCGAUAAUGCGAUUUUGGCUAAUCCGACCGUCCGUUUCGGACCAAAUUUGCGGAACAUGGUUCCUUCUCUAUGAGGAACCUUUAGAAAAGCCCAGAUUGGCCAUCGGAGGCCGUGGACCCGCGGGGUCUCGGGUCGGCCGAUUGGGCAGCUUAUCGCUUAGUGGGGCUUCGGGUCUCUUACGACCAUUCUAACUAUCUAAAAAGCUAAGGUGGGCAUAUGAGUAACUUGAAACGAGUAUACGUAUUUCUAGGAGCCGGGGGGCAGGGUGUUUAGUUGAAAUUCUUUUUAUUCAGCAGUUUAUUAAUUUAAUCUUUAUGGGUAAUCAGGCACCAGGAGCCCGACAGGAUCGCAGAAGAGACCUUCAAGAGGUCCAAUUAGCUCGGACCAUCUGUGAGUGGACUUUCUUUCAUGAAGUAUUUUAUAUAAAUGAGUUAUAUAGAGGAUUCUAUAAAUAAGAUUUCAUAAAUGAUUUUAUAUUGAUUUUAUAUAAAUAAGUUUUUAUAAAUAAGUUUAUUUGAAUAAAUUUCUCUAUUUGGUCUUGAGUAAGCUUUAUUGUGGUUCCGAACAUGAUUAGUACAGUAACCGUUCUAUAAGUCUGUGCUGCUUACUUAUCAGUUAUAGAAACAGAAUUUGAGGUUAGAAUCAGUUGAGAUCGCAGCACAACUUGAGCUUUACAGUUAUUACUCAGAUAUUUUUUUCUAAAGGAAUUUAUUUUAAAACCACCUCGUACCCAUUUUCUUUGGUGAUUACCCACAGUUGGACCGAUGUCUACGGACAUCUAGUCCGAUUUCAGUUUAUGUCAGUGCACUUGACUUUGCCUCACGAGUUUCGGGGACGCUCGGACCGUGAGUGCCAGGAUUUGCGGCUCGGCAGACUUGGUGUCCCGAGACCUGCCAGGAUUGCGGCUCGGCUGACUCUGUGUCCCCGAGACCUGCCAGGAUUGCGGAUCAGGCUGACUACGGUCCCCUGCAUCCUGCCAGAGUGACUCGAGCUGACUUGGUGUCAUCGAGGAAUCUGCCGGCGGAUCAGGCUGAUUAUAGUCCCCUGAUUUCGCCAGUUUGCGGCUCGGGUAGACUGCGUGGCGCCCGAGACCUGCCAGGGGAAUUGACGGACAUGACAGGGGUACAAAUAGGUGGUAUUUUCAAAGGAUUUUGAGUUUUCUUUAUUUAAUUAUGAUUUUGAAUUAUUUUAUAUCAGCUGCUCUGAUUUUUCAAGCAUUGAUACCUCUAUAUAUUUGUUCAGUUAUGCAAGGUUUGAAUACAGAACUUUUAUACAAGUUUGAUUUCAGUGUUUUAUGCAAGCUUUGAUUUCAGUGCUUUUGUGCAAAACUUUUCGAGCUUGAAUAUGAUUUAUAUAGAAUGUCUUGAGUUUAGUAUGCGUUAACUGAAGAGUACGUAUUCAGUUUUAUUUAACUAUUUUUACAAUGGGGGUUAUUAUGGUUAUAAAGUUGUUUCUAAGAACCUUAUUUUUGUCCACUCACAUUUUUCAACCUGUUUUUCGCCCCCAGGCUGUAGAAGUGCACGGGAUCCACCACCGGGCCAUUCAAAGUUUUCGCGUCACCACGUAAGGUAGAGUUUCGUAGAAAGUCCUUGAAACUUUGAAAAAUUUAGAAAAUGCUCUGAUAUCUAGUAUUAGUGGAAAAGUGGAGUUGAGAUCUAUUACUUGAGAUAUUCUGGCAGUUGGUGUGAAUUUAUUGAUUGUUUAACAGGUGAAAAAUUUUGGGAUUGGUCAAAAUACAGGGGAGACUCUGCCGAAUUUUCGGCAGAAGUCGAAGGAAAAUUUUAAGGAGAAUUUGUUACGAGAAGGGUAAAAGGGUCUUUUGUGCCCGACAUUCGCCAGGUGUCGGACACGCACAGGACUUGGCUCGAAUUUCAAAGCGAAAAUUGGGUUGGGUCCUGUCACUUUGGCCAUAUCUGACUUCAUAACUAAUUUCCUUUUACCUAUUUUUCCCCUUCUCUUCAGACAUCGUACAGUUUCAAAAGCCGCUAGGACAUUGUCCAAAAUCAUACGGUUUGGGAUAAACGCACUCUAGAACUCAGAAAUAACCUCAGGCAGCACCUUCUUUAGUCUGUUGGCAAGAGUUUUAGAGAUCAUUUUGUUGAAGACAUUGCAUAAACUGCUAGGGCGAUAUUCAGAAACGCGAGUGGGAGAACAAACUUUUGGAAUCAAAGUCACCAGGGUAUGGUUAAACUCGUUGACGCCAUCGCUGCCAUUUAAAACUCUCAAACACAAAUCACUAACAUGCUGACCCACAAUGUCCCAAUAUCGUUGGUAGAAGAGGGCGGACAUACCAUCUGGGCUCGGAGCUUUCGAUGGGCCAAUGGAUUUAAGAGCUAUUUCUAUUUCAGCUUUAGAGUACGGGAGAAGCAGAUUUUGAUAAGACCGUGAUGACACUCGCGCUUGGACAACAUUAAAAAUCUCCGCAUCAGCAGCUCUAGCAUCUGACUUAAAAAGGCUGGUAAAAAACUCCACAAAAACUCCCCCUAUUUGAUCAUAGUCCCGUUGCCAUCGAUUAUGAACAUCUAAAAUCCCAACAAGAGCAUUUGUCUUCCUGCGACUUGUGGCUUGCUUAUGAAAAAAUGAUGUCUUACGGUCUCCAUAACGAAGCCAAUUGACCCGCGAUCUCUGUUGCCAGUAGAUUUCUUCCUGUUCAAGACACUUAUCAAGCUCAGUUUCAACCAGGUUACGGGUAUGAAAAGUCUGUGACGACGGCUCUUCCAACUGGAGAUUUGCUAGCCUACCACAUAGUUCUUUAACUUUUUUGGGGACCUGGCCAAACUUCCUAGCACUCCAACACAUCAAGUUGCUUGCACAAUUUGCUAAAUUAUAAAUGGGUGACACUACAGUCUGCCAAGAUUGACGAACCACCUCACUACAGUUAGCCUCAGUAGUCCAUGCCUCCUCAAACUAAAAACGACGGCGACCUCUAAGAAGUCUAUCAUUGGCACCAUGUGGACUGUCAGAUGCAAUAAGAAUCGGAUGGUGGUCAGAGGAGGCAGCAACUAAAUGAUGGGACGUGAAGUUGCCCCAGCGUUGCAGAAGUGCUAGAUUUCCAAAACCUCUAUCCAAUUGACCCUCCACAUUAGCAAAGUCCUUUCUUUUAUUGCUCCACGUAAAUGGGUAACUGUAAACUCAAGCUGAAACAAACAACAGUUUGCAAUGGCCUGUUUAAAAUCCUCUAUUUGCGCAGUACCUCUCAAUCGGCUCCUACUCUUCUCAUGACAUUCCAUGACCUCGUUGAAGUCCCCACAGCACAGCCAGGGCCCAUUACCCACCUACCCAAACGCCUCAGCAACUCUCUUGAAUGAUGGCGCUGGGUUUGGUCAGGAUGACCAUAGAAAUCAGUCACUCUGAGAGACUCUGAAGUGGCUACAGUAACCCGUACAUCUAUAUGUCCCGGAGAGGAAGAGAGUAGAUCAAUUUGUAGCCCCGAUCGCCAGAGUAGACCUAACCCUCCUGAAAAGCCAACACGAGGGACACAAACCACCCCACCAACACCUAACCUUGUAUGUAACUUUCCCAUCUGUACUGCAAUCAUAAGCAUUUCAAUUAAGAAAAACACAUCUGGCCUCUUAUCCUGAAGAAAGCUCUUUAGGUCACGGAACGUUCGUCAGUUGCCAAGCCCCCGAACGUUCCAACUGAAAACUAACAUUGAGCCCAGGGAGACCCUUCAAGGCUGGUCUCCUCCGCUUGUUCAGUAGUUACAUUAACAUAUAGACGCCGUUUUUCGGGGGCACCAAACCCUCCCUGCUAGCUAGCCUCCGCGUUCGGGUGAGCUACCAGAUGCUUUCUUUUAAGGGAAGGCGCAGAGACACCCUGCAUACCGGUUCCAGUCGGGUCAACCACUCGCAGAGACAAAGGCUAGAGUUAACUCAUGCUUUCCUUUUGUCCCCCCGUCUCUUGAUAUAAUUUCCUAGAGAUAAGUUGGCUCACAAGGAUUUGCUAUUCAACUCUUAUAUGAAAUAUUCUUCCUCAUCGUUCAAAGAAUAUACCGUCAUCGAAAAAAAAAUUUAAAGUCUUUUAUUUGAAUUGAUAUGAUAGAACCAAUAUUGUUCCCAACUUAACAAUUUAUGUCUAGUAUUGUGGGAGCAAAUUUUCCCAUGAGAAUAUUCGCCCAAGAUUCCUUUGUCUUCUCUGCCUCUCUUUCUCCUUGUAAAACAGAUCGGAGUAAAUGGACCACACCCGGGGGGGUGUUGGCCAAUGGCCCUCCGAUGCCUAAGUUAGGUAGGGUAAUUCAAGGAAAACCGGGUGGCCGAAGCUGUGUGUGGUGGCCGGAGCCUUGUGUGAGAGAGAGAAAGAGAGGAGGUGGCUAGGGUUUUUGAGAAAUAAUUUAUGCAGAGUUUUAGUAGGAAUUUAGGCGUACCUCAACCUUUAUGUGUGGCCAUCCUUUUAUAGUGGUUUCAGAGGCUAGGGUUUCAGAGGAAUAAUUCUGUAGAUGGAAAGGAAUUAUUCCUCCCCGAUUUGGAAUUGAUUUGAUUAAUUAGGGAUUUGAUUCAUUAGGGUAAAUCAAAUCCCUAAUUGGGGUAGGUAUCAAAUCAAUUCCUAACUUAAAUAGGUAACUCCUCAUUUAAUUGGGAAUUGGGGUAGGAAUAAAAUUAAUUCUCGACCCGAUUAGGUAAUAUUCUAUUUAAUUGGGUAAUCUCCAAUUAAAUUGAAUAAUUCCCAAUUAGGUCGAAUAAUUCCAAAUCGGGAAGGAAUUAUUUAACCUAGUAAUUAGGUUCCCACAAGUAUUGUGAGUAGAAUUAUACUCAAUGUACUCAUUUAGGUUGUCCAGGUAUUGGUCUGGGGAAAUUGGCUCGGGUUGGAGGUUGAUAGGGUGGUGGGUUGUUAGGGAGAGAGAGAGGAGAGAAGGGUGCUAGAGAUUAGUGCAUGUGGUAGAUUGUGAUCUUAUAAUAUUACAUAAACACCAUUGGCUUAUGCAUACUGCUUGAUUUGUAAAUUAUAAACAAUUUUCAUUUUUUUGAUAAUGUCCUCAUAUGAAUUUCGUAGGAUUUGAGAGUUAAUAUAUAUAUAUAUAUAUAUAAGGAUUUUUUGUUUCUUAUCUAUGACAAGUUAUUUACACUAUUACCCUCUGAGGUUUCUUGUGUUUUCACAAAACCCCUUCAGCUCUCAAAAAUUACAUGAACACCCCAUGAGGUUUCAAUUUAUUUUCACAAAACCCUUUUCGUUGAUUGUUUGUCCAAAAAUUGAUGAUUUUAUUGAAUUUUUUUUUAUACAAAUGACAAAAUUAACCUCAGAGCAUUCACAAUCAUGUUCUCUAUUUUUUUAGUUAAAUUUUAGCUAAAAACACAUAAAAGUUAUUUUUGGAGCUCUCUAUAAAAUUUAAACUUCAAUCAUGCUCUCUAGUUUAGGGAGUCAUAAAUGUUAUAACUCUUUUUUAAUUGGUCCAUCUCUAUUAAAAAAUAAUAAUAAAAAUAGUUAGCAUUGAUUAAAGGUUUGAAAUACUCAUUAAAUAAAGCAUCAUUAAAUUAUAGGGAGCCAUUAGGAGUCAUUUCUCUCUCCUUAGAUUUAGGAGCUCCUAGAGGUCUCCUUAUUUUAUAAGGUGGAUAGAGAGCAUGGUUGGAGUUGUAUUUUUCCAAUUCCUCCCUAAAAUUUGUCUAAGGAUGUGGUUUAGGGAGCUCAUUGUGGAUGCUCUCAAUGAAGUACAUGCAAUCUAAUCUCAAAGGACAAUUGUCAUUUGGAGAAUUUUUUUGGUAUAAAAUCAUCAAUUUUUAGAUGAAAAAUAAAUGAAAAUGAACUUUGUGAAAACAAUUUAAAUCAGGGGGUGUUUGUGUCAUUUUUAAAACCUUAAGGAGUUUUGUGAAAAAGACAAAAAUCUCAAGGGGUGUUAGUAUAAAUAACUCUUCUAUAACUGCCUCUAAUAGUUUAUUUGAAAAAUAUGUGACGCAAGUAUUCUUUUGGAUAUUAUUUGUCUAACUUGUACUCCAUAUUUGUGGUCUUAAAUAUCCCAUUGACUGAAAUUGCUACUUUAAACUUCAAAGUAAUUAUCUGGCUUAAGUGUUGAUGGGGUUGGACUAUUUACCCCACAACUCAACUUGACUUUGAAGUCUUUGCAUGCAUGAUCAUAACAAUGUCGUUGUGUGUAUUUUACCUUUAUCAGAGAUUUGUAAGUCGUUUAAUCGAAGUUCACACAAUUUGUGUAGGUAGGGACCGGAUUAUGGAAAUUUUUCGUUCUUGGUAGAGUGUCCGUGACGCAUAAUUUUGAACAAUUCGAAGUGUACACAUUCUCAACCAUCUGAAUUCUCAUUUGCUCCUAUAUAUAGGGCAUCUUUGUACUCUUCAAUCUUGCAGACUCAUAUCUUUAGUCCUGCAGAUCAUCCCAUUGCAUAAGAAUCAUGGGUCACACCAGUGCUAGUGCUUCCAUCCAACUUGUUUCACUAAUUAUACUAUCAGGAUUUUUAUCCUUUGGAACCAUUAAACUCGGUUUCUGCAGUGAUGAUCAUAAUGUGGGAUGCAUAGAUAUAGAGAGGAAAGCACUUCUCAAGCUCAAACAGAUCCCUGGGACUGGCUUUCGUCUUGGGUGGGAGAAGAUUGCUGCAAAUGGAGUGGUGUAGGCUGCAACAACAUAACUGGAAGUGUCAACAGGCUCGAUCUUCACAAUCGCUAUUCAGAUGGGUUGGAUUAUUCCGGAGCAAAAGUGUCUGCAUUUGGAUUUGGUGGUGAGAUCAAUCCUUCUUUGCUUGUUUUGAAAGAUUUGGUUUACUUGGAUUUGAGCAUGAAUAACUUUGAAUGUGUCCAACUUCCAAGUUUCAUUGGAUCACUAGAAAAACUGAAAUACCUCAAUCUCUCUCGUACAUCUUUUGUUGGAGUCAUUCCCCCCAAUCUUGGAAACCUCUCAAGGUUGCUUUAUCUUGAUCUUAGCAAUUUCCUUGAUAAUAACCCAAGUGAGACUGACUUUCAGUGGCUUGCAACUCUUUCUUCCUUAAAGUACCUUAACUUGGAAGGAGUGAACCUUGCCAAGGCGACAUCCUAUUUGCUUCCCACUAUUAAUAUGCUCCAUUCACUUGUUGAAUUGCAUUUGCGCUCUUGUGGACUUUCCAUCCUUCCUCUCACUCUUCCUUCUAUCAAUUUCACAUCCCUUUUGGUUCUUGAUCUCUCAAACAACAGUUUCAACUCCAUGAUACCUCCUUGGUUGACCAAUCUCAGUGAACUAGAGAUGUUGGAUUUGUCAGGUAACAGGCUGACAGGAAAACUGCCUGAUUCUUUGGGAUAUCUUAAAAGCUUGAGAUACCUGAACUUGUCAACUAACUCAUUUCAGGGUUCAAUCCCAAAAUCAAUUGGAAAUUUAACAUCUUUGGAGGAGUUUGACCUUCGAUGGAAUCUAAUGAGUGGGAUCAUCCCAGAAAGUCUUUGGGAGCUCUCAUCGCUGGUUUCACUUCGUCUCUCUGAAAACACAUGGGAAGGUGCCAUUACAGAAGCUCAUUUUGCGAAACUUGGAGGCCUGAGAGAAGUAUCAAUUGCAAAUAAUUCCCCAAACAUUUCCUUGGUUUUCAACAUAAGUUAUGAUUGGAUACCUCCUUUCCAAUUAAGAUACUUCAUCAUUACAUCAUGCCAACUGGGUCCCAAAUUUCCUACAUGGCUUAGAUAUCAGACUGAGUUGACCACGGUGAUACUCCGUAAUGCUAGGAUUUCAGACACCAUACCAGAUUGGUUUUGGCAGUUGGAUUUGCAAUUAGAUUAUCUAAAUGUCGCUUUUAAUCAACUAAGCGGCAGGAUGCCCAAUUCAUUAAGAUUCAGAGUUGAUAUCAUUGUUGAUUUGACUUCAAACCGCUUUGAGGGCCCACUCCCACUCUGGUCCUCAAACAUUAUCGAGCUAUUUCUUAGAGACAAUCUAUUUUCAGGGCCAAUUCCUCAUAACAUUAGUCAAGUGAUGCCCAAUUUGACACAUCUAGACAUUUCUGGGAACUCUUUGAGUGGAAGCAUUCCCUUGUCCCUUGGUAAUUUAAGCCAUUUUGAAUUCAUGAUUAUCUCAAAUAACAACUUGUCUGGUGAGAUUCCUCAUUUUUGGAACAAUAUACCAUCAUUGUAUUUUGUAGACAUGUCAAACAACAGUCUCUCUGGUACAAUCCCAAGAUCCUUAGGCUCUCUUACUUCACUCAACUUCUUGAUCCUCUCUAGCAACAACUUUUCAGGUGAAGUUCCUUCCUUGAAAAACUGCACUGACAUGAGGAUUCUUGAUCUUGGUGAUAACAAGUUUUCUGGACCAAUUCCGGCUUCCAUAGGAGAAAGCAUGCUCUCUUUAUUGAUUUUAAGCGUGAGGUCCAACUCAUUUACUGGAAGCAUCCCUUUACAAUUAUGUGGCCUUUCCACUCUCCAUAUAUUGGACCUCUCAUACAACAAUCUUUCUGAAAAUGUUCCCCACUGGAAGCAUAGGUAAUUUGAGUGGCUUUAAUUCUGAGGUCACAGACAAAGAUACAGAAACUUAUGGUCAAUGGAGAAGAUUGGAGGUGGUGUUGAAAGGAUGAGUGCUUGUAUAUGACUCCAUCCUUUACCUUGUUAAUAGCGUUGAUCUCUCGGACAAUAACUUGUCAGGAGAGAUGCCUGUGGGAAUAACAAGCCUAAUAAAGUUGGGCACCUUAAAAUUUGUCCUUGAAUCAUUUGACAGGAAAUAUUCCAGCAAAUAUCGGAAACUUGAGGUCGAUAGAAACUCUUGAUCUAUCAAUGAACAAACUUUCAGGUUCAAUUCCACAGAACAUGGUUUCUUUAACAUUUUUGAAUCAUCUGAACCUGUCAAACAAUAACUUGUCCGGGAAAAUUCCAACGGGUAACCAGUUUAAGACCUUUGUUGACCCGUCAAUUUAUGAGGGCAAUGAUGGUCUUAGCGGGUGUCCAUUACCAACUGGUUGCCAUGAUAAUGAAGAAGCACCUCAAGUUCCAAGUGGAGAUGGAGGAGAGGAUGAUGACAGCAAACUUGAAAAGCUAUAGUUCGUCAUCAGCAUGGUGAUAGGUUUCUGUGCAGGGUUUUGGGGAGUUUUUGGAACUUGGCCAUGAAGAGAUCUUGGAGAUAUGCCUAUUUUCACUUCCUUGACAAAGUGAAACAUGUUGUCCUUGAUUUUGUCUCAGCCAUUGGUUCUUAUCUGCAGAAAAGAUCAUAGAACAAGCUGCGAAUGUGAAGGCACUUAUGUAUGCAAGCAAAUAAAGCAAUGUUUAGUAUUGUCCUUUACAAAUUUGUAAGUUGGUUGUAAUAUGCAUUUAUACUUGUAUGUGUUGUGCUAGAAGCACCAAGCCGUAUGGAAAUAAUUGCUUCAAUACAUUUCGAAAUCGAGAAAUUUUUACUAGAGCAGGUGCUGCUAAUUAACCCAAGGAUUAACAGAAAAUAAAUGUAAAAACAAGAAAAUAAAAGAUUUUACGAAGUUUCUCAUAACAAGUAUAACUGAGGUAUGUCCUAGAGCAGCACAUCAACUAUCAACAAAUUGGGAUGUUUACAAAGUGUUUGGCAACCUCACAACCCAAAGCGCCAAAUACACCCAAUAACACUCACCGCAGAAAAACAAAUAGGGGAGGAAAUUAUGAACCUUAACUAAUGCUCUCUGGGCCCGAGUGCUAAAAGGACCUUCAUGGGUUUGGACAAGUCUUCUGGAAGGAAAAAGGGCAGUCAUUGAUAGAGGUCGAACACAAAUCCUAAAUGGUGAGAAUACUUGUAUCUGGUCUGACAGCUGGUUCCCCCCUCCACAUGAUGGUCGCAUUACUCCGAUCAACCCUGUCCCCCCUUCUGCACCCUAGCAUGUAAAUUGUUGGCGUGUGCGUGAGUUCAGGAAAUUGAUUUCCUAAUUAGUGUAGUUGACUAAUUCUUGUACAAUUAGGACUUUGUUUCCUAGUUUAUUUUAUUUCCUUGUUAAACCUGUAAAACCCUAUGUAAACAUAUAAAUAGCUCAUUAUGGAGAUGAAUAGAAAGUAUCAGUUUUGCCUAAACAUAUAUUUCUACUUGGUAUCAGAGCCACCGAUCUAGUGGUUUCUUGUUUAUCCCAAACCCUCUAAUUGAAUUCAAACCUAUAUUGAGUUCAUAAGUUUUUCUUCCAUCCUCCACAUAUAUUGGGUUCAUACUUCCACACCAUCAAUUCCCGCUGCGAUGACAACACCCGAGGCUUCCCUUGUUCUCCCGGAUAGUUCUUCGACCUCCGCUGCACAACCUCCAACUUCGUCGGUUCCACAGAUUGUCACCAUCCAGAAUGAUAAUUCUGCGUUGCCUACAGGAGUUAUUCUCAAUGAGACCAAUUAUGCUCUUUGGUCUCAACUCAUGGAAAUUCGAAUUGCUACCCGUGGAAAGUUGGGCUAUCUUACUGGCUCUAUUUGUGUGCCAGCCGAAUCUGCUCCUACUUUUGAUGCUUGGACCACUGAAAAUCUACAAGUUAAAGGUUGGUUAAUUGAUUCUAUGUCCCCUGAGUUGAUGGGCCGCUUUAUUCAUCUUCGCACUGCCAAGGAGAUUUGGGCUGCUGUCAAGAAAAUUUUCUAUAAUGGAUCCGACGAAUCUCAAGUUUACUAAUUGAACAGGAAGGCAUUCACCCUCAAACAGAAUGGCUAACCUGUUUCCAAAUAUUAUAGCAUGCUUCAGUGUCUUUUCAGGAACUGGAUCAUCGCGACCCCCCAUUUAUGGUGUGCAUUGCUGACACUGAUACAUACCAAAAAAAACUCGACCGUCUUCGAGUUCAUAUUUUUCUUUCUGGAUUGGAUCCCGAAUUUGAUCAAGUCCGUAGUGAAAUCCUCCGCAAGGAACCUAAAUUGGAUCUCAACCAAAGUUUUGCUUAUGUUCGCCGUGAUGCACAACAACGCGCCAAUUUUACUGGUGCUGCCGCCUCUCUUGAUGCUACUGUCAUGGUGGCUCAACGUUCCAAAGGACCACCUUCAUCUCAUGGGAGUUCAUCGACCCAGGGGGUGAAGGACAAACCAGUUUUCAAGUGCACUCAUUGUGGUGGUUCAAAGCACACUCGUGAACAUUGUUAUGAAUUAGUUGGCUUUCCAUCUUGGUGGGAUCAUUCUAAGAAUAAAAGAAAUGGUCAUAAGGCACUCCAAGCCUCUGCUACUCCAGAGACCCCCCUGUAAGUGGCAACAAAUCAAAUGAACAUACUUCUGCAUCUACGUCCAUGGCUACAUCAGGUACAACUGGUUAUGCAUUGAAUGUUUCUUCCACCUUAUCCACCAGUCAUGUCUGGAUUAUUGAUUCAGGCGCCUCUGAUCAUAUGACAUGUGAUUCAAAUAAAAUCACAUCUUUGUCUCCAUCUUCACAGUCGGUAGUAUCCAAUGCAAAUGGUAGUUCCUCUCCUGUUGUUGGAGAGGGUUCUUUAUCCCUUACAGAUUCGUUACACCUGGAUUCAAUACUUGUUGUGCCGUCAUUGGAUUUUAAUUUGCUAUCUAUUGCGCAAAUUACUCAUGCUCUUUCUUGUACUGUAACAUUUUGGCCAAAUUGUUGUAUUUUUCAGGACAUCCUCACAAGGAAGAUAAUUGGUUAUGGUACUAGAAAAGGCAAGCUGUAUUUUCUGGAUUUGGCAACAAGUGGUGAGACUCGAAUUUCUCAAGCCUUCAAGACUAGUGGAGAUUCGACUGAGAAAAAUCAGAAUUUUAUUUGGUUGUGGCAUAGACGGUUGGGUCAUGCCUUCUUUGGAUAUCUUAAAAAGUUGUUUCCUUCAUGGUUUAGUAAACUUUUAGAUUUUAAUUUUAAGUGUGAUGUUUAUGAACUGGCAAAAAGCCAUCGAGUUUCCUUCCCUUUGAGUAUGAAUAAAAGUACGGUGCUUUUUGCAAUUGUUCAUUCUGAUGUUUGGGGUCCUGCUCCAAUUUCUACUUCUUCUGGUGCUCGUUGGUUUGUUACCUUUACUGAUGAUUGCACACAUAUGACUUGGAUUUCUCUCUUCAAAACCAAGGGGGAGGUGUGUACCACAUUUCAACAGUUUUACAAGAUGGUAGACACUCAGUUUCAUGCACAAAUUAAGAUCCUUCGUUCUGAUAAUGGGGGUGAAUUUGUGAAUCAUGAUCUUUGUCAGUUUUUAGAAGCUCAUGGAAUUGAACAUCAACGAACAUGUCCAUAUACUCCUCAGCAAAAUGGGGUAGCAUAGUGAAAAAAUCGUCAUUUGUUAGAAGUGGUUCGAGCUUCAUUGUUUGAUGCUCAAAUGCUUCUUCUUUUUAGGGAGAAGCAGUGUGUUCUGCUGCGUAUCUUAUUAAUCGGGUUCCCUCCAGUAUCUUGAACUUCCAAACACCAUUACAAGCCCUUCGUCAGUUUUGUGCCCUUCAUUCCACUCCCAAUUUGGAGCCACGAGUUUUUGGAUGUGUAACUUUCGUUCAUCUUUAUACACAUCAGCGCAACAAGUUGGAGCUUUGAGCACUCAAGUGCGUGUUUAUUGGCUAUGCCCAACAUAAAAAAGGGUAUCGCUGCUAUCAUCCCCCUACUCAGAAGCUCUACAUCACUAUGGAUGUGGUUUUUCGAGAAGAAGAAAUGUAUUUUUCUGGGGGAGUUCAGGCACAGGCGAGUCCAGAUACUGUUGAUGAUCAGUUCGACCUAGAAGGAUUCGUUACUUUGGAGUCGUUAUGUCAUCCGACAGUUCAGGAUGCACUAACCAACUCGUCAGAUACCACUCUAGAAACUACGCAUGACAGUCUUGAUGACCGGUCACGGUUGGUCUCCUCACCCACAACUCAGUCACCCGGUCAGGGGGAGAAGAAUGAUGUACUGAUGCCCGUUUAUGAAGUUUUUGUACCAUUUAACCAAUUAUCUUUUGAGGUGUCUUCUGAACCUACAACCCAGGUAAUGUCCUAGAACAUUGAUGUUGAAGAUUUAUAUUUAACUGAUUUGUUUUCAGACGAUCCAUCUAAUGAGAUACAUCUACAACCAUACCAAUUACUUGUUCGUAAGAAUCGUGGUAACCCAAAGAUUCAAUAUGAAGCGGAUCCCAAAGCUAAAGUGAAAUACCCGAUUAGCAACCAUGUUUCCACUCAUAGAUUGUCCGCACCACAUGCCAUGUUGAUAAAACAACUAGAUUCUUUGUCUACACCAAGCAGUGUACAAGAGGCUUUGAUGGAUUCAAACUGGAAACAAGCAAUGAAUGAUGAGAUGCAAGCUCUUCAAAAGAAUUCCACAUGGAAACUUGUUCCUCUCCCAAGUGGCAAACGAACUGUGGGUUGUAGAUGGAUUUAUACCAUUAAGUUGAAGGCAGAUGGAUCGAUCGAACGGUACAAAGCUCGAUUGGUGGCAAAAGGGUAUACUCAGAGAUAUGGAGUGGAUUAUCAGGAGACGUUUGCUCCAGUAGCAAAAAUCAAUACUGUACGAAUCCUGAUAUCACUUGCUGCAAACUUGGAUUGGCCAUUACACCAAUUCGAUGUCAAAAAUGCUUUUUUACAUGGUGAUUUAGAAGAAGAAGUUUAUAUGGAUCCUCCGCCUGGAUGUAACUUGAGUUCCGAAUCGAAACACUAUGUGUGCAAAUUAAAGAAGUCUUUGUAUGGUUUGAAACAGUCACCUCGAGCAUGGUUUGGGCGGUUGACAAAGUCUAUGAGGGCAUUUGGAUAUAAACAAAGUAAUUUUGAUCAUACUUUGUUCUUGAAGCAUAAGGAAAAUAAAAUUAUAGCUUUGAUAGUAUAUGUUGAUGAUAUGAUCGUAACAGGUGAUGAUCCUGAUGAAAGAAAAGCAUUGCAAGAGUCCUUAUCUAAGGAGUUUGAGAUGAAAGAUCUUGGUACACUUAAGUAUUUUCUCGGGAUAGAAGUAUCUAGAUCACAGCAAGGUAUCUUCUUGUCUUAACGAAAAUAUGUUAUGGAUUUAUUAACUGAAACGGGGAUGCUGUGGUGUAAACCAGCUAAUACGCCUAUGGAGGAAAAUCACAAGCUUGGUGAGUGUACUGAUCAUAAACCAACUAACAAGGAGCAAUACCAGAGCCUAGUUGGGAGGUUAAUUUAUUUGUCACAUACGAGACCGGACAUUGCAUAUGCUGUGAGUGUUGUAAGCCAGUUUAUGCACUCUCCAAGUAAAGUUCAUAGAGAUGCAGUGAAUUGCAUCUUGAGAUAUUUGAAAUCAACUCCUGGUAAAGGGUUAAUGUAUUCAAAGCAAGGACAUCUGGAUGUAAUUGGGUAUACAGAUGCAGAUUGGGUUGGGUCCCAAACAGACAGAUGAUCCACUUCAGGUUACUUUACUUUUGUAGGAGGUAACCUUGUUACUUGGCGUAGUAAGAAACAAAAUGUUGCAAGAUCAAGUGCGGAGGCAGAAUAUAGAGGUAUGGCACAUGGUGUUUGUGAGUUGUUAUGGAUUAAGCAUGUUCUAACGGAGUUAGGUUUAAAGCCUAAAAAACCCAUGGAAUUAUAUUGCGAUAAUAUUGCGGCCAUUAAUAUUGCUCAUAAUCCAGUUCAACAUGAUCGAACUAAACAUGUUGAAGUGGAUAUGCAUUUCAUCAAAGAAAGAUUAGAAGACGAGACGCUUCAGUUCCCGUUUGUAAAGUCAGAAGAUCAGUUGGCAGAUAUCUUGACGAAAGCAGUUUCAAGCCGAGUAUUUCAGGACACGCUGAGCAAGUUGGACCUUGGUGACAUUUAUGCUCCAACUUGAGGGGGAGUGUUGGCGUGUGCGUGAGUUCAGGAAAGUGAUUUCCUAAUUACUGUAGUUGACUAAUUCUUGUACAAUUAGGACUUUGUUUCCUAGUUUAUUUUAUUUCCUUGUUAAACCUGUAAAACCCUAUGUAAACAUAUAAAUAGCUCAUUAUGGAGAUGAAUAGAAAGUAUCAGUUUUACCUAAACAUAUAUUUCUACUAAUGAGCUUUUUCAUGUCCGUGGGAGAUAUUGGAGAUUGCAUGAAGUCGAGAAUUUUAUUGAUAAGGAAGCUAUGGAGCUGAUUUCCCGUAUUAAAAGAUGGUGGCCAGAUAUAACCGGCCUGGGAUCCUUCUGUGGUGGUGCUGCUAUUCCUACCACCACAGUUACGGCUCUUAUUGCAGAAUCUGAGGCGGCUAUUCAGGGUCUACUGCUUGCUAGUGUUACGAACAAGAAAAAAGUCAUUAUGGAGUCGGAAUGUAGCACUUUCAUUGAUAGCAUUAACAACUCCAAAUGCAGAGAUUGGACUAUUCUCAGGAUGGAGUCCAACUUUGAGUCAGUUGAGUGGUUUUGGUCCCCUCGGAAUUUGAACAUGAAGUGGCAAGGAUUGGUUUAGGUGCGGUGGAUCUGCAAAGAUGGGCUGAUAGGCCACCUCCGUCCCUGGUUCGUGUUCUGGUUUCAGAUGGUCUCUCUUGUCCCCCGUAAGGGACCUGGGUGGUUUGUGAGCAUCGCUGACAAUGGUCGUGGGGUAUGCUACAUCUUCUAUGCCUUUUAGUCAAAAGCUUCAAAAAUCCUUUUUAGUAUAUAUUAAAGUAAGAACACAGUGUCAUGAUUUCUUAUAAGGCUUGUCAAGAUAUUCUAAAGUUCACAUGUAGUUUGAUGUGCCUUUAUACCCUAUCAUGCCUUUCAUACUUACAUUUCUCAUAUGUAUAGUCAAUAUGUCUAGAGUCUGUAAAUUGUUCAUUAAACAUUGUUAAGCAUGCUACGUAAAUUCUGUAACGCAGUAAACAUUUUGGAGCAGAUAAUGAAAUACCUACCAAAAACAAGCAAGAGGUGGAAUACCACAAAGAGAAAGUGUACCUAAUAAAAAAGCAGUGGGAACAGUGAAGAUUCAUGUGGUCUUUCUGUCUAGGUGCCGGUAGUCCAUGUCUUCACAGACAUGUCUAUUUCACCGAGCCCCUCCGGUUUAGGUGGACAACCCGGCAAAUAGACAUCAACAGGAAUUAGCUUAUCAAUUAUGGGAGCAUAUAUAAAAGAAAAUCUGAAUUUUUUUCUUCUCAUAUUGCAUUGAUAGUAACCUUGAAUUUGCAACCAACCAUUAGAAAUUUUUCUGAAUACUCUUCUCAAGAAUAUGUACACUAACUUUCAAUAUAUGUUGCCACUAUCUUUACCUAUUUUUCUUUUUUUCUUGUUCAUUGCUGAUUCCGACUGAUAUGCACCCACCCAGCAACCAAGAAAUAAUCUGCUCUGGAGGCUCUGUUGACGGUAUUAUUUCAUAAACUGUCAUUCUCAUUUCUAAUGUUUGUGUAGAGGUAGAAUGCAAUCCACUUCACAUUGCAUAGGGUUAGUUACUUUUUUCAUUAAAACCAGAAAGAUAAUAUUAUAUCAAAAAAUUAGGUUAUAAAGCUGCUCUAAAUAAGUCAAAUAUCACUACUACAAAAAUUGACAUAGACGACGGGAAUUCACUGUCGUCUAGAAGGUUUUUAAACUGUCGUGAAAUCGACCGCCAUAUUUUGAUACAUAAAACAAUGACGGAAAAAAACCACUGUCUUUAAGACAUACAACGUCAUACCAAAAUAAAAACCGCUGUCUAAUUACUUUAUAAACAGCAAAAAAGGAAAACUUCGACAACCUUAGACGACGGUUUUAGUAAAAUAGGGAAGUUUAAAGCGUAUUACAUGUCAAGAACUACAUACACGCUGACAUAAAAAAAGUUAUCCACGUCGCUAUUUGAAAAAAAUACCGUUGUGGUUUAUAUGUACUACUAAAUAAAAAAAUUGACAUCUAAAAUCUAUGAAAAAAGCAACCAAAAAAAAAAAAAAAGACGAUCUUAGACGAUGCUUACAGAAAAGAACAGACGUCUAAAGGGCAUUACAUGUCAAGAAUCAUAUCGUAGCCGACAUAAAAUGUAUUAACCACGACACAUAUGUAGAACGACCGAUGCUUAUAAAAUAUUCCACGUCGCCAACCAAGAAAAAACCGCCUUGUUAAAAUUUUUCCAUGGCUGUUUCUUGCGAGAACCAAUGUUUAAAUGAUGAAAAAAAGCCACUUGGACAGUGUACGACACUUUUUUUAUUUAUUAAAACACUGACGUCUGAAUAAUUUAACAUGUCACAAUUUUAUUACACACCGACGUAACAAACCCUAACCAAGCCCCAAUUGUUUACCCACAGUCGUUAAAAAUGAUUUUCACAGCAUGAACAGGAAAUAAAACGCUGUUGAUUAGAGUUUGAAUGGUGGUUAAUGUAAAUUAAAGGUCGUAGUGAAUCUUUUCACUACGUACCUAGAAUACAAUUUGUCGACGUUGUUAAUUUAGUUACCACGUCGGUUUUUGUAUAGGACUGGAUGUGGUUUCCCUCUCAAAGUAGCUUUUAUAACCCUAAUUGACGUGUGUAUUCUCUAAGACGUCAAAUGUUUUAGCCUAACCGACGUGCAGAAUAGCUGUUACAACAGUUAAUGGCACUGAGUUGCCUUUAUUGCCCUCUUUAGACGACGUAAUUUUUAUCGGUGGAAGUAGUAUUUUCCUAAAAUUCGUCUGUUGGAGUACUGUUCCGUCAUGUUAUUCUUAAAUCUAUGACGUGCAUUAUUUUCAUGACCGUCGUUGUUGUUAAUAUCUAUUUGCCGCGUGUAAUUUAAUUUUAAUUAAUCGACGUGUUUUCUUUUUCAAAUGGCGAUUUUUAUUUCUUUACAGUCUUUUGCAUUGUCAUUCCACGUCGUUUGUAAAAGAUACGAAACCCAGUAUUUUUAAUUUUGGAUUUGUCGUGCCCAAAUCUUGCAUAAUGAAAAUGAUCAGAAUAAUGUCAAACAUUGAAAUUUAUUGCAAAACUAAUGUCAUACAAAUAACUGCAUAACUAAUGUCAUACAUUACAACAAUCAAUCAAUCCAUAUAUCUUCACACCCAUCUCUAAUAUUUUCACUCCCAAACUCACCCACUAGGUCAUCAAAUGUGUCAACAUUUGGUAUCCCUCUAGUAAAUGGCUCACACUUACUUUUAAUAUCACCUAGCACAUCAUCACCAAUAACAUCAUUAUAUUGUCUAUUAGGCAUUGAUAACACUACCGACAAACCACGAUGCAUUGGGUCGUCAACAAAAAAUACUUGUUUGACUUGAGAAGCCAUAACAAAUUGGUCAUUCCUAUGUCCAAUUUUACUUAGAUCCAAGUUCUUCAAUUACAAGGCCCGAAGUGUUAUCUAUCCAAUCACACCUAAAGACUAGGAUUCUCAACUUUUGGCAGUCAAUGUCCCAAAUUUCUUGAAAGACACCAUAAAAACCCAUAUUGGAGACAAUAGGGUUUUUAUCCUUGGCAUUAGCAACUUGCAUAGUAUGUGCAAGUAAAUAAACUCCACUGUUUUGGAUAGUUCACACAUCAUCUUGUGCCUUUUUUUUUUUUUUUUUUUUUUAAAUUUAACACCAUUAAUAAGAAAGUUCCUAUAUGAUGGCACUGCCAUGCUUGGACCAGCUGCUAGCCACCUCAAAUUUUCUAAUACGCCAUUAUUCUCUUCCCCAUUAAGUUCACUUUGAACAAGCAAAUUAAUUAUAUAUCUUAAUUCAAUCUAACAUAGAAAGAAGAAAAUUAAAAGUUCAAUAUGUUAUUCUCACUACUACAAAAAGUGAAAAAGACGACUAGAAAACAACGACGGUAGAACAAAAAACAGUCGUUGUGUUUGAAAAGACGACGGUAAUAUAAAAUCAUCGUGGAUGAAUAACUUAAACAACUAAAAAAUAGAGAUUCCCAUGAAUGUUUUUAAAAUACGACACACCAAAUUAAACAAGUGUCGUCUUAUUGAUAAGGUUUUGCUUCAGCGUAAAACUCUGAGCCUAAAAACAACGACUGUAGUUAUGAAUCCACUGACGUAGAAAGUAAAGACGACGCUUUUCAACAACAGCCACUGUGUCUACUCAUAAAUAAACAUGACCAUAUUUUCUUAGUCAACAUCGUAUAAUUUCAAAGGAAUCCAUGUCGGUAUAUUACAAAACAUCGCCGUAUUAAGUCCAUGUACCACGACGGUAAAGUUGAAUUUAUCGACAUUUUAUUCAAAGGAUACUUCGACGGUAUCUAUUACUCUACUGUCCGGGGAAGAUGUACUAACCACAUCAGUUUUUCAAUAAACGACGUAUAAUAUCAUUUACCACGUUGUGAACUUAAAUAUACUGUCGUAUUUAUUACCUUUAUACGUGUGAAAUCUUACCAUUGGGAAUUCUAUUCCUCAUCAUAAUCAAUUCACAAAUGUGAGAGAAAGGCAAUAUUUUAGACGUUGAUGAUGUAUGUAUCUUUGUGUCUUUGAGAUACACAAAGGCACAUACACAUCAAAAUCCAAAAAAUUUUCCUCUAAAAUUUGAUGACGGCAGCCACACAUCAACAUCCAAAACAUUUGGUUUCAAAAAGAUAAUUUUUUAGAAGUUGAUGAUGCAUGCGUAUUUGUGUCUUUCAGAUAAACAAACACGCACACACAUCAACAUCCAAACCAUUGCCUCCAGAGAGGUGAGACAGAGCUAAGGGCAAGAAGAAGUUGGAACCCUAAUUGAAAACUGAAACUGAAAGAAUGCAUGAAAAAAACCCUAUUUAUAAAAAUAAUCUUCAACAUCCACGUCGGUUCUAUUACAUGUACCGACGUCUAAUCCACGUCAGUGCGUAAUACAUUGGGGUUGUCUAAAAAAAAACCAUGUCAGUUUAGUAAACUAAACUCAUCGACUUUAAGACAAACAAAGUCGGUUAUUCAUAAAACGAUGACGUGGUAACUUAUAAUAUCACUUCUUCAAAAAUAAACUUUUGACGUGUAGUGCCUAGAGAACCACGUCGAUUUCGGAAUACAAAAAGUCAACUGGCUUAUUACUAACCACUUCGGUUUCUACUAUUAUAACGUCGUGGUAAGUUCAUACUAGGGCGGUUUUAGUCAGAACCGUCCUCGCAUUGAUCUUUGGGAUAAUAUAUAAACUUUUUAGUCACCUGACCUAAACUUUUACGUUCUCUCUAAAAUUUUCAGUUUUCUCUCAGUUUCCCACUCAUUUCCCAAAAGCUGCUUGUCUGAUUCUCUUCAUCUUCCUCGUAUUUAGUCUCCAAAACUCCAAAGUUUAAUUCCGAAGAAAACUUUCCUUGCAAGCCAAAGGUAUUUUCUCACUUUUUUUUUUCAAUAUCAUUUGAAUUUUUUUUUUUUAAAGAAUGAGUCUCACUGAGGUUUGAAACAAGACUCAGGUUUGAAAAGGACGAAAUCUUUCACUGGUCCCACUCUCAGGUCGUGUGAGGACGACGAGUUUGUCUUGUAUUUGACGUUUUUAUUCACACACCACGACGGUAAUUAAAUUUGUGCUAUUUCAAUAGCACGGCUGUUCUUAAUAACCAACGUGAUGUGAGAAUAAAUACGACGUUUUAAAGAUAAAAUCGUCAUCUUAUUUGAAACGAACGUGGGAGAGAGAAAUCUGAGCCCUUUUUUUUUUCCUGUAUGAACUCAUAAUAAGACGAUGGUUUUAUAUACUUCGCAUCGUUUUAAUUAUCUUACCAUGACUUAUUUGCACAUCCACGUUUCUAUAGGUUAGCACAACUGUUUUAUUUUUUUGCCAACGUCUAAACUUUAAUAUUACGUCAGUUUUUUUACUUGACAGUCAUCGUUUUUCUUGUAGUUUGUAUUUCCCUCUAAACAUGGUUUUGAAAUCUCAAAGUAAGGAGGCUCAAGUGUGAAAAGCUUAAAGCAAGGACCACAUGAGUGAAGCCAAAUAUGUUUAAAGCAAUCCCGCAAAGAAGAUGAGAUUUAUUGCAACAUCCGAGAAAGACCCAAGCUCUGUGACAUUUGAUGAGGAGACAAAAUCGACUCGCGGUAUCAACACAAUGAGCUGUGUUGUGAAGAGGAAAAUCCAGAAGAUUAAGCAUAUGGUUGAGUACAAUAAAAGUGGCAGACCACAUGGCAAGGCUGCUAUUGAGAUGCAGAGUUACAUUAGUGUUUUGACACGCACCAGAGUCCCUCUUGUGGACAAGAAAUGGACUUAAUUGCCUAAGGACCUGAAGGAGCAGGUUUGGGAAACUGUUCAAAUGGCUUAUGUUGUUGGGGAAGGGGGCAAGAAGAUGGUGCUGUUGUCUACAACCAAAAAAGGAAGGAUUUCAAGUCUACCUUAACUAGGCAAUUUAUCCUUCCAUUCGCAAAUGAGAAGGAGAAGUUAAAGGAACCCCCUCAGCUUUAUAACUUCAUAGAGAAAUCGCAAUGGGAUGCCUUUGUAGCUUCAAGGUUAUCCCCAAAUUUUGAGGUUGUGCAUUCUGAGUAGUCACAGAGAAGGGAGAAAUGCGAGUAUAACCAUACGUUGUCUCGAAAAGGGUAUGUUGGUUUGGAGGAUCAAUUGGAAGAAACCAUGCCCGGUGAAAAAAUCGAUCAAUCUCUGCUAUGGAAGAAGGCAAGAGAAGAUAAAUAGGGAAACAUCCCUGAUCCAAAGGUUGCAAAGAAGGAAAAAUUAAUCGUAAGUCUCACUGACUCUGUUCUAAACUUGUAAAACAGAGGUUUUAUUUUUUAUUUAGACGUCGAUCUUUUUAGUAAUCGUCGUUAGACAUGAAACCCCAUGACGGUUUUUAUUUACCGCCGUUUAAAAAUAUAUAACGUCAGUAUUUUUUUGAAACCGAUGCAUGUAUUGAAUUACCACGACGGUUUAUAUUUCUAAGUUAGACGUUUUAAAUUUAAGUUUAAACUUUCUUCAUAUUCAUUUAGACGUCGUAUGUUUUAGUAACCGUCGUUAGACGUGAAAUGCCAUGAUGGUUUUUAUUUACCACUGUUUACAAAUUGAUAUGACGUCGGUAGUUUUGGUAAGCUGAUGUCUGUAUUGAAUUACAACGACGGUUUUGUAUUUCUCUGCUAGACAUUUUAAAUGAAAUUUUAAACUUUCUUCAUAUUCACACGCACACAUACUCUCUCUCUCUCUCUCUCUAUUUCUCUGCAAUUGGUUUGUACACUAUUACUGGAUCUAUGAAUAUUUUGGUUAAGGUUUUUUUUUUCUCUGGAUGUCAAAUGUACGACGGUUUUUUCAUGGACUGAUGUUAGAAUACAUACAAAAUGAAGGUAGUUUCUGACCGAUGUGUUAAAUGAUUUACCACGUUGUCUUGACUGCUUUACCACGUCGAUUAAUUUUUUUAUUUAUAGUUAUUUAUUUAAUCUGUUUUAACUAUCUGUUCACUCACUAACAUUCUCUCUCUCACUUUUAGGAUGAUUUGAAAAAAUAAGUCUUCGAGGGGACUUUGACUGUCUCUGGGAGCAUAGAUAUUUUGACCUUGGCUUUGGGAACCCCUGAGCAUGGUGGGAGAGUCAGAGGUGUUGGAGCUGGGGUUUCCCCAACUCAAUUCUUCAAUUUGCCAAGACAGCAGAGAGUAAAAUUUGCUGACAAAUUGAAGGAAAGUGUUAUGGAGGCAGUGAGAGAAGAAACCAAAAAGAUUGAGGCUAGGGCAAAGGAAACUGUUUUGGAGGCAGUCAGGUCAAAGAGGGAAAUUUUGUUGAAACAAUUCAGUCAACUAAUUCCCAACUUUGAUCCCAACUUGCUCAAUAAAACUCCAAUUACUCCAAUUCCUUUACUGCCUCAAGAGCAAAGCCCAAAAAAUCCAAUGUCUGACAAAGCAAGUUGCUCAAAUGUGAGAUCCCUUGUUUUGGAGGAAGAAAAUCCCACAAAUGAUGCUGAUGCUGCUGAAAAAUGGCAAAAUGAAAUGGUAAAAUCUCUGACAUUUGAUUUUUUCUUAUUUAUAAUUUAAAAUAGAUGUUGUUGAUAACCGUCAUCUCAGUAUUUUACUAUGUCAGUUUUUAUUUUAUAAACCGCUAUGUAUUUCAUUGAAGCCUUCGCUGCAUUUUAAUUAGACGACCUCUCUAUAGUGUAGCGACGUUAGAACAUAUACACAACGACGGUUAUGUCUUUACCGUGGUCUAUAACCUCUACUCCGUCAGUAUGUUUUAGAAACCGUCAUUUAUAUUAUAUACCACGUCGGUUUGGGUGGUUUAGUUAGAGUUGUUUAUUAAACUUGAUGUACAAACUAACUUAUAUUUCUUUAUUUAUUUCGUGUAACGUGAUCUCUCAAAGCUAGACAUGCCACCUCCUCUGUUAGCCCUAUGCCAAUUUGUCGAGACCAGGUUGAAGCCUGCUAACGAGACCAUUAGAAUUCACAUUCCAGAGGAAGUGUUUGGCACUGAUCAUGAUACCUUCCUCUUGUGUGAUGAUAUUUUACAGUUUGCUUCCAUGGUUGAGAUUGGAUCCACAAUGAUUGCAGUAUACAUGAGGUAAUUCUAGAAAUCCAAUAUAUAUAUAUAUAUUUUUUACAUUUCCUUUCUUUUAAAUUAAAAUCUCAUUUAAUUGAAUUUCAUAUAUUUAGGUACCUAUUUGACUAUUUAAAAAUGGCAAAUAUGGUAAACCUUGUUGGCCUCGUGGACUUUGGACAAGUCAGCUCUCAAUCUGGAACGUCAUCUUACCAUUCAAAACAUCUCUCAGAUCAUCUGAAAAACAUAAAUUGGGAUCAAUUUUAUUUGGUGCCUUAUAAUCCAGGGUUAGUCCCCUUAACUAUACUUGGUGCCUUGUAAUACUUUUCUUUGUAGUAUAUUUAACCUAUAUGGAUCAUUAUGUGUAGGGGUCAUUGGGUGUUAAUAAUUAUGAGACGAGCUAAGGAGACUGUCUAUUACAUGGAUUCAUUGCAAACCGCUUUGUUGAUGAAGACAUGAGAAAUAUAGUGAAUACGUAAGUUAAUCUAUGAAAAUCUAAGAUUUUUUUUAUUUCUGCAUUUGAAUGAUACGAUGGCUUUUUCUAGUACCGACGUUAUAAUGAAAACACAAUGACAGUAAGUUCAAACUGACGUUUGAAAUCAUUUACAACGUCAGUAUUUUCUAUAAACCGUCGUCUUAAUUGAAAUACCACGUUGUUUGUGUUUUUCAUUUAAGGAAGUUUUAAUUUUUUCUGUUCAACUUUUGGUUAUAUGUCAUUUUUUUUGUCGUCACCGACGUUAGAAUGCUACACAACGAUGGUUUUUAUUUACUGACGUUUGAAAUGAAAUACAACUUCACUUGUUUUACAAAACCGUCAUCUUUACUUAUUUACCAUGACGUUUAAUAUUUUUUAUUUAGAUUUUUAGUUUUGUCAUUAACACUUUUUGUUUUCUUGAAACAGUUCAAUCAAAAUGUAUUACUCUCACACGGGCAAACAAUCAUCACGUAAAUCAGCCAUAUGGAAAAAUCUACAUGGCACUCCUCAACAACCAACAAAUGUAGAGUGUGGCUAUUACGUGAUGCGUUUCAUGAGAGAUAUAAUUCAUGAUCCAGGCCUAGCAUUUGAGAAGAAGGUAAAAGGAAAAAUUUAAGAUAUAAUUUCUUUAUUUUACUACCACAACUUUUUCUUUAAAAACCGUCGUUUUAAUCUAUAUAACACGUCGGUUUUUGUUCUUUAUUGGCAGUUUGACAAGAAAAAAGAACCAAUUCAGUAUGUACAAGAACAUAUUGACGAAGUCAGGCUGGAAUGGGCUGAAUUUGUUGGGCUGAAUUUGUUAAGAAGCAAUUACAUAAUAAUAAGUGAUGUAAUUUAUUUUAACAAUAUUUAGGUUUAUUUUAAUUUAUUGACAAUGUACAUAAAUAUAUUUUUGGUACAUGAACUAUCAUAAAAAAAAUCAAAUUUUGUUUGAAUUUUUUUUUUUUUGUUUAGGAUAUUUAUGUCGUUACAUGAACUAAAAUGACAAUAAAUCAUAAAAACUUAAUUUAAUUCUCGAAGACCGACGUCUCAUUGUAAUUUACACAUCUCAUAUGUAUAAACAAUCGACGUCUUAUUGCAGUGGGAAAUAAAACAUCGAUGGCAAUUCUUAAAAAUGACAUGUAAUAGAGAGAAACACCACGGUUUAUAUAUAAAACUGAAAUCUACGAAAUUUUUUUGCAUAGAUAUACUACGUCCAUUAGUACAACAAGAACGACGUCUUAAGUGUUUCUUGACCAAAUGUGAUGUUGUACACAUAAACAACGUCGGCAUCUACAAAAGAAUCGAUGUUGCGAAUGCUACCCACGUCGGUUAUUCAGCACAAGCUGACGUUGUAAAGACGAACCACGGCGGUGGCUGAAUUUCGACGUCUAACAUCAUCUAGGACGACGUCAUGUGUUGUUUUACAACAUCGGUUAUGUACAUUUGUCAUUUCAAUUUUAUAUGACUUUUAUAUUUUAUUUAAUUCCUAAUAUUCAUAAUAAAUUCAAAACAAAUUCCAAAAAAUAAACUAACAACUACCAUGCACUCAUUGAAAGAUCUCUCCCCUAAAGUUUUAAAAAAUGUAAUUUUAAAAAUAUUUUUUAUUGUAUUUAAUUACUAAUAUUCAUAAUAUAUUUAAAAAUUCUGAAAAAUAAAUCGACAAAUUCUAUGCACUCAUUGAGACAAUAUCUCCCCGUUAAAAGCCUGAAAAAUUUAAUUUUAGAUUUCAAAAUUACAAGUGAUAACAAAAGUCAAAAAUAUUUACAAACAAAGCACAAUAGUCCUUAUACUUUCCAUAACAUAACCCUAAGGUUUAUGUGAUCCAUUGGUGGUCAUAAAAUUCAAAAUUAUUUAAUCUAGAUUUUAGCCUACUAAUAUAGAAGGCAUUGUUGUAAGGAGUCCGUAGCAAUUUUCGGUUCAUUUUUCUCGUACUUGUGUAUUUUUUUUAAUAAUUAAUUAUUGUAAAAUUUAGGGUUUAGGGUUUAGGUUUUAUUGAAACGACGCUGGUUUUCUCUCGUUCUUUUUGGUCAAUUACAAUUUUUCGAAUCCCAGGAAAUGCAAACCAAAUCUAAUUAUUUAAUAUUUUAGACGUCGGUUUUUAUAAAGGCGACCUAAAAGUGAUUUACAACGGCGGUAGUUUACCUUAACCGUCGUCGUAAAUGUACAAUUAAACGACGACUGGGUUGUAUUUACCAUCGUCUUUGAAAAACACGGUCCUUUGAAAUUUUUGACCGCGAUCUAAAAUUUUCAGAAUUUCCCUUUAACCCUAAAAUAUUUCCUUCUCUCUCUUCAACAUAAAUUUGUCUUAAAGUUUUCGCUCUCUCUCAAAGCAUUGGGUAUAUUCUCUGAGCUCUCUCUGAAGCAUUUGUUAUAUUCUCUUAGCUCUCUCUCUCAAUAUCCAUGUAAGUAUAUUCUCUCAGCUCUCUCUCAAUAUUCUCUUAGUUUGUAAAAUCCAUAAAUGAUUUCGUUCGUUUUGGUAACUUUGGUUUCUUAAUAUAUGUUUUGGGAGCUAUGGGUUCUUACUUGGGAGCUAUAUAUGGGUUCUUUUAUGUUUUGAUGUUUGUAUUCUGUUAAGGGUUCUUGGAAAAGGAAUGGGGAUGGAAGAUUUAAACUUUGAUUUUUUUGUAAACCACGACGACAGUUGGUGGAACAAACCGUCAUCUAAAUUUUUAGGAUACGUCGGGUUUUCUUUUGCUGUCGUCGUCUGAGUUGUUGUUUGCAUUUGGUAAUCUAAAGACGACUGUUUCUCCAUUUACUGUCGUCUUUAGGCUACCAGAACCUAGGACCCGGUUCUUCAAAAAGCAAUACAAAUAUCUGGGUUUGGAUAGCUUAAAGACAUCGGUAACUAGAUAUGCCAUCAUCCGAGUCUUUGUUAGACGACGAUUAUUUAGUAAAAAUCGUCGUCUGAUUCUUGUUUAAUUUAUUUUUUUCAAUUUAUUCUCUGCUAUGUGAAUAAAGUAGUGUUUCAUUGCUGGUCUUUUUGUCACAUCCCGGGAUCACGGUUUUGUUUCUAGGAGCUCACGAGCAACUUCCCAGUGGUCACCCAUCCUGGGAUUGCUCUAGCCACAACUCCCUUAACUUCGGAGUUCUCAUGACUCCGAAACCAGUGAGCUCCCAAAAGGCCUCGUGCUAAAUGGAGGCGGGCAUGUAUAUAUAAGGCACAUCACCCCCUCUCCGUUGGUCGAUGUGAGAUGUUACACUUUUCACUUUAUUAUAUAUAUGAUUUUAUAGUGUGCGAGAUGGAUAAGUCAUGGAUGCAUGCAGAUAGAAGAUUGAAGGCAUAUGAGUUAGGGGUGGAAGGAUUUUUGAAUUUUGCUGUUGAAAAUCUUGGAAAUACAACUCAUAUUCGUUGUCCAUGUGUUAAAUGUGGGAAUAUUCAAUUGUUUGGGGUUGGAAUUAUAAGGGACCACUUAUACUUUAAUGGAAUUGACCAAAGCUAUAAGAUUUGGACAUGGCACAGAGAACCUUGGGAAUGGACUACUAAUGCUAGUAGAAAUGUGGAAGAAGAUGAGCAAAGUAGGUUAAGUUAGAAUUAGGGAUGGAUGAGAAUGAUUUAGGUGAUAUUGUUUUUAAUCCUUAUGAGUUUGCCAAUGUGAUUGGGGAUGGAGAUCAACCCUUGUACCCUGGUUACAGUAAGUACACGAUGUUGUUGGCUUUGGUAAAGUUAUAUAAUUUGAAAGCAAAACAUGGGAUGAGUGGUGUUUGUUUUACAGAAUUAUUAAUACUUCAAGGAGAUUUGCUUCUAGAAGGAAAUACACUACCUUCCUCUAUGUAUAAGGCAAAAAAGACAUUGUCUGCUUUAAGGAUGAGUUAUGAGAAAAUCCGCGCAUGUCCCAAUGACUGCAUCUUGUAUAGGAAGGAUUAUGAAGAUUCAACUAGUUGUCCUACUUGUGGUAUCUCAAGGUAGAAGGAAGACAAAGAUUCAAUCUUGAAAGAAGGUGUGCUAGCGAAGGUGGUAUGGUAUUUUCCUCCAAUUCCAAGGUUUAAAAGGAUGUUUCAAUCACAUAAGACAGUUAAGAGUUUGACUUGGCAUGUUGCUAGAAAAUCAGUUGACGGUCAUAUGUCUCGUCCAGCGAAUUCCCCGUUUUGGAAACUUGUUGAUGAUAAGUGGCCUGAGUUUGGUAAAGCGCCGAGAAACUUGAGAUUGGCUCUCUCAUCUGAUGGAUUCAAUCCCCAUAGUUCUUUAAGUAGCAAAUACAGUUAUUGGCCAGUCAUCUUAGUUACAUAUAAUCUCCCACCUUGGCUAUGCAUGAAACGGAAGUUCAUGAUGUUGACCUUAGAGCCCAGAAAUGAUAUAUACGUCUACUUAGAGCCUUUGAUUGAUGAUUUAAAAUCUCUAUGGGAUGGGAUUAGAGGAAUGUAUGAUGCACACAUAGGAGAAUACUUUACACUCAGAGGUAUAUUACUAUGGACAAUUAAUGAUUUUCCUACCUAUGAGAACUUAUCUGGUUGAGUCGUUAAAGGAUAUAAAGCUUGUCCAAUAUGCGGCAAUGAUACACCUAGUCAUAGGUUGAAAAAUGGCCACAAAAUUUUGUUACAUUGGGCAUAGAAAAUGGUUAGCAAUCAAUCAUCCGUAUUGGAGGCAGCGUGUAGCUUUUAAUGGGACACCUGAAUAUGGCACGCCUCCCAGGCUAUUAACCGGAGAAGAAGUGCUGCACAUGGUUGAAGAUAUUAAUUACAUAUGGGGCUCGAAAAAUGGGGGAAGUGUUGGUGAGAAUGAUGGUGAUAGAGUUUGUUGGAAGAAGAAAUCAAAAUUCUUUGAUCUUGAGUAUUGAAAAUACCUUCCUAUGAGGCAUGUCCUAAAUGUUAUGCAUAUUGAGAAGAAUGUUUGCGAUAGUUUCAUUGGUACAUUGCUGGAGAUCCCUGGAAAAAAAUAAAGAUGGGAUUGCUGCUCGGUUAGAUUUAUUGAACAUGGGGGUCGUUGAUUUCAUUUGUGGUUGCUAUGGUGCGAAUUGGUUCGUUCAUUUGGUCCUUUUCUUCAUUAGAUAACCUUCUUUUCAUUUGUUCUCUUGUUUGUCUCAUAUCGCAUUCUUCCUCUUUUGUUGGGUUUCCUUCUUCAAAUUUUCAGAUAUGUCUUUCUUUUUAUGUUCUUCUUUUUUAAUCGCGUCUUCUUUUGAUGUUUUGUAGGUAGUGUUUCGACGGAUGGUUCUGAUGCCUCACCUGUUGGAUCUCCCGAUCACGCCUCAUCUCCGAGAUUCAAUGACAGUUGUCCGACGAUGACGUGAUCAAUUUUCUGGGACCGGCGGUCUCUUUGAGGAUCUCAAACAAAAAAUUAUUAAGCAGGCAAGAUCUCUCUAUAUCUCUCUAUUUGAACAUGUAGAUAAUGAACCCUAGGAGCUUAAUAUAUGUUUGUAUCUAGAAGAAAAUACGGUUGGUUUAAUAUAAGAUCAUUUAAACAAAAAAUCUGAUUUAACACUGUAUAAAACAGGUAGAAACCUACUUACCCUCUAUUUGUUUUCUAAGAAAAUGCAAGAAAAAAAAUAGAAAAUUUCAUCUUUUUAAACAUUUUACUGUUGUUUUGUGGGUAGGAGUUCAAUAAUUAUGCUUAAAGGGCGUUUGAGGUCACCCACUUAAUAACAUUAGUACUUUUUAUUGAAAUCACUUGGGUUUCUGUGGAAACUCAAGGACAUAAAAGCAAAAGUUUAAGUCUUUGUUCUAUAAUUAUGUUGGAUUGAAAAUUUGGUGCCUUUGUUCUUUCUUGCAUGUGCUUGGAAUUACAAUGAAAAUUUUCUUUCAUUGUUUUUUUGUUGUUGAAGGGUUUGAGCAUGAGGACAAAGGUGAUUUUGCAAGUUCACCAAAGUAUUUAAGGUAAAAACCAUAUCCUCGAAUUGCUCUUUUGGACCAAAAUUAAGCCUUUUGUUUGAUGGUUUAUCAUCUGAUUGGGUUAUAUGUUUGAGCUUAUGGAUUGGUUCAUAGUGGAUUUGAAUUGACAUGCAGAGUUGCUUGGGUGAAGUUGAUGACUGUGUGCGUUGUUAAGGUUUGGAUUACAAAGGGAGCUAAAGAUCUAGAGAGAGUGAGAGAGGUAGCUAGGAGAAAACAGAAUUUUAGAAAUGUUCUCUGGUGCAAUCUACCAAACCAUUGCAGAGAUCACACCUUUUGUAUAUUUCUCAUUCUCUCAUUACAUCAGCUAAUUAGUACCUUUCAAUUACAAGGGCCAAUGUGAAUGUGACACAUGGCACUACAAGGCCUAAGAGUCAUUGGAAACUAACUGACUGCUUUACACCUUACACUUGGCAUAUGAGCUCAAGUCACUUAACUAACAUAAUGCUUAAUGAAGCUAAGAGUAAAAAUAGACUAAGUAAAUUACUAACUAAGAAGAAAUUAGCUAGUCAAUUUACAUUUCAACACUCCCUUCUAAAGUGCUAGCUGAUUUCACACCAAGUAGACUUCUCAAAUAACUGAAUCUAUCCUUGGAGGGAGCCUUGGUAAAGAUGUCAGUAAUUUGUUCUUCACCUUUGCAGUAAACCAAAUCAAUCUCACCAUCUUGAAUUGCAUCUUUGAUAAAAUGAAACUUCCUACGAAUAUGCUCACUUCUUUGGUGAAAAACUGGAUUUUUAGACAUGGCUAUAGCUGAAGUGUUGUCACAGAAUAGAGUAAUAGCUGUGGCUUGUUCUUCUCCAAAGUCUUCAAGUACAAAUUUGAGCCAAAUGGCCUGUAAGGUUGCUUCAGGUACACUCACAUACUCUGCUUCUACUGUAGAAAGUGCUACACUAUGCUGCUUAACUGAGGCCCAUGAAAAUACACCACUUCUAAAUGAAAAUGCAUAUCCUGAGGUGCUUUUCAUGUCUUCUUCAGAUCCACUCUAGUCACUAUCACAGUAACCAAUCAAUAGUGCAUAUUUUCCAGCUGCAUACUCAAUUCCAUAGUCAAUUGUUCCUUGUAUGUACCUUAGAACUCUUUUAACAGCUCCAUAGUGCUGCUUAGAAGGACUGUGCAUGAACCUUGCAAGUAGGCUAGCAGAAAACAUAAUGUCAGGCCUAGUUGCAGUUAAGUAUAAGAGACUUCCAACAAUUUUCCUGUACAAGCUUUCAUCUGCAGCUUCACUUCCAUCCUCCCUUUGUAAUUUAUCAAUGGCAAUUAAAGGAGUGCUCACUGACUUGCAAUCUUUGAGCCCAAAUUUAUCUAAAAGAGUGAGAGCAUACUUCUUAUGGUGUAUGAAUAUGCUCCCUUCAGUUUGUGUUACUCCCAUGCCAAGGAAAUGGUGGAGAAGGCCUAAGUCUGACAUUUCAUACUUGCACAUCAUCUCAACCUUGAAUUCUUCCAUCAUUUCAUCCCUGCUUCCUGUAUAUACUAUGUCAUCUACAUAGAUUGACACAAUUAGUUUCCAACACCUUCUUUGACUCUCACAUAAAGAUUUGCUUCACUUGGACUUCUAUGGAAACCACACUGAGUUAAGUAACUAUCAAUUUCGCUAUACCAAGCCCUUGGAGCCUGUUUGAGUCCAUACAGAGCUUUUCUUAAUCUAUACACUUUACCUUCAGCUCCUUGAAUCACAAAACCUUCAGGUUGAUUACAUAGACUUCUUCUUCAAAAAUGCCAUUCAAGAAAGCUGAUUUGACAUCCAAUUGACACAGUUUCCAGUCUUUCUGUACAGCUAGUGCAAUGAGAGUUCUAAUAGUGUCUAACCUUGCUACUGGAGCAAAGGUUUCAUUGAAAUCAAUCCCUAUUUUCUGUGUGUAACCCUUGGCUACAAGUCUUGCCUUGUGUUUUUGAAUGGAGCCAUCGAGGUUUAGCUUUGUUUUAUAUAUCCACUACACUCCCACAAUUGGUUUGCUGCUUGGUCAGUCAACCAAUUCCCAAGUGGAAUUCUUCUCUAUCAUUGAUAUCUCUUCAGUCAUAGCCUUAUUCCAAGCUUUAUCUUUGGCUGCUUCAUUGUAACUUUCAGGUUCAAUAAUACUCAUUUUGCAUUGAGCAUAGACCUCACUUAAGUUCUUCCAUUUUUGUGGAGUAUGAUCAAAAGUUUCAGAGAUUGAAACUGAUGAAUCAUGCGUAGCUGACUCCAUAGAGUUUUGCAGGUCAUGAACCACUUGUGAUCUCUGUGGAGAUUGAACUGAUUGAAGUGAUUCACUAGAACAUGAACCAAUUUAUGAUAUUCUCGGACUUUCUUCAUCAUCCCAUGGAAUAGUCACUUGUACUGCUUCAUUCAACUCCCAAUUCCAUAUUGCUUUCUCAUCAAAGAUAACGCUCCUUGAGAGUUCAAUCUUUUUAGUUUCUAAGUUAAAAACUCUAUACCUUUUUUCACAAAUCCCAUAUCCAAGAAAUACUUCUUUCAUUCCAGUUUCCUCUAGCUUGUGUCUUUUCUAAGAAGGAAUAUGGAUAUAGCACAAUGAGCCAAAUAUUCUCAGGUGUUUGACACUUGGUUUUCUCCCACUAAACUUCUCAAAUGGUGUUGUGUUGUCCAAAGCACUUGUUGGACUUUGAUUCUGUAGAUAAAUAGCUGUGUUCACAGCUUUUGCCCAAAACUUCAAUGGAAUCUGCUUCUCAUGCAUCAUGGUUCUUGCCAUUUCUACCACUGUACGAUUCUUUCUGUCUGCAACACCAUUCUGUUGUGGAGAGUAAGCUACAGUCAGUUGUCUUUCUAAACACAACUCUUCACAGAAAUUUGAUAAUUCCAGUGAUGUAUAUUCUCCACCCCUAUCACUUCUUAGCUAUUUAAUUUGAUAACCACUCUGCAGCUCAACCAUCCUUUUGAACCUUUUGAAAAUGUUGAAUGCUUGAGACUUGUGCUGUAAGAAAAACACCCAACACAUUCUCGAGUGAUCAUCAAUAAAGGUGAGAAAAUAUAUGUUCCCUCCAAGAGUGGAAACCUGCAUUGGACCACAUAUAUCUGAGUGAAUCAAUUCAAGUGGUUGAGUAGCUCUCCAUGUCUUUUCUUUAUCAAAUGAGCUCCUGUGACUUUUGCCUAUAGCACAACCAGAACAGACUUUCUCAGAUCCUUGUAGUUUAGGUAAGCCCUGCACCAUGUCUUUCUCUUGUAGAAAUAUUAAGCUAGUGUAGUUUAGGUGUCCAUAUCUUCUGUGCCACAACCAGGAUGAUUCUUCCAGAGUUGCUUUAUUUGCCAUGGGAGGAUUGACAUAUUUGAGAUCUAAGGGAAAACAUCUGUUCCCUUUCAUUCGAACUCUUGCAAUCAACUCUUUCAUCUGCUCAUCUUCAUAAAUGUCAACCUCAUUAUCACCAAACACCAACCAAUAAUGCCCAUGUUCUAUCAUCUGUCCUACACUCAAUAGAUUCUCAUCCAAACUAGGUACAAUCAUAACUUCUUUAAUGUACCUAGUAACACCUUGCACAUCUAUAGCGAAAGUACCUUUGCCUUUUGAUUGUACUAAAUCACCCGUACCCAUCUUAACUUUACAGUUCACACUUCUAUCUACAUCAAUAAGCAAAGAAUCAUGGGCAGUCAUAUGGUUACAUGCACUGUCAACAUACCAAACAUUCACAUUUCUUCCAAUAGUAGUAGAAUGGCAAGCAUAAAACAUAGUUGCAGGUUCUAUUACCUUACUAGCCAAGUUUGCAAGUCUCUCAGUCUUAUUGGAUUGUUCACAGUCUUUAAUAAGAUGCCCAAAAUGAUUGCACCCAUAGCACUUUGGCUUCCCUUUAAACCAGCAUUCACCAUAGUAAAGUUUGUCACAAUGCUUGCAUUUCCCUUUAGUUUGAUCUGAUUUUUCUCCUUGUUCAUGCAGGACUAGAAUAACAAAAUGGUGCAAUUAUAUCUAUUUGUGGACUUUGAAAUAGAAAAAAGGUUUGCAUCGUUUAAUCGCCUCCACUUUAUUUUAAUUUCUUUCCCUUUUAUUAAUUUUGAUUGUAUUUCUUGCCAAUGAUGGGAUUGAACAGGCUUUUGAAUUGGUAAUGGGAGGUGACUGUUUGUGCUUGAAUAAAGGCUUGCCAUUGCCAUUGCUGCUGUUGUGGGACAGAACGAGUGUGUAUGUACAGAAGUUGCGGUAUAGAAUUUCGUCAAAUAUUUUGGUUUUGGACUUUUUGUGUUGAAGAAAUUUACAAUAAAGGUGUUUUAUGAUGUUGACUGACUUUGAAGGUGCUACAAGAAAAAGCGAAGUAGGGUUCGGCAUUUGGACUAGCAAAGAGGUUUGUCAAUCGUUUUUCUCAUCCUCAGUUUUUUCUUUCUUUCAGUAAGUCGAUUACAUCUCAGCCUUAAAUUCACUGUUUUUUUUUAUAUAUUUCAGUUUAAUUUAUUGAGACAAUUUCUGUUACAGAAUUCUAAAUUAUGCAUUUUUUUACAUUUUAGGGUACUGGGAUGCUUGGGGGGGUUUUUUUUAUUUUCUUUUCCACUGCAUAUUAUAACUUAGAUGGGCAUGCUUCAAGAAGGUUGGUUUUAUUCUUGAAGAAUAUCCAUUUGGUUUUAGACAUAGUUUAUUUAGUUAAAUAUAUGGCUACUAGUGAAAUGGAUUAGCCAAAUUCUUAGCAUUGUUGUAAACAGUCAUCUUAAGUGGAGGUUUGUUGUAUGAAAUUUGUUAAACAAAUAUCUAGAAAAUUAUCUUCACAGUUUCUUAGGUUCCAUUUAAUUUGGUAUUUGUUUUUGUGUGAUAUAUUUUUCUUAGGGCGUGUCAAAUGGCAAAGCUGCAAUUAAUGGUGUUGUUUUUGUGUUGCGGUUCCACCGGUACCAGGUUGUUGGGAGGAAGCUCCCUACGGCAUCCGAUGAGCACCGCAAGAUUUACCGAAUGAAGCUUUUGGCCACCAAUGAGGUUCGAGCUAAGUCCAAGUUCUUGUAUAAUCCUUAGCCUUGGCUUUUAUGAUCCAGAUGUGCAUUGGUGAAUUUUGGGUUAAACUUAAUAUUGUUGGUUGAUUUGUUUGGAUUAUGUAUUUCCUGAGGAAGCUGAAGAAGGUCAAGAAGAGCAAUGGCUAAGUGCUUGCCAUUAAUGAGGUUUGUUCUCUCUGCCAUUUAUACUUUAUUUUUUUUUUCUAAUUAAUAAAUUUGUACCCAUUUUGAUUAUUUGUCAGUGUCUAAUGUAGUAAAUGUUGUUUUGCAAUGGGGAAGUGGUUCCUCCUCAACUCUCCUCGUGGCGAAAUCCAAUUUGUUGCCAAAGGUCUCGCCUUUUACCCCAAAGCGUCACUCUUUUAUCACAUUUAUUUCGCUUUUUUCUAAUUUUGUUUCAAUCAUUUGAAUCGCAUUUUGCAUUUGAUGUUUGGCUUUGGUGGCAGAUGUGAAGGAGGCUGCGUCAGAGGCAUCCCCUCGAAAUGCCCGGUUGAAUUGGAGACGUAUGCUUUCUUUUCUUUUUUUGUCUUUUUUUUUCCUUCUUCAAAAUUGAAGCCUCCACUUUGCUGAAUAAAGGCUCCUCUUGGCUUUAGUGUUUCAUUUCGAUGAAUUUUGGGCUUUCACAUGUGUCUCUGAAAUUGCAAACCUUUCUUUUGUAUUGGGGUUCCAAUUUUCCGAGUGAUAAGUUUUUUCUCUUUUUUUUUUUAAUAUUUACUCUCAUGUCUGUGUCCAAAACAUUUUUUUUUUUAUAGUACGUUUUGUGCAAUGACAGAUAUAUUAUAGGAAUAGAAGAUGAAUCUGUCUUUUCAACAAACAACAAGAGUUACAUAUUCCGCGAGUACUUUACUCCACCAGUUUUAGAAUGAGUUUUUUAAAAAAAAAACAUAUAUAUUUUUAAACUCAACAUUUAAUUUUGAAUUUUCCAAUGAAAAUGACACAAUUUUUGGAACAGUUUUCUUCCGAUAAUGGGAGUAGGCAAUUAGCAAAAGAUAAACUACCAAAAUCGAAGGUAGGUUACGGGAACCCAAAUUAUUGUAAAGUUUGAUUGGUAAAGAUUUAAACGUAUGUUAGAUUGACAAUGAAAAAGUGAAAGAUCAAUUAUAGAGAAAUGGGUGGCGCGAGUGGUCUAAAUUGUUGCAUGUCUUCCUUAUAUGUGCAUAUUCUGUCUGUAAUUCUCUGUUUCAUGAUUGAUUUGAUUAUCUGUUUUUAUCCUCUGGGUUUGUUGGGAUGUUAAUAAAGUUUUGUGCUUUUGCAAAAUAUUGGUUCAUCCUUUCAAUUUAUAUGAUAUGAAUGUGUCCUGUAGUAUGCGUAUUUUAGAUUUCUUAUUUGACGAUUUAUGAGCUGAAAUGGGAUGUGCCACAAUUUGGUACAUACAUGCCGCCACUAAGCUGUGGUUUGAUUUGAUAUUUGUGGAAGUUUUGCGACUCAUUUAUAGAUUCGUACAUACGGACAGUGGCGGAGCUAGAAGCUUAUUUGUGGGGGGGCCAGUACCAUAAAUGCAAAAUUAUAUAGAGUUAUAUUUUAACUAAUAUUGUAGUUGAUGCAUAAGAAAGAAUUGGGUUUUCAUGGAGUUUAGGGGGGCCCUGGCCAUGGCAGGCCUACAUGUGGCUCCGCCCCUGCAUACGGACCUUUAAGAAUGAAAAUUUCCUUUUAUGGCAACCCAUAACAAAUACCAAUGUAGCUUGCAGGGCUUGGAUUGUGCAUCGAGUACUGAAGAGCUUGGAUUGUGCAGCAAGUACUGAAUUUGUUGUGGCACUGGAACACCAAGGAGUUUGUAAGUGAAAGGAGCUGCCAGCAAAGGGCUAAUCUUCUACAAGUGGUGACUCAGAUUUUUGUUUUUUGUAUGCUCAAUGAUUCUUUGGCACUUCUUACUUCGGCAUUUAAUUAAUAGAGGAAGAGGAAGAAAAAGUAAAAACGGGCAUCCAACAUUCAAAAACUUUUAUGUGUUAUAAAAUGACCUGGAAUAUGUGCGAAUAUUGAGCUGCACGUAAAGUAGAUGAGACACAGUAUUUAACGAGGUUCGGCUAUGCCUACGUCCCCGGAGAGCAGCAGUAGUAACUUUUCCACUAUGUAAAAUAAUAGGGCUACAACUUUAGUGUUUACAAUAUGUGUGGCUCACUGAAUUUUCUCUCUAGGAGAAUUUCUCUCUGCUCUCUCUUUCCUCUUUCUUCCUUCUCUUCCUCUUGUCUCUUUCCUUUUCUCUCUUUCCUCUUCUCUCUUUCCUCUCUUCUCUUUCCUCUCUUUGUUUCUUUCCGUUUCCCUUUCUCUUCUUUUUCUUUUCCCCUCUUUCUUUUCUCAUUUCUCAUCUCUCUUUCCUUUCUCUUGGUCUUAUUUAUAGGCUGAGAAAGGAUACCCGUGAGUGUACAAUAAGAGAAAGUUGCAGACAAACGUUACCCAAAGUCUCCAAAUGAAUAGUUAGUGGGCUCUACACAAAAACUUUUACAACACUCCUCCUUGGAGACCACAAAUGAUAUGUCAGUUGCUUCAUCAGACUUUGCUUGGUGAAAACCUAGUAAGGUAGAGAACUGAUGGAAGGAAGAAAGAAGAGUACAACAAUCUGUAUAGCAUACUUCUGGAUGCUCCCCCUGAUUAAUAUCUCCCCCUGAUGUCUUCAUAACUAUCUUUUGGAGUGAGAAUCUUUCGGAGUGAGUGAAUGAUGUAGCCACCAACAAUGCAUAUAGUAAAUAUAUUUCCAGUGAGCUAUCUAUGUAAAUCAUAGAAAUUUUCAGAGUCCGUGUUUCCAACAAAACCUGGGCUAUUUGUAAGAUCAUAUGAAAGAAUAUGCCCAUACAUGGUGUUAUGCGGAGAUAGCAUCAAAUAUACCUCACAUCAUCCCAAAAUGAUGGUGAUGGAGUUGAGCCUUAUCUGGAAAAUAUGAUGUCCGGUCCAAUAUACUUCCGGAAAAUCAUUAAAGUGUCCAACGGAUAAUCCUCAUAAAAAUGCUUCAAUACUUUCUUAGUAUAAGCAAGAAUCUCGUUGGCAUAAUGCUCGAUCCUUAAGUCGAGACAAAUAUUUCUUGAAUUCUGCAGAAGCUUUAAUGUGUUACAAUCACAUUAUAAUCAAUGUACUCAUUGAGGUAAUUUAUGCAUAUUAAUAUUGAGUACAAAUUUUGUGCUUCAAGCACAUGUCCUUUAGGGACUUGCUUUAUGCAAUGUCAAUCCGCUUAACGGAUUUUGUCUAAAAAGGGGAUUAAACUUUAUGACACAUUAUAUAGCUUUUACCCAGCUAUUUAUAUAUCUUUAGGAAAAUCGCUUCUGGCGAUAUGCUCCGUGCAUUUAAUAACCCUUAAAGAUAAUAUGUUGGUCUCCGUAAUUGUGUAAUAAGGGGGGCACAAUUGAAUCUGUAAAUAUGGAGAAAACCCAACAUUCCUUGUUUCUGCCAGAAACAUUGUGUCAUACAAAGUAGGUAUAUUCCCUUUUAUUCCGAACACCCAAGUAUAAAUUUCAGUAUUAACAAAUUUUGGGGUUCGUAUUGCGGGUUUGUUCUUUCACGUUCAUUCUCAUUUAUAAUGGAUUUACCUCGUUCCAUUUUGGCCAAUAAUAUUGUCGACAUUUAAUAAUUGAACGUGGUUCCAAUCAACACAGCCCAUUGAUGAUUUGAGUAGCUACUCCAAAACCAAAAAUUGUCAUUCAUCAAUUCAUGAUCCCACCAUUCUCAUUUGCAUGCGCAUACAUCAAUUAUAAGCAUUUCUUUGCUUUUGGGUACCCAAGCCACUUCAGGGGGUUUUUAUUAUGUGAGAAUGUGGAUUAUAACCUCCAAUGGAGCGUUAUUUUAUAGUAGGGCGUGGAUAAUCUCCAUUUAGGGAGUUGGAACAUUUAGAACCCAUAUAUCUGUCAUGCUGCAGGCAUGCCACAGAUUAAUACAUACAUGUCAAUUAAUUUAUGGGACUUUAACCCAUAUUAUGGGACUUUAACCCAUAUAAUUUGCUACGCAUUAGGUGUGCAUAAUAUCAAUAUUGACAUGUCAAAGGAUUGUCCUUUCGGGACUUCAAUCCACAUCAUUUGCUACGCAACAGGCGUGCAUCAUAUUGAUCACUGCUAUACCCAUAUUCUGUUCUUAUGGGACUUUAAUCUGUGCAGUGUAUUAUCAAUGUAUCCAACUUGCAAUCUGUAAAAUUUGCGUUAAUAAUUCAUGGAUACAUACAAGCCAUUCUUUUGGAACGGACUUAUCUCCCCAUUUGGUUACCUUUCAAGAUAAAAUAUCAAAUAGGUAUAUAAGCAUAAAAUAACACAAGUAUUGCUUACAUCCUUAGGUGGGAGAAACUUUUCUCAAGUAUCAUUCAAGCUCGUAUCGGCCCAGUAAAUAUAAAGUAUCGCUUGAUGAUCUUGUUAUAUCCUGCAAGAGCAAAAAUCACAAUUCUUUUCUCUGUAAAAAAUAAAUAACUCUCAGAGUUAGGAUCACUGCAUGGAUUCUUUCUUCGGAUGUUCAUUCUAAAGAAAUAAAAUCCCUUAUGAACAGAGAGUUAUAAAAAGAAAGAAAAGAUACAAAAAUUGUGAUAUUGAUUGCAAGGUAAGGUAAGCAAUCAAGGAAGGAAGCUGGUGGGAGCAGACAACAAGCUCUCAUUUCUCCUAGUCUAGAAGGACCUCAGGAGAUUAGAGCAUAAGGUCGCCUUCACAGUUCCCUGAUGUGGCGGAAACAUGAUCAAGGAUAGUCUUGCUUCCUGAAUGGAUGAUCAGAGAUAGUCUUGCUUCUUGGGCAUAUUGAGUGCUUACUGAUAAGAAAAACAAGUAGAUAUCGCAUCACUAGGUAUGGAGUAAACUGGAUGUCUUCUGCAAAGAAAAUUUCGUUAGUAACACAUUUAUACACAAAUACAAUGAAUAGGUAGAACCGGUGAAUUUCAAAUUAACCAUAGGAAGAUUGCGAGAUUCUCGGGAUGCUUUUGAAAAAGUAGCUCCGUGAAAUCCGCAAAGCAAGAUCGGCUUUUGACGAAAAUAAUACUUUGAAAACGCCGAAAGUGCCGACAAACAUUAAUGGAGGCCACGUGAAGUUUUGGAAUCUGGGAAAGAAAAAGAUAAUAUGGGGAUCUGAGAUAAUAUUGGGAUCCUGGAAACUGUAGCCAUAUUUCCUCCUAUAGAUAUGGCCUUUGCAAAACUUGAUUGGAGCAACUGCGUUUCAACUUGCUCCUUUCCUGUUAUAAUAAUUGCGCACAUUCUUAAAAUUUGCACCUGUGGUUUUUACGUCUUUUCAAAAUGACGGUUUGGAACCUUGUGCCUUAUAGGUUCAAAUAACCACAUUGUCUCUCCCAAAUUUCAUAUUUUAACGCAUGGUAGCCCGGAACUUUUGGCCUGGGCACAAACUCAGAAUUUAUUUGCCCUUUUCAAAUGGACAUGAAAUAUGAAUUGAGUAAAAGCUACGAUAAUAUCGCAAUAUAGUAGUGAAGAGCAUUAACUACUAUAUACCCACAGCCUCAAAUUCGGGAUUUCUCAUAUAUUUGAAUCCAUGUGAUUCCAGCCCAGAUAUAACAAAAUAUGUGGGGAGCCUCAAUUCAUUAUUUGAGGUUUAUAUUGAUAUUAUCCAUUUCGCGGUGUAUUCUUAACAACCGGAAUUCACAAAAUAUAUUUCUUCCUUGAGGUGUCGAUUAUAACAAAAUCGAACUUUAUUAAAUUCAUCAUCUUCUUAUGCCAAAGAAAUAUGUGGCAUACCACAAUUUGCAAUAAUACCUCAAGGGUUGUCCAUUUAAUUGUUGGAACUUCAGGUUCUCAACACUGUUAAAUUUUGAACUUCAGGCCAAAGCCACAUAUUCUCAUGGUAUGGACAUUUUUACAAUUUUCUGUACAUAUUUCGGGACUUCAAGCCCUUACAUAAUUGUCCAUAUUUUGUGGAACUUCUGGCAUCUCAUUUAAUUGCUCAUCCAUGAGUUUAAGGAACUGCAGGUUCCCUUUUGUAUAUAGUGACGGUUUACCCAAAAUGGUUCAUAUUUAUGCAUACGUCACUAUUUAUGUGAAUAGUACUAUUCAUCAAGUCAUGAAUACGUAUCUAUUCAUCUGCCAGUACAGUUAUCAUCAAUGUGUACGGCACUAUGAACCAAUACGGUACUGUUACAUCAUUAAGGAACUCUAGGUCCUUAUUUACAUGUCAGGGAUCAAGGACCCUUAAGUCCGAUCACAUGUUUACAAAUACAGUACCGGAGAGACUGCCAGCUCUCAUAUUAAUAUCAUCAUCAAGGAUCUUCAAGUCCUGAUGUAAUUGUAUGAUGAGGAUCAAGGAACUUCUGGUCCUGAUCUGCAUACUGUAAAAACUCAUCAUACAGCACAAUUAAUCCAUAAAAUAAAUUGCGGAUAAAUAAAUUACUGGUAUGGACGAUAAACCCGCACCAUACUUUAAAUAAAUGUAAAUGUGCGGUAAAAUAAAUUCAUAAAUUAAAUUGCUUGCUGUAUGGACGUUAAUCCCGCACCAUACCUUAAAUAAAUUAAAUAGCUUGUUGUAUGGACGUUAAUCCCGCACCAUACCUUAAAUAAAAUUAAAUGUACGGUAAAGUAAACGUGCCUGUAUGGGCACUAAUUCUGCUCCAUACAUUUAAAUAAAAGCAAAGGCGUGGACGAUAAAUCCGCACCACCCUUUAAAUAUUGCCGUAUGGGUAAUAAACCUACACCAUACCAUAAAUAAAAUAAAUAAGCAAAGGCGUGGAUGAUAAACCCGCACCACCCUUUAAAUAUUGCAGUAUGGGUAAUAAACCUACACCAUACCAUAAAUAAUACUUUAAGUAAAAGUAAAUUUGCGAUAAAGUAAACGUGCUUGUAUGGGCACUAAUUCUGCUCCAUACAUUUAAAUAAAAGCAAAGGCGUGGACGAUAAACCCGCAGCACCCUUUAAAUAAAUAUUGCCGUAUGGGUAAUAAACCUACACCAUACAGUAAAUAAAUUAAAUGUGGGGACAAAACCACCACUAAAAAUAUAUGGGGUUAAACAGUCCAUAGAAUUACUAUAUAAAUAGAUUAUAUAGAGUAUAUAAUAGGCAAGCGAAGGAAACUAGUGCAUGAUAGACAAAUAUCACGCUUGCUCUGCCUUUCCACUUGUAACCAGCACACGUGUACUAAUAUUGGUGUUAAAUAGUGUAGGAUAAUAAUGAAAUAAUUGAAAGAAUAAGGAGGCAGAGAGCUUUGCUUUAGCACUUCCCUGAGAAAGCUGUGUGGACGAAAACAAAAGGUACCAAUACUCUUCAGCACCCAAAGCUGUGCCCUUGCUGUAGCCACAUAUAAACUAUUAACUUUACCCACCAAAAUUGAUCAUAUAAUAAUAUAAUAUUUUAUACUAAUAUAUUAGUUUGAAAGCUAGACAUAUCAUGUUGGCUUUUCUUCUUUCCACUUGCAAUUAAGUUGAACUUGUUGUGUAGAGAAAUAAUAAAAUAAUAAAAAAAAAGUAAGAGGCAGGGAGCUUAUCCUUCCAGUUGGUUUGCUCGUAUAUCUCUCUAGCAGACCACAGCUCCUCCACUACUUUUCUUCCUUACAUCAACAUAAUGGUUAGUAGUAUAAAUAAUAGUGCAGCACAAAAAUUAUACCUGAGAGCUUCUCGUGUUGAUAACGUGUUAUAAAAUGACCUGGAAUAUGUGCGAAUAUUGAGCUGCACGUAAAGUAGAUGAGACACAGUAUUUAACGAGGUUCGGCUAUGCCUACGUCCCCGGAGAGCAGCAGUAGUAACUUUUCCACUAUGUAAAAUAAUAGGGCUACAACUUUAGUGUUUACAAUAUGUGUGGCUCACUGAAUUUUCUCUCUAGGAGAAUUUCUCUAUGCUCUCUCUUUCCUCUUUCUUCCUUCUCUUCCUCUUGUCUCUUUCCUUUUCUCUCUUUCCUCUUCUCUCUUUCCUCUCUUCUCUUUCCUCCCUUUGUUUCUUUCCGUUUCCCUUUCUCUUCUUUUUCUUUUCCCCUCUUUCUUUUCUCAUUUCUCAUCUCUCUUUCCUUUCUCUUGGUCUUAUUUAUAGGCUGAGAAAGGAUAUCCGUGAGUGUACAAUAAGAGAAAGUUGCAGACAAACGUUACCCAAAGUCUCCAAAUGAAUAGUUAGUGGGCUCCACACAAAAACUUUUACAACAUUAUGCUCUUAUUCUCUGUUUUAGAAACACUUGCUUUGGUCUCUAACAAAAGCAAUCAAUUCCUCAAUUGUUGUUAGGGUCACCAUAAAUUGUGUAAUGAUCUAUUGUUGUUAAUAUUUGUUUUUUUUUAUUAUUUUUUUGUCUUCAUGUGUUUUUAUACUGAUUUUUUGUAAUAUUUACUGAUUUGGUGAUGUCAUGGUAGAGAUGUUCAAAGUUUGAAGACUACAUCCAUUAUCUAAAUUCUAAUUCCGAAUUUUAAUUCUUCUCUCUUUCUAAGUUUGAACACUACCUCUAUUAUUUGGAAUUGAUUAAGAUUCUUUUUUGCGUCUGUAGUUUAGCUAAUUUUUUCUUUGGGAGUAUUAAACUUGCAAAACAAAGAUGCCACUAUUUAGAUCUCCAUGUCUAUAUAAAUAAUACCAUCUUUCCUACAUAUUUUCAAGACUAUGUAUAUAUUUCACACGGUUUUAAACCGCAUCAUCGAGCGGGCACCAUUGCUAGUUAUAAUUUUAUUUCUCAAUAAAUCCUUUAAUCAUGUUGUCACUUCCUUUCCUACCGUCCAAGCCAUUUGCACUUUAAACAUAAACAUAAUUUAAUAAAAAUAUUUGAAUUCAAAUCGUUAUGCUUGAUUAAGUCAUAAAUAAUUCAUUCAAGAUCAAUUAAUGAAACUUUAAUUGUAUAAAAUCCAUUUAUAAAACAAAAGUCCACUCACUGAGCGUCCGAGUUAGCCUGACCUUUGAGUGUCCUUCCUACGGCUUCAACGAAGCCCGAGUACUUAUUUAAGCAAUUAAAAACCUUGAAUUAAUAUAAUAGCUCAACCAUAAAUAUUUAAUCAUAACCCUGACCCCCGGCCUCAAAAGUGCGUGUACAUAACUUACGAAGGUUCCUAGGCCCAUUUUCAACAUUUCUGACAGGUGUAAUGGUUUAAAAAGACUCGAGAUUAAAUAAGCGAUUAAAUUCUCAUAUUGGUCAACCGGGUACCCCGUGGGGUCCAUGACCUUCGAUUACCAAUCUGAGAGCUCGUAUAGGUUCAACACACUUUACUAAACAUGCCCUGUAAGUUUGGUCCGAAUCGAACCGUCGGAACGCUCGCGAUCAUGCGAUCAGAUGGUUACCGUUUCUCUAAAUUUUGAAUUAUUGAAUCGGAGUAUCCAAGAUUCCGAUUCUCUAUCCGCGAAUUUCUACACGAUCCUGGAGGUAUCUAGAUUAACAUAUUCAAAAAUGAAGUUGAUCCAACGGUCCGAACAUAUCGGACCCAGAUAACGCCUAAUAUGCGAUAACCGAUUGACGAUCAAAUGGUAACCAAAUUGAAAUCCGAGCAUACCGUCGUGUUUGGGAUGACGUGGGGAACAUUCUAGGACAAAAAUCCAACCUUGACAACCUGCCGACGUACCGCCACCGUCGGCGGGUGUGUAGAGUAAUUUUUCGACGAUCGGAAAACUCCAAACUGCCAGACAAUAAUAACUACGGAUUAAGCACAUUAAGGGGAGUAACUUUAUACCUUGACUCGACGAUCAAUUCCACAUUUAAAGCCCUUGAACGAACCUUUGUCUCUUGAAAAACCUAGAAAUUUUAGUUUCAAAAUCAAUGAUUUUGGAGUGAAUUCACAUUGGGUUUUCGAGGGAUAAAGCAAAGGGAUGGUAGGAGAGUAUUUUGCGUGUAAUUACCUGAGCUGUGGCGGACGGAAUUGGCCAGAGAAUACCACGAACAACGGCUGUUUUUGCAUAGUUGGUUUGGGCUCAUUUUUGGCUCUGUUUUCGAUCAAUUUUCUGGUUUUCUCGCUUGAAUUUGGGUUUGGAAAUUGAUAUGGAUGUGAAUAGGAGAGAAAGAUGAAGAGUUUUCAAGUUGUGGCACCCAAUUUGGUGGCUGGACGAAGAAGAAAAUCGAGUUUGAAAAUGUCUGUUCGUGAAAUUUACGAGAGGAAGAAGAAAUCUGGAUUUCGAAAAAUUUACGAUUAUGUCACUGGACUUCUUUUGAUUGUAACUUCUUCAUUAUAACUCCGAUUUGAGCCCACUAUGUGUCUAUGGACUCAUUUCGACGUGCUCUAUGCAACGGUACAAUUGAAAUUCCCAAAUUCCUUCCCAAACAAAAAGUCAACUUUUAACCCAAUAAAAUAUUUCCGGGGUAAAUUCGUCUUUUACUUGAAUAAAUUAAUAAUUAAAUAUUUAUUUAGGAUUGGGUUAUUACACUUAAUUUAUUAGAUCUUAUAUGACAAAAAUUAAAGGACCAAUAGAAGGAAAAAUUUGGAAUGAUGACAAAAACACCCUAGGAAAUUAGAUGUAUCGAUAGGAGCAAGAAUACAACAUAUAUAUGACAUAUUACAAUAAGAAUGUAGUCAAAUAAAAGCAAAAAGACAAAUUAGAAAAUAAUUUUAGAUGAGCCGUAAAAAUAUAGAUGUACCUAAACAAUAUGGAUGUCAUAGAAAAUUUAAGCAGAAAAAGCCAUAUGGAGAGAGUUAUAGAAAAUAUAUUCCGUAUAAACAACAAUAUAAAUUUUUAAAAAUUCAACCUUCAAAAACUUUUAGAAGAAGAAAAUAUAUCCCUAAAUAGUUUAGGAAAAGAACAAAUAAACCAUGGAUUAGAAAGUAUAAAGUACCCAAUAAAAGUACAUGUAAAUGUUAUCAUUGUGGUGAAGUAGAACAUAUUAGACCUAAGUGUCCCAAAUUAGGAAAACAACCUAGAGAAAAAAAUACAAUCAAUUGAGCAAUUUCAAUUAGAAGAUGAUGAAGACUUAGAAUCAAUUUAUAGACUUGAUGAUAAUUUAAGUGAUAAUAAAAGUAUUUAUAGUGUUAAUGCCUUAGACUUAAAAUCAGAAUCAGAUUACUCUAGUAAUUCCGAUAGUGAAUUAGAUGAAUAGAUGUGUAUAUUUGAAGAAGAACAAAAAGAGCAUGAGGAAUUUAAAUAUAUUAAUCUAGGAUGGCCUCAAGAAUGUAAUCAAUGUCAUAAAAUAGUGGUAGAAAAAUAUUACACUAAGACAUUAGUUUAUUGCAAACCUUGUUUUAAUAAUAGAUCAAUAGAAAUAAAUACAGUUGAAGUAAUAGAUAACAAUAAUCAAAAGAAUAAUUGCCCUAGUAUAGAGAAACAAAAGACUAGUUCAUUAGUAAAAUUGUGAGUUAGAAUUGUCAAAAGAAAAUAAAAUUCAAACCAUAGCUAUGAUAGAUACAGGAAGCACAAAAAAUGUAAUAAAAGAAGAGUUAGUGCCAGAACAGUUUAGGCAAAAACUGGGUAGACCAAUAAGAAUUAUACAGUUUGAUACAAGACCUGUAUACUAAACACACUGAAUUAAUAAUAUACCAAUUAGGAUACAAAGACAACAUUUUAAUUUACCCUUAACCUCUCUAUCCCCAGUAGGAUCAUAUCCCUUUAUCUUAGAAUUAAAUUUCUUGAAAAGUUUACAAGGAGGAUUUUUAUAUUAGAAAAUUAGUUAAACACCCAUUCCUAGACAUAAAACUAUAAAAAUACCCUAUAUUAUUUAAUGUAUAUAAACACACCCAAAACAAACCCAAAAAUCGAUAGUUGUAUUUUUUUAAAUUUAAUUAUUAAGAUGAAAUACCUUUAUUACCCUUUUCACAUAAAAUUGGGAUUCUAAUCAACACCAGAUCAAAACUCAUUUCACGACCUCCAGUCUCUCAUCUUCAUCUUCAACCCCAAUUUUCGGUUUGUGUUCACUGUUUAUACCGGAAAUAAACGGCCUAUGACAACCGAACACGUGGACAGGAUCGAUAUUGGCUGCAGGAACCCUUCGGCAGUUUGCCUUCCGAAGCCAUCUAUCUUGCCCCUUUUUACCAUCGGACACGUGUCAUGCGCACAAUCCAUGUUCACAGUCCCACAUCGGAAAUAUGAGCACAGUGCACACCUCCCAAGGCCUAUUUAAGAAGACCCCUAUCCCCAAAAGGAAGGGAUCAGAACUGACGGUACGCUAUGGAUUGAUCUGUCAGUUAACAUUACUAAAACCGUACUUACUAAAGCAUCGGAGAGCCUUCGGCCGGUACCACACCGGUACCCCAAGGACUUACCGAACGCGUCCUUUUGCAGGUACUUACCCUUUCGAAGUAGAACAUCUUACGAGGACAGUCACCUACCGAAGGCAUAAUAUCACUAAGUUGACGAAAUACGUGCUGAACCACUUUUUCGCAUCAACAGUUUGGCGCCGUCUGUGGGAAAUCAGAGAAAUCAUCAACCCACUAUCUCCAACACACAUGGGGACCACUUCAGUACCCACGUUCUUAUCGGAAGAAAGGGUACCGUUCGGAAGGCAGAGCGGAGCUAGCCCAGCGCUACCCCCAAGCACUUCAUUCGGAAACGCCCCCGCAACCCAAACAACCGCCGAAGCCGAGCUGGUAGUCCAGAUCGCAUCCCUACGGAAGGACAUGGCAAGGCUUCAGGAGCACAACAACCUUCUUUCGUCCAAAGUGGACGAAACCCAGCAGCUGCUCCACCAGCAGCACACGUAGAACAUCCAGACAACUCACACUUUCGAGAGCUUGCAGACCCCCCCAUAGGAAGAAGAAACGCGAGAAGGUAGCGAAGGCAACACCCGCACCUUCCAAACAGUUGGUAGUUCCGGCACCCAGGGAUCAGCCGCACAUCCCCAAGAAAGUCUACUCCGAUUGCCGACAUCGGAUUAACGACCGGGAACAUCGGAAUAACGAUCGGGAGGCAGAGAGACAGAGGUCUCCGAUCAGGAUUAGCGCUCGACUAAGGGACUCACGGAUGAAAGUCCUAGGAAACAAGUCGCCUAUUCGGAAAGUCAGAGGGCUGGACUCCGCAGAGGAGUCGGAAUCCGAGUAUAUCCCUUCCGGGACGCAAACUUCCCACCUACCGUUCGGCAAUGCCUUCACGGUACUCGGGGGUUAAUCCAUUAGACCUACAAAGGCGAUCGGAAGAUUACGGUUCCGAGGAAAUCCCUAGCCGAGACCCCAUUGUCCGACUCCUUUUUCAGAAAAUCCAGAAAAUGGAAAUCGACAACGCUCGCUCCCAAGAACCGGAAUGGGGGAAGCUUCGGCCCGGACCAUUCACCAGGCGCAUCCGGGACUCUCGGCAGGACAGGGAAGUGCAGCAACUGCGUAUACCGUUCUAUACGGGAACGGAGGACCCCUUAACACACCUCCACUCAUUCCAGUCCGCCAUUGGAUGCAAGGGCCUGAGCGAUGAAGGGCAGUGCCUGCUAUUCCCGUCUUCCCUUACCGAAGCAGCCCUGAACUGGUUCUACCGGUUGGAGCCGGGAACGGUAGAUUCCUUCGACGAGCUGAAGCAAAUUUUCCUCAAUCACUUCAUGAUCUAAACGGACCGUCUUUACUCUGCUGAUGAUCUGUACACGAUUCAGAAAAGAGAGGACGAACCGUUGAGAGAAUACGCGACGCGCUUCAGUCACGAAUACUCAAGGUGUUCGGAAACAGACGAUAGGGCAGCCUACGGCGCCUUCAAGAGUGGCCUUCGGUCCUCGCAUUUCCGAUACCUAGUACACAGCAGCAACUGGCGCACGUACGACGAACUGAUGAAGCAGGCAGCGAUCCACGCCGAAGCCGAAUACUUCAACUCGAAACCCGCAGUUUCGGCACCGCGAGGAAAUGCCGAACCAAGUGCUUAUCCGGCAAAGGCGCCACCCUACGAGAGAGUCGACCCAUAUUUGGCAGGUCAUAAGAGGAAAGACGACCGUGCCGAUCGGAGAGACCACCCGAAGAAGGGAAAAGGGGGGUAUGGUCGCAACGACAACCGAGCGCCCCUGCCGAAUCGUGACCACGGUAAUGAAGUCUUCACCCUAUUAAAUACUACCUACGAGGCCGUCCUGAUGAACGAACAAGAAAUAAUACCAAAGCCGAACCUGCGAAGACCCAAUCGGCAAGACAACCGGGAUACCGGUAAAUUCUGCCGAUACCAUCAGCAAAACAGCCAUAAUACGGAAGAAUUGUCGAACGGUUGAUCAGAGAGGGGAAGCUAGAUCAGUAUAUCGCCCGGCAGCCACCGGCGCCGGUACCGAACAUAACUCGGCAGAUAAACAUGAUAAGCACUAUCAGCGGUGGCCCCACCAUCGCAGGAAUGAGCAACCGUUCAAUGAAGCAAUACGUGCGUGCCGCAGAAUUUCCUCAGGUAUUCGGUAUAGAGGUGAAUCGGCACCAUGAAAUACCGAAAGUUCGUUGGGAACCAAUCACAUUUUGUGAAGAGGAGGAAGAGGGCAUCCUCUAUCCCCACGACGACCCGAUGAUCGUCCGAGCAGAAAUUGCCGACUACGAUGUAGGACGGGUGCUGAUCGAUACCGGGAGCUCGGUAGAAGUAAUUUUUGCCGAAGCUUUUCGAGAGAUGGGAAUAAAGGACAGCCAGGUCAACCAGCAGUUGACACCUUUGUUAAGUUUCUCUGGCGACCUGGUCCAACCGGUCGGUAGUGUAAAACUGCCAAUUACCUUCGGCACCGCGCCAAGGAAAACGACGGUAUACGAUCAGUUCCUCAUCGUUGACUGCCCAACAGCAUACAUCGUCAUAGUUGGACGAACGGCACUCACCAGGGUCAAGGCACAUCUUUCCCCCCACAUGCUAUUGAUGAAGUUCCCGACCCCCAACGGCACAGGGGCUGUCCUAGGAAAUCAGUUAAGCGCGCGGACUUGCUACGCCACGGCCCUCAAGUCAACCUCUUUCAAAAUCCCCGACGAGACCAUGUCAGUACAGGGGAUACCAAACGGUACGGGACCAGUUGACGACCCAAGAGAUGAGUCCCCAACUCCUCACACACAACCUGCCGAAGAACUGGAGACGAUAACCCUGAGCGAAGAGCAGCCCGAUCGUCGGGUUAGAAUCGGCACCAAACUCACCCCUGCCCUCCGAGUGCAGUUCAUAGACUUCUUGCGGCGCCAUUUGGAAGUGUUCGCAUGGUCCUACGAAGAUAUGCCCGGCAUAGACCUCGAGAUCAUCAGCCAUAAACUCAGCAUUUCCCCAGCUUAUAAGCCUGUGAGACAGAAGCGCCGUUCGUAUGAUGCCGAACGAUAUGAUGCCAUGCGCACAGAGGUUGACAAACUUCAAACUAUCGGCUUCAUCAGGGAGGCUACAUAUCCGGUAUGGCUGGCAAAUUUGGUGAUGGUCCGGAAGGCUACAGGCGGUUGGCGAAUGUGCCAAGACUAUACCGAUCUGAACAAGGCCUGCCCGAAGGACAGCUUUCCGUUGCCACGGAUAGACCAGCUCGUGGACGCCACCGCCGGACACGAACUGCUCAGCUUCAUGGACGCCUAUUCGGGAUACAAUCAGAUAUUGAUGCACCCUUCCGACAGCGAACACACCGCCUUCAUAACAGACAGAGGAUUGUACUGUUACAAUGUCAUGCCGUUCGGCCUGAAGGACGUGGGGGCAAUGUAUCAGAGGCUUGUCAACAGAAUUUUCGCCAAAUACAUCGGCAGCAUCAUGGAGGUUUACGUUGACGACAUGUUAGUGUUUGGGCCCAAAUUCGGCACGCCCAAAGCCCUAAAAACAGGCCCAGAGUAAAAUUGCUUGCCCAGCCCAAAGACUUGAGAAAAACAAAAAUAUGAUCCAGGCAGAUUGGGCUUCACACCAAGAAUGUUGAAAACAAAGCUUCAAAGCCUCAGCCCAAAAGAAGGGCCCAAUAAGGAAGCUGACAAAAUGAACUUCAAGAGAUCAGCCCAUAAAUUUUGAUUGGGUUCAAACCCAAGAAAGAAAAAAAACUCACAUGUUUGUCACGUAAUUAUCUCAACGUUGAAAAAUCAGCAAUUCCAACUAAAGUUUAAAAUAUAAAGGGGACAUUUCUAAGACACUGCCGACAAGAAGAUCAAAAACCCAGCUGUGUUCAAGAUCUACCAUCUCCCAAGGAAUUCACAGGCCACGCUUCCUAAGCUAAAGCAGAAAAAAGGGAACUGUUCCAAGAAAUACAAAAGAGAAGAACCAAACCGCCAUAAAAAGCCCACACAGACAAUGACAUCAGAGAAAUGCCACCCAAGAAACCAGGGAAGAAACUGCUUUAGGAGGUGACUGCGUGGAGUUUGUCUGCCAUGACUGAUAAAGAUCUUUUUACUUUACGAUGUAAGAGAUUUUUUUGUGCCGCCCAUUAUUUUAACAUCACAGGUCUCUUAUAAAAGACGAAGGCAAGCAAGGAAGCAAGGACAUCAACACAACAACAUCAAAAACAUACACUCAAACUCAUCAAACAAAUGAGAAAACAGCUUUAGAUCAGAACUCCAAAGUUCAGACUUAGAAAAUAAGUCUUCUGAAAACGAGAUCCCUCUCGUUACAAAUUUGGUUCAGCAAAAGCCAAGACAAACACAGUUUGAGUUUUCACAAAAUAUGAAAACCUCAACAAAUUUUACAGCAUAGUUCCAGCCUGCUAAAUUCUCGAGAAUAGCCACUUCUGUCCCUUCAAACUGAAGAAGUCGCAGUUCUGCCCGCUCAAAAAGUCUCCCAAGGCUUGAAGUAGAUUGAAGCUCUGCCAAAAUCGAACUUUGGUAUCGAUUUAUAGCUGAAGCCAAGAAGCUAAAGUUGUGGACAGUACAGUCCAGCAUAGACGUGCCCAGUCCAGCCCGGAUCAGAAGUUUCUACCCAGGCAGAAAUGGGAUUUCAGCCAUCCUGUUUGCCUUUCUAGAGUUGAUUUCUCCCUGUUUAAUUUUGUAAAAGGCAGUUUUGCCUGAAACAGUGCUUUAUUGUUAUCUAUUCUGGCCAGAACAACCAUUUUGAUACUGAGAUAAAUUGUGAAAGUCCUCACCAGUCUGAGGCAAGAAAAGAACUUACUUGGGAGAUAUUCCUCACCCAAAUUCACAAUCGUUUGUUUUAGAAGUCAGUAACUUGAGGCGCAAGUUAUCCACUCUAAAAAUAAGUCUGCUAGAAUUUACAUUGCUAGCAGUGGCACGCUCGCACACCAAAGAAAGCUGACCUGUCGACCAACUAGUGGUCUCCAAGUCAGUGGGGAACUUCGCCCUUCCACCUCAAGAGUGGAACGCGCAAAACGGGUGAACAAUUUGGCACGCCCAGUGGGACUUCUCAGUAUACAUAUUCUGACGAAAUCAGUCACAGAUUUACAAAAACCGGAAGAUCUAGUCAGAACCCACACCAGAUAUGGAGAAAAACAAGAUGGUUCUUAGGGAAGGCCUCGAGUCAGAAGAAAGUGAUGCUAGGCAUUCUGCCCACGGCAGUACAGGAAGUAGACGUUCCAGGACUGGCUCCAAAAGGAUGGAUCAAAUGCAGGAGUCAGUACUCCGACAAGAGAUCACAGUACAAAGGAACCAGGACACUCUCAAUAACAUGACAGCCAUGAUGCAAUGGCAGGUAAACAGACAAUUCCGGAAGGACCGAGAAUCCGCCUUGGCCAGAACUCCAAACCCAGAUCCUGUAAUCCAGCAGUUGGAUCUCCCUUAUGGCCCUCCGCCAGGACUAAUAUGGCCAUACCAGGAAAAUCCCCUAAUUGCACAGAUGGCUGCAGUGCCAGACCACAGAGAAAUUCAGGCUGGUCCGAGGGAAAGAGCCCUUCCUAAUCAAGAGUAUGAGGCCCCAGCCCAACCAGACAACCUGGCACUGGCUCAGAACCAGCCAGAACCUCAGCCCAUUCCACAUCAUGCGCCCCCGCUUGAUCAACCUCUGGCACUUCUGCCUGAGCCACCGGCAGUAUUACCAUAUAGACCCAGAAGGAUGGACCCUAAUCCAUUCCCUCCACUUGCAAGAGGGAGGAGAGGCCGAGGAGGGAACAACCUUUUGGCUAAUCAUGACAGGAAUAGACAGGGGGCAAACUGGAGGAAUCAUCCAGAAGUCGAAGAGCAGGAAGAACACAGGGAGGAAGUUCCACCCAGACCACUCAGGGCAGAACCCAGGUUUGAUUACGUUCAGCCAGAACAGGGACAAAAUUUUCCCCCAGCCAAUGCUUUAAAUGACGUAGGGGCAUUACGAAGAAUGGUCAGAGAGAUCAUGGAACCCGAGGCUAGAAGAGGGGAAAGGCCUACUUACAGAAAGCCAUACCCAGCCUACAUCGAUCAAAUACCAUUGUCUCCAGGUUUCAAAGUGCCAAACUUCACUUUGUUCAACGGGGAAGACCCCCAUGCUUCCUCAGUCGAACAUAUAGGCAGGUUCUCCGUCCAAUGCAUAGCUAUAGAAAACAACCCUCUGCUGAAAUUAAGGCUUUUUGGCAACUCUCUCUCUGGGCAAGCUUUUACCUGGUACACCAGUCUGCCAGCUAACUCUGUUCAAACCUGGGAACAGAUGGAAAAUGUCUUCCAUGACUACUAUUACAGGAUUCAGCCAGAAGUCACCAUCAGUGAUCUAGCUGCCCUCAAGCAGAGUGAAGAUGAACCGGCGCAAGAUUUUAUAACCAGGUUCAGAAGACUCAAGAUGAAGUGCCGAAUCCCAAUGGAAGAAAGACACUUCAUCCAGAUGGCCCAAGCUGCCCUUAAAAUCUCCCUCAGGAAGAGGUUCGACGGGAUAUUAUUCGGAGAUCUGACAGAACUGGCUGAUAAGGCAUCCAAAUAUGAAGAGCUACUCAGGGAAGAACAGCAAAGGAGGAACUCCUCCAAAGGUACAUACUAUAAAACCCCUUCUUCUUCAGUCCACCUGAUCGAGGUGGAAUCACCAGAAGACACAGAAGAAUCAGAAGAAAAAGAGGUUUCAGUGGCGAAAAUGGCAAAACUAAAACAUCCCAUUAGUUGCAAAGCCCUCACAAAGCCACCUAAAGACCAAAAGCCGCCACCAUUCACAGAAGGAUUCGUUCCAAACAAACCAACACAAAACAAGGUUUACUCCUUUGAUUUAACCAAGGUCGAUGCCUUGUUCGACGAAAUGCUACUACAGAAGGCAAUAGAAACGCCUCACAGAAUACCGAAGCCAGAAGAACUCAAGGGCAGACAGUAUUGCAGGUGGCACAACUCUUGGAAUCAUUCUACCAAUAGUUGUGUUGUUUUCAGGGACGUGAUACAAGAAGGAAUAACGGCAGGAAGGCUUAAACUGGCAGAAAAACCACCAUCGGUCAUAACGGAUCCUUUUCCUCAACCUCAAGUUAAUAUGGUCAACUUAAAUUGGCCAGAACAGAGGAAAACCCAGCCAAUCACAGAUACCGGUUGCAGCAGAGGCAGAAGUAUCAUAAGAGAGACUAGUCAAAUACCAAGAGCGACCAUCUCGGCUUGGGUAGUGCUCUGCGGUAGGUGCAAAUGUGAAACAGAACUAGAGGUGGUUCUAAACAGACAAAAUCAGCCCACACCUAGUGUCUUUGAUAGGAUUGGAACCUCAUCCCAAGACAAAACGAGGCAGAAGAGUUGUCUUAAGCCUACACAGUACAGCGAGAGGAAGAUGGAGCAGCCCAGAAAGGAAAUACCAGUCAAGGCACCCGGGAACGAAAAGCCCUUGGCAACAAUCAUAGAAGGAAGAUGGUAUUCCGUAGGAAGGAGUGGUAGACCAACUCUGGAGCUGACCAGAACUCAGAAAAGGAGAAUCCAGAGGCAAUACUGCACAUAUCUUAAGAGCCAGGAUAAUGCGCAGGUACGUUCACAACCCAGUUCUGCCAGGAAAGGAAGAAAUCCUGAAAUACUUCCCCAGACAGAACAGAAAGCUUGCCAGUCAGGGGAAUUGCUGAAAACAGAACCACCAGCCGAGUCUUCUAUCCAUGUAACCUCGUCGUCCAGCAGCUGUCCUGACACCACGCAGGUACCAGAGAAAUCCAGGUCUACCCCGUCACAAGGAGAAGACGACUACACUGAGGAAUAUGAACAAGAGCAAUUGGACUAUGAACCUUCUGCAGAUGAUCAGAAAGAGCCCUUCGAAGUAGCAGAACAGGAUGACUGGACGGAAGAAUACGGGGAAGAAUUAAUGGAAUUAGGUGAAGAAUUGGACCCAGAAGCAGAAGCUUUUGGCGCAGAAUUAGAAGACCUCCUACAGGGUGAUCUGGGAAUUAACAUGGUAUUCAUCCUACCAGGUAAAUUCAGGGCUGUCGAGGGACAAGAAAGCACUCUGGAAGGAGAUGUUUUUUCUCAGGAAAGCUUUGAGUGUAGAUUGGCAGAAGCAGAGGAGCCACCAGAACCACAAGUAGACAACUCCAGGACAGGCAGAACAGCCAACAAACCAGCUACAGAGCAACCUUGCUUCGCCAAGCCAACCAGAGAAAUGGCAAAUCACCUCAGACCUUUGUUUAUAACGGCAAAUCUUGGGGGUAUUCCUAUUUCCAAGAUCAUGGUAGAUGGAGGUGCAGCCAUUAAUCUAUUACCCCACAGAAUGCUGACCAGGUUAGGCAGAACAGAGAAAGAUCUGAUUCCAACACGGUUGACCGUCACCAACUUCGCUGGGGGCAUGACCAAAAUAUAUGGCAUCUUAGAUGUGGAUGUCAUAGUCGGGAGAAAAGAGUUGAAAAUAGCAUUUUUUGUGAUAGACACUACUUCCACCACCUACAAUGCACUACUUGGCAGGGAUUGGAUCCACCAGAGCCUUUGUAUUCCUUCCACCCUCCACCAGCAGUUAGCAUUAUGGAAUGAAGAAGGCUGCAUGGAGAUUAUAGAGGCCGAUCCACGGCCAUUCCUGCCCUCUGCCAUGUGCUUUGAAGCAAGGUACUAUCAUGAUGACCUCGGUCCCUACACUUUCCUUGGAGUCAAUCAGAACGGCCGCCCCCAUGGUGUCACGGCCCAAAGACUCAUUGAAGAAGGCUUAGCCAGUUCUCUGGAGGACUGGAAUAGACCUUUUUGUGCUGAACUUCCAGAACUCUGAUGUUUAGUCCCAAUCAACUGGAUAAGGAUCGAGCUGCAACAAUCCGAUCCAUCACAAAAAGAUUGUUGAUAUACUGGGGAGAAAAGAGGCUUUUCAUACAGAAUCCAGCCAUCAAUAUGGCAGAAUUCACCCAUGAAAGCACAAAAGAACAAGAGGAGGAAAUUUUACAGGAGGAAGUAUUAGAUUUUGCACCGGCAGCACUAGAUGACUCCCUGCCAGAAGUAGAGGAUCCUCUACAGGAGAUAAACUUAGGGACAGAAGAAGAUCCAAGGCCUACUUUCAUCAGCACACUGUUAAAGGAACCACUCAAGGCUGAACUCAUCGCACUUUUGCAGGAGUUCAGAGAUUGUUUUGCUUGGCAUUACCACGAGAUGCCAGGAUUGGACAGGCAGUUAGUAGAGCACAAGCUGCCAAUUAAAGAUGGCUACCUUCCAGUCAAACAGGCCAGAAGAAGAAUGUCUAUAGACACAGAACUAAAGGUCAAAGAAGAAAUAGAAAGACUGCUCAAGGCAGGAUUCAUCAGGCCAGCCAUCUAUGCCGAUUGGUUAGCAAAUAUUGUACCUGUUCUCAAAAGAAAAACAGGGGCAGUUAGAAUCUGCGUAGAUUACAGAAAUCUGAAUGAGGCAUCUCCUAAAGACGAAUAUCCUAUGCCAAUGGCAGACAUGCUAGUAGAUGGAGCCGCUCAUAACCAGAUGCUAUCUUUCAUGGACGGCAACGCAGGUUAUAACCAGAUUAUGAUGGCAGAACAGGACAUCCACAAGACAGCCUUUAUGUGUCCAGGACAUAUAGGUGCUUUCGAAUAUACUGUAAUGCCUUUCGGUUUGAGAAAUGCAGGAGCCACCUAUCAAAGGGCAAUGAAUUCUAUUUUUCAUGAUAUGAUAGGACAUUCCUUGGAAGUAUACAUAGAUGACGUGGUGAUUAAAUCCCCUGAAGAAGGAAAUCACGUGGCAAGCUUAAGAAAGGCGUUCCUAAGAAUGAGGCAGCACAAACUAAAAAUGAACCCCAAAAAAUGUGUUUUUGGAGUCCAAGCAGGAAAUUUCUUAGGAUUCUUGGUCCACCAGAGAGGUAUAGAGGUUGACAAAAAUAAAGCAAAAUCCAUCAUAGAAGCUCUACCUCCUCGGAACAAGAAGGAACUUCAAAGUCUCUUAGGAAAAAUCAAUUUUCUAAGGAGAUUCAUAUCCAAUUCUGCAGGAAAAAUCCAACCUUUUUCUUCCCUGUUAAGGCUGAAGCAGGAACAGACAUUCAAAUGGGAAGAACAACACCAACAGGCUUUCCAAGAAAUAAAGCAUUACCUUUCGAAUCCGCCAGUUCUGUCCCCACCAAAAAGGGGCAGACCCCUCAAACUUUAUGUAUCUGCAUCAGAGGUAUCUAUUGGAAGUCUGCUAGUUCAAGAUAACAAAGAAGGGAAAGAACAGGCAGUCUACUAUCUAAGCAGAACAUUGACAGAAGUGGAGAGAAGGUAUUCCGCGAUAGAAAGGCUUUGUCUGGCCUUAUAUUUCACUGCUGUAAAGCUCAGGCACUACAUGCUGCCACAUACUAUUUACAUCAUUGCCAAAACAGACCUAAUCAAAUACAUGCUAACAAGACCAAUGCUGAGGGGCAGAAUUGGGAAGUGGACUUUGGCUUUGACAGAAUUCACCUUCAGAUAUGUUCCCCAGAAAGCUGUCAAAGGACAAGCUGUGGCAGAUUUCUUGGCAGAUCACCCAGGAGAGGAAAUUGAAAACAUGGAUUCUUUGGACAUAGCAAAUGCAGAUCUGCUAACUAGAGCUCAUGUUUGCCUUAACAAUCCAAUUUACUCGAUUCAUCUCACACCUUGGAAAUUAUAUUUUGAUGGAUCAAAGACAGACAAGGCUUCAGGAGCAGGGAUUGUGCUAGAAGAACCCUUAGGGGUCAGACAUUGCUAUUCCUUCCAAUUAGAUUUCAAUGCACUAACAACAGGGCCGAGUAUGAAGCUUUGAUUAUAGGGCUCGAGAUGUUGGUAGAACUAGGAAUCCAAUCCGUGGAGAUCUUGGGAGAUUCCAUGCUUGUCCUAAAACAGAUUGCUGGAGAGUACAAGUGUCUAAACCCUUCUCUAGCUGUAUAUCUGCUAGCAGCUAGAAAUCUGCUAACAGAAUUUAGAGAAGCUACUUGGGAGCACAUCCCAAGAGAAGAAAACUUUGCAGCCAAUGAACUGGCUCAGGUAGCAUCAGGUAUACAAAUGCCCGAAGACUGUGUCCAAAGGAUCAUCAAGAUAGGAAGGAAAAGUCUACCAUCUGUUCUGACCAGAGGAAUGGAGAUAGAAGUCAAUUCUGCCUUGAUCACGGAAGAUGAUUGGAGGGAGCCUAUCAUGACUUACUUACGAUAUCCCACUCUGCCCUCUAAAAAAAGAGUCAGAAUCAUGGCUACAAACUAUCUCAUGUGGAAUGAAGAUUUGGUCCGGAAAAGUAAGGAUGAGGUACUGUUAAGGUGCCUCGGAAAGACAAAAUACAUGAAAGUCAUGGGAGAAACCCAUGAGGGGAUCUGUGGAGCUCACCAAGGGGGAAGAAAGAUGUGCUGGUUAAUCAGAAGGUAUGGCUAUUUCUGGCCAACCAUGAUGAAGGAUUGCAUCAACUAUUCCAAAGGAUGUGAAGCCUGUCAAAGGCACGGCCCAAUCCAGCAGGUUCCUUCGGUUCCCAUGAAUCCUGUAGUAAAACCAUGGCCUCUCAGGGGAUGGGCAAUGGAUCUCAUUGGCAAAAUCUAUCCAGCCAGCAGCCAGCAGCAUUGUUUUAUCAUUGUUGCUACAGACUAUUUCACCAAAUGGGUAGAAGCCAAGCCAAUCAAAACCACAACUUCUCAAGAGAUCAUCACCUUUAUAGAAGAACAGAUCAUACAGAGAUUCGGCAUUCCAGAAUCGAUCACAACUGAUAGGGGUUCUUCUUUCAUAUCUAGGGAGAUGCUAGAUAUGGCAGAAACAUUCAAGUUCAAGCUGCUUCAAUCUACCCCCUAUUAUGCUCAAGCUAAUGGACAGGCAGAAUCAAGUAACAAGGUGAUUAUCAAUAUCAUCAGAAAGAUGCUGGAGAAGAAUCCGAAGCAAUGGCAUGAGAAAUUGUCAGAAACUUUGUGGGCAUACAGAACUUCAAAAAGAGAAGCAACUGGCAUGACUCCCUAUGCUCUGACCUACGGUCAUGAUGCAAUUCUGCCCAUGGAAAUAGCAGUCCAGUCUCUUAGAAUUGCUCACCAGCACGAUCUCACAGGAGAAGAUUACUCUCAAGCCAUGCUACUUGAAUUAGAAGAAUUGGAUGCAAGCAGGAUUGACACCCUCAACAAACUCUUAGCAGGAAAACAGGCUGUGUCAAGGGCCUACAACAAAAGAGUCAAAAACAAGAGUUUUGAAGAGGGAGAGAUAGUCUGGAAGGCAAUUCUGCCCCUUGGAACACACAUAGCUGGAUAUGGAAAAUGGUCACCUCGGGAUGGGGGCAUACAGGUUGCAGGACCGAGAUGGAGUUGUUCAUUUUGCCCCAAUCAAUGGUAAAUGGUUAAAGAAGUUCUAUCCAACCAUGUGGGAUUCACAGGCUGUACAAACGGAUCCUGGGAUAGAAGAGGAACAAGAUUGACCCUUUUGUUUCUUGAAAAGGAAUCUUGUUUAGAUUUAUUUUUACUUUAAAGUUGUCCAGUUUUUUACUUUCACAACCGUGUCCGGAGAAUAAAAAGCAGUAAAAAUGCUUUGAAAGCUUAUAUAAAAAUAGCCACCUUCGCGGCAAAUUAUUCGAACAAAAGAAAGAAGAAGCUAAAAUCCUAGCUUUCUAAGAGUCUCCUGUAGGUUUACUUUCUUGACAGACAGUUCUUUCUGGAGCAGCACCCCCUGGUGAAUUGAAGCCUCUGCAAUUUCCAAGGCUGGCCUGGAAGCUGCAACCAUACUCUGCACAAGAAAGGUGGCUUUGGUUUUGGAACUUAGCCCAGCCCCAAGCUUGUUCUGCACCUCCCUACACUCUGCCAGCUGCUUUUGGAGUUCUUCAAUCUGCUUCUCCAACUUAUCCGCGGUAGCCUUGGCCUCCUUAUAUCCAGCCACCAUCUGAUCCAGUUCUGUUUUCUGCCUAGCAAAAUCAGCCAGAUUGGCUUCAUGUGUGGCCUUACAGAACUCAGAAGUUUUGAACGUAGGCUUAAGAUCUUCAUAGCGAUCAUGCAGAUUAAGCACAUCCCUGGCCAGGCUUAGGCCCAUCUCAAGAAUAGGCCUCGGAGCCAUGUUCUGUCUAUGCAGCAGAUCCAGGUCCUUCAUCAGCUGAUCUAGAGCCCCUGUAUCUUCAUCAAAUUCCAGCUCAGUGGACUGCCAGAUUUUUAACCUCUCCAUGGCCUCCUGCACUGCUCUAGAUUUUGCCUUGCUCGGAGGAGAGCUGAGUUUCUCCAGCCUCUCCAGUUGAGCAUCCAGAUCCAUGGCUUCAAAUUCUUCCAGCUCUGGAUCAGCAAAAGAAGCCGUGGCAGAUGAUCCUGGAAAGGAAUGAAUAGGCAUCUGCAGAGGAGAACAUAAGUUAAAAACCAGACAGAAAGUGGAAAAUAAAGGAGGCUCAAAGUUAUAAAAACUUACAGCGACAAUGGGAGGUUUUAGGGGGCUGGAUACCGCAGCCAGAGCACCAGUAGCCUUAGGCACUUCCACCUGGAAAGACUACAACCGUUAGAACAGACAGGACAGACAGAACAGCAGGAAAACAUGAACAGUCAAGGAGGAAAAUUACCACAACCACAGGAGCAGUUGCAGUCGUUCCCACCUCAGCCUCCGGAACCACAACAGUCAAUUCUGCCUGGUCCACGGGGUCUGAUGCAGAUGGCCCCACCUGAUCCUCGGCCUCUGGAGCGGCAGUAGAGUGUUCUGCCUCAGCAUCCUCAAAGAGAGCCAGUUCUGAGCUGGUCAGCUCAGCCCUUGGACCCCCUUGUUGCUUCUGUGCCAAGGCAAUGCUCUCUGCAAUCACCUCAGCAGGAAUCUCCUCCUGCAGAACGGGGGUCAGAACGAAAGAAACAGGGCAAGAAGGAAACUGAUGCCAAAUCGUAAAAUAAAACCUACNNNNNNNNNNNNNNNNNNNNNNNNNNNNNNNNNNNNNNNNNNNNNNNNNNNNNNNNNNNNNNNNNNNNNNNNNNNNNNNNNNNNNNNNNNNNNNNNNNNNNNNNNNNNNNNNNNNNNNNNNNNNNNNNNNNNNNNNNNNNNNNNNNNNNNNNNNNNNNNNNNNNNNNNNNNNNNNNNNNNNNNNNNNNNNNNNNNNNNNNNNNNNNNNNNNNNNNNNNNNNNNNNNNNNNNNNNNNNNNNNNNNNNNNNNNNNNNNNNNNNNNNNNNNNNNNNNNNNNNNNNNNNNNNNNNNNNNNNNNNNNNNNNNNNNNNNNNNNNNNNNNNNNNNNNNNNNNNNNNNNNNNNNNNNNNNNNNNNNNNNNNNNNNNNNNNNNNNNNNNNNNNNNNNNNNNNNNNNNNNNNNNNNNNNNNNNNNNNNNNNNNNNNNNNNNNNNNNNNNNNNNNNNNNNNNNNNNNNNNNNNNNNNNNNNNNNNNNNNNNNNNNNNNNNNNNNNNNNNNNNNNNNNNNNNNNNNNNNNNNNNNNNNNNNNNNNNNNNNNNNNNNNNNNNNNNNNNNNNNNNNNNNNNNNNNNNNNNNNNNNNNNNNNNNNNNNNNNNNNNNNNNNNNNNNNNNNNNNNNNNNNNNNNNNNNNNNNNNNNNNNNNNNNNNNNNNNNNNNNNNNNNNNNNNNNNNNNNNNNNNNNNNNNNNNNNNNNNNNNNNNNNNNNNNNNNNNNNNNNNNNNNNNNNNNNNNNNNNNNNNNNNNNNNNNNNNNNNNNNNNNNNNNNNNNNNNNNNNNNNNNNNNNNNNNNNNNNNNNNNNNNNNNNNNNNNNNNNNNNNNNNNNNNNNNNNNNNNNNNNNNNNNNNNNNNNNNNNNNNNNNNNNNNNNNNNNNNNNNNNNNNNNNNNNNNNNNNNNNNNNNNNNNNNNNNNNNNNNNNNNNNNNNNNNNNNNNNNNNNNNNNNNNNNNNNNNNNNNNNNNNNNNNNNNNNNNNNNNNNNNNNNNNNNNNNNNNNNNNNNNNNNNNNNNNNNNNNNNNNNNNNNNNNNNNNNNNNNNNNNNNNNNNNNNNNNNNNNNNNNNNNNNNNNNNNNNNNNNNNNNNNNNNNNNNNNNNNNNNNNNNNNNNNNNNNNNNNNNNNNNNNNNNNNNNNNNNNNNNNNNNNNNNNNNNNNNNNNNNNNNNNNNNNNNNNNNNNNNNNNNNNNNNNNNNNNNNNNNNNNNNNNNNNNNNNNNNNNNNNNNNNNNNNNNNNNNNNNNNNNNNNNNNNNNNNNNNNNNNNNNNNNNNNNNNNNNNNNNNNNNNNNNNNNNNNNNNNNNNNNNNNNNNNNNNNNNNNNNNNNNNNNNNNNNNNNNNNNNNNNNNNNNNNNNNNUUAACUCGGGGAAAUAUACUGCAGCCAGAUCUGGAUCAUCCAGAAUGCGCCAGGGGCAGACAGGUUCAGCGGAUUUUCCAGAGUGGCGGUAUGCAGAUUCUUGAAAAGGUGGGCCAGAACUGUUGCUCCAAGCCCCACAUCAGUGUGAUUGUGAAGAGCUUCUGCCAGAUGUCUAUACUCAAGCAGAACUGCAGAGGACCGAUUGGGGAAAACGAAUCGGUUCAGCCAAUACAGAAGGAACAACAUAUGUUGCUGGUCCUUGUCCUUCUCAGCACUGAAUUUCUUCAGAUAGUUGGAGAAGGAGCAGUUCUGGUUGAUCACAGCUGGGGGGAUAACAAAGGGGGUGGCCACUUUCUCUUGAUUCCUCCGCCUGUGAUAGUCUCCAACAGCAUCAACAGGUCUGCCAUGGGGCCUAAACCCAAAAAUCUGAGCCAUGUCCAGCAGAGUUGGAGCCAUGGGACCCACACGGAAAUCAAACGUGUUGCUGGCAGAAUUCCAGAAACACAGGGCAGCAACAAGCAGGUUCUCAUCUCUGUUAAUCGACUGCUUGGACAGAAGAAUAGCGUCAUAAAUCCCAGCUCUCCUCCAGUGACCCCCAUAUCUCGGGAGAAGUCUGUCAAUCCAGUCUGCCCAUUUGACGGAACUGUUCCUCACCUCGCUGGACGGGAAAGAUCGACUCAGAUUCUUGCUAACCCAAGAAUGAUGGGCCAGGGCAGAAGAGCUCUCAAAACACAAAGGAGCCUCCGCAUCCUUUUUUAGCAAUUCUGCCAUCUCAGCUGGAACAGGACCAAACCAAUGAGGCCCUAACACGAGGGUGUUCUCGAACAGAUGAAGGACAUUCUCGUCCAGAUUCUUUUGAGCAAAAGGGUGAAGCUUGCUCCUGACCUCUAUCGCGUGGGCAUCAAUCCCGCUCCCAGUGAUAUAAUCGGGAGGAAUUGAAGCGGAGGAGGAUUGAGCACGGGACCUUGGGGAAGACAUCUCUGAUUCGAAGGCAGAAACAGAAGAAGGAGAGGUUUGAAGAAAGAUAUCUCGAAAGAAGCUCGCAGGAACGAGAGUUGGAAGGUUUAGGGUUUUCAGAGGCUAUGAAUUUGAAUUUCUUUUAAAGAAGAGCUCGAAAACGUGGGAAGAGGACGAAAACGUGGGAAGAGGAAGAUGGGACGACACCUGAUGAUUAUUAGCUAGUAACUAGCCAUUUUCCCACGAACUCUAGUUCGUAGCAAGCAGACGUGGCAGACGUAGGCGAAAAGACGGAAGAAACUGGCGCGCGAAUUAAUUGGCAAAACAUUAAGUCUAAAACCGUCCAAGAAACGAUUCAGACUUAAUGGGGGCAUUGUUUGGGCCCAAAUUCGGCACGCCCAAAGCCCUAAAAACAGGCCCAGAGUAAAAUUGCUUGCCCAGCCCAAAGACUUGAGAAAAACAAAAAUAUGAUCCAGGCAGAUUGGGCUUCACACCAAGAAUGUUGAAAACAAAGCUUCAAAGCCUCAGCCCAAAAGAAGGGCCCAAUAAGGAAGCUGACAAAAUGAACUUCAAGAGAUCAGCCCAUAAAUUUUGAUUGGGUUCAAACCCAAGAAAGAAAAAAAACUCACAUGUUUGUCACGUAAUUAUCUCAACGUUGAAAAAUCAGCAAUUCCAACUAAAGUUUAAAAUAUAAAGGGGACAUUUCUAAGACACUGCCGACAAGAAGAUCAAAAACCCAGCUGUGUUCAAGAUCUACCAUCUCCCAAGGAAUUCACAGGCCACGCUUCCUAAGCUAAAGCAGAAAAAAGGGAACUGUUCCAAGAAAUACAAAAGAGAAGAACCAAACCGCCAUAAAAAGCCCACACAGACAAUGACAUCAGAGAAAUGCCACCCAAGAAACCAGGGAAGAAACUGCUUUAGGAGGUGACUGCGUGGAGUUUGUCUGCCAUGACUGAUAAAGAUCUUUUUACUUUACGAUGUAAGAGAUUUUUUUGUGCCGCCCAUUAUUUUAACAUCACAGGUCUCUUAUAAAAGACGAAGGCAGGCAAGGAAGCAAGGACAUCAACACAACAACAUCAAAAACAUACACUCAAACUCAUCAAACAAAUGAGAAAACAGCUUUAGAUCAGAACUCCAAAGUUCAGACUUAGAAAAUAAGUCUUCUGAAAACGAGAUCCCUCUCGUUACAAAUUUGGUUCAGCAAAAGCCAAGACAAACACAGUUUGAGUUUUCACAAAAUAUGAAAACCUCAACAAAUUUUACAGCAUAGUUCCAGCCUGCUAAAUUCUCGAGAAUAGCCACUUCUGUCCCUUCAAACUGAAGAAGUCGCAGUUCUGCCCGCUCAAAAAGUCUCCCAAGGCUUGAAGUAGAUUGAAGCUCUGCCAAAAUCGAACUUUGGUAUCGAUUUAUAGCUGAAGCUAAGAAGCUAAAGUUGUGGACAGUACAGUCCAGCAUAGACGUGCCCAGUCUAGCCCGGAUCAGAAGUUUCUACCCAGGCAGAAAUGGGAUUUCAGCCAUCCUGUUUGCCUUUCUAGAGUUGAUUUCUCCCUGUUUAAUUUUGUAAAAGGCAGUUCUGCCUGAAACAGUGCUUUAUUGUUAUCUAUUCUGGCCAGAACAACCAUUUUGAUACUGAGAUAAAUUGUGAAAGUCCUCACCAGUCUGAGGCAAGAAAAGAACUUACUUGGGAGAUAUUCCUCACCCAAAUUCACAAUCGUUUGUUUUAGAAGUCAGUAACUUGAGGCGCAAGUUAUCCACUCUAAAAAUAAGUCUGCUAGAAUUUACAUUGCUAGCAGUGGCACGCUCGCACACCAAAGAAAGCUGACCUGUCGACCAACUAGUGGUCUCCAAGUCAGUGGGGAACUUCGCCCUUCCACCUCAAGAGUGGAACGCGCAAAACGGGUGAACAGUUAGUAAAAAGCAGAACUGCCGAAGAACACCUGGACAAUUUGUCAAUCAUGUUCGGCAUACUGAAAGACAACCGGAUGAGGCUGAACUCGAUGAAAUGCGCCUUCGGUGUAUCUUUCGGGAAAUUCCUCGGAUUCAUGAUUAGUCACAGGGGCAUCGAAGCGAAUCCCGAAAAAAUAAAGGCAAUCAUCGACAUGGAAAGGCGAAGACAACGAAGGACAUUCAAAGCCUUACCGGACGCGUCGCGACCUUGACUCGCUUCAUAUCAAAGGCUACCGACAAAUGUGUACCGUUCUUUAAAGCCUUGAAAGGGGGCAAACGGAAUAUCAUAUGGACUGCCGAGUGUGAUAAAGCGUUUCAAGACUUAAAGGACUACAUGGGCAAAGCACCCCUUUUAUCAAAACCACUACCUGGGGAGAUUCUCUCCUUAUACCUUUCGGUAUCUGGCACUGCCGUCAGUUCAGUAUUGAUUCGAAACCAGAGAAAGCAGAGUUACCGAUUUUCUAUGUCAGUAAGGCACUCCAGAGUGCUGAACUUCGGUAUCCCCCAUUAGAGCAACUUGCACUAGCCUUGGUGGUCUGGGCACGAAGACUUCGGCCAUACUUUCAAGCACACGGAAUCAAAGUUCUGACUAACCAACCGCUCCGGCAGGUGCUCCAAAAACCAGAGACUUCUGGCCGAUUGAUCAAAUGGGCGAUCGAACUCGGAGAAUUCGACAUACAGUUCAUUCCAAGGCCCGCCGAAAAGGGUCAGGCUAUGGCCGAUUUCAUCUCCGAACUCACCCCAUCAACAGCACAGCCGACACUCGAGCCGGUAACCGAGACUGGAUUGCCGAAGGAACGAGACGCCGAACGCUUUGACGUCUCAACUCCCGUAUGGAUUCUGCACGUCGACGGCUCGGCAAACUAACAAGGGUGCGGAGCAGGCUUGGUACUGACAACACCGGACGGACUCAAGAUCGAGUACGCCCUCCGAUUCGACUUCUGAACCUCCAACAAUGAAGCGGAAUAUGAGGCUCUCUUGGCCGGCCUUCGGUUAGCCAAGGGCAUGAAUGCAAAACAAAUCAAAAUUCACAGCGACUCCCAGCUCAUUGUGAACCAGGUAACGGCAGACUUCGCAGCCAGAGACGCCUCUAUGCACGCCUACCUUUCGUCUACCCAUCAGCUGCUCCAAAGCUUCCGGGCCUACGAGAUCAAGCAGAUCCCCAGAAGCGAAAAUAGCCAUGCCGAUGCAUUGGCACGGCUGGCUUCGGCAAUCAAUGAUAAAGUCGGAAGAAAGGUGCCGGUAGAGAUUCUUGCCCAACCGAGCACGAUAGCUUCCGAAACGUGUACCGUACGGUAUAAAGAUACAUGGGUGUCUCCUAUCUAGUCGUACCUGAUCAACGGCACCCUUCCAGAAGACAAGGCCCGGGCCCGAAAGCUUAGGUACCGAUCAGCAAGGUACACCGUCAUCAACGACGUCCUUUACAACCGUGGCUACACCACUUCGUAUCUCAAAUGCCUUACGGCAGAACAGGGGGACUACGUCCUUCGGGAGAUCCAUAAUGGUGUGUGCGGCGACCAUUCCGGGUUCCGGUCACUCGCCCACAAAGCCUUUCGGCAUGGAUACUUUUGGCCGACCAUGCACCAGGACGCAAAUUCGCUAGUGAAAAAGUGUGAUAAAUGCCAGCGCUUCGGUAACAUACAGCAUAUCCUUGCCGAACCCCUGACACCGAUCGUGAGUCCUUGGCCCUUCGCACAAUGGGGACUAGACCUGAUCGGUCCGAUGCCGCAGGGCAAAGGCCAGGUGAAAUACGCAGUGGUCGCCGUCGACUAUUUCACCAAAUGGGUAGAAGCCGAACCUCUGGCAACCAUAACGGCAACAAGAGUGGAAGACUUCGUCUGGACUCACAUUUGUUGCAGGUUCGGUAUCCCGUAUGCAAUCAUUACCGACAACGGUAGGCAGUUCGAUUCGGAACUCUUCAGGCAAUUCUGCACCCGCCUGAAAAUCAACUUGUUUUUCGCAUCACCGGCGCAUCCCCAGUCAAACGGUCAAGUCGAAGCAAUAAACAAAAUCAUCAAGAAGCUACUGAAACGGCAGCUGGAUAAGGCUAAAGGAGCUUGGCCGGAGAAGCUUCCCGAAGCACUAUGGGCCAUUCGGACGUCUUACCGAACGUCCACCGAAGAAACCCCUUUUUCCCUUGCUUUCGGUUCGGAGGCCGUGGUGCCCGUGGAAAUAGGCGAACCUUCCUACCGAACGGAAACCUUCGCACCGAAGCCGAAGGAAGAAGCACUUUCUCUAAACCUCGAUCUUCUUGAAAAGCACCGGGCACAUGCCAACCUUCGGAAUGAAGCCUACAAGCAACUUGUCUCUCGGUACUACCACUCUAGGGUCAGACACCGCUCAUUCCGAAUCGGAGACUGGGUCAUGCGGAAGGUAUCCCUAGCAACCAAGGAUGCCACGGAAGUGACUCUCGGACCUUCCUGGGAAGGACCCUAUGAGAUCAUCGGUAUCCUUCGAUCGGGAACCUACCGCCUGAGAGACUCCAACGGUAAGACCCUUGGUCAUCCUUGGAACGUGGAACAUCUCAAAUACUAUUUCAAGUAACCUAGCCUACGGUAGGACAAAGUUGUAACGAUUGGAAUGUAUUUGCCUUUCGGCAGAGAUUAAUAGAAAGCCUUCGGCACUAUUACUUCAGAACCUCUAUUUAAAUUACUCUACCAGCCCACGGCAGCCAAUAGUGGCAAGUUAACGUUCUACGGCAUCUUUAUUAGCCUACGGCAAUAAAUGUUUUUCGAAAUUGUUACCCUACAGAUUCCAUCGGAGCUUAUCAAUUUCGAAGUGUCCCUUUAACGUUAUAAAACCUAUACGGAGCCUUUCGGCGAUAAUACGUUCGACAAUUUAAACACAUGUUCAGAUUGUUCAAACAAUAGUAGAUAAAAACAUGCAUUUGAAUUAGAGAUGCCCUCGGCAUCAAUGUGUUCGGUACAUAAAGAUAGAAAAAACUAAUACAAUUAUUACAAAUAAAACGGCAAGGAGCCUCAAGUUUCAUCGGCAGCGGCAGCCUCGGCAGAACCAGAGCCUUCGGCAGCGUCCUCCCCCUCGUACUCCUCGAUCAUUUCCUCCGGUAGGGGGGAGGGUCGGCGAUGAAGUUCAGGUUCAGCUUUUGCCCAGGGUUGUACCGUUUGAAUUGGUACAAUAGGUCCGCCAUCUCCGAGCCCACUUCCUUAUCCAGAAGGACAGUGAACUCUUCAGACGAGCGGUACCCCUGGAUAGCUGACCCAACGGCAGCCUCGAUCUCCGCAGCCUUGGCCCGCUCCGACUCCUCCAAGGCCACCUGCACCGCCUCUUUGGCAGCCUCGGCAUCCCUCACUGUCGCCAGCGCUGCCUCCAGGAGACCCUUCAUCUCCUCAACCUUCUCCUCUGAAGCUAGAACCUGCCGUUCGGCAGACUCUUUCUCCUUCAGCAAGUGGGCAUGCUCCUGGAGCGCUUUGCCAGCCUCGGCAACCUUGGCCCUACCGUCCUCGUACACCUUCUUGGCGCGCUCGGCAGCAGCAAUGGCCCGCUUGACGCAGAGCCACAUGUCCAUGGACGCUUGCACAAAACAAAGAAAGUCAGAAGCAUGCCCCACUAACAAAAAUAAAGGGACGAACGAAGAAAGAAAAUCUUACCGAGGCCGGAAGCCGGAAGGCGAGUCCAGCCUCCUCCCGAAGAAACUUCUUCGGUAGUUCGUCGAUCUCCGGCAGCUCCAUCUGAGAACCGAGGAUCAUAUGGUUGACGAACUGAACCGUCUUCGCUGGGCAGGCAAUGGUGACGGCUUCGGAAGGGCCGUCCUCGUCGUCCACCGCAAGGACAGCGCUCGGGACCUCCGACUGGCGAGGGCACUUGGAGACUGGCUCGGCCUCCAGAUCGACUGUCUCCGGCCGCUUGCCGGCAGCCUUGGAAGCAGCGGCUUCAGUACCCAUCCGCCUCGGUGCGGAGUCCUCAUCGCCGACCCACCUAAGCACAGGCUCGGCACCCAGCUGCCGCAUACGAUCGGCGAGAGUCUGAUCCUCGGGAUCCACCGCCGCCUGCCGAGCAGAAGCCUCUUCGGGCUGCCUCUUUUUCUUCUUGCCCUCCAGGCCCAUCAUUAGGCGCCUCCUGGAGGACUCGUUCAUCUUCUUCGCCUCGACAGCCUUCCUUGCGUCCGUCACUGGUCAAAAACGUUCGGUCAGUCGGCAAGCAAAAGCAAUAUACGAAAACAAAAAAAAGAGAAGGAAAGAUACACUUACUCUCGGCAGGGUUAACGAGGCCGGCUCUGAUGAGGUUGUCAGUGAAGAGGAAGUGUGGGUAAACUCGCUCGGCAGCGGGUACUCUCAGCCUCACUCUGUCGAGCUGCCGGAUCUCACUCGGCUUGGGGCUCGGCUGCUUGAGUUUACCUGUCAGAAGAAGGAAAAUUAGUAAAAUAAAGCAAGGAAAAAGAAGAGAGAAGAGAAGCCGGCCUAUCAAUCGGUAUUUCGGGAACCUACCGGCAAUCUGAAAUGUCUUGGGGACAGAGUAGCACCCGCCGAUUCCUCCACGACUUUUGAGAAGUCGGCACCGAGCUGAUGAAAUACCCCCGCUCGGAAGCCUUCAGGCAGUUCGCCUGAACCCAGCCGCCGUGAUCGGCGCUCUUGGACUUGGUAAUACUGUAUAAGUACGAGAACUGCUCGUAGGAAGGCUCCCCCUCCUCGGCAAUCCCGAACGCAGCAAUUACCCCCAUCAAGGCCACCCAGAAGUUGAGGUUGUACUAGCCGGGAGCGUACCCGAUCUGGGCAAGGAUCUUCUGCACGGCAGGUUACAACGGCAACCGAACCCCUUGCAGAAGAACGUCGGUGAAGAAGGUCACUUCACCGUCCGCUGGGUCACUGAGGGACUCAACAGGGCUCGGUAUCCUCAUCUUCACCGAGUCCGAAAUGAGGUACUCGGCCCUAAUCCUCUCCAGCUCUCGUUCGGUGAUCUUGUUGGGCUCCAAGUAGUCAACCCCGAACAGAGUCUUCCUAGGCACACCCACCGGUAUCCUAGGCUGCCCUCGGUGGACGAUUGUCACCCUCGGUCGGGAGGGACCGGCAAUGCCCUCACUACGACCGGAGGUGGAGGCCUCAGGUUGAUGCUUAAACGGGCCGACACGGGUACCGUCGUUGCGCACCACGGCCAAGGGUAGCGGUUGCCCCCUCCAUAAGCCCCUUGCCGAUGCCAUGGGUGGGAACGGAGUUCACCUCCUCACCGAAUAAUUCAACAUCGGUGUCUUCUCCACCCUCGGCGUCGAGGCUCACAGCCCCGCUGGACGUAUCCCAUCCCGAUGACAACUCCCCAUCGAACGCGUUGGGCUCACUGCCAAACGGCGACUCGCUAUCGGACAUCUACAAAACAAAGAAAGGGAAGCUAAGGCCCGUGCCACAAACUACCCUACCGAUACCUACGUCGCUACCUAUGGCCACUCGACUACCGAAGGAAGAUCCUACUUAACGUUCGGCUAGCCUAUGCCAUGGAAAGACGUAUAAUUACAUAAAAAGAGAGUAUUCAGGGGAUACCGAAUGGUAUCUUACCUUGAGUAGGGUGGGAUGAUUUGAUCGCUGAUCAGAGACUUCGGAAAUCGCCCUGUAUGCCGAGAACCGCUCUAAAAAAUCGCCUUGAUUGCCGUUCACUCUAUUCAGAAAUCGCCUUGAUUGCCGUUCACUCUCUUCGGAAAUCGCACUCACAGAGCUCUCGCUUCAACUCACAAUUGCAAAGUGAGCCUUACGACCGGAGCAACCUCUAUUUAUAGGGAGAGAGCUGUAACGGUACGCCUCGGGAGACUAAACGGCUCUUUAAUGCGCCGUCAGACGUACUUUUGCUGACCACGUGCCACCCGACGAAUGGAGCCGCUGACUGCAUGCCAGGCACGGAAGACGAAGUGUCUCUCUGCCCUCUCACCUCUCAGCAUCGACGACCCCUCGAGUCCCAUGUCAAUCUCCCACGAACGAGCCUACCGAACGGCAGGUUAACCUCCGAACCGCCAUAGAGAACUAAAUUCCCUUCCGAAGGACCUUCGGAAGAGAACUUGGGGGACUACUGUUUAUACCGGAAAUAAACGGCUUAUGACAACCGAACACGUGGACAGGAUCGAUAUUGGCUGCAGGAACCCUUCGGCAGUUUGCCUUCCGAAGCCAUCUAUCUUGCCCCUUUUUACCAUCGGACACGUGUCAUGCUCACAAUCCAUGUCCACAGUCCCACAUCGGAAAUAUGAGCACAGUGCACACCUCCCAAGGCCUAUUUAAGAAGACCCCUAUCCCCAAAAGGAAGGGAUCAGAACUAACGGUACGCUAUCGAUUGAUCUGUCAGUUAACAUUACUAAAACCGUACUUACUAAAGCAUCGGAGAGCCUUCGGCCAGUACCACACCGGUACCCCAAGGACUUACCGAACCCUUCCUUUUGCAGGUACUUACCCUUCCGAAGUAGAACAUCUUCCGAGGACAGUCACCUACCGAAGGCAUAAUAUCACUAAGUUGACGAAAUACGUGCUGAACCACUUUUUCGCAUCAACAGUGUUCAACCUCAUUAUUCUAAGCUUCGUUGGAGGGCUCGCCUAGGCCACCAACAAUGAUCCGCUGGAGAGGGUCUUUUCUCCGUUCGGUGAGAUCAUUGAAUCGAAGGGCCGUUUGACGCAUGUUCUCUCUCUGCUACUUGAUCUUCUGUUUCUCUAUGUUACUUGAUCUUUCUCUCCCAAAUAUUGAAGAUCGAUCGAUUCCUUUUCAUUUUUGUUUAUUAUUGUGUAUUUGUUUGAUUAUACUCCGGUGUUUUGGUUUUGAUGGACGGAUCUGAUUUGAUUUGGUUUCUUUUGUGUUUCUAGAUCAUCAACGACCGUGAGACUGGGAGGUCCAGGGGCUUCGGCUUCGUCUUCGUCAUCUUCAGCAACAAGAAGGCCAUGAGGGACGCAAUCGAAGGCAUGAACAACCAGAACCUCGACAGUCGUAAGACUGAGACCUACAUUAUUUUGUAGUGUGCCUCAGUUGUACAACAGAAUAUAUGCCGAGUAAUCAUAGUUGGCUGCUACAUUCCCAUAUAUCCACGUACUUACAUUUCAGUUCCUCCAUACCUCAUUAAUUUGCUUUCGCCUUUUACUUUUAUCUCCUUUGAAUUGCUUUAUACAUAUUACCAUUCUUUUUUUCACAGAGUUUACAGAGUUUUAAAUUAAUUUAAAUGAAUUUUACAGAGUUUGCAAGAUACAGUCGCUGGAUUUACAAGUAUGGAUUAUAAAACUCUUGAUCAAUUCGCUUACAAGAUCUGGUAAAAGAGGAGUUUUUAUGUUGUCAUUUAUAUUACAAGUCUUCAGAGUCCUUUAUCCCUUCUGCCAGUCCUGCCUAGUGAGCUGUAUGGUUUCAGAAAAUUCACUAUGUUUGAAUGCUUCGAGAUUUGUAUUUAUAUAUAUGAAAUUACUCUACUGAAAUUUAUAUGCCAUCCAGGGCUUCAAUGAGCGUCUUGUAAUUGCUAGUCGCCUUGCAAUAGGUCUCAUGUUCAAGCAAGUUAGUAUCUAUAUCUUUCUUUUGUUCACCUUCCUUCAAGUACGUGGUCUGAUUAAUUUAUCUGAAUGCCUAUUUCUCUGAAUUAAAAUUGUGGAUAUAGGGCUUUAUGUGUGCCUUUUUGUUUGUUUUUUGUGACUCACUGUCUCUACACCUUUAUGUUUGCCGAUUUGAUGAACUUUAUGAUUAGCACUCGUGGGCUCUCUGAUAUUUCAAUGCUGUUUUAUAACAUUUUGAUAUUACAGUUUCCCUUUUUAAGUACAGCCCCUUGUAAUUAGUGAUUGUUGGCAUAUGGAUGGGAACUAGUCUUUCCAUACUUGUGAGAAGCUGUAUAAAUAUUUCAUGUCUUAACAAUGUGUUUCUUUUCCCAUGGUUAUCCAGACAUUGGAUGUUCUCCUACAAGUACUUGUUGUGUUUCCUAAUGUAGAGACUUUGCGCAGUAGGGUAAGGAGUCGUACAUGGGAUACCAGAAGUACUUUGUUUUGAUAUUUUAUCAUCAGCACUUGUAACCUGAUGCUAGUGUAUGUGGUAUCCAGGUAACAUCAUUUGUACACCAGAUGGUGGACACACUAGGAGCAUCUGUUUUUCCCUACCUCCUAAAGGCACUGGAGCAAUUGCUUGUGGAUAGUGAGGUAUAAAGCAUUUAUAACUAAAUUCUUCUAUUCUGAAUUUUUUUUUGGGGGUUAAAUCUAACUUUGAGAAAAUAAUUUUUGGUAAUAAAUAGAGAACAAAUUUUGGACAGGUACUGUGUCACCAAGAAAUAAAAUUUAGAAAAUAACAGUUCUGUUUCACAUAAGUAUAUUUUGCACCAGUUUGAUGGAUGGAUCUGAUUUGAUUUGUUUUCUAUGACAUGGUAUUAACAGUGUACUUCUAUGACAUAGUAUUAACAUAUUUUCAGUAACAAAGCUUGCUUUAUAUAUAGCUGUGUACAUCAAGUUUAUGACAUGCAGAAUGUGAUUUUUAUUAGGAAGAUAGUUUUAUGACAUAGUAUUAAUAGUGUACUUUUUUUUUUCUUUUUCUUGUAGAGGUAUUUCAUUUUGCCUUUGCGAUUGUAUUAGUGAAACUGUAGACAAUUGGAUAUGGGAUAUCGGAUGUCUUGCUAGACUUUUUUGGAUUUUUUUAAUAUAAAAUGGUAUUAACAAUAUUUUUUUUAUGAAAUGGUAUUAACAAUGAUUUUUUUUAUGAAAUUGUAUUAACAAUGUUCUAUUUGUAUGAAAUAGUAUUGACAAUGUCUUUUUGUAUGAAAUGGUAUUAAUAAUGUUUUUUUAUUUUUAUUUUUUUAUGAAAUGGUAUUAACAAUGUUUUUUUUGGUAUGAAAUGAUAUUAACAAUGUUUUUCUAUGAAAUUGUAUUAACAAUAUUUUUCUAUGAAAUGGUAUUAAGAAUGUACUUCCAUGACAUGGUAUUAACAUGUACUUCUAUGAUAUGGUUUGCAGAGGUUUGAUGGAGAAGGAAGGGACGUGGGGACAUGCCAUUGGUUUUCAUAUAUAUUUUUUUUAGACUGGGUUUUAAAAAAAAAAAAAAAAAUCUGAAUUGGGCUUGUUUUGGGUCUUUUUUUGUUUUUUUGUAUUCGGCUUCUUUUAAGUUAGUUAGUGGCAGUCAUGUAAUUUAUAGGAAAUUCAACACUCAUUUUGUAUGUAGGAAAUGAUUUUUGGGUAUGUUUCUAAAGUGCAUUUCAUGUAGGGUUUUUUUUAUAAUUUCAGCCCCUAUUUUGGGUAUAGCUCCCUUUUUAUAUAUACCUCCAGACAUUACAUUUUUUAAGAAAGGUAUAACCACAACUGAUCAAAGUAAUAUAUUAGAGUCUUAUAAUAGUAUUAACAUAGAGGAACAAAAUUUUAAAUAUAAUAUGGAAGAAUUAGAAGAAAUAAGUGAAGAAAAGAUAGAUGAACAAAAUAAUCUAGAAUAUGAUGAUAUAAUAUUUGAUCAUGAGUAUCCAAUUAUAGGAAAAAUAGAGCGUUUAGAAAUUAUGCAAAUAGAUAGACCAAAGAAUUUAGAAGAAUUGUUACAAUUAACUUAACAAACUAGAAUUAUAGAGAAUAUUCCCAAUUACAUUGGAAUAAAAACAAGAUAGUAGCAAAAUUAGACAUUAUUAAUCCAGACUUAACAAUUAAAACAACAGAUAUGCCCUAUAACUUGUUAGACAAGCAAGAAUUUGAACAACAAAUAAAAGAACUUUUAAAUUUAAAAGUAAUUAGACCUUCAAAAUCCAAGCAUAGAUCAGCAGCCUUUGUAGUUAGAAAAUAGUCGGAACUUAAGAGAGGUAAAGCUAGAAUAGUGUAUAAUUAUGGAGAUUAAAUGAUAAUACUUAUGAAGAUAGUUAUAAACUACCAAAUAAAGAUGAACUUAUGAAUAAAAUUCAAGAAAGUAAAUAUUUUAGUAAAUUUGAUUGUAAAUCAAGAUUUUCGCAAAUUAGAUUAGCAAAAGAAUCAAUCGAAUGGACAUCAUUGACUUGUCCAGAAGGACAUUUUGAAUGGCUUGUCAUUCCAUUUGGAUUAAAGAAUGCACCAUCGAUCUUUCAAAGAAAGAUGGACCAAAUCUUUAAGAAGUAUGAUAACUUUUGUGGUGUAUAUGUAGAUGAUAUACUUGUCCAUAGUAGAAAUAAAAAUGAACAUAGAAAACACUUAGAAAUUAUUUUGAAAGAAUUUAUUGAUAAUGGCAUAGUCAUAAGUAGGAAUAAAGUAGAGCUUGAAAAACAAGACAUAUAAUUUUUAGGUAUGUGUAUUAAGUCAGGAACUAUACAAUUAUAAGAGCACAUUGCUAAAAAAGUGUUAGAAUUUCCAAAUAAAUUAAUAGAUAAAAAACUAUUGCAAGCAUUUUUAUGUUUAUUAAACUAUGCUAGAAGUUUUAUUCCUGAUGUAGGGAUUUUUUUUGUUCCAGCAGCCUCAAGAAUGGGCUUGGGCUGCUGUGAAGAAAAGACAAAUGAAGUUGCCCCUAUGCCUGAGUUUGAGAACUAGGCCCCAAGAGUGUUUUGAAAGGUUCGUAGGGCCUAAGAAAACAAUUUGGAUCCCUUUCACCAAUGAACCAUACAAUUGUGACAAAUUAGCAAUAUGGCCUGGCUUGAGAAGCUUGUGGCAUGGGAGCUAAUCUUUUACGAGUUUAGUAGUAGAGAGAAAGAGCUUAAAUUUCUUAUAGAAAAGAAGGUUUAGAGAAAAGGGGGAAGAGAGAUUUAGGGGGGAUUUUUACAGAAGAGAGGGAGAGAUGGAAAUUGAGAAUGGGGAGUCUUGAGUAAAUUUCCAGUUGCUCGACAAAAGCUUGGUCGCACUCCUGGAUGGUGUGUUUGCUGGGUAGAAGGUGCCUCCUUUCAUAGGCGCUGAAACCCUUAAUUUUAUCAAGCCUUCCUCUCCAUUUCCCUUCACUUUCUUCCAUUUCAAUCUCAUUUGGUGAAACUUCUCCAGCCUGUGCACCUAGGUACGAAGCCCUUUGGGGUUCCAAGAUCUUAACGCAACUGGACUUCUUUAUGUAGGUGAGGCGCCACCCACUUUUCUCUUUGGUUUUCCUAUUUGAGCUCGCAGAAGAAAGGAACAUGGGUAUGAGCGUUAGUCUAAUGGGUAUAAAUUUCCUUUGAUUUUUGCAGUGGAUGACCAUUUGACUUGGUUCUGAGGCUCUUGACAACACUAGAUACGAUGCUAGACAUUUUAUAAGGCCAUGGGCUGGGCUUUUUCUAAGGUAUUGGGUCAUUGACAUUCUAUUUUCCAACGGCCUAUGAGUUUGGUUUCGUCAAGCUGCUGGAAGUAGCUCAUUCGCUUUGUUUUUUGACAAGGUGCUAGCUGUGUUUGUAACAUCCCACAUCGACCAACAGAUAGCGGAUGAUGUGCCUUAUAUGUACAUGCCCACCUCCAUCUAGCACGAGGCCUUUGGGAGCUCACUGGCUUCGGAGUCAUGGUAACUCCGAAGUUAAGCGAGUGAGGCCUAGAGCAAUCACAGGAUGGGUGACUGACUGGGAAGUUGAUCAUGAGUUCCCACAAACAAAACUGUGAGGGUAGAGAGGGGGCCCCAAAGCAGACUAUAUCGUGUUACGGCGGAGCCAAUCUCGAGAUGUGACAAUUUAUUUGGUAUCAGAGCCACUCUACCGUGUGGUACGAGUGUGCCGACGAGGACGUCGGGCCCCUAAGGGGGUUAGAUUGUAACAUCCCACACCGACUAAUGGAGAGGGGAUGAUGUGCCUUAUAUGUAAAUGCCCACCUCCAUCUAGCACGAGGCCUAUUGGGAGCUCAAUGGCUUCGGAGUCAUGGGAACUCCGAAGUUAAGAGAGUUUGGGCUAGAGCAAUCCCAGGAUGGGUGAUCCACUAGGAAGUUGCUUGUGAGUUCCUAGAAACAAACCAUGAAGACAGAGAGGGGGCCCAAAGUGGGCAAUAUCGUGCUACGGCGGAGUGUGACAGUCUUAGUUGAUGUGGGAUUUUUCUAAAUGUUGCAAACCAUUGGUUAUUUUCCUAAGGCAUUAGGUCACUUUUCUCUCUCUCUUGCUUACCCACAUGCUGGGCUCAAGAAAUGAGCUUAAGUUUUGGUGCUCCCAAGUAGCCCAAAACUUCCAUCCCUUGAACCUUCAAUGGGCCUUGUGAAUACUUGUAACCAUCCAUACCACAACCUGCUCCGCAAGCCCUAGGCAUUCGUGUGGCUUGGGCCCACUUAAGCUUGUAGCGUGGCUUGGUGUCAAAGUAACAGUCUUUCGCUUGGCGUUGUGUGCUUAUGAUUGAGUUCUACCGUGUUGUAAUAGACUACGGCCGCGCCAGAUGGCAUUUAACAGGUGAGUAACCGUGGGUUCACAGAGCCAAUACGUUUUACAGGCUCGUUGUGACCUUUCUGCGUGGCGCGUUGCUGUUUGCUGGGCGUGGCAUGUGGCCCACAACUUGUGCAAGCGCGUACGACAAAUUCUUGCAUAUUCUAAUUGGGCUUCUUCCCCAAUAUGUCAAAGUAACAGUCUUUCGCUUGGCGUUGUGUGCUUAUUUGGCGUGCUCAUGAUUGAGUUCUACCGUGUUGUAAUAGACUACGGCCGCGCCAGAUGGCAGGUGAGUAACCGUGGGUUCACAGAGCCAAUACGUUUUACAGGCUCAUUGUGACCUUUCUGCAUGGCGCGUUGCUGUUUGCUGGGCGUGGCAUGUGGCCCACAACUUGUGCAAGCGCGUACGACAAAUUCUUGCAUAUUCUAAUUGGGCUUCUUCCCCGAUCAAGCCUUGUGUUGAGCAAACAAUAUGUUUGGGCUCAGUCUUGGAUUUUUUAGGCCUCAACUCUUGAUUUAGGAAGUAAGAUUGCAGCAUUGUACAGUAAAACCAGUAAAACAGGUCAAAUAUAUUUUAAUUGUAAGGAUAUUAAAUUAGUUCAAGGCAUCAAACAAGAUAUAACUCAACUUAAACCUCUAGCAUUACCAUUAGAAAAUAAUUACAACAUAGUUAAGACAGAUGCACCAUUAAUAGGAUGGGCAUGAAUAUUAUAUUAAAAAAAUAUAAGGAAGAACCAAAAUAUGAAGAAUUUUUUUUGUAGAUAUGCAUAAGGUAAAUUUAGUGAUAUACAGGCUAGACUUCCAGCUAUUAACUUAGAAAUUGUAAUCUUAUUGAUAUCAUAUUGCCAUUUUACGCAUGUGUAUCGUGGACUUAUUGCCGCUAUAAUUGUUUGAACUGUACAUGGAUAAAGGAAACUGUAAAUGCACAAAUACAAAAAGAUCCAUCAUAAUUCCAUCAAAUCCAAUUACGAAACUUACAUAAUACAACAAGAGGCCACCCCAUAGUUACAUAAUACAAAAAGAGGCCACCACAUAGUUCUAUUGUUCAAGUUGUUUCCACUACAUUUUGCAAUCUCUGAAGUCAUAUUAAAGUGUCAAAAGUUUCCUGCUAUUGACACAUUCGGAGUUGCCUACUUUUCAAUUGCGGUGACCGCGACCCAUGAAAUUCAUGACCCCAGCCCAAUGAUGUUGUCCCAGUUUCCUUCUGGAUCCACUACUUUCGCAAACUUGUGAAAUAGUUCGAACCGGCUUCCACUUGUUUUGCUUCAAUUGGGCCAUUUCAUCAGAUUCCUUGAAUACCAUCACCGCAGUGGCAGGGGCAUUUUCAAUUUUUGCUCAUACCCUUUAUAUGUAGGAGAUCCGGGCAUGAUAACGAGAGAGAAUUGUGCGCUUUUUUAUGACACCCCACCUAGCUUGGCCCUCCAAAAUUUUUGAAACUAUGUCUGCAUGGAGAUUUUUUCAAAACAUGGUAUUGCCUCAACAUUGCUGCAGGCCAUGGACCAAGUCUGCAGGCAUUGAAUUUGCUAACUUGGCUGGUGUUUCAGUUUCCCCUCCUUUAGUAAUGGAAAACAUUGAGUUUGGUGUGAGGUUAGGGUCCAUGGUUUUUGGUAUUUAUUAUGGGUUGGUGUGGGACUUAAUUGGGGAAAACUGUGACUUAAUGCGAUGUGAGUGAAACGAGUGGGGAAGGUAAUGGCUGCAAGUAGGAGUUAAUGUGAUGAAAGUUUUCUCUUCAUGCAGCUGGGUUGAAGUUUAUAUAGGGAGGUAUUUAUGAGUUGGAGUAAAUGACUAAGUAAUUGGCGGGAGGGAUUGGGGGAGUAAUUGGCGGGAUUCACUGGCGGGAUUUAUUGGGUCGGAGUUAUUGCCCAAUUGCCUAUAUGACUAUUUUUCUAUAUUUGUAAUUUGUAAUUUCUCAAUUUCCUAGUUUUCCCUUUUUUGUAUUUAAAGAAUUUCCCUAAUUUGGAAAAAUUACCAACUUAUUCAAUUUGUCUGGUACGGUAAUUUUCCUAUUUCCCAUUUUCGCAAUUUGAAUUGGUUUCCAAUUUUCCUACUUUCCUAUUUCGUAAUUGCCUAAUUUCCUUUUUCCUAUGUGGCAAUUUUCGUAUUUUCCCAAAUUUUCGUAUUUUCUUAUAUUUGUAAUUUGGAAUUUCCCAAUUUCCUAGCUUUCCCAUUUUUGUAUUUAAAGAGUUUGCCUAAUAUGACAAAUUUACCAACUUAUUCAAUUUGUCCAGUAAGGUAAUUUUCCUAUUUCCCAUUUUUGCAAUUUCAAUUGGUUUCCAAGUUUUCCAAGUUAUCCAAUUUUCCAAUUUUCCAAUUUUCCAAUUUCGUAUUUGCCUAAUUUCCUUUUUCUUAUGUUCCAAUUUCCUAGGUGGCAAUUUUCGUAUUUUCACAAAUUUUCAAUUUUAUUCGUAGUACUUUGUAUGUGUUUUUCGGGCAUAUAACGUUUCCUAGUUUUCGUUGUUCUUCAAAUUUUGUCAUUUACAAUCUUUGUCUAAUUUGAGUAAAUUUGCAAUUUUACAAUUUCCUAGUAAGGUAUUUUUCAAAAUUUUGAAUUUUGCAAUUUUAAUUUGUAUGGUUUUCAAAUUUCCAAAAAUUGCUUAGUGACAUACUCCUUUUUUUUGCCUCAAAUCCACAAUUACCAAUUUCCCAAUAAGGUUUUGUUUUUUUGUUUGUAAUCCAAUUUUAUUGUUGUUAUUCUAAUGCUCUAAAUUACAGCCAAGGAGUAAAUGAUGUACAGUGCAAUCCCAUCAAUGCACCAACUACAUACCCAAUUUCGUCAGAUAUAGAGAUAUAACUCCUUGACUACAAUAUAAAUUAGACAAGUUGCUACAUAUAACAGAAGCAUAACGUCGGGUUUGGGAAAGGUAAUUAUUCUUAACUUACUAAAUGCCAAACAUUCUCCAGUAAAGCUGACCAUAUUGUUGUUUACAAGUUUUCAAAAGCAAAAAUUGCACACUGAAUCUAACGUUUUAUUUUUUGCAGACUGGAGCUGUGAAUUUUCCCCAUCGAUACUUAAAGAUGUCGGACGUAUGCCCUCCAAACGACCAUGUCAGUUACCCGGUAGACCAGUCGUGGCAUGUGCCGUUCCCAUCUCCACCUCUGACUCCAAAUCACAAUCCCACUUCAUCUGGAAGUGAGGCUGAGAGCAAUAACCCGCUUGUCAAAAUCUUUGCUGUGAAGCACGACCUCCAAUAUUUGUCUAAGGCAACGAAUUGGUGGGAGAGCAAAUGUGAUAUUCAUGGGCAAGUGAUGGGAAACUUGAGUUUAACAAAGCAUAUGCUGGAGAAGUGAAGUAAACUCUAAAAGCAAUAAGUCGAACCAAAGAGUUAGAGUCCCUCAACUUAAAAUUGGAAGAGACAAAGAAAUAUGCGAUCCAAGAAUUCACAAAAUAUGAAGAAUAUAACCAUGAAAUGGUUGAAUGGUUCAACAACGGCUUGGAGAUGUUUCGAGAUUAUGCUUCGGUCAUCUUACCAUACUACAAUUGGAGCGAAAUUGAUGUAGCUGGUGUCUAGCAGGUGUUGAAUAUGGGUAGAGAGGGAAUGACUCAUCAUAGCUUCAUGCAUGCAUCAAGGAUGAAGGCCAAAGACAUGGAUCAUUUGAUGGACCUCUAAUAAUUUGCAUUUUCCAGGGUUGGGUGAUGCGAUGUGAAUGUGUUGCCUUCGUUUUCCCUUCGAGGGAUAGUAUUGUUAGGGUUGGGUGGCGAUUUAUUUUGAAUGUCUAAAUUGAAGGUAGUUUGAAAUGGAUGUCUGCGUAUUGUAUGUAUAUGGACCUAAUAUUGCCAUCCUAUUGUAUAUAUGUUGAGCUAAUUGUUCACCCGUUUUCGUGUUUAACUCCUUAUGUGGAAGGGUGAAGUUCCCCACUGGCUUGGAGACCACUUGUUGGUCGACAAGUCAGCUUUCUUUGGUGUGCGAGCGUGCCACUGCUAGCAAUGUAAAUUCUAGCAGACUUAUUUUUAGAGUGGAUAACUUGCGCCUCAAGUUACUGACUUCUAAAACAAACGAUUGUGAAUUUGGGUGAGGAAUAUCUCCCAAGUAAGUUCUUUUCUUGCCUCAGACUGGUGAGGACUUUCACAAUUUAUCUCAGUAUCAAAAUGGUUGUUCUGGCCAGAAUAAAGUACUGUUUCAGGCAGAACUGCCUUUUACAAAAUUAAGAAGGGAGAAAUCAACUUUAGAAAGGCAAAAAGAUGGCUGGGAUCCCAUUUCUGCCUGGAUAGAAACUUUUUGAUCUGGAUUGGACUGGGCACGUCUAUGUUGGACUGUACUGUCCACAACUUUAGCUUCUUGGCUUCAGCUAUAAAUCGAUACCAAAGUUUGAUUUUGGCAGAGCUUCAAUCUACUUCAAGCCUUGGGAGACUUUUUGAGCGGGCAGAACUGCGACUUCUUCAGUUUGAAGGGACAGAAGUGGCUAUUCUCGAGAAUUUAGCAGGCUGGAGGUAUGCUGUAAAAUUUGUUGAGGUUUUCAUAUUUUGCGAAAACUCAAAUGUGUUUGUCUUGGCUUUUGCUGAACCAAAUUUGUAACGAGGGGGAUCUCGUUUUCAGAAGACUUAUUUUCUAAGUCUGAACUUUGGAAUUCUGAUCUAAAGCUGUUUUCUCAUUUGUUUGAUGAGUUUGAGUGUAUGUUUUUGAUGUUGUUGUGUUGAUGUCUCUUUGCUUCCUUGCCUGCCUUCGUCUUUUAUAAGAGACCUGUGAUGUUAAAAUAAUGGGCGGCACAAAAAGAUCUCUUACAACGUAAAGUAAAAAGAUCUUUAUCAGUCAUGGCAGACAAACUUCACGCAGUCACCUCCUAAAGCAGUUUCUUCCCUGGUUUCCUGGGUGGUGCUUUAGUUUAGGAAGCGUGGUCUGUGAAUUCCUUGGAAGAUGGUAUAUUGACUUGGAGCAAAAUCUCGAACACAGAUGGUUUUUUUGAUCUUCUGUCGGCAGUGUUCCAGAAAUGUUCCCUUCAUAUUUUAAACUUAGUUGGAAAUGCUGUUUCUUCAAUAUUGAGAUAAAUCACGUGGGCGUGUCAAAUCGCCCUUGGGUCUGAACCUAAUCAACAAUUCAUGGGCUGAUCUUUUGAAGCCCAUCAGUUUCCUCUUUGGGCCUUUCUUUGGGCUGAAGCUUUUGAGGCUUUGUUUUCAACAUUCUUGGUGUGAAGCCCAAUCUGCCUGGAUCAUAUUUCUGUUUUUCUCAAGUCUUUGGGCUGGGCAGGCAAUUUUACUCUGGGCUUGUCUCUUGGUUUUGGGUGUGCCGAAUUUGGGUCCAAACACUAAUAUUGCCACCCUAUUGUAUGUAUGUUGACCUAGUAUUGCCACCCUAUUGUUUGUAUAUUGACCUAAUAUUGCCACCCUAUUGUAUGUAUGUUGACCUAGUAUUGCCACCCUAUUGUUGUAUAUUGACCUAAUAUUACCACCCUAUUUUAUGUAUGUUGACCUAAUUGUCACCCUAUCGUAUGUAUAUUGCGUCUGCUGGUGUUACUCAGAAGUGCGCCACUUGUUUGUUUAUUCUGCGAUUGUAGCCCUAUAUUGUCUAUAUAUUGCAUAACAACGACGGGCCACUGUUAUACCUCCAUAAAGAUAAAGUAUAUAUCUGUUUAUAUAUUGAGUUGUACGAAAUAGCUCAACUAAACAAUCUAAAGAAUAAGUAUGCUAACGACGACAACAACUCCAAAACAAAAGCACAAUUUGAAAACCGAAUCAGAAGUACAUCCCUAGUAUUCAUUAAACAUACUACCCAAUUUCGUUUCACAAAAUGAAAUUGAUGCAUACUCCUACUCCAAAAUGAGUACAAUUUAUCUGCCAUGUCUACAAAAUGGAUACAGUUUAUCUGCCACGUCUACAAAAUGGAUACAGUUUAUGUGCCAUGUAAGGCAAUUAGCCACUACCACCGACUGUAUAAUAUUACAUAUCACCAUGUACAAUAUUACAGAAUAAUUAAAGCAAAUAGCUCUAUCAACGUGGAUGGAUCACCAUAUAAAGCAGCUCCACCAGAGCUUCCAUGUCUGCAUAUUCAUAUAAAGUAUAAAUUGAAAUAAUUAAAUUCAGAUUGAAUUCCCAAUUGAGAAGUGAAGACUGAAUUCAAUUGAGAAACAUUAUCACCUUUACCUGAUAUAUACAUCUUCCCCCUGAAAGCCUUUAUCGCAAGCUUCAGUCGGUAAUAGGUGAUCUUUGAUGGGUCAACUUUAUCCAAAGAAAUGUCGGCACUGAGAUGCUCAAUGAAUUUGACUGUCAUGAUUUCGCAAGAGGUAUUGUCGGGCCAAUAAGUUUAGAAAUUAGAGCUACACUUAUUUGCAAUAUUGAUAAACUCCACUAAAUUAACAUAGCUUACCCAUCACAUUGUUGCGGAACAUUUCCAAUGCUAUAAAUUGUGAAUGCCGUAAACUUGGACAUCUUCAUUCCCUUUUGCUUCCCCUCUUCAACCUCAGAAGCGUCAUAAAAGCGUAUAUCGUACAACACCCGUGCCAGAAUAUAGCUAAUAGGCUAUUUGACCAGCUUGGAAUUUGAGGUAAAAGCAAUAUAGGAGUCAUACACAGUCGCAAUAUGUCUCAUGAAGUCGAUUUCUACUGCUACCCAAUGGUACCCUUGAAGAGUAUACGGGAAAUACACCUUCCAGACUUUGCUCCAUGGUUGCGCAUACCCAUGUUGCCAUGUACCGUGCAUAAAGUGAUGUAUCUUUUUUAGGUAGCUAGUGGAGGUCAACGGUAUUUAGAGCAGCUGCUUUCUUCGAUACUCGUUUCUUUGCAGGUGGUUUUACCGGCCCUAAAAAUUGCUGCAAACAUUGAAUUUAGGCACAUUACAUAACGAUGAACCAAUGCAACCGAGGCAGUGAAUUUGACAUGUUCACAUUUGUACCCACAAAAAAUAAUCUGUAGUUGUCCAGUCGGUUCCAAACACCAAAGGAUGAGAGAGUUGUCUUUUCCGUAUUAGAAACAUCACCAUGUUAGGGUGUUGAAAGUUGAAGUAAAUAAUAUCACCACGAUUUAAUACAAAUGUACACAAAGUGAAGGUGAGAAAAGAAUUGAAUUAUCCUAAUGAAGUAGGGUACAAAUUCUUACCCUGGACCUUUCCAUUCUGUAUGAUCUACAAGUUUGUAAAAAAAGUCUGGGCCAACUGAACAUGCUUCGAGUUGCACCUCUGCACUACAAUAGGCAAACUUCCAAGGGUCAAUCUUCUAAUCAUUCAACCUUAAAUCGGUUUUCCACGCGGUGCAAAACUCUAUUACUUCCUUGACAUCAUCAAUGGGCACGGGUUUUGUUGAAUCAAAAGAUGACGGGGUUGCCUCCACAGUUGAAACAGUAAUCGUCCUCUUCUUCCUCGAGGGAUCGGUAAAUGGACUCAACAAUAUAGUGGCUGGUCGCUUUUUUCUAUACCCUUUACCUUCCACAUCUUGUCUUUCAACAGUGGCACUACCUUCCUUAAUCGCUUCGUCAUUGCUUAUGAUAGGAGGAUUCAUCUGACCUCCCAAUGCCUUAACGUCAAUCUUUUUCCAAUCCUCUAACAAAGAUAACAAUUUUUUGCAGAUUACUCCACACAUGUCCACAUAUUUCGGAGUAGGAAGCUUCUCAGCUUCUUUCUGCAAACUGAAGUGCCCAUUUCUGCCUCUUAGACUUCCAUUGCUGCAAAGGCGUCAGCUCCAUCACCGGGGACUUGUGCUUCCAUUUCUGUCGGUUCUGUAGUUGGAGUAAUAUAUUCAUGUAAGGGCGACAUGUCAUUGUCGCCUCCUUCGUUGAUAUGAGGACUACGCACUUGGUCAUGUCCUUCAUCACAUUCAUUCAACCCACCAUUUCAUUUUUUCAACUCCUCUUAUCUCUAACUUAAAAUAGUGUUCCAUUGAAGCGAGGGUCUUGCUGAAAUCCUCCACACACUUUUUAUUUUUUUGACACUCUUUCUCAUGUGUCAAAGACUCUUUCUGUACCAUCUCUUCCAAGUCAUGCAUUCUCUUUCUAAGCGCUCAAUUUGAACUGGCUACCUUUGCCAAUUCAUCCUUUGUGGUCACACUUCAAAGUGCGUAACUCAGUCGAUGAGUUUACCAUGUAUACAGUUAUAAAGCAACUGUUACAAUAGUUACCUAAUAUAACCCACAUAUUGCUACUAUAUUGCUAUCAUAUUGCCUAUAUAUUGACUAUAAACUGAUUAUAUAGCAGCGCCAUUGCAAAAAGGUGAUGCUCACCUUAGAAGACGAGGGAAGGGUAGCUGUUUCAUCAACUUCGUCAUCUUUUUCUUCAAUGGAAGUGCUCGCAUUUUCUUCGGCCUCAUCAGCAACCAAUUCAAUAAUUUCUUCAGUGCUUUCAUCAUUGUCACCCCAAGUCCAAUAGGGAUGUUGCUUGUCAAUUAGAGUUGGGCAGAGAAGUUGCACAUCAACCUGCAAUUUACACAUACAAAAUACAUAUAUGUAAACUUAUUAUUUUUUCAUAUGCAGAACAUAAUCAUUAUGCACAUAACUAACCUCAUAGUUUUCGAAUACUUGGCUAAUUAUCUCGUGAAAACGAGCCGAUGUAUUGCCCUCCAUUGUAGUAUACAAAGGAUGUGGCCAUUCUCUUCAUUCACAACAAAAUGCAGUGCAGCCAAUGCUGGAAACACCUCAAAAGCCCAAAUCUAUUUUGAACAAUAAAACAUCAAUCACUGUAAACAAAUUAAAUUUAACUUAUACAUUAAUGGAUAUUUGCUCACUUGAAGUGCAAAGCAAAAACGUUUUAUGCGGUACUCUCUCUUGGUCUACCACUUGACGUUGUGUUUGAUUUCUUUUCAAAUUUUUUUGUUUUGGGGCUCUUUUACUCGAUGGUCAUCUGCACAAAGUGCCCUCAAAAGUGAGGCAUUUGUCUUCGCGUAUGAAACAACGUCCCAAGGAUACUUAUGAAACUCUUCAAGGUAUUUCGACAAUUUCAAAUACCGCAUGUCAAUGUUGACAUGUUUUUCACUACCCAAUAGCACAAAAACAGCAAAAUAUAGAAAUUCAAGCUUCACGACAUCCUCCUUAUCAGUGCAGUCAAUGAAGGCUUUUUCUAGUUCAGAUAGGGCGACAGUAGCCUUAUUGCAGAAGUAUUUCUUUUUCAAUUAGCAGUUUUAGUUAGUUGCAAUUUGAAUGAAAGGAAGGUUUCCGAACCUUAGCCCUGUGAUGACUUAAAACUACUGCGCCGUGAAUUGUAUCACCUUAUUGCCAAUAAUGAAUUUUAUCCUGUGGACCUGGGAAAUUGUCUUUGGAUCAGCCUUCCUCAACAACAACCCGUGGACAAUUUGUGCAGUCCACUUAAGGGCCUCAAUCGGUAAUAGGUGACCAAAACAACCAUCCUUGAACCUUUACAACUAUUGCAUAUUGAAUUUCUCCUUAAUUGUACUGAUGGAGGUCUUUCUAUGGGAAAAGGACAACACCUUUCCCUGGAACUUUUCAUCCUCGUCAAUCAUCAAGUUGACUUUAGAAACCAUAUUUCCCUGCACACCAACAUUAUUCAAAUAAUUUCAGGCCCUUGAAAUAUACACAAUAAUAAAGCAAUAAACUAACAAUACAGAGGCAGAUCAAGGCAAUAGGCACGAGAUAUAUUAGUGAUAAAAGUACAAUAGAGGGGCAAUAGAACCUGAUAUGCAAUGUGUUGUACCUUAAAGGCUUAUAUUUUCUGUCACAAGUCUUGCACUUAUAUUUUCCCAUUUCCUUCUCUUAUAUUUUCCCUCCACAAGGCUUGCUUGCUUUUAUAUUUUCUCACUUCCUUGUCUUAUAUUUUCUCUCCACAAGGCUUCCUAACAAAUGCCACAAAUCCCAUUUGAUACAUCACUUUCAUUUAUAAUGCUCUGUAUAAGACAAUGUAUGGUAUAUUGGAUUAAACUGUGGAAUGAAAUGGCCAUUCCCAUCAAUUGGCAAUCCCCCGAAAUGUGAAAUAAUACCACUUGCAUUUUUAAACCAAUUUUGGUUUCUUAUCUACUCUCAAACUCUCUCCAUACUCCACUCUUUUCUACAUUCCAUUUUACUAAAUCUGGAUUAGAUUCCAUCCACAAACCAAACAACACUCAAUUGUCAAAGUGAUUUCAUGCUCCAAGGAUGAACAUCAUACACGGUUUCAGAGCAAACGCUAAAAGAACUAGCCCAACUGAAUCAAUGCUUCCUACAAUCUACUCAUCACCAUACUGAUAUACAUGUAUGUCAUAAAAGGAGAACAAAUGAAAUAAAAUACAGAUGUUGCUAUAUUUUGUCACAAAGAAAUGCAGAAAUAAUCAUUCAAUUAAUGCAUGCUUACAAACAUACACAAUCAAAAAUCACAAAAUAUGGAACUUGAAUAAUUGAAUCGAGGCAAGUGUUGAACACUCUGAUCUUAAGACGAAUUACGCCCCACACAAGGACUCUUUGAACCAGAUUAUGUAGGAAACUCUCUCUGUGUUCAAAUAGAUAAACAUUGACUGAAUCAAUUCCCUUAUUUUAAUUGCAAGAAGACUACUGUAUUUAUAGAUACUAAAGAACCCUCUCCAAAAGGGUAUGUCCCAAUAUAAAAAAACCAAUUAAUGCAUCCAUUGAAUAAACAAGUGCUUUGAUACCUUUUCCUGAAAAAUUGACAAAGGACACCAUCGUCCAAUGAACUAUAUUAAUUUCCAUUCAAAUAGGAAAAUAAAUAUUAGUUAAUAUUAAAUUUCCAACAAAAGCUACUGCAACUGCAAAACAAACUAUAAAGAUUCAUGUGGCUAAUGUAGAGACUAUAAAUGAACACUUACAAUUUCCCUUCUUUGGAUGAAACAAAACAACAAAGAAACACAGAAUCCAAUUGCAUAAAUCGCCAAAACCAUUAAAACCACAAUGGAACGGGAAUAAAACCAUAAUAAACUAGCAAUACAAUAGCACUACAAUGCCAAUAAAACUCCACUAAAAUGGCAAUCCAACAGCAAAAAAUAGCAAUACAACAUCAAUAACAACAACAAAACAACAACAGUAAAGCGAAUCUGAAAUCAAAUGCAAGAAUCAAUCCCCAAAGAACAAACCCCUUCACUGUUUCAAACAAGGAAUCAUCAGAAUCAAACAAUUUCAGAGAAACCCCUAAACCCUAAACCAAUUUAUAAGAAAACUCUAAACCAAUUUCAUAGAAACCCAUAAACCCUAAACCAAUUUCAAAGAAGCCCCUAAACCCUAAACCAAUUUCGGAGAAACACCUAAAUCAAUUUCAUAGUAUUAGCCGUACGAUCUUUAAUAUUAUUGUGCAUGUUUUGAUGAUAACAAAUUGUUCCUUAUUUAUCUAAUGUAUUUCAAGUGUGUUAAGUUGUAAGGAGCAAGUAUUCUCAAAUGGAUCAAAAAUACUGUACACACUCGAAGACUUUUGGAACAUUAAAGCAAGAAGCCGAUACUCAAGCACAUAUUUCUUCAAUAUGGAAGAGUUAGGUUAUUCUUGUAAAACUCUUUGUGAAUUGAACAUCUAAGGCUCUUUACUAAGAUCGACCUUAGGUUCCUUCAUGCAUUCAUAUCAUACAUGCAAAACUGUUUUAUCAAAAUUUGGGCUAAGUAUGAAAAAUGCUUUUUCAAAAUAAUCAUUUUCUCAAGAUUAUUUUUGGUGGCUUUUAUUCCCCACAUAUCAAAUAAGAAAACCUGAUUUUAUGAGAUUUGUAUAUGAAGUAUAUAUUGACUUAAUAAGCCUUCAUUUUUAUUCCAAAUCGCAUGUUGAACUAAAACUGAUUUUUCAUAUUUUGAUUUGGUGGGAAUUUGAUACAAUUUUGUAAGUUGGUUAUUGGAAUAUGAAUUUAUACUUUUGUGUAUUGUCCUUAAUGAAACAAUUGCUUCAAUCCAUUUGAGUCAGAAAAUAAAAGAUUUAAUGAAGUUCUUCACAACAAGUAUAACUGAGGUAUGUCGUUGAGCAGCAUGUGCAAACACAUCCACUAUCAACAAAUUAGGAUGUUUACAAAGUGUUUGGCAACCUCACAACCCAAACCCCAAAUACACCCAAUAACACUCACCACACAAAAACAAAUAUAGGAUGAAAUUAUGAACCUCAACUAGUGCUCUCUGGGCCCGAGUGCUAAAAGGGCGUUAUUUUCCUGAUGUUGAUUUGACCAAUGCCAUUGGUGGAGCUAGACCUUCAUGGGUUUGGACAAUUCUUCAGGAAGGAAAAUGGGCAGUCAUUGAUGGAGGUCGAAUACAGAUCCUAAAUGGUGAGAAUAUAUACUUGUAUCUGGUCUGACAGCUGGCUCUCCCCUCCACAAGAUGGUCACAUUUCUCCGAUCAACCCUGUCCUCCCUUCUGCAGAGAUUGGACUAUUCUACCCCUAAUCAAUCAGAUUUGCAGGAUGAAGUCCAACUUGAUGAGAUUUUGAAAAUAUGCUGAGCUUAGUUUCUAGAACUGAGGAAGAAAAAUGAAGCUAAGAGAGGAUAGAGAGAUUGUUGAGAGAAGAGAGAGCGUCUGUUACUGCACAAUGAAUAUAGGAAUACACACACACACACACACUCUCUGAUUUCAUUCCAACAGAAUUAUCCCCUUUACAAUGAAUGGAAAAGAACAGAUUUAGCCUUACAAAAUGUGUCAGCAAUGUGAGCUAUACACUUGGCAUAAAUCUAGGACAUAUAAGUCCUCCAAUAUGGUGGCAUCUAAGACUUACACUUGUCUAACUAUGGAUUAAACUAGAAAACAAUUUAUAUUUCAACAUUCCCUUCUAAAUUGUUAACUGGUUUAACUCCAAGUAAACCUCUCAAAUAGUUGAACCGAUCCUUAGGUAGAGGUUUUGUGAAAAUGUCAGCCACUUGUUCUUCAGACUUGCAGUACCUCAAGUCCACUACACCUUCUUGUAAGGCAUCUUGAAUGAAGUGAUAUAUGUGGUUGGUAUGCUUGGUCUUUCGAUGGAAAAUAGGAUUUCUGGUCAUUGCAAUGGCAGAAGUAUUAUCUACCAUCAAUGGAGUUGCUUCUGUCUACAAUUCACCGAAAUCCUCUAGCACAAACCUCAACCAUAUAGCCUGAGUAGUUGCUUCACUUGCACUGACGUACUCAGCUUUAGUUGUGGAGAGAGCAACACUAUGUUGCUUGACAGAUGCCCAGGAAAACACACCACUUCCAAAAGAGAAAGCAUAUCCUGAGGUCCUCUUCAUGUCAUCUUGACUUCCACUCCAGUCACUAUAGCAAUAUCCGAUUAAUACAGUUUCUUUUCCUUUCUGAUAUUCAAUACCAUAAUCAAUUGUGCCUUGGAUAUACCUCAAAAUCCUCUUAGCUGUUCCAUAGUGUUUCUUUGUAGGACAAUGCAUGAACGUAGCUAAUAAGCUAGCUACAAACAUUAUGUCAGGCCUUGUAGCCGUUAAAUACAAGCUUCCCACAAUCUGCCUAUACUCAUUCUCAUCUGCAGGAUCACUUCCCUCAUCUUUGCAUAGUUUCUCACUUGCCGCCAAAGGAGUACUAACAGGCUUACAUUACUUUAAACUAAACUUGCUCAACAAUGUCAAUGCAUACUUCUUUUUGUUUAUGAAGAUGCUAUUUUCAGUUUGAAUCACAGCCAUUCCGAGAAAAUGAUAGAAAAAACCUAAGUCAGUCAUUUUAUACCUUCUCAUCAUUUCAGACUUGAACUCUGCAAUCAACUCUCCACUACUUCCUGUGUACACUAUAUCAUCAACAUAAAUUAAGACAAUUAGUGUUCCUGAAUCUUCCUUAGUCUUGUAGUAUAAUGUAGCCUCACUUGUGCUUCUGACAUACCCACAGCUGAUGAGAUGAGCAUGAAUUUCUUCAUACCAGGCCCUUGGUGCCUGUUUUAAACCAUACAAGGCUUUCUUCAAUUUGUACACCUUAUCCUCAUAGUGUUUAAUCACAAAACCAUCAGGCUGAUCCACAUAUACCUCCUUCUUAAGCACACCAUUUAGAAAUGCAGACUUGACAUCUAACUGGUAUAGCUUCCAACCUUUCUGAGCUACCAAAGCUAUGAGAGUUCUAAUAGUAUCUAGCCUAGUCACAGGAGCAAAAGUCUCAUUGAAGUUGAUUCCAGGCUUCGGUUCAUAGCCUUUGACCACCAACCUAGCUUUGUGCUUCUGUAUUGAGCCAUCAAGAUUCAAUUUGGUUUUAUAAACCCACUUAACACCAAUUACAGAUUUCUCACUUGCUCUGUCAACUAGCUCCCAAGUCUCAUUCUUCUCAAUCAUUUCCAUCUCGGCUUCCAUGGCCUGUUGCCAAGCUUUGUCCCUUGAGGCUUCUUCAAAAUUUUAUGGCUCAAUGAUGCUCAUAUUGCAUCGAGCAUAUAUCUCAGUUAUAUCUCUGAGCUUCACAGGAGUAUAACUUGGUGAUUCACCUUGUGCGUCAGCAUUAGAGGAACUUGAAAUUAUUUUAGUUACACCAGCGUCAUCUUUAGUUUGAAAUUCUUGUGCAAAUGGAGUUGUAACAUCAUAAUCUUCUUCAGUAACAUUAGAAUGCUCUCCAAAACUCAUAGGAAUUGUGACAUAUUCCACAUUAUGCUUCUCCCAAUUCCAUAAAGAUCCUUUAUCAAAGAUCACACUUCUAGAGACUUCAAUUUUCUUAGUGUGCAGAUUAUAAACUCUAUAGCCCUUCUCACAUUUGCCAUAGCCAACAAAAAUGCAUUUGACAGCUGAAUCAUCUAACUUUGAUCUCAGCUAACUAGGUACAUGACAAAAGCAUAUAGAGCCAAAUACCUUUAAAUGUUUGACUCUUGGUUUCCUUGCACUAAAAGCUUGAAAUGGGGUUGAACUUUCCAAGGCUCUUGUGGGACACUUGUUUUGAAUAUAGAUAGCAGUAUUUACUGCUUCUCCCCAGAAAUUGAAUGGAAGUCUCUUCUCAUUCAUCAUUGCCUUGCUCAUUUCAAUAAUAGUUCUAUUUUUUCUCUCAACAACCCCAUUUUGCUGAGGUGAGUAAGCCACAGUGAGCUGCCUUUCCAUGCCCACAUCUUCACAAAACUUUAGAAAUUCCAUUGAGGUAUACUCUCCUCCUCUAUCACUUAUAAGCCUUUUGAUUUUGUAGCCACUUUGCAGUUUCACCAUAACCUUGAACUUCUUGAAAAUACCAAACACUUCAGACUUGUAUUGCAUGAAAUACACCCAACACAUUCUAGUGCAGUCAUCAAUAAAAGUCAAGAAGUAUCUGCUUAGUUGUGGUCCGCAUUGGUCCACAAACAUCUAAGUGAAUGAGUUCUAGUGGCUCACUUGCUCUCCAAGUCUUUUCUUUACCAAAGGAUUCUCUAUGUGCUUUCCCCAUUGCACAACCUUGGCAAAUUCUCUCUGCACUCCCAAUUUCUGGCAGUCCAUAAACUAUUUCUUGUUGUUGUAACAAUCUCAAACUUUGUAUAUUGAGAUGACCAAACCUCCUAUGCCAACACCAAGUAGAGUCUUCAACUGUUGCCUUCAUAGCCAUAGAGGUCACAUAUUUCAGUGAGAGUGGAAAGCAUCUAUUUCCUGUCAUUGGAACUUUAGCAACCAAGUGCUCCAUUGAACUGUCAUCAAAUAUCUCCACCAUUGAUUUUCCAAAAAAAUAGAAAAUAUCCAUGUUUCACUAUCUGACCAACACUGAGCAGAUUUUCAUCCAACCUUGGUACAAGCAUGACUUCUUUAAUAUAUCUAGGCCCAAAUUUAGUGUCAAUCACUAAAGUACCUUUCCCAGUGCUCUGCACCAAAUCUCAUGUGCCCAUUUUUACCUUUGCAGUGACAUUGGUAUCAAUAUUAACCAGAAGUGAUUCAUGUGAGGUCAUGUGAUUGCUACAAGCACUAUCCACAUACCACACAUCAUUGUUUUGCAGUUAGCUGUACCUUCUUCCCUUUUAUGUGCUGCAUAGUUAGCUGUUUGAGCCAGUUUGCCUAUGCAGUCCUUGGUUAUAUGACCAAACCUAUCACAUUUGUAGCAUUUCGGCUUGCCUUUGAACCAACAAGCACCAUAGUGAAGCUUGUCACAGGUUUUGCAAGGAACCUUUACUCCUUCAGCAUGAUUUUCCUUCUUGGAAUUAUUUUUAGACUUAGCAUCCCCUUUCUUCUAUUUUUGUGGUUUCCAGUUCUUCUUAGAUUUUGAACAUCUAGAUUCACUUGUGUUUGAUUGAUCUCUAGGACUAACACUUAGACUAGAAAAUGCAUUUUCUGUCAAUUUUUCAGUGUGCCUUUGCAAUCGUUGUUCAUGUGAUUUCAAAGAGCCUAUAACUUCCUAAACACUUAUAGUCUCAGUGUCCUUUGUUUCUUCUAUCACUUCAGCAAUGGAACCAUACUCUCUAGACAAACUAAUCAAAAGUUUCUACACAAUCCUUCGAUGAGCAAUCUCUUCACCAUAUGCUUUCAUGUGAUUUACUAACUCAAGCAACUUAGUUAUAUAAUCAGACAAGGAAUCAUCCUCUUGCAUACGAAUGUAUUCAAAUUCCCUUCUAAGUGCUUGAAGUUUUACAGAUCUUACCUUCUUAUCUCUUCUGAACUCUUGCUGCAAAAUUUCCCAUGCUUCUUUGGCCGAUUCCUUCAGUGCAAUUCUAGGAAAAAUAUGAUCAGAAACUGCAUUUUGAAUAAGUCCCAAUGCCUUAGCAUCAUUUAAAACAUUCUCUUCCAGUGCAAGCUUUUGAGCUGCAGUAAAAGCUUCACCAUCCUCUUUCUUCACUGGUUGUUCAUACCCAUUUUCAACCAUAUCCCAAAGCUUGUGAGAUUUGAAGAUCGUACACAUUUUUAUUCUCCAGAAAUCAUAGUUGCUUCCAUUGAAGAUGGGAGAACGUAGCUCACCCAUUCCAGAUCCAGCCAUGUGAGACUAGAGAUAGAGAUUAACUCAGCUAGAUUGCUACGAUUUCACAAUGCCUAGUCUCAGAUCGAAACCUAGGCUCUUGAUACCAUGAUGAGAUUUUGAAAAUAUGCAGAGCUUAGUUUCUAGAACAGAGGAAGAAAAAUGAAGCUAAGAGAGGAUAGAGAGAUCGUUGAGAGAAGAGAGAUCGUCUGUUACUGCGCAAUGAAUAUAGCAAUGCACACACACACACACACACACACACACACACUCUCUCUCUCUGAUUUCAUUCCAACGGAAUUAUCCCCUUUACAAUAAGAGAAAACAGGAUUGGGAAUCGUACCGACUACUCCCCCGUAGUUGAUCUGAUACCUAGGUUUGAGGGAAUGUGAUUACGGAUUUUGAGGUGGGACCCACUUAUUUUUUCAUUCUUGAUUGCAAGUAAACGCAAGGGAAGUCAUGAAUGAAAAUCAUUCCCUUUCCUCCCAUACCCAUUACUGAUACGUAAACAUGCCCUGAAUGGAAAAGAACAGAUUUAGCCUUACAAAAUGUGUCAGGAAUGUGAGCUGUACACUUGACAUAAAUCUAGGACAUAUAAGUCCUCCAAUAUGGUGGCAUCUAAGCCUUACACUUGUCUAACUAUGGAUUAAACCAGAAAAUAAUUUAUAUUUGAACACAACUUUGAGUCAGUUGAGUGGUUUUGGUCCCCUCGGAAUUUGAACAUGAAGUGGCAAGGAUUGGUUUGGGUGCUGUGGAUCUGCAAAGAUGGGCUGAUAGGCCACCUCCGUCCCUAGUUCGUGUUCUGGUUUCAGAUGGUCUCCCUUGUCCCCCGUAAGGGACCUGGGUGGUGUUUGAAGGAAAGAAAUCAUGCUAGGUUUUGGAAGUGGCUGUAGCUUUGUCUUUCUCUUGUCUUGUUUCCUAUUUCUGGUUUGCUUUUGCAACUUUGUAAUUCCUCUGUUGCACACCUUUGUUGUGCUUUUGAAUGAAAUCCAUGAUUACGACCAAACCAAAAAAAAAAGUAACUGAAGUUAAGAAAAUGUGGAUUUUUAGUCCUUAUAAUCUUAAGAGUUUUUUUUUUUUUAAAAUUUUCUUUCCCUUUUUCCUAAAAUUUUUUUUCUUAUUUAUAAUUAUAUUUCGCGUAACUGCCUCAGUGUCGACCACGAGCAAUGGCGAUGACAUCAUCACCCUAAUGCACGGCUCCGAUCCAGUCCGAGUUGACUAUUAUAUCCAGCAGCUUCACUUAACAAACAGGUGGAUUAUUAGAACACCCACCUUUUGGGACAUAGACAUGGUGAAAGACUAGAUUACAAAAGUCUUAGCAAUGGUGUUAAAGCUGUGUCAGUUUUAAGUAAAAUUUCCAAUUGGACUCUUUUAACCUUUACCCCCCAAAAAAAAGAACUUAAAAAUCCUUUACCACAUGAUUUAGCCAUAUUGUUAUUCUCAGUUUUGUUCUGUUCGAUUUUUUAUUGAUGUCUUCUUCUGAGUGAGAUAAUUAUAGGUUUAUUACAAAAUUAUCAAGAUUUUAAGAACCAUGUUGAAUUUUAUUUAUCAAUGUAUUGCUCUUUCUUACAAGGGAGAAACUUUAUGUUCAAUCAGAAAUGGGACCAUCUGAUUAUUUUUCUGUUGGUUAAUGAUUCCAGUUGACAGAUGAACUAAACAGGGUGGAUGAAAAGCUGAAAGCAACUGAAACCCUUCUGGAAAGCAAUGUUGAGAGUGUUUGUCCAACUCCUCCCAUUGCCAAUUGGUUUUGGGGUGGUACCUCAACUUCCUUCAUGGUAUCAGAGCAAGGCUUCACUGUUGGGCCCAGCCGCCACACGUGCUCCCAUCUCACCCAAUAUGUGUUGUCCACGUGUUAGGCUUGAAAGUUCGCCACACGUGCGGGGGGCGUGUUGAGAGUGUUUGUCCCACAUUGAAAUGUUAAGGGACCUAGCCUGGGUUUAUAAGGAGUUGGGCUACUCCCCCUAUUGCCAAUUGGUUUUGGGGUGGAACCUCAACUUCCUUCAAGCAAGGUACUAGUUGUAUUUUCCUUUGCUGCCUCAUUGUACUAUCUUCUGUAACCAACAAAUGCAUUUCUGUUUGCAAUAUAAUGAGUACAGAAUGAUAUGCAGAAUCUUGAGAUUAAGAAAAUAAAUGAUGAGAAAAAAGCAGCUUUGGCUGCACAAUUUGCAGCGGAAGCCACACUUCGAAGAGUUCAUGCUGCACAAAAAGAUGAUGAAAUGGCCCCCAUUGAAGCCAUCAUUGCUCCACUGGAAGCAGAGCUUAAGCUUGCUAGGCAGGAGGUAUAUACUUUCCUUCUGCAAUACUAUGACCUCAAUUUGUAUUUGCAUCUAUUCUUUUAUUCAACAUUCUUAAGACAGAUAGGAUUGUUGUAAAACUUUUGAUGUAGUAAUGUUCUGUGUCAAUUUUCACCGUCUAUUUUGGUUUCCAUAUUGGUUUAUACAUGUGAGGUUUAGAAUGUUCAUAAUGUAUUGGGUUUCCAUAUUCUUACUGUCUUUAUGGGUCUAUUGAUUCAUGCACAUGAAAAGAAAAAUAACGAGUUAAUUUUUUUUUUUAAAAAAAUACCUUUUCAUAGUUUUCAUGCGAAUGCUCCAAAACUCAUAGUUUUCUCCAUUGAAAACUAGCGUGCGAAGCUCAGCAGUGCCUGACCUUGCCAUAUUAGACUUUGGAUUCAAACAGAUAUGCCUCUUGGAAUAUUGAGUGAGCUCGAUUUCAGCUCAAACAAUCACCAGCUUUUGAUUUGCACAGAUUCACGCCCAGCAACCAAUCGAACCUGGCUCUGAGGCCAUGUUAGAAUUCUAUGGUUGUUUGUAAAUUUUAGAGAAAAUGAGCAAUGUUUAGAAAGGAAGAGAAUGAUGAGAAGAAUGACUGUCUAUCUGUAUUCUUUCACACUCUAUUUGCUUACAUAGUAUACUCGGUAGUGAGUAGAGAGAAGAGAUUCUUCUCUAACAGAAUUGCAGCUGUCACCCUAUGAGGUGUUUACACUUGUCAUCCCAAAACUAAGCUAGAGAAUCCACCUGGACUAUGAUCCAAUGGUUCUAAUUACAUCUCAAAUGAAAUAAACAUAAAUGAUAGUAAUAGAGCUUGGUGACUUUAGCUUCAAGGAAAGCAGCUGCAGGAUUACAUUCCAACACUCCCUUCUAAUCCUUUAGCUAUUUUCACACCAAGCAGGCUUCUUAAACUAACGAAGCGAUCCUUAGGCAGAGCCUUGGUCAAAAUAUCAGCAAUUUGAUCUUCUGUCUUGCAGUAGAUUAGUUCAAUUUCUUUUGCUAGAAUAGCUUCCCUGAUGAAGUGAAACUUCCGACUGAUAUGUCUAGUUUUCUGGUGAUGAACUAGAUUCCUUGCCAUUGCAAUAGCAGAGGUGUUAUCACAUAGGAUUUGUGUACCUUCUACUUGUUCUUCACCAAAAUCUUCAAGCACAAAUCUUAGCCACUUAGCUUGUGAAGUUGCUUCUGCAGCACUCACAUACUCAGCUUCUGCCGUGGACAAAGCAACUGUGUUUUGCUUGAUAGAACCCAAGAGAACAUGCCUGAGCCUAGUGUGAAAGCAUAUCCAGAGGUGCUUCUCAUAUCAUCCUCACUCCCUGCCCAAUCACUGUCACAAUACCUUAUUAGAGUAGUUGUUUUCCCUUUCACAAACUCAAUGCCAAAAUCAAGUGUGCCUUGUAUGUAUCUCAAAACUCUUUUGGCAGUUCCCAAAUGCUUCUUUGUGGGAUUGUGCAUGAACCUAGCAAGUAAGCUAGAUGCAAACAUUACAUCUGGUCUUGUGGCAGUCAAGUAGAGCAGGCUCCCUACUAUUUGUCUGAAUUCACUUUCAUUUGCAGCUUCACUUCCAUCUUCUUUACAUAAUUUUUCAUUCACCACAAGUGGAAUUGCCACUGACUUGCAGUCCUUCAUUCCAAACUUCUCAAGAAGUUUCAUUGCAUAUUUCUUUUGGUGAAUGAAAAUGUGCCUAUCUGUUUGAAUCACUCCCAUGCCAAGAAAGUGAUGCAACAACCCCAAGUCUGUCAUCUCAUAGUGUUGCAUCAUAUCUUGCUUAAACGCUUCAAGUAGUUUGGGACAACUACCAGUAUAUAUAAUGUCAUCUACAUAAAGUGAGACAAUAAUAAUACCUGCAGUGUCAUUUGUUUUGACAUAAAGAGUAGCUUCACUAGAGCUCUUUUUGAAUCCUGCAUUGUUGAAAUAGGCAUCUAUUUCAUCACACCAGGCCCUUGGAGCUUGUUUCAGUCCAUAUAUAGCCUUGUUCAACUUGUAAACUUUGGUUUCCUUAUUCUUUUGUUCAUAUCCUUGUGGCUGUUCAACAUAGACUUCCUCCUUUAGAAUGCCAUUGAGAAAGACAGACUUCACAUCCAACUGAUACAAACUCCAUUCCUUUUGUGCAGCAAGGGCAAUCAAGGUUCUGAUGGUAUCUAGCCUUGCCACUGGGGCAAAUGUUUCAUUGUAAUCGAUCCUAGGCUUUUGUGAGUAGCCUUUAGCCACUAGUCUAGCUUUAUUCUUCUGCACAGUGCCAUCUAGAUUAAGCUUGACCUUGUAGACCCACUUGACACCAAUUACUGGUUUGUCAAAUGGUCUGUCAACUAAUUCCCAUGUAUUGUUCUUUUCAAUCAUCUCUAAUUCAGCCUUCAUUGCAUGUCUCCAUGAUUCAUCCAAAUCAGCUUCUUCAAAACUGUCAGGUUCCACAAUGCACAUGUUACAUUUUGCCAUGAUGUCACUAAUACUCCUCCACUUAUGAGGUGUGUGAUCAAACACUUGAGACCUGUCAAGUAUUUCCUCAUCUUGAGGUACAGUUUCUUCUUCCACUUGCAUUUGAGUAUUCAAGAUUUGAGUUGGUUCAUCAACUACCAUCUGUUCAUGUUCUGCAUUAUCCUGGUUUUCCAUUUGCAUAGGCAUUCUCAACUCUUCAUUACUAGUGUUUUCCUAUUUCCAUGAAGUAGUUUCAUCAAAAUAUACAUCUCUAGACAAGAUAAUUUUUCUAGUUCUAGGAUCAUAUAACUUGUACCCCUUUUCACAAAGUCCAUAGCCAACAAGAAUGCAUUUGUGACUGUUUUCUUCCAGCUUGUGCCUUAGUGCCGAAGGAAUGAGCACAUGACAUAAGGCUCCAAACACUUUCAAGUGUGCAAUACCUGGCUUCCUUCUAGUGUAUGCCUCAAAUGGUGUCACUUCUUUAAGAGACUUAGAAGGACAUCUGUUGAGUAGAUAUACUGCAGUAUUGACAGCUUCUGCCCAAAAUUCAUAAGGAAGCCCUUUUUCAUGUAGCAUAGACUUUGCCAUCUCUAUCACAGUCCUGUUCUUCCUCUCAACUACUCCAUUUUGCUGAGGGGAAUAUGCUACAGUCAGCUGCCUUUGUAUUCCAGCUUCACUGCAGUACUCAUGAAACUCAUUUGACAUGAAUUCUCCACCUCUGUCACUUCUAAGAGAUUUCACCUUAUGUCCACUUUGCAGUUCUGUCAUAGCCUUGAACUUCUUGAAACAUUCAAAGGCAUUUGACUUAUUUCUGAGGAAAUAGACCCAAGCCAUUCUAGUACAAUCGUCUAUGAAUAACAGGAAAUACCUGUUUUCUGACAUUAAUGCAGUUUGCAUUGGUCCACAGAUGUCUGUGUGUACCAACUCUAGUGGAAACUGGGCUCUCCAAGUGGAUUCUGCAGGGAAUGAGUCUCUAUGUUGCUUUCCUAGCUUGCAGCCUUCACAAACUUCAAAAUCCUUUUCUAAACUGGGUAAGCCAUGAACCAUGCCUUGAUUUGCAAGUAGCCUAAUGCUUUGAUCAUUUAGAUGCCCCAGUCUUUUGUGCCAAGUUUGCAAGCUGUGUGUCACACUAGCUUUUAGCACCAACUGAGUAGCUGGCACCAUUGUGAGGGGAAAGCACCUGUUGCUAGUCAUUUGAACUUUAGCAAUGGGGUUUUGCAGUGACCAGUCAUCAAAGAUUGUCACCAUUCCCUUUCCAAAUAUCAGGCAAUUUCCAUGCUUCAUCAUCUGCCCAACACUGAGCAAAUUCUCUUCUAAUCCAGGCACCAACAUCACUUCUUGAAUGUGCUUUCUUCCUGCUUUGGUGUCUAUCACAAGUGUGCCUUUCCCUACAACUUGAACUGUCUCUCCAGUCCCCAUUUUCACCUUGGAAUUUACAUCCCUUCUAAUAUCUACCAAUAGCCUUUCAUCUCCAGUCAUGUGGUUACUACAACCACUGUCAACAUACCAUGAAUUGUUCAAUUUCACAUCUGUCACAACAUUGCAUGCAUAAAACAGAGUUCCAGUUUCUUCAAUCUGAUUAGCAUAAUUCACCUUCUGUACAGAUUGAUUCCCAUGGCAAUCUCUGAGUAUGUGUCCAAACUUUCCACACUCUCUGCAUUUUGGUUUUCCUUCAUACCAACACUUGCCAUAGUGUAGUUUCUCACAGUGCUUGCAGGGUGUUUUGGUUCCUUCAUUUGAUGCAUUUGGUUUAGGAUUAGAAUUGGACUUGUUAUUCCAAUUCUUUCCAUUUUACUUCCAGUUCUUCUGAGAUUUGUGAUUUCCAGAAGAACUUCCACUCUUAGAGCUUUUACUCUCUAUGUUCAGGCUAGUAAAAGCCUUUUCUGUGGAAUUUUCAGUAUGCCUAUCCAAUCUGAGCUCAAAGCUCUUCAGAGAUGCAACCACUUCUUGAAUUUCAAGAGUGUCAAGGUCCUUGGAAUGCUCAAUCACAGAGCAUAUAGAAUCAUACGAUUUAGGCAAACUAAUCAGCAAUUUCUGCACAACUCUUUCUCUAGGCAGCUCUUCACCAUAACUUUUCAUUUGAUUAAUUAAAUCAAAUAGUUUAGCAAUGUAAACAGACAAUGGUUCACUAUCCUUCAUACAAGUAUAUUCAAACUCUCUACGUAAACCUUGCAGCUUAACACUUCAUACCUGUUUAUCGCCUCUAAACUCCUGCUUUAGAAUAUCCCAUGCACCCUUUGAGGUUUCUUCAUUCACUAUUCUGGGGAAGAUUUGGUCUGAGACUGCACUUUGGAUCAAUCCAAGUGCACGAGCAUCCUUCAUCAAGAUCUCAGCCAUCGUAGACUUCUCCACUUCAGCAACCUUAGAUCCUUCGUCUUUUUCCAUUCCCUGCUUUGGAUCAGAAACAUCAAAACCAUUUUCAACCAAAUCCCAUAACCCAUGAGAUUUCAAAAUAGUUUUCAUGCGAAUGCUCCAAAACUCAUAGUUUUCUCCAUUGAAAACUGGCUUGCGAAGCUCAGCAGUGCCUGACCCUGCCAUAUUAGACUUUGGAUUCAAACAGAUACGCCUCUUGGAAUAUUGAGUGAGCUCGAUUUCAGCUCAAACAAUCACCAGCUUUCGAUUUGCACAGAUUCACGCCCAGCAACCAAUCGAACCUGGCUCUGAGGCCAUGUUAGAAUUCUAUGGUUGUUUGUAAAUUUUAGAGAAAAUGAGCAAUGUUUAGAAAGGAUAAGAAGGAUGAGAAGAAUGACUGUCUAUCUGUAUUCUUUCACACUCUAUUUGCUUACAUAGUGUACUCGGUAGUGAGUAGAGAGAAGAGAUUCUUCUCUAACAGAAUUGCAGCUGUCACCCUAUGAGGUGUUUACACUUGUCAUCCCAAAACUAAGCUAGAGAAUCCACCUGGACUAUGAUCCAAUGGUUCUAAUUACAUCUCAAAUGAAAUAAACAUAAAUGAUAGUAAUAGAGCUUGGUGACUUCAGCUUCAAGGAAAGCAGCUGCAGGAUUACAUUCCAACAUUAACAUAUGGAAUUAUCAUAUAGUACCAUAGAUGACCUGCAAUGAUUAUUGUUGGCCUAUUGUCAAGAUGCAUAUAGGAUAGUGAUAGAGACUACCCUGUAUCCAGGACCUUAAAACAGAUAUCCCAUCUGGAAAAUUUUGCAUAGACCAUAUAUAAUGCUUUCCCAAAAAUAUUUGCAAAUUGAGUAGACGGGAUAUAUGUGUGUGUGUGCGCAUGCCGGUGGUCUAAGAUGGUUUAUUUUUCUUUAAGAAGUGGCGGUGGAAGUGAAAACAGAUCGAGAAAGGAACAGUUAAUUUUAUUUGAGAUUUAAAAUGAAAUAUUUGACAUGAUUUUUGUAGGGAGAAAUGCAAUAACUUCGAGACAAACUGGCAGUAGCUGAGCGUACUGCAAAGACAGAAGCACAAUUAAAGGUAUCACUACUACAUUUUACACUUUGCGCGACGAAGUUAAUUUCGUCGCGCAAAAUAAAUUGUGGUCGCACAAAUUUCAGCGCCACAAAAAUUUCGUCGCGCAGAAUCCGUCGCGCAAAGACUUUGCGCGACGAAGUUUUUUCAUUGGUCGCGCAAAGUUACUUUGCGCGACGAAAAAAUAUUGGUCGCUCAAAGUAACUUUGCGCGACGAACGCAAAGUGACUUUGCGCGACGAAAAAUAUUGGUAGCGCAAAGUUUUGCGCGACGAAAUACAUUGGUCGCGCAAAGGUUUGCGCGACGAAAUACAUUGGUCGCGCAAAGUUUUGCGCGACGAAAGACAUUGGUCGCGCAAAGUCUUAAAAAAAUUCCCGCGUCAAAUUUUUGGUACCCGCCCAAAUUUUUAGAGUUUUACGCGACAAAUAGUAACGUCGCGCAAAUAUUUGCGCGACGAAAUAUUUUUUGUUUUAAAUUUUUUUAAUUUGAAAUAAACUAAUUUAAUAGUUUGCGCUACGAAAUAUUUUUUCUUUAGUAUGAAUUUAUUUAUAUGAAUUUUUUCAAAUUUUUACUUUUAAAAUUUAAUUUAAUUGUAUGAUUUCUUUUUAAAAUUACUUCAAUUUAAAUUGAUAUUAAUUUUUUCAAAUUUUUACUUUUUAAAUUUAAUUUAAUUGUAAGAUUUUUCUUAAUUACUUUAAUUUAAAUUGACAUAUUCAAAAUAAAAUUACAUAUGAAAAAUAGUGAUCAAAUUAUCCAAUAAAUAUAAAUAUCUAUUCAAAAUGUACAUAUAAAUUAACAAAGUACAAUAAUAAAAUCCUAAUACAAGCGUAUUGUGGUGGUAGUGGCGGAGGAUAUGUUUUGAUAGCUUCCUAAUCCUCAACUUUAGCCGUCAAAGUCUCGAUGAUUCCCUACAAAAAAACAAAUAUAGUCAAAUAACAACAACAACAACAAAAAGAAUGCACAAUCUCCCCUAAAAUUGUUAUACCGCAAAUCCAACCCAAACUCCAAUCUCUCCCCUUUACUCAACCCCAAACCCCACACAAACUCAAAACUAACUCCAAAAACACAUAUUAAUGAAAAAAAUUUAAAAUUUGGAGAGAAUAUACCUUUUGGCAAGAUUGAGAGUGAGUGAGAAUGAGAGGGAGAAGUGAGUGUGAGAGAAUUAGAAAAGAUAGUGAUAGAGAGAUGAGAGAGUGAGAGAUAGUGAAAAGAUAGAUGAGAGAGUGAGUGAGAGUGAGAGAUAGUGAAGAUAGAGAUGAGAGAUUAAGUGAAAGGAGUUAGUGUGAGAGAAAGGGUGGGAUUUGGGGAAAGGGAAAGAGAGAGGAGAGGUAAGAGUAGAGAAAGAAAUUGAGAAAAUGGUGGAGGAGUUAUUUCAGUUUUAAAAAUCGUAUCACUUUGCGCGACGAAAAUAUGGUUGGUCGCGCAAAUUUUUGCGCGACGAAACAUAUUGGUCUCGCAAAGUUUUGCGCGACGAAUAGAGGAAUAUUGGUCGCGCAAAGUCUAAAAAAAAUUAUUUUUUUAAAAAAAAAAUUCCCGCAUCCCAUUUUUGGUACCCGCCAAAAUUUUUAAAUUUUUGCGCGACGAAAAAUAAUUAUUGGUCGCGCAAAGUCUAAAACAAUUAUAUAUAAAAAAUUCCCGCGUCCCAUUUUUGGUACCCGCCCAAAUUUUUGCGCGAAGAAAAAUAUGUAUUGGUCGCGCAAAGUUUUGCACGACGAAACAUAUUGGUCUCGCAAACUUUUGCGCGACGAAUAUAGGAGUAUUGGUCGCGCAAAGUCUAAAAAAAAUUCCCGCAUCCCAUUUUUGGUACCCGCCAAAAUUUUUAAAUUUUUGCGCGACGAAAAAUACAUAUUGGUCGCGCAAAGUCUAAAACAAUUAUAUAAAAAAAUUCCCGCGUCCCAUUUUUGAUACCCGCCCAAAAUUUUUGCGCGACGAAAAAUAUAUAUUGGUCGCGCAAAGUUUUGAGCGACAAAAAAUAUUGGUCGCGCAAAGUCUAAAGUUUUUUUUUUAAUAUUAAAAACCCGCGUCCCAUUUUUGGUACUCGCCCAAAUUUUUUGAGUUUUGCACGAUGAACUGUUGAUCGCGCAAACUUUUGAGAGACGAAAAAUUGGUUCGUAGCACAAUAUUUAUAAAAAUAAUUGUUAUGAAUAAUAAAAAAUAAAAAAAAUUAUUUUAUGAUUUAAAAUAUAAUUAAGGUGAAAGCUACUUAAUAAAUGUAUAUACUAUUCAAUUUCUUAAGUGUUAUACUUACAAAAUAAAUAAAUUUAAAGCUACUUAAUAAAUAUAUGUAUAUAUAUAUAUACACACACCAUUCAACGAUCCAACCAUAAGACUUGUUUGUAUAUACUUCAAGAUCGUAUACCCCAAAAAUCGCAAAAAACAAACAUUCAGAGAUCUAGUAACGGGACAAAACUUUUCGAUAGUUAUAAAUGAAAAAUCACGAUUUAACGGUUAUUUUAACUCCGAUUUUGAUGAUUUUUUUACAGCUACACUCCUUGACCCUAUAUGAAUACAAUGACUGAAUUUGAUCUUCAAUUUAAAACAUUUGCACUAGUGGAUACCACAAAAUCUUAUGUUAUAUUUAACGAAAAUAUAAAUAAACUCUUAAUUGUUAGUGAAUAUAUUGUUUUGAUGGCAUAUGCAUUCUACGAAACUAGUUUCAACGAUCCAACCGUCAAACUUGUUUUUUUAUACUUCGAGAUUAUAUACGCCAAAAAUCGGAAAAAAUAAAUAUUCAUAGAUCAAGUAACGGGACAAAACUUUUCGACGGUUAUAAAUGAAAAAUCAUGAUUUAACGGUUAUUUUAACUCCGAUUUUGAUGAUUUUUUACAGCUACACUCCUUGACCCUAUAUGAAUACAAUGACUGUAUUUGAUCUUCAAUUUAAAAUAUUUACACUAGUGGAUACCACAAAAUCUUAUGUUAUAUUUAACGAAAGUAUAAAUAAACUCUUAAUUGUUAGAGAAUAUAUUGUUUUGAUGGCAUAUGCAUUCUAUGAAACUAAUUUCAACGAUCCAACCGUCAAACUUGUUUUUUUAUACUUCGAGAUCAUAUACGCCAAAAAUCGGAAAAAAUAAACAUUCAAAGAUCAAGCAACGGGACAAAACUUUUCGACGGUUAUAAAUGAAAAAUCAUGAUUUAACGGUUAUUUUAACUCCGAUUUUGAUGAUUUUUUUACAGCUACACUCCUUGACACUAUGUGAAUACAAUGACUGAAUUUGAUCUUCAAUUUAAAAUAUUUACACUAGUGGAUACCACAAAAUCUUAUGUUAUAUUUAACGAAAAUAUAAAUAAACUCUUAAUUGUUAGUGAAUAUAUUGUUUUGAUGGCAUACACAUUCUACGAAACUAGUUUCAACGAUCCAACCGUCAAACUUGUUUGUUUAUACUUCGAGAUCAUAUAUGCCAAAAAUCGGAAAAAAUAAACAUUCAUUGAUCAAGUAAUGGGACAAAAUUUUUUGACGGUUAUAAAUGAAAAAUCAUGAUUUAAUGGUUAUUUUAACUCCGAUUUUGAUGAUUUUUUAUAGCUACACUCCUUGACCCUAUAUGAAUACAAUGACUGAAUUUGAUCUUCAAUUUAAAAUAUUUACACUAGUGGAUACCACAAAAUCUUAUGUUAUACUUACGAAAGUAUAAAUAAACUCCUAAUUGUUAGUGAAUAUAUUGUUAGUGAACAAAAAAAAACUAGUUUCAACGAUCCAACCGUCAAACUUGUUUGUUUAUACUUCGAGAUCAUAUACGCCAAAAAUCGAAAAAAAUAAACAUUCAGAGAUCAAGUAAGGGGACAAAACUUUUCGAUGGUUGUAAUGAAAAAUCACGAUUUAAUGGUUAUUUUAACUCCGAUUUUGAUGAUUUUUUACUGCUACACUCCUUGACCCGAUAUGAAUACAAUGAACUAAUUCGAUCGUCAAUUUAAAAUAUAUAUUUUCUAACAAAAACCCAAUCCGAACAACAAUAAUAUAUUUUUCUAAUAAAAAUCCGAUCCGAUCUAAAAUAAUAAGUUUAAAGCUACUUAAUAAAUAUAUAUACCGUUUAAUUUCUUAAGUGUUAUGCAUACAAAAUAAAAAACAAAAAUAAAUUGGUUUAGGUGACAAAAUGUUUGGAUUACGUCAUGCAAAGAUUCAAAAAAAUAUUUUUUUUAUUCUAUUUAUUUUUGUAAGGACUUUGCGCGACGAAAAGUAAACUUCGUCGCGCAAAGUCGCUUUGAGCGACGAAUUAUUUUUCGUCGCGCAAAAUUGGUCGCGCAAGACUUUGAGCGACGAUGUAUUGUCGUCGCGCAACAGUUUGUCACGCAAAGUGACUUUGCGCGACGAAUUAUUUUUCGUCGCGCAAAAUUUGGUCGCGCAAGACUUUGAGCGACGAAGUUUCAAGUUUCGUCGCGCAAAGUAACUUUGAGCGACGAAUAAUUUUUCGUCGCGCAAAAUUUGGUCGCGCAAGGGGUUUUUUUUACAAGUGCUAACUGUUUUGAAUUUAGUGUUUAAGCCUCUUCUUAACAGUUGAGCAUUAAUUGAUUUCCUAGGAAAAAUACCAACUAAGAUUCAAGGUUUUGGAGGAAAAGUUUAAAGCAUCGAAUGGAAAAUCACGUCCAUCCUCAGAUGCAAGAGUCAUCAGCAAUGGGCCUUCAGUCUCUUGGUGGAGCUGAGAACUUCUCUAGAGCGUCCUCUAAUGGCUAUCUAUCUAGGACAAAAUCGAAUUUACAAUCUGGUUUCAACCGUUCCAACACAGCUACUGCAAUAUUGAAACAAGCCAAGAGUUCAUCUAGAUCGUUUGAUGGUGGUAGUAGAUUGCUAGACAGAUAUAAGCUAGUCCCAGAUGCAACUGGGAAAGAUAACACAAACAGUGCCAGUGAUCAGACUCAGAUGGAUGAGACAAUUGGUAGACAUGAGGAGAGGGCAAAUGGAUCUUUGGCUGAACAAUACAGGACAGAGCAUGUGGUAGAUUGAUAGGGUGGUGGGUUGUUGGAGAGAGAGGAGAGAAGGGUGGUACAGAUUAGCGCAUGUGGUAGAUUGUGAUCUUAUAAUAUUACAUAAACACCAUUGGCUUAUGCAUACUGCUUGAUUUGUAAAUUAUAAACAAUUUUCAUUUUUGAUAAUGUCCUCAUAUGAAAUUCGUAGGAUUUGAGAGUUUUUUUUUAUAGAAAAAGAAAAAGAAAAAGAAAUAUAGCAGGAUCUCUUGUUCCAUAUCUAUGACGAGUUAUUUACACCAACACCUUCUGAGGUUUCUUAUAUUUUAACAAAACCCACGCAGGUCUCAAAAAUUACAUGAUCAACACCUCUUUUCGUUGAUUGUUUGUCCAAAAAUUGAUGAUUUUAUUGAAAUUCUUUUUAUGCAAAUGACAAAAUUAACCUCAAUGAAGUAUAUGCAAUCUAAUCUCAAAGCACAAGUUUGUCAUUUGGAGAAUAUUAUUUUGUAUAAAAUCAUCAAUUUUUGGAUGAAAAAUCAAUGAAAAUGAGUUUUGUGAAAACAAUUUAAAACCUCAUGAGAUGUUCAUGUAAUUUUUAAAACCUCAAAGAGUUUUGUGAAAAAGCCAAAAACCUCAGAGGAUGUUUGUUGCAAGUAUUCUUUUGGAUAUUAAAUGUCUGACUUGUACUCCAUAUUUGUGGUCUUAAAUAUCCCAUUGACUGAAAUUGCUACUUUAAACUUCAAAGUCAUUAUCUGGCUUAAGUGCUGAUGGGGUUGAACUACUUAGCCCACAACUCAACUUGACUUGGAAGUCUUUGCGCGCAUGAUCGUAGCAGUGCCAUUGUCAGUAAUUUAUCUUUAUCAGAGACUUGGAAAUCGUUUAAUCGAUGUUCACACAAUUUGUGUUGGUAGGGACAAGAUUAUGGAAAUUUUUUGUUCUUGGUAGAGUGUCCGCGAUGCAUAAUGUACUCCUAUAUAAAGGGCAUCUCCGUACUAGUACUCUUUAAUCUUGCAAACUCAUAUCUUUAGUCCUACAGAUCAUCUCAUUGCAUAAGAAUCAUGGGUCACGGUAGUGCUAGUGCUUCCAUCCACCUUGUCUCACUAAUUAUACUAUCAAGAAUUUUAUCCCUUGAAACCAUUAAACUCGGUUUCUGUAGUGAUGAUCAUUAAUGUGGGAUGCAUAGAUAUAGAGAGGAAAGCCCUUCUCCAGCUCAAACAAGGCCUCAUGGAUCCUUCUUGACGGCUUUCGUCUUGGGUGGGAGAAGAUUGUUGCAAAUGGAGUGGUGUAGGCUGCAACAACAUAACUGGACGUGUCAACAGGCUUGAUCUUCGCAAUCAUUAAUGGAUGGAUUUUUACGGACCAAAGCAUGCAUUGGUGGUGAGAUCAACCCUUCUUUGCUUGUUUUGAAAAAUUUGGAUUGCUUGGAUUUGAGCAUGAAUCACUUUGGAGGUGUCUUUCCAAGUUUCAUUGGAUCACUAGAGAAACUGAAAUACCUCGAUCUCUCUGAUUUAUCUUUUGUUGGAGUCAUUCCCCCAGUCAUGGAAACCUCUCAAGGUUGCUUUAUCUUGGUCUUAGUCUUGGAACUCUCGAGACUAACCUUCAGUGGCUUGCAACUCUUGCUUUCUUAAAGUACCUUAACUUGGGAGGAAUGAACCUUACUAAGACUACAUCCUAUUGGCUUCCCACUGUUAUAUAUAUGCUCCCUUCACUAGUUGAAUUGUAUUUUCCCUCUUGUAGUCUUCCCAUGCUUCCUCUCACUCUUCCUUCCAUCAAUUUCACAUCCCUUUCAGUUCUUGAUCUCUCUAGCAAUGAAUUCAACUCCACGAUACCUCCUUGGUUAUUCAAUCUAACUAAACUAGAGAUGUUGGAUUUGUCAAGUACCAGUCUGACAGGACAACUGCCUGAUUCUUUGGGAUAUCUUAAAAGCUUGAGAUACCUCGAAUUGUCGGAUAACUCAUUUCAAGGUUCAAUCCCAAAAUCGAUUGGAAAUUUAACAUCUUUGGAGGAGUUUAAACUUGAAGGGAAUCAAAUGAGCAGCAUCAUCCCAGAAAGUCUUGGGGAGCUCUCAUCGCUGGUUUCACUUCGUAUCUUUAGCAACACAUGGGAAGGUGCCAUUACAGAAGCUCAUUUCGUGAAACUUGGAGGCCUGAGAGAAAUAUCAAUUGGAAAUCAUCUCCCAAACAUUUCCUUGGUUUUCAACAUAAGUUCUGAUUGGAUAUCUCCUUUCAAAUUAAGAUACUUGGAAAUUAUUUCACGCCGGGCCCCAAAUUUCCUACAUGGCUUAGAAAUCAGACUGAGUUGACCAUGGUGGUACUCCAUAAUGCUAGGUGUAAGACCCUUGACACUUGCCACAGGCAGCAACAUGGUUAAUUUGAUGUCUUGGACCAUGCCAAGGAGAGGUGUCAUGAGUUGCACAAGGACAAGACAAGCGUGGCAAGAUGGAUGUUGAAGGGUCUCAGCGAAAGCUUGCGACAAGCAUCGACAGAUUACCUUGGAAGCCUACAGCGCAUGUGGGACAAGUGCGCUGCGCAGUGCACAGCGCACAUAUGCAGCACAAGCAGCGCAGAGUGCAGGCAGCAUGCAGGCAACACACAGGAAGCACGCAGGUAGAGCGCAGGCAGCAUGCAGGCAGAUCGUGCAGGCAGUUGGCUGGCAGGUUGUGCGCAGGGUGCUGGCAGGUCGUGUGGGCAUGGUGCUGGCAGAUCGUGCAAGCAGUUGGUUGGCAGGAUGUGUGACGGUUGCGGGCAAUUUUGUGUGGGCAGUUACAUGGGCAGUUGUGAGGAGAAGUUCCAGCAGAUGUGCAGCGAUAUAAAGGGCAUGUCUGGGCGGUUACGCAUGGUAAUGGAGGAGUGGCAUGCAUGGGAUGCAUCAUNNNNNNNNNNNNNNNNNNNNNNNNNNNNNNNNNNNNNNNNNNNNNNNNNNNNNNNNNNNNNNNNNNNNNNNNNNNNNNNNNNNNNNNNNNNNNNNNNNNNUGCAUGGCAGACACAUAACCUAAGCAGUUGGGGUUGUCAACUGUGAUAGUCUAUAAAUAGGCCUUAGUGUAGGCAUUGUAGACUAGAUCCGAAGGUCGACACUAGUAGAGACUAGUGGAGAUUAGACUGGAAGAGACUAGACUGGUCGAGACUAGACUCGUAGUCUCUUGGGAGAGAUUUCAAGAGGAGACAAAAUGGGGGAAUGUGUCUAGAGUAGGCAUGGAGAGGCAUAGAGAGGGUAUGGCAGUAAAUGUGUGUGUGUUGACAUACCCAUGCCUUGAGAGAAACCCGUUGAGUCGAGAAUGAUUGUCUAGAGAGGCACUGUGCCUUAGGAGUGGGAGGCAUUGAGGCACCAAAUGUGUGUGGUGACCCAAUGCGAAACAAAAGCCUGUAUUCCUUUUUAUUGUGGAGUAAUAUAAAGGUUGGGAGUGAGUUGUCCUGUAAGCUUUAGUGUUUAUGUGUUUUGCUGCGAGAACUCUAAAGCCUCACAGUUUGGAGGUGAAGAGAAGGCUGACUUAGGAGGAGUCUAAGUGCCGGGCCGGACAAAGGUCGAAAAAUUAAAGGCGGUUUUCACCCCUGUUACAGUUGGUAUCAGAGCACGCUUGGUGUGUGUUCCUGUGCUGGGACCAGAGUAUAGUUUCCUCAAACUAUGCCUUAUGGUGCAUACCUCGAUGGUUGUUACUUAUCGAUGGAGGCAGAGCUAAGGAAAGGUGGAUGUUGAUCGAGAGAAGCAAGCCAAGAGUAAGUGGACAGAUAUCAGUGACAAUGUUACCAUUGGUAUCAAAGAGCAAGCUUAGAUGGCGGUUGUUUAUCGAAGGAAGCAUGCGAAGACGUUGGUGGUUGCUGAUCGAGGGUGACAAGCCAAGAAGUUGCUAUAACGGCGGAGUCUGUUGAACUAGAGGCAGGCUAUCCGGAAGCUUGUAAGUUCAAAACCAAUUGGGUGGAUCCCCAAUUGAGUGAGUGGCGACAUGGGAAGUUAGGAAAAGACUUUCAUGGGGCUCAUGAAGAUCUGAGUUGUGCACAGAUCUGGUUUAGAGUUUGAUGGUGCUGAGUGGCAUUCUUGGAAGAGUUCCUUGGGGCUGUACAACGUUAUAUGCUGGUGCAAACGGAGCAAGAUUGGCGCCAUGUUCUGGAGGAAGUGCACACGGCUAAAGUUGUAGAAGGGCAGAAGAGUGGCUGUCCUGAAAGAGAACAGAACCUAGAGAUGAAGGUUGCUGUUGUGAGAAGUCAAUGUCAAGGUGGAUAUCGCAAAUGAGGUGAUGUCCCAGUGGUCACUUCGAAAAUGGAGAAGUCAAUGUCAAGGUGGAUAUCGCAGAAGAGGUGUUGUGCCAGUGGGCACUUCGAGAAUGGAGAAGUCGAUGUUGUGAACAUCGCAACGAGAAGUGCGAUACUAGUAAGUACUUCCGAAGACAAGAAGUCGAUGACUUUGAGAAGGCAUCGCAAGAGAAAAAACCAUAGAGGUGGUUGAACCUAUGAACUCUCGAAGGCCAAUGUGAAGAUUGAAAGUUCUCAUUGGAGGAGUGCAAGUUCGUGUUAAAGAGACAAUGAUACAAGGCUGCGCAGGUGAUGGGUGUGGCAUGGAUAGGCGUUGGGCUAGGCAUUGAAGAUUGGCUAAGUGUUGGAAGGGGCAGUAUGCAAGUCACAAGCAAGAAGGCUGAUGGUUUCGAAGCAUAAGGAUUGCACAAGAUCCACGCAUAGACCAACUAGUGGCUACAAGUAAGUGUUAUCAAGUACUUAUGAUGAAUUAUGGGUGGCUCAUGGGUGCUUGGUAGAAAGUUCUUGUAGUUCCUUGUGUCAUGGAACUUCUUAGGAGGGGAAAUGACAGAUGAAAGGCUUGGUGGAGUCAAGCACGGAAGUGUGCAAGUGUCAUUGCAUAACUUUUGAAAGUUUCAAGGGAAGCAGUGAGGUUGACUUAGAAGGAAGGUGUGGACCUCCAAGUUGAGUGCUUACAAGCCCUAGGUUUGACAAGGAUGUCGAACUCUUUUAGUGGGGGUGGUUUGUAAGACCCUUGACACUUGCCAUAGGCGGUGGACCAUGCCAAGGAGAGGUGUCACGAGUGUGCAAAAGGACAAGACAAGCAUGGCAAGAUGGAUGUCAAAGGGUCUCGGCAAAAGCUUGUGAGAAGCCUCGACAGAUUACCUUGGAACUCAACAGCGCAUGUGGGACAAGUGCGCUGCGCAGAGCGCAGCGUACAUAUGCAGCACAACCAGCGCAGCGUGCAUGCAGCAUGCAGGCAACACACAGGCAGCACGCAGGCAGAUUGUGCAGGCGAUUGGCUGGCAUGUUGUGCCCAGGGUGCUGGCAGGUCGUGUGGGCAUGGUGCUGACAGAUCGUGCAAGUAGUUGGCUGGCAGGAUGUGACAGUUGCUGGCAGUUUUGUGUGGGCAGUUACAUAGGCAGUUUUGUGUGGGCAGUUACAUAGGCAGUUGUGAGGAGAAGUUCCAGCAGAUGUGCAGCGAUAUAAAGGGCAUGUCUGGGCAGUUACGCUUGGUAAUGGCGGAGUGGCAUGCAUGCGAUGCAUCAUGUGGAGAAGGCAAUGUCAGUGGAAGGAGUGGGCGGUUGCCUUGCACCUUUGUAGGCAUACAACAUGGCAUGAUGGCAUGUCAUGGCCUUGACAUUGACACAUGGCGCCAAGAGCAAAAAGGAAGCCUUGAAAAUAGGAGUUCAUGGGUUCCUUAGUGGGAUAGUGGCAUGGUGGUUUUUAGGAGGAAAAGUACCCAUGUCAUGGUGGUUGCGUGCAUGGUAGACACAUAACCUAAGCAAUUGGGGUUGUCAACUGUGAUAGUCUAUAAAUGGGCCUUAGUGUAGGCAUUGUAGACUAGAUCCGAAGGUCGACACUAGUAGAAACUAGUGGAGAUCAGACGAGAAGAGACUAGACUAGUAGUCUCUUGGGAGAGAUCUCAGGAGGAGACAAAAUGGUGGAAUGUGUCUAGAGUAGGCAUGGAGAGGCAUAGAGAGGGGUAUGGCAGCAAGUGUGUGUGUUGACAUACCCAUGCCUUGAGAGAAACCAGUUGAGUCGAGAAUGAGUGUCUAGAGAGGCACCGUGCCUUAGGAGUGGGCCGCAUUGAGGCACCAAAUGUGUUGUGGUGACCCAAUGCGAAACAAAAUCUUGUAUUCCUUUUUAUUGUGGAGUAAUAUAAAGGUUGGGAGUGAGUUGUCCCGUAAGCUUUGGUGUUUAUGUGUUCCGCUGCGAGAACUCUGAAGCCUCAUGGUUUGGAGGUGAAGAGAAGGCUGACUUAGGAGGAGUCUAAGUGCCGGACAAAGGUCGAAAAAUUAAAGGCGGUUUUCACCCCUGUUACAGUUGGUAUCAGAGCACGCUUGGUGUGUGUUUCUGUGCUGGGACCAGAGUAUAGUUUCCUCAAACUAUGCCUUAUGGUGCAUACCUCGAUGGUAGUUGCUUAUCGAUGGAGGUAGAGCUAAGGAAAGGUGGAUGUUGAUCGAGAGAAGCAAGCCAAGUGGACAGAUAUCCGUGACAAUGUUACCAUUGGUAUCGAAGAGCAAGCUUAGAUGGCGGUUGUUUAUCGAAGGAAGCAUGCGAAGACGUUGGUGGUUGCUGAUCAAGGGAGACAAGCGAAGAAGUUGUUAUAACGGCGGAGUCCUUUGAACAAGCUAAGGCAUACUUAGGAGGAGUCUAAGUGCCGGACAAGGGUCGAAAAAUUAAAGGCAGUUUUCACCCCUGUUAGAUUUCAGGCACCAUACCAGAUAGGUUUUUGUAGUUGGAUUUGCAAUUAGAUGAACUAAAUUUCGCUGAUAAUCAACUAAGGGGCAGGGUUCCUAAUUCAUUAAGAUUCAGCUAUGCUUCCACUGUUACUUUGACUUCAAACCGCUUUGAAGGCCCACUCCCAUUAUGGUCCUCAAAUUUUUCCCUGGCUGUAUCUUCGAGAUAAUCUAUUUUUUGGAGCCAAUUCCUCAUAACAUUGGUCAACUGAUGCCCAAUUUGACAUAUCUAGACAUUUCUACGAACUCAUUGAGUGGAAGCAUUCCCCUGUCCUUUGGUAAUUUAAGCCAAUUACAAUUCAUAUUGAUCUCAAAUAACCUCUUGUCUGGUUAGAUUCCUUAUUUUUGGAACUGUUGAGGCCCAAAAAAAAUCCACGGUUGGGCCCGAAUAAAUUCCCGGCCCAGUACGAUGCCUCAUUAAGAAAAUACCCAAUUUGGAGAACCUGAAAGUCCACCAUGCACGAGUCACAGUCCACAUGCCAUGCCAAAUAAAUAAUCCGUCAGGCUAGGAAUUGAGAUAAAGAUUGUAAAAUACAGUAGCUCUACAAGCCCAUGCUAAUUACCCCGUCAAGCAUCCUAAUAAAAACGCGCCACGCUAAGCGGGAAAUCAUUAUUUUUGACCCAACCACUCUACAAGCUUAAGUGAGCCCAAGCAACUCAAAUGCCCAGGCUUGCUUGAGUGCGUUGUGGUAUGGAUGGUAACAAGUUGUCAUGAGGCCCAUUGAUGGGCCGAGAAAUGGAAGUCUCAGGUUGCUUGGGAGACUUGAAACUCAAGCCCUUUCCUUGAGCCCAAACAUGUGGCAAAGCGUAAAAGAGAGAGAGAAAGUAACCCAAUAUCCUAGGAAAAUUAGCCCAUCACCUCAACAAAAUAGCCCAACACUUGGUGAAGUAAGCCCAUUUAUUUGAUAAACCAACUUAUUGUCCUAGAAGGCCCAUGCAACUAAAAUAUGGAUCUGCAAAAGCCCCAGCACUUAGCUGGAGUACAAAGGCCACGAAGGGAGCCAGGACAUCCACGUACGCAGAGCUGCUGGGAGUCUCCAGCACAUGGGGAGGGGGGGAACGAAUUUCAAGCAAAAGCAUUCAAAGAACCAGGGGGUAUUGGCGCGCAGACUACUAGGAAAGGAGGCACCCUUAAAACCAGCGUGUAUACCCAUUUCUUUCUCCCCAUCAGAUCUAGCCAUGGAAGAAUGAAGGAAAUAAAAAGGGAGAUGGCUGAGAAUGGGAGUCCCCCCACUGAAAUAGCUACAGGAAAAGCCUUGAGCUCCCAAAAAUUCCUGUUUUUGUACGAUUGGGCAGAGAGGAUUUCACCAAAAUAGGAUAAGUCAAGGGAGGAGAGGAGAAAGGAAGGGAAAGACUUGGCCAAAUUGGAUAGAAAUCAUUAGGAUUUCUUGGAAAGGAAGAGCUUCUAGCGGCUAUAAAUGAAGAACCUCCUACCCAACAACCAACAACCACAUCCAGAGAGCCAGCUUCCUUUCUUACUUCCAAAACCCAGCAAUUUCGUGCUUUGUUCAUCCUUCUCCCCUUUAUUUUUCCCUCAUGGCAGACUAUUCAAGUACUUGAUAGAACCUCUGUCGAGCUGCCGGAAAAUCACUUAAGCCACCCAUUGCCCUCUCCUACUCUCUCCCAUUUUCUCACCCAAACCCUCUGAUAAUCCUUUCCUCCCUUUCCUUAGAACCCCUAUUUUUCAUAGAAACUCACAGCUCUCUCCCUUUAAGGCUAAACUCAUGACAACUUUGCUUCCAUGCCACAAGCCUCUCAUGCCAAGCUAAGAAUUUAUCUGUAAGCAACCAUUAUUUUUGUUGGUGAAGGUAACUAGGGUGUUUUCUAAGGCUUCACUAUCCUUUCGAAACAUUCUUGGGGUCUGAUCUUUGAACUCAGACACACACAGGGGGUAAUUUCAUCCAUUUUGCUUUUUACGACAGCCCAGCCCAUUUGUAGCUGCCGGAAGAAAAAAAGCCUCGACUUAAAUUUGCGACUUCACUGGGGAUUAGGCCAUUUUCUUCAUCAAUGCCUCCAAAGAAGUAGAAUAGAAGCUAUAACAUGACUUCCCAAGAAGGGCCAGACCAUGGUGAUUCGAAAUCGAGGCAAAAUGCCUCAUCUAGAGAAGAAGAACGUGCAGGUGAGGGAGCAUUUACCCUCUCAGACCUUGUUACAGCCAUCCAUGCUGUGAGAGAGACCUAGAGGGAGAUGGCAGACACAAUCAAAGAGUUGAAAAUUUCAGUUUCCAAGCCAAGCAAAGAAAACGAGAGACUUCCACAAGAAGAGUCUGUUGCUGCCGAAAAGGGGUCGGAACAAAAGGGACCAUCUUUUGUCACCCAAGAGGAUGUUAUUGCUAUGCUGGAAAAUGAGCUAAGUCGAAGCCAGGAGAAUUGGAAGUGCAUUCCUCAGCCACCAUAUGCAUCAAGCUUACUCCAGCAGCCGUAUUCCAAAGGCUACGAGGCACUAAGCUUUGUCCUCUUCGAUGGAAGAAAAGGAGCUCGAAGGAGCACGUCAACCAUUUCAUUGAUGCUUUGGGACCAUAUGCUGGUAACUAUAAUCUCCGGUUUUGGGAGUUUUCGAAAAGCCUUACCGAUCGUGCUUACACGUAGUAUACGACAUUUGGCAUCAGGCUCUGUUGGCUCUUGGGAAGAUUUGGCAAGCAGGUUCUGUAAGAAAUAUUUCCAGCAUGAGGAAAGAGUUACUACCACUUAACUCAACAACACUCGCCAAAAACAUGGGGAAGAUCCCAUAGGCUUCGUGCGUAGGUUCCGGGACCUAGCUUUGGAUUGCUAGGAUGAGAAGGACGAAGAGGCGCUUGUCGAAAUUUGCAUCAGCAAUAUCGUGGCAGAUGACAGAGUUUAUUUGGUGAAUAUUGGCAUCAGCCAAUUUUCUCGGCUACUAGAAGCAGUAAGGAAGACAAGCAUGUCUGUGAAACCGAUAGGACAGAGGACUCGGAGGAGUGAGAAGAUGAAGGCGCACCAAGCACUGGCUAUAGAAGAUAAGCCAUCUAGUGACUAUAACUCGCGCAAACAAAAAGAUAGGGAGACGUAUUUGCCAUUGCCUUGCAAGGACGAAGAAUUCCACGCCAUCCUUGACACAAUGACUGCUGACGGUGCAAUCAAACCUCUCAGACCCUACAAAGUCCCUACCAAAGAGGAGGAGAAUGAUCCUAGAUACUACCAUUAUCAUCAAUUUGUAGGACAUCCAACCACUGCUUGUCAGAGUCUACGGAGGAUUUUACAUGCUAAAAUAUAUGAAGGAGUCCUUGAGCUUCCCUCUAGGAAUCAAACCAUUGCUGAAGACCCCUUGACAAAACGAACGGGAAAGAAGGUAGCUGCUGUCAUUUCAUGCUCCGAUGAUUUGCUCGAUGAUGAUGAACUGUGCCACCCAUGGAAGAAUGACCCAAAACCGUCGGAAGCUAUGCGGAAACAUGGAGAAGGCAUAUUGGUGUAAAUAUUUGAAACCUUCAAGUUACAACACGCCAUGGCUGCUCGCUGAUGGAUGGGGUGAUGAUUCAGGCAACGAAGUUUUUACUUUAGACAUGUCGGAAGAAUGCUACUCGUGGGCUUCAUCGGGACAGCAGGAAACAGUUGCUGUAACGUUUCAUAAUCUUACAGAGGCUGAAACAAUCGUGAUUACCUAGGUUUGAAACAAGGGCCCAUAGCUUCACAGGUCCUCCAAAGGAACUCGAAGUUCAAGUCACUCUUUGACCAACUUGGCUUUGGGCCUCAAGCAAGAGAAGCAGCUACUAUAGCUCUCAUGAACGUCUCUGCAGAGUCUAAUCCUCAUUGCUUCACUGCUCAACCACAAAGGUCAUUCACGGACGAAGACAUGGAAGUUCCAUAUCCGGAACAUAGAAGGCCACUUUACUUGGAAGGACAGAUCAAUAAUGUGUUUAUAAGAAGAGCUUUGGUAGACACAGGCUCCUCUGUCAACAUAUUGCCUCUGUCUGUGCUUACGGCAGCUGGUAUUCCAUUAUCCAAAAUCGUGCAAUCUUAAACAAGCAUCAACAGUUUCAAGAAUAAGAGUGAGGUCACAGUCGGUCACAUAUAAGUGAAUUUUACACCAAGUGCACAGGUGCCGGAAGCAACCCAUCCAAGGAUUUCGGGACCUACCUACCUUCAUGGACUGAAAUUCGUGACCUGAGCAACGAGGACUCAUAACCAUUGUUGAUCGAGAAAGAAAAAGACACUCAGAAGUCAACAACCAUGCUUAUGAUCAUCCCCAAUGCUCAAAAGUGAUGCGGCCAGACGGACACAUAAUGUAUCGCUUAUGAUGGGUUUGGGGGCUCAACUGUGUUCUGCGAGAAAGCCCCGAGUAUGGAGAGGAGGCGAUGUGAACAAACAAUUGUAAGGGUUCAGAUGACAAAACAUCCAUGCCUUGUGCUUUCUAGGAGCCAAUGAUGGCACCUAGACACAUGCAAGAUGUCUCAACAUCGGUGGCUGAGCAGCUGGAAACAAUCAAUUUGAGUGAUGAUCCCUCUGUCCAAAGGCCCAUCUCCAUCAGCAUUCAUUUGGCAAGUGAAGAAAAUGAGGCCUUGGCAUCUAUGUUAAAAGAAUUCUGAAACGUGUUCGCUUGGAGCUACGAGGAAAUGCCUGGCCUAAAUCCAAACUUAGUAAGUCGUUCUUCGAAUUGAGCUUGGUACAAAACCUAUUGUGCAGCCAAGAAGGAAUUUUCAUCUUGAAAUUGAAAAGCAAAUCAAAGUGGAAAUUGAAAAGCUGUUAGCUGCUAGAUUCAUCAAACCAAUCAAACACCCAACAUGGCUAGCAAAUAUUAUCCCCGUAAAAAAGAAGACUGGUGUAAUUAGAAUAUGCACGGACUACCGGGACCUCAACCAAGCUUGCAUAAAAGAUGAGUUCCCACUGUCUAACAUGGAUAUCUUAAUCGACUCAACCUCGAGGUAAGGCUUGCUGUCAUUCAUGGAUGGAUUUAGUGGCUAUAACCAGAUAAAGAUGUCGCCCAAAGAUGCUGAGAAGACAGCCUUUCGAACACCAUACGGGAAUUUCUAUUACACAAUCAUGCCAUUCGGUCUUAAGAAUGCCAGGGCCACCUACCAAAGGGCCAUAACAACGGUGUUCCAUGAUAUGAUGAGAAAAUGGAUAGAAGACUAUGUGGACGACCUUGUGGUGAAGUCAAAAGCUAGAGAAAGCCACCAAGAAGUUCUGAGGAAGGUGCUGGAAAGGUGCCGGCUGUACCAGUUAAAGAUGAACCCAAAAAUGUGCCCGUUCGGGGUUUCAUCCGGUAAAUUCUUGGGGUUCCAAGUGCACCAACGUGGCAUAGAUGUGGAUCCUGAAAAAACCAGAGCCAUAAACUCUCUUGCACCACUUAGAAACCUAAAAGAAUUGAAAAGCUUCAUGGAAAGAUUAUCAUACACUCAACGCUUCAUCCCAGGCCUUGCUAACACAAUGAGUGUUUUUACUCCCUUACUCAAGAAGGGCAAGGCAUAUGAAUGGAGUACGGAGUGCCAAGAAGCCUACCAGCAAGUGCAACAAUUAAUCACCAAGCUGUCCACCAUGAGAGCGCCCAUUCCGAGACUUCCACUAAAGCUCUAUUUGGCUGCAACAAAUGCAACGGUUGGGGCUUUACUCGCUCAAGAUGACCACAGUGAAGAAGAAAGUCCUAUUUAUUAUGUGAGUAGACAUUUAAGGGGAGCCGAAAUGAGAUACCCAAAGACCGAGCACUUGUGCUUUGCUCUUGUCUAUGCUACAUAGCACUUGCGGCAUUCCUUCCUCGCUCACAAGCUACAGCUCAUAGUGAAGUCUGACCCCGUAAGGUACUUACUGACAAGACGGGUGCUAUCUGGACGUCUUGCACGUUGGCUACUACAGCUGUCCGAAUUUGAUAUCGCAUGCACAACUCCUAAGGCUAUCAAAGGACAAGCCGUGAUUGACAUGCUGGCUCUAUUUCCUGAAGUAGAAGAAGUAAUUCUUUCUAAGGAAGUUCUGGGAGAGCUGCCGAAAAUGGUCGUUGUUGCUACAGAAGAUGAGUCAUGGACCCUCUACUUUGAUGGGACUUCUAAUAGAAAGGUGGAGGAGCAGGUGUAGUGCUCAUUAAUCCCGAGGGGCAAGCCAUAGACCUCUCAUUCAAGCUGAAUUUCACAUGCACGAAUAAUGUGGCGGAGUACGAAGCUUUCAUUAUAAGGAUGUCUACAGCAAAAGAGAUGGGUGUAGAAAAAAUUAAAAUUAUUGGGGACUCAAACCUGGUGCUGAGUCAAUUGCAAGGGAACUUUGGUGUGAAUGAGGCAACAUUGGCACCAUAUCGUACAGCUGCUGAAAGGCUUGUCAAUUCUUUCAAACAAGUCGUGCUGGAACAUAUUCUGGGGGUCACUAAUAGAUAUGCUGAUGCUUUGGCUACAUUGGGGUCAAAGCUCUCAUUUGUCGAAGAGCAACCCAACAUUGCUGUGAAGGACAUGCCAGUUGUCGAAGCAUUGACGCAAGAGGAGCCGCUGGAAGAAAGUGACUGGAGGAAAUUUGUGAAUGAGAAGAUAGGCAAGGGAAACACAUCAAGGAAUUAAAAGACUAUGGCAUCAUCUUUGGGGAGCUUUACAGACGCCUUCCAGGAGGAAUUUUAACCCGCUUCAUAGGGACAACAGAAGCACAAGUGAAGCUCCAAGAGGUACAUGAUGCCACUUGCAAUUUGGAACCGAUAAUCAGUUUGUAUCGGUGUCUGCAAUGCAAGAGUUAUUACUGGCCAUAACGAAGAAACAAGUAGCCGAAGUUCAAGCCAGUUGUCCCAAGUGUUCAACAAUACCCUCCAUCGAAGAAUCAUUCACCAUCUCAUUCGCAAAGGAUUGGAAGGCUCCAUACUUGGCAUUCUUCAUCGACGGGACUCUGCCAACCAACUGCAAGCAUGCUCACAAGCUCAAAAAGACAGUAAAAAGGCACUUCAUAGACAAGUCGACUCUCUAUUGUAAAGGGUUCAAUGGUGAACCAUUAAAAUGCUUGGAGAGUCAGAAGAACAACAAGUCAUGCAAGAAAUUCAUGCUGGAGAAUGUGGUGAACGCCAUGGAAUGAAGAGGCUUCACCGACAGCUACUGAAUGUUGGGUAUUAUUGGGCUACCAUGAAGAACGACGCAUACAAUUUUGUAAAGAAAUGCCACACAUGCCAAGUCCAUGCCAAUUUAAGCCACAAACCUCCCACGCUAUUACAAGACAUGCGUACUCCCUAGCCUUUUUAUACUUGGGGGCUUGACUUGAUCGGAACUAUCCACUCACCGUCUGACAGCUAUAUAUGGAUCCUCACAGUCACUGAGUAUUUCACAAAGUGGGUUGAGGCGGUUCCUCUUUGCAAGGCCAUGGGGGAUGCCAUUUCAAAUUUCAUCUGUGAAUACAUCAUGUGCAGAUUCGGAAUCCCAUACAAGAUCGUCACUGACAACGGCACCCCGUUUGUUAACAAGCAAGUAAGCUUGACACUUAGUGGCUAUGGUGUCAAGCAUCGUCGUUCCACGCCAUAUUACCCAUAAGGAAAUGGUUAAGCAGAGGCCACAAAUAAAACUUUAUUGAUGAUCCUAAGCAAAAUGGUGCAUGAGUAUGAAGGAGGUUGGAGUGUUCACCUGGCAGAUGCCUUAUGGGCUUAGGGUUUAGGGCUUAUGGGCAGAUGCCUUAUGGGCUUAGGGCUUACAGCACUUCUCCAAGAAGUGCCACAGGCUUCUCACCUUAUUCCCUUGUAUACGAGUCCGACACCAUCUCACCUAUUGAAAUUACCAUCCUCACCGCCAGAGUAUCAGCCGUUAAUGACCUCGAAUGGGAUACAAUGUCAUGCUCGGAUUGGCCCUUACUGGACCUUGAGGCCUUGGACGAAAAAAGCAGAAGUAGAAAGGAGGACAACGUUGUACCACAAAACUGUAGCUCAAGCCUAUAAUAGGACAGUCAAGCCUCUCGCCUUCAAGCAAGGAGACCUCGUGCAAAAAGUUGUGGAGCAUGUAAGAAGACAAAUGUCAGGACCUUCCAAGUUUGCCCCGCAAUGGGAAGGUGCAUUCGCAGUCAAAGAAGUCUACAUCAGCGGCUAUUAUCGCUUGGUCUCUGUCAAAGAAGGCACUCUAACGGAUCCCAUCAAUGGGAAGUGGCUCAAGCCUUACUACUACUAAGUUAAUCUUGUGUCAAGCACUUUUUAUUAUUGCAUUUCCUUUUGUUUUAGACAUGAACUCCUUCUGUCUUUCCUUCAUAUUUUGAAAAACGACACUUUUGUAUGGUGCACCAUCAUGGUAGCAGGGCCUUUGCAAUGAGAAUGAAGGAUUAUUUUGAAAAAAAAAAUAGGUCUCUGAAGUUUUAUUGUCCCUUUAUACAUUUUAAACGUCCUUUACAUUAAAACAAAAAUAAAACUAAAAAACAAGAACAAAAACACGCUACUUAGCAGUAAAACAUGCCAAGCAAAGUCACCUGGAUGGGGUCCCGGACCAUCAACAAGCUGCAUGCCUAAGAAAAAUAAUAUAGGGUAUGCAAAGCCAAGCUAUCAAAAAAAAAAAAAGGAUUCUUGAGGUGCUGGAACAACGAAACCAUUGUCCCAUUUUGAUAAGCAACCAGAAUAUGCAAAACAUCUGGGAAUUUUACAAAAACUUGGCAAAAACCAUGCACAUACCAGUCUGGCCCUUUUAGGCCUAGUGGUUAGACAAAAUUUUGGUAGCAUGUACCUUGUUUUUAAGGAUAUCCAACCUGUCUAAUCUCAAGCAGUUCACGAAAACAAAUUUUUCCAACCAAGCAAUAUAUAUAUAAGACGUGCGGAUUACAACAUGCCUCAAGUAUUCAGAAAUUAAUACAAGAUCCAGUGAUUCAGUACUAUAUUACAAAGUCAUAACGACAUAGUAGUUAGAGUGUCCAAAAGAAAAAGACUACAGUCAAAGCAAGAUAAAAUUACGCACGCUGAAGUUCAGUACAUCCUAUGGUCUCAAAAGGAACGGAGACUAUGUGAUCAGCCCAUUGAUCCCCAAACCAAAGAAAGACAACCUACAAGAUAGAAAGAAAGUAGGUGUCAAGACUAAGUGACGCUAGGAGAAAUAGCCUAUCAAUAAAAGAAGAAGAGACAAAAGAAAUUAUGUACCUUGAGGCUAUUAAAAAUGCCCGAAAAGAACGGAAGAAGCCCUAGGAGACGAUCUAGCUGCUGCUUCCGCCACGCAUUCAACGCUGUCAGCAGAAACACCUUUAGUGAGAAGAAGGGCAUGUAAUUCUCGGUGCUGGUCCUCUAACUCUCGCUGUUUAAUGUUCAAAGCGUCGGCUGCGGCUUUUACCUCGUCGGAACCAAGUGAUGAUUUCAUGCUAUAAAUGGCAUGCGCUCCAAACACGGCAUGAGCUAAAUCCCUCACUAAAUUGAGGAGGAAAUCCACAAGAAAUCCCAGAGUUAUGGCCUCACAAAUCGCGUCCUGCCAACAAAGUACCCUAUGAUCAAUGAUAUCUAGGAGCUGCAUGGUGUCUAUCCCAUGAAGUACCAAGCUAAGGGCUCGGAAGGUAGCACUCCUCGAGAAAGAAGAGGUGAUUCUAGUAAUCUCCAUGAAGCUCCCGUAUUUGUCCAUGAAUUUUCUCAAGACCGCAACUGUCUCUGUUUACACAAGGGCGCCUUAGAAUGUCACAUAACCAUUGAACCUAUGGUAAAGCGGAAGAAGCUCGUCGAUGGACAAAAGAAUUGUGACACCGCCAUCAAAGAAGGCUUUGAAUGCCGUGAAGGAAUUUUCCCAAUCAUGCCAGGACAUGUUUUUCUCUGAUAAAUGCCCCACGAGGGUACCUGUGACAGAAGCAUCACCAGCCUUAUAACUGUCAUCAGUAAUCUCACCACGAGGCGACACUGUUGGAAGCUAUGGAGCGGUGCCGGCAGCUGCAUCGGAUGUGCCUAGGAAAGGAGGAGUAGGAGGCAGCACUGCUAGAAGGUGCAGGGCAGUGUCGGUAGCAGCAUCAGGUGUCCCAAGAGGAUGAGCAAGAGGCAGCACCGCUGGAAGGUGCAGGGCAAUGUCGGCAGCUGUAUUAGGUGUCCCAAGAAGAGGGGUAGGAAGUGUAUCCUCCUCCCCUAGUGAAGUGCUUUCAACCCAUAAAAAAAAAAGAGGAAGGGGCAGGAAGGAAAAUAAAUCAAAAUAAUGGAAGACCCGAAGAAGAAGGAAACAAAUCGAAGGAUGGAAGAUGAAAAGCAAUCAAUAGAUACCUUGUCUAGCAGCCUGCAUGGUGUCAGUGACAGCAGCAGGAAAGGCAAGGCCAGCCUCCGAUGAACGGUCCGCCGUGUUCUCAAUGGUGGGCAUAACGUGCGAAAGGGAAGCAGGGCAUGAGUUGUGAGCUACAACAGCUAGCAUACAACACAUAUAUACCAAGAAAAACAAGUGAUAAAGUUAUUUGAUACCGGUUCAAUGUCAACAUGCCGCUCACGGUCACUAGCAAAUUCGGGAGGCAUGCCUAAGGCAUCUGGCUCCUUCAAGUGAGUGUCGGGAUCCGGGUAUGUGCCUUCAUCACGGCUGUAAUAUUUUUCUUCGUCGAGGUCCUCAUCCAUACCAUUUGUGUCGCGAAUGCUCUUUUGCUCGUGGGUGCUAAUCCCAGUUUCUACAGCAUCAUCUUCGCCACUUCCAUCGUCAUCAUCAUCAACUGUCACCACUACCUUGGAUCCUGAGUUUUCACCCUUUCCUUUGCGAGUGCCAGCAAACCUUGUUUGGAGUAUGCGCAUGUUUCAGCGAUUUGGAAUCGCGGUUGAUUUGGGGCGUACCUGUAAAAAUUAUAAAUAAAAAAUAUAAAUAUAAAUAAAAAACAAGGGAGACGGGAAGCAAGUUCAAAAGAAAUAAAGAAAGCAAAAAAAAACAAACAAACACAAACAUGAAUUAUGAGUAAGUGGUACUUAUUGUGAGAAGACAAAGCUUCCGGCACCUCGCCAACCUGCUUGCUGCCACCAGAAGCCAUAGGCUGCUGCUGCAGUAAGGGCACUGUGGGAGCAUUUCCUUUAGAGCAAGGGGGACCACUUGCUGCUACCUUGGGAAUAAACUUUUUCAGUUCCUUUACAGCUGGCUUCUUCUUCUCAACACUGCAACUUUCCUCUCGCUUUCGCUUUCCAUGCGCAACACUUCUCCCGGCACUAUGAGAGCUCGGCUUCUCCAAUUUCUGUUUUAACUUAGAAAAAUCACCAACAAUUUCCCCACUUUUGGAAGUGAAGGGCAAAUUCUGCUUCUCACUCAAGGAGAUGGCCUUCUCUUCCGACACUAGGCGAGCAUGACGAACUGUGGUGGGAAGCAAUCUAUAGCAAUGAGUAGCAUGGAAUCAACUUUUCGAAGCAAAGCAGCGAUUCCAAUAAUUUUGGUAAGCUUUCGAGGGCCACCAGUGCGCCCCUUGUUGGCCAGAACAAAGGCAAGGAUUCUGCCAUCUUCCGGUACGUUGUUCCCGGUCCAAAAGAACCUAUGCAACGUAAAAGGAUCUCCAUGGCUAGAACUGGAAGGCACACCCUGAUCGAACCCAAGCUGUCGUCUGACUCGGUGAGUUGAAUAAUACACAGAAACCUCCAAGUGGUCGUCCCCUAGUGUGGGCAAAGGAAGGCAUGUGGCAUCCAGCAACCCUGCCAGGCUUCAAUGUGGAUGUCGCACGCUUUAGAAAGGAAGAUAGCAUCCAACAUCCCUGCCCGGCUUAGGAUGUCACAGGUAGACGGUUCCUUCAAUUCACGGUCAACCUACUCUGACCAACCCUUGCUGGUGCCACAUGGAUAUUGAAAUAAUAAGGGGACUGCCGGAAAUAGGCCCCUCUCUAUACAGCACCUCGAUAUAGAUGCAGUAUCAAUCACUGGAGUUGUUUCCACCACUGGCUCUCCAUCAAUGCCUAUGUCUUCACCAGCGCUCUUAAGCAAAGGAGGAGGCCUCCCUCUCUUUAACUGGUCAUCUAGGGAAUGAAGAUGGUCCCUAAUAAUGGGCGAUGGAUCAGCGGAUGCCAUCACCAGUCUUGGCAAAAUUACGAAUCUCUGCACACAAAAAAAAAAAAAGAAAAAAAAAAGAAAGAGGCAUUCAAGCAAACAUGCAAUUUAUAAUCCAAGUCCAUGACAAGCGAAAUUCCCAUCCUGUGAAUCAAUAAGCAUGACAAGCAAAUUCUCUCUCAGGUAAAAAAAAUUUUAAAAAAAAAAUUCAAGCAUUACAAGACAUGAGACCUGUCAAUCUCUAUUUUUCGCAACCAAUAACAAAAGAAAUCCAUAAUCAGUCAAGCAUAUGUUCACAAGGGGAGUGAGCCUAGGCCAAACACCAGUCUAUGCUUAUUCCUAAAUGCUCAAGCUUGCAGAGUUGCUCACCGAAAGACUAAGUCAGAGGUUUAAAUGCUCAAGUUAGGAGGCUGGAGCGCUCGAUGGUUCCAGCAGCAAGGAAUGUCAAAGCUUCCCGCACCUGCCUCUACCUAUGCCUGAGACGUAUACCUGCAAGAAAAAAAAAACGAGCACAUCAUGCAAAGUUUAGUCUUUUCACUAGCACGGAGGAGGCUUGCGUGAGAUAAAAAAGGAACAAAGAAAGGGAAAAGGGAGAGACCCAUACCAACGGUCUUUUCUAACAAAAUUUGGAGCUCUUCCAGCAGCUUAUAGAAGGAAAAAAUCAAGGAGAAGAGAACCCCAGAAGAUUGGCGUGAACCCUUCCUUGCUAACACCCACGCUGUGAGCACCCCCGUUGCGGCAGUAACAAAAUAGGUCGAAAAGGUUUGGUGCUUGGCUGCCAAAACAAAGGGCAAUAUCCAUGGGUGUGAGGAACCCAACAAAUUUCCCAAUAAAUCCAAUAGAAAACAAGAGAAAGGGCAUACCUUGUUAAUCCUCAAAGGGAUGACCUUGAAUACACCGAGAAAAUGAGAGAAAUUUGGGAUUUUGGAAGAAAACCAGCACAAAGGGGCCCCUUCAGCAACGGUGAAUGGACUUCUUUGUACGAAGAAAGGAUGACGGGGUCGGGUUCGACUUGGGCUCCUUUCCAGCGGGUGGUUUCUGCCCGAUCUCACUCUCUCACUCAGUUUGAGUUUGUUGGAGGAAUGGAAGAGAACAAAGAGAAGAGUAAUGGAGAAAGGUUGGCUCUAGUGCGUGAAAAGAGGAAGAAAAGGGAAGAGAAAGAAAAAAAUAAUAAUAAAAAAAAAAGAGGAAGAAGGCAGUUGGUGUUGGGAAACCGCAAGUAACUGUUGGAGUCUAUCAUGACACGUCGUCAUUUUGCAUGCGGGAAGAGGAGAGGUUCCCUACAAUUACAAAUUUGAUUUUUUGGGUAGGUUUUAUUUAUUCGGCCCAGUCCAGCACCUAUCCAUGGCCUUUAUAAUUAAGGAGGCUAAUGUUGAGGCCCAAAAAUAUCCACGGUUGGGCCCGAAUAAAUUAUCGGCCUAGUACGAUGCCUCAUUAAGAAAAGACCCAAUUUUGAGCACACGAAAGUCCACAAUGCACGAGUCACAAUCCACAUGCCAUGCCAAAUAAAUAAUCUGUCAUGCUAGGAAUUGAGAUAAAGAUUGUAAAAUAUACUAGCUCUACGAGUCCAUGCUAAUUACUCCGUCAAGCAUCCUGAUAAAAAGCGUGCCACGCCUAGCGGGAAAUCAUUAUUUCUCAUCAACCACGCUACAUGCUUAAGUGGGCCCAAGCGACUCAAAUGCCCGGGGCUUGCUUGAGUGGGUUGUGUAUGGAUGGUAACAAGUUUUCAUGAGGCCCAUUGAUGGGCCGAAAAAUGGAAGUCUCGAGUUGCUUGGAAGCCUCGAAACUCAAGCUCAUUCCUUGAGCCCAAACAUGUGGGUGAGCAUAUAAGAGAGAGAGAAAGUAGCCCAAUAUCCUAGAAAAAUUAGCCCAUCACCUCAACAAAAUAGCCCAACACUUGGUAAAGUUAGCCCAUUUAUUUGAUAAACCAACUUAUUGUCCUAGAAGGCCCAUGCAACUAAAAUAAGGAUCUGCAAAAGCCCCAGCACUUAGGUGGACAACAAAGGCCACGAAGGGAGCCAGGACAUCCACGUACGCAGAGCUACUGGGAGCCUCCAGCACAUGGGGGAAUGAAUUUCAAGCAAAAGCGUUCAAAGAACCAGGGGGGCAUUGGCGCGCAGACUGCUAGGAGAGGAAGCACCCUUCAAACCAGCAUGUAUACCCAUUUCUUUCUCCCCAUCAGAUCUAGCCAUGGAAGAAGGAAGGAAAGAAAAAUGGAGAUGGCUGAGAAUGGGAGUCCCCCACUAAAACAGCUGUAGGAAAAGCCUUGAGCUCCCAAAAAUCCUUGUUUUUGUGCGAUUGGGCAGAGAGGAUUUCACCAAAAUAGGAUAAGUCAAAGGAGGAGAGGAGAAAGGAAGGGAAAGACUUAGCCAAAUUGGAUAGAAACCAUUAGGAUUUCUUGGAAAGGAAGAGCUUCUAGCGGCUAUAAAUGAAGAACCUCCUACCCAACAACCAACAACCAACAACCACAUCCAAAGAGCAAGCUUUCUCUCUUACUUCCAAAACCCAGCAAUUUCGUGCUUUGUUCAUCCUUCUCCCCCUUAUUUUUCCCUCAUGGCAGACUGUUCUGGUACUUGACAGAACCUUUGUCGAGCUGCCGGAAAAUCACUUAAGCCACCCAUUGCCCUCUCCUAGUCUCUCUCCUCUUCUCAGCCAAACCCUCUGAUAAUCAUUUCCUCCCUUUCCUUAGAACCCCUGUUUUUCAUAGAAACUCACAGCUCUCUCCCUUUCAAGCUAAACUCAUGACAACUUUUCUUCCAUGCCACAAUUGUAAGCAACCAUUGUUUUUGUCGGUGAAGGUAACUAGGGUGUUUCCUAAGGCUUCACUAUCCGUUCGAAACAUUCUUGGGGUCUGAUCUUUGUACUCAGACACAGGGGAUAAUUUCAUCCAUUUUGCUCUUUACGACAGCCCAGCCCAUUUGUAGCUGCCAGAAGAAAAAAAGCACCUACAGGAACAAUAUACCAUCAUUGGUUUCUAUAGACUUGUUAAACAAUAGUCUCUCCGGUACAAUCCCAAGAUCUUUAGGCUCUCUUACUUCACUCCAGUUCUUGGGCCUCUCUAGCAACAAAUUUUCAGGUGAAGUUCCUUCCUUGAAAAACUGCACUAACCUGAAUAUUUUUGAUCUUGGUGAUAACAAGUUUUCUGGACUGAUUCUGGUUUUCAUCGGAGAAAGCAUGCCCAAUUUACAGAUUCUAAGCUUGAGGUCCAACUCAUUUACGGGAAGCAUCCCUUUAAAAUUAUGUGGCCUUCCCGCUCUCCAUAUAUUGGACUUCUCACACAACAAUCUUUCCGGAAAUAUUCCCCACUGCAUAGGUAAUUUGAGUUACUUGAAAUCUAAGUUCACUGACGAAUAUAACAAUGGUUACUUGGGAAGAUUUGAGUUGGUGUCAAAAGGAAGAGUGUUUGUAUAUGAUUAUCUCUCCAUCCUUUACCUUGUUACUAGCAUUGAUCUCUCGGACAAUAAAUUGUCAGGAGAGAUACCUAUGGGCCUAACAAGCCUUACAAAGUUGGGCACCUUAAAUUUGUCCAUGAAUCAUUUGACAGGAAAUAUUCGAGCAAAUAUCGGAAGCUGGAGUUGAUAGAAACUCUUGAUCUAUCAAUGAACAAAAUUCCAGGUUCAAUUACACAGAGCAUGGUUUAUUUAACAUUUUUGAAUCAUCUAAAUCUGUCAUACAAUAACUUGUCCGGGAAAAUUCCAACCGGUAACCAGUUUCAGACCUUUGUUGACCCGUCAAUUUAUGAGGGCAACCCCGGUCUUAGCAGUUGUCCAUUACCAAUUGUUUGCCAAGACAAUGAAGGAGCACCUCAAGUUCCACAUGGAGAUGGAGGAGAGGAUGAUGACAGCAAACUUGAAAAGCUACAGUUCAUCAUAAGCUUGGUGAUAGGUUUAUGUACAGGGUUUUGGGGAGUUUUUGGGACUUUGGCCAUGAAGAGGUCUUGGAGAUAUGCGUAUUUUCACUUCCUUGACAAAGUGAAAGAUGUUGUCCUUUAUUUUGUCUCAGCUAUUGGUACUUAUCUGCAGAAAAGAUCGUAUAGCACAGAACAAGCUGCAAAUGUGAAUGCAUAUAUGUAUGCAAGCAAAUAAAGCAAUGUUUAGUAUUGUCCUUUACAAAUUUCUAACUUAGUUGUAAUGUGCAUUUAUACGUGUAUGUGUCGUGCUAGAGGCAUCAAGCCUUAAGGAAAUAAUUGCUUCAAUACAUUUCGAAAUCGAUAAAUUUCUACUGGAGCAGAUGUUGCUAACCCAAGGAUAAUAACAGAAUAUAAAUGUAAAACAAGAAAAUAAAAGAUUUAACGAGGUUUAUUACAACAAGUAUAACCCAAAUCGCCAAAUACACCCAAUAACACUAACCUCACAAAAAACAAAUAGAGAAGGAAAUUAUUAACCUUAACUUCAUCUUUAUACAAACCUACAAAUCUUAACUUCAAUUUUUUUUUUUACAAAAAUUUGGUCAAAGGGUUUAUUGCUUUACUCGAACAGAAUUUAGAAGUUUUUAUUUUUUAAGCUGAACCAAAUCCUAUGGCGCUUCUUCUUUAUAAGCUGGUACUGUUACUUUGAGGAAUAAUAAAAAACAUUCCUUCAAUAUCAAAUCUCUCUCGAACUCUCUCUUCUACCUUCUGUGACACUGAUUGCUAAGUGUUUUUUUUUUCUCUCCAUAGACGAUCAAGCAAACAUUCCGAUUGUUCUCUUCGCUUCCGAAAAACAUGGCCUAUAUUUUCUUUCCCCUUUUUUUUUACAGAUCUCCAUUUUUUCCUCUGCCUAUUCUUUUCUUCAUGACUAACAUCCUUUGCUUUUUUUUUUUUUUUAAUGUAGUUUGCUCAGAGAGAAAAAUAAAGGCCUUCUUAAGCAGAGAUGGAGAGGAGUGGUGAGAGAGCCCAAGAGGUAAUUCACGCUCUCUUUUUUCUGUACAUUUUUGGAAUUAACCCUCCUAACACCAUUUCCAUUUCAAAGGAUUUCCUUUUGCUCGGCAGAGCUUUGUUAAACAGGAAUCCUCUCAUGGAUUUGUUGUUCAUGAUUUAAGGGUUGCCACCCAUUAUGAAUUUAUCAUCCAAGAGUUUUAUUUGAGGGUUGCCACCCAAUAUGGAUUCAUCAUCCAAGAAAAUGAUUUGAGGGUUCCACCCAACAAGAAUUAAUUGACAGGAUCCAUAUACCUGUGAAAAUGUCUCCUCUUGUAUUUGUGCUCCUGCAAUUUUCCUCCUGCAACAGUUUUCUUCUUCUGUCGUGUUCUCCUUCCUCUUUCUUUUUUUCUUUUUCUUUUUAGUGCAGAAUAUUUAUACUGAAAACUGAAUAAUCAGCUCCCCCAAAAAUAGGAGCCACUAAACUCUCUUAAACGUUUUCAUUGGUUUAGACCCCCACCUUUUUCCAAACUUCCCCCCCACCUAUCCAAUCCCACGUUCCAAUAUUUUUGUGAUUUUUGUGAUUUUUGUGAUUUUUUUUAUUCCAACAAAUGCCCCCUCAAGCUUUGUGCGUGUGGCACUUUUACGCGUGCAAAGCUUGAGAUGCCUUUAACUAGCAUUAAAAGCUAACAUAUGUAUAUAUUUUUUUUUACCUUUGAUUUCAGGUGAUGGAUGCUUAUGGAAAUCUUCACAAGGAACAUGCUUCCGAUGAAUAUGGUAGGGCCAUCGCCUUUGGCCCCCAGUACAUGAGAUCUUGUCCUCUGAAUUCGAUCAGGCUUAUGGUACCUCCUGAGAGUCGAACAACAUGGUUCACCACAGAUCACGUGAGUAGUGGACAUCUCAAACUCAACCCCUAUGAAGAAGACCGAGUUAUUCAAAUUUCUCAAGCAAAGGGCCCAUGUUUUCUAGCCCACUCUUUGAUGAAAGUAAACAAUGAGAUUGAAGGAGAUAAGCAGUGUCUUCCUAGAGAUGAAUUUUAUCCGGUUAUGCACAGGAUGCUUCGUAACAAAAUUUCAUGGGGAAGCAAUUUCAAAUUUUUCGGUCGGGCUAACUUUCGAUCCUUUGUACUGGAGUGGACGGAGUCUAUUUUGAGUGACUUUGUUGAUGUCCUUCGUCAAGCUGAUAUAUAUGGGGCUGUGGCCAUUUCUCGGUACUCCUAUGAUUUUUGCCCUAAUGUUUGGAGAGCAUUCUGCGAGUUAUGGGGGCCUUUAUCCAACACAUUUCAUCACGGGAACGGUGAAAUGGGCAUUUCCUUAUACGACCUAAAAGUUAUUGGCGGGUUACCAAUUUUGGGUCUCCCCUAUGAUGAAUUAUCCCUUUAAACAGAGAAUUAUGCCGUGAAGACUUGUAUCCUUCAACCAUUGGUGAACUUUUGAAAAUCCAUGCUCAACUAUGUGUUUUCCAUAAGAAAGGACAAGUUUUCCACAAUCAAUGGAUUGAGCAUUUCUUUCGAGGGGAAGCCAUAUAUGGUGCUGCGGGGAAUAAAAAUAACAUAGUUCCCAAACAUAAGGCCAAAGACCUCAAAUUUCCCUUGAACAUUUCACGUGAAGGACAAUUGGCUACUUUUUUAGCCUUUUGGCUUAGCCGUUUUGUUUUGCCCCUUGAUAAUGCUAUAAGGCCAGAAUGUUUCUAUAUGGCAAGUUUGAUGGCGAGAGGGUUUAGAGUUUCACUUGCUCCAGCAGUGUUGGGACUUAUUUAUCAUGCCCUCAGUACAGUUGCAACUCAUCGUAGGGGUCCUGGUUUAGCAAAUGCAUAUCUUCCCAUUCAUUAUGUGAUUGGAUGGUUAGGGGAGCACUUUCCUGAUCUGAUCGACCGUAGGAGUGACAAUGAUUUUCCAGCACAUUACCCUCUUCUAGCGAGGUAUAGUCAGAUUGAAGCCAAAUAUGUCAGCUCUAAUCAAGCUAGAAUCAUCUUCAGGAGUGAGUUUAUGGUUUAUCGUCCCAGUGUCUUCCUUGCACAAGAAGAUUGCAUUCUUUUAGACACAGAGAGCCUUGCGGACGAUGCCUUUGAAUUCUUGGUUUGUAUGCGCUCUGCACUGCUUCCUAUAAGGUUAGGUGGCGAUCUUUGGUUGGAGCCUUACUACCCAAAUAGAUUUGCUCGCCAGUUUGGCUUUGAUCAAGGAGUUCCGGAGAACAAACUUUUAUUUAGUGUAUGUGAGAGGCAGCGAUGUGGGAUUGAGAAGUUGGCGAGAGCCCAAGCAGUCCUUCUGCGCAAAGAUACCACAGCGCGUUUCUAUAUUCCGUGCUCCACCUGCAUUGGGGAAUGCUCUUGGUGGUAUUGUAGAUGGUGGAUGACUGCAUGUGCACCUUAUAUGGGCUUUUCUGUGUCAAAAAUUUUCUCAGUGGUAGACAGGCAUGUCCCAAGCAGGGACCAUGUCUUUGUGCCUGAUAAUUUGAAAAGUAUUUCGACCGGCAUGAGCAAAAGCGGCUUUAAUUCAUCUUCACUUCCUCGUGGUGCUUCUUCGAGUAGAGGACACAAGAAGAGAAUUCACAAUGCUAAAGGGGAACAUUUCUCAGGGGUUAAUCACGUGAUGCACCAAUCCCAAAGGAUUAAUCGAGACUCACACCACAAACGGGCGCGACAUGCAGAUCACAACAAGGUUGAGGAUGGAAGCUCUAGCCAUGUUCUUGACGAAGAGAGUUCUAAUCCGGUGUAGGGGGAAAUGAGAUUUGACGACAUCCUUUUUCCUCGCGAAAUGGAGCCUAUUAACGUGGAUAACCCAGCCUUUGAAGUCAUUUCUUCAGGUGAAUAGGAAAAUAUUCAUCAUAAGAGUGCUAACUCCAGCAUGGGUGGUAGUGGGUCAGACUUCCUGGCUGAAGUGUCUGAAUUUCAACAAGUUAAGAAUAGCCCAGCUGAUGAUCAGUUUCCUGAAACUGUUGGGCCUAUAGCAGUUGUGCGACCCUUCCAAAAUUUGGUAUCAGUCGAGAACUUUGUUCAUCAGAUUUUUGGGAAUGGGGUAAACCAGAAUAGGCGGGAGUUUAUCAGUAGAGAAAUUGAAGGUAUCUUUAGCAGACUUUACUCCUCAGAGACACCUGCUCAACUUCAUAUGCACCAUUCUGAGAUCAUCAAGGCCCUUCGACUUUUGGGGUCAACCGUUGACAUUCUUGGGUGUGGUGAAACUACAUUUAAGCAGUUUGCCCAGCUUGUGGAUUGGAUUUUUGAGCUUGCCAGGCGACAUUCCAAGAGCAGUGCCUAUAUUGAAGCCUUAGGAGAUGUGAAUAUUGAUGUGAUUCAUGAUUUGAUCCGCCAACACGAGGAAUGUUUAAACACCAAGCUGGCUCUUGAGGCAGAACUUACAGAGGUUUCUAAAGAGAUUGAAGACUUGGAUGUCAAGGAAGUUACCAUCAGGGAAGCAGAAGAGAGAGUUCGCCAGAUGCGGGAAGAGCAUGAAGCUAAGAAAACUUCCCUUAAUAUGCAAAAGAUGAACUUGGAGAUUUCUUUGGAGCAUCAGAAUGAACAAGCAAUACAGCUUCAACAAUCCAGAAUUGAUGCUAAAGAAGAUCUACUUCCCCAGAUCGGGAGCACUCGACUGUCAAUGAAGGCUCAAGAGCGAGAGAUCCACCGCCUAAUCAAUGCCCUGUUUUCUUCUUGUAGCGAGCUCUAAGUGAUGAGCCUACUAUCAUUAUUAUUUUUUUUUUUAGCAUGAUUUUUCCCUUCAAUAAAUGUUCUUGUGGUAUGGUUUAUCCACCAAGAAUUUGUAGGUAGGCCUUUGCUUCAGUAUUCUUUUGCUCUUGUAAUGUAGUUUUUCCACCAAGAACAAUUUUCAGAAUAAAGAUUUUGUCGGAUUUUGCUUUUCUAUUUCACAGUUUAUACUCGUGCGAAAUUGGAGUUUUUGCGUAGUAUACAACAUUUUAACCACGUGCUAACACCAUCGGUGGACAAGAAUGAAUUCAUGAUAGUUUACGGCUGCAUCUAGCUUUUGGGCUAGCUUGCCUACGUACCCUGUGAAGGGAUCAAGCCGAACGUAGUUCACCCUCCUUGAAUUGAGGUAAUGAAGGGGGAUUUUGGGUCUUGUGACUGAAUCUAGCUUUUUAGAGACUAGACUGCCUACGUACCCCUUUUUUAGGGAUCAAGUCAACCGUAGUUCUUUGCUUGGGCCGCCCUUUCGGGUUUUCAACCCACAAAGCCUAAUUUUUUUUUUUGGUGCUCUAAUUUUUGCUUGGGCCGCCCUUUCGGGUUUUCAACCCAACAAGCAUUUUUUAAUUUACCCUAACUUUUGCUUGAACAGCCCUUUUGGGUUUUCAGUCCAACGGGUCUUUUUUUUUUUCUUUUUUUUUUUUGUGUGGGCCCUUUCAGGUUUUCAGCCGAACGAGCUUUUUUUAAACAUCAGGCGUAAAACUUCUUGACGAAUUUCCCGUUCACACAAGGAUAUAUGCACUUGUCUUCGGAGUUUGACAACUCGUAGGCACCCUUGGAGAAAACCUUAGUAAUGACGUAGGGCCCCUCCCACUUGGGUUCAAACUUACCAUGCAUUUUCCUAGUAAUGACGAAGGGCCUUCGGACAGUUAAAACCAAGUCUCCAAUUGAGAAAGAUCUGAACUUAACUUUUCUGUUGAAUGCCCCUGCCACCUAAGCCUGAUAUAUUUCGAGCCUUUGUUGAGCCGCCAAUCUUUUCUCAUCAAGAGCUUCCAGUUCUGCCAGUCUCACAUUUGCGUUCUCGUCGGGGUUUGUUAGCUGUAAUGCUACCCUUAACGAUGGCAAUUGGACUUCUAACGGUAGAACAGCCUCGGAACCAAACACCAAAUUGUACAGUGUACAUCCUGUUGAGUUGCGUAUGGUCGUCCUGUAAGCCCAUAAUGCUUCAGGGAGGCGUUCAUGCCAAUCUCUUUUGUUUCCUGAGACCAUCUUCUUUAGGAUAUUGCACAAUACUUUAUUGAAAGCUUCAGCUUUACCAUUUGAUGACGGAUUGUAACUCGCGGAGAACGAGUGUUGAAACUUAUACUUCUCGCACAACUUGGUCAUGGACUUGCAUUUGAAAUACAAUGCAUUGUCAGAUAUAAUCUUUGAUGGAACCCCAUAACGGUAGAUGAUGUGGUUCCUUAUGAAGUUUGUAACAUCGUCUGCUCGUACCUCCUUUAAAGGAAUUGCUUCAGCCCAUUUAGAGAAGUAAUCAAUCGUGGCCAAGAUGUAUUGAUGUUGACGUCAUGACUUAGGCUUUAUCAUGCCAAUAACAUCUAAUCCCCAAGCUUCAAAUGGCCAAGGCAAAGUUGUCGGAUGCAAUUGUUGGGGAGGUUGGUGAAUAAAGUCUCCAUGUAAUUGGCAAUCUUUACAUGUGGUUGCAAAUUUUAUUGAGUCUCGGACCAUUGUUGGCCAGUAAUAACCCAAUCUCUUCAGUUGGUUCGAAAGUUUUGGACCAGCUUGAUGAGCAUCACAAGUGCCAGCAUGAGUAUCAUGAAGGGCCUUAGUUGCAUCUUGUUUCGACAAACACCUUAACAACAUACCAUCAAAUGAUCUUUUGUACAAGGUAUCAUUUAAGUACAGAAAUCGAGUGGCUCUGCGUCGGACUUCAGCCUUUUUCCUUGAGUCAUUUGGCAACUUGCCAAGUAGUAGAUACUCGAUUAUGGGAUGGCGCCAAUCAAGAUCAUCCGGUUCCUCCUCACAUUCGGAGGACGUAAUAACGUUUGAAUCCACAACUUCUUCAAUUCUCUCUAUAGCUGGGGGUAGUAAAUAACAUUCCCCAACGGUGACUUGGAUAUCCCUUUCGCUAGGUAGUGUUAACGAUGCAGCCAAAUUAGCUAGUGCAUCAGCUUUAUCAUUUUCCGACCUCGGGAUGUGACUAACAUGAAUGUCUUGAAACUGUGACAUGAGAUACUUCGCCCUUUCAUGGUAUGGGACGAGAGUAGCAUUUCUGACUGCAUAUUGUCCAUUCAACUGUCUGACGGCCAACUGUGAAUCACCAUAUGCUUGCAAACAAUCAAUAUGCAUCUCGAGGGCAAUUUCAAGGCCAAUGAUGAGUGCCUCGUAUUCUGCCACAUUAUUCGAACAUAAAGCUAGUAAGGAGAAUGAGUAUGGGAUUAAGCCCCCAGACGGCGUGAUGAAUACUAAUCCUGCGCCAGCUCCGUUUCUUCUUGCUGCCCCAUCAAAAUAUAGUUGCCAUGUAAGUGCUUCUAUUGUAAACACCUCCUCAUCAGGCAAAUCUGCAGGUAACUCCAUGUUGUCGGGAGUAGGAUGAGCAGCCAAGAAAUCAGCAAGAGCUUGCCCUUUGAUCACCUUUUGUGGCACAAAUUUUAUCUCAAACUCAGAGAGGAGGAGUGACCACUUGGCUAUUCGCCCAGAGAGCACAGGCUUGGACAUUAAAUAUCGGAGCGGAUCUGCCUUGGAAAUCAAGAUGACUCUAUGAGAGAGGAUGUAGUGUCGUAGUUUCUGGACAGCAAACACUAAUGCAAGGCAGACCUUUUCGAUAGGGGUGUAAUUUUGUUCUGCCCCUACGAGUGUUCUACUCAAGUAGUAGAGUGCAUUUUCCUUUCCAUCAUCAUUGUGUUGAGCGAGCAAUGCCCCCAACGAGCGUUCUAACGCUGCAAUAUACAAGAUUAAGGGCUUCCCUUUAAUUGGCACCAUAAGAACUGGCAGGUUUAAUAGGUAUUGUUUAAUGCUUUCCAAGGCAUUUUGACAUGCUUGAUCCCAUACAAACGGAACAUCCUUCUUCAUGAGCCUCGAGAAUGGUUGGCACCUUCCAGAGAGAUUUGAGAUGAACCGUCGUAUAUAGGCUAGUCUCCCUUGCAACCCUCGCAACUCCCUUAAAUUUUGAGGGGGAGGCAUUUCACGGAUUGCCUUGAUUUUUGAGGCAUCAAUUUCAAUUCCUCGAUGUCGGACAACGAAGCCAAGGAAUUUGCCUGAAGUUACCCCAAAUGCACACUUCAAGGGGUUCAUUUUCAACUGGUGCUUUCGGAGUCUAUCAAAAACUCAUUUUAAGUCACUCAAAUGAUGUUCCCUUUUCCUGGUUUUAACCACCAAAUCAUCAACGUAACACUCAAUAGUAUUGUGAAGCAUGUCAUUGAAAAUUGUUGUCAUAGCUCUUUAGUAAGUUGCCCCAGCAUUUUUCAACCCAAAAGGCAUCACAGUGUAGCAAUAUAUUCCUUUUGGAGUGCGGAAGGCAGUUUUUUCUUGAUCCUCUGGAGCCAUUUUUAUUUGGUUGUAACCUGAGAAUCCAUCCAUGAACGAUAGAGCACCAAAACCGGUUGUUGCAUCUACCAAUAAUUCUAUGAUUGGGAGCGGAAACUCAUCUUUUGGGCAUGCGUCAUUGACAUCUCUAUAGUCCACGCAUAUACGCAGUGCCCCAGUUUUUUUAAGGACUGGAACAAUAUUGGACAACCAAGUGGGAUAGUGGACUUCUCGAAUAAAACCGGCAGCAAUAAGCUUGUCAAUCUCAAUUUCUAUUUGGAUCGUUAGCUCUGGCCGAAAACGGCGUGGCGCUUGCUUCACCCAUCGAGCCUCGUUAGGUAUCCCAAGUUUGUGAACUGCAACGUUUGGGUCUAACCCUGGCAUGUCUUGAUAACUCCAUGCUAAUACAUCUCAGUACUCUUGCAACAAUUGUGUGUAUUCUUCUAACUCUUGCGGCGUUAACGAAGCACUGACAAAGAUAGGUUUUGGGUCGUCAACUGUACCAAGAUUAAUUUCUUGCAGAUCAUCAAUUGUGGCUUGACAACCCUCCUCCAUUUGGGGUGGAGCUGGUUGGACUAUGUCAAUGAAUCCCUCGAUAUCUUGAGGAUCAUCAUCUUGGUCCACUGCUUCUUUGAAAGAGGUGCAAUUGACUUGGACAAGGUCAUCCUUUAAUUUCACCCUUUUGACCUUCUCGAUCACGGCUUUCUCUUUACUCCUAACCUUCCAUUUCCUUUUAUUAUGGACUUUCCCUUGUUGAGAAUUGGAAGGGUUUUCCAAGUGGUGAAAGACUGAGAUGCGGGAUGGAUGUCUGCUCCCUAAGCGUUUGAACACAGAGACGCGGAGCGGCCUUAUAUUCACCUCAUCUUCUCUAAACAUAGCUUGUUCCAUAUUAGUGAGUAUCUCGGACUCGGAAACUUCCAGCUGUGGCCUUCGAAGAAACACUUUGAGCACACCACUCUCAUUUUGAACUGUGAGGCCAGCAUUGCUUUUCUUUGUUUUACGGCCUGUAAGUUUUAUCUUUAAUAGAGUAAAUGUUGUUUCUGGCAAUGAUUCUUUUUUAUGAAGAACUAUACGUUUACUCAGGCCCUUGUUUUUGCCAAAAGUAGUCGAAAUGACCAAAUCGUCCCCUGGGAUAGACUGAUUGAUCUUACGAAGAGGACGAAUAUAGCUUGCCGUCAUCAGUGACUCCAUUGUUUGUUUCGAGGAGCUUGUUUCCUUUUCACUAGGCUCCUUUUUUGAAGUCUUGACAAUUAUCUUUGACUUGGGAGCCUUUGCAGUCGGGAUUUCUUCCACUUUUGAGAACGACGUACCACGAGGUUUUAAAUUCACUCGAAUUACGUUUGAAGGUUUGGGUACUUCUACCUUUUGUGCCUUUCCUGUUUCAACAGUCACUCUUUCCUCCUUAUCAACCUUUGAUGGCUGUGUGAAUGAGAUACCUGGUGGACUGUAAAAUUUCGCAUCAGAGUAAUUUACCUCUUCGCCUCUAAACGGGUCCAUGUCAGCUGAAAGGCUCUUGACUUCCCCAUCCAUCGAGUAUUUAAAGCACUGGUGAAGUGUGGAAGGGACUAUGCCAUAUGUAUGGAGCCAUGGGCGUCCUAGGAGAACAUUGUAUGAAGUGUCAGCAUCGAUCACAUGGAAUAGGGCAUCUGAAUAUAGUUCCCCUAUUUCCAUUUGCAGUGCGAUAGAACCCAUGGCUUUUUGCCCAAGUUGAUUGAACCCUUGAAUAGUCAGCAUAGAUGGAGAUAAUUGUCGGGCACUCAUCCCUAUAGCAUGGAGUGUCUUUAAAGGGAUAAGAUUCACAGCCGAACCACAAUCUAACAAGAUUCGAUUGAUGAUCGUGCCUCCAACUUCGCCAGUGGCAUAAAGAGGUCGAUUAUGGAAUUUGGAUCCAAGUAAGAAGUCAUCUUCACCGAAGGUAAUUACUACCAGACACGAUGCACAAAACUUCGAGGUUUCAAUUGUGUGGACAUCUACUGAUUUGAAACAUGAUUUGUACAAAUCCGGGCUCUUUAAAGCCAUUACAAGUGCUUCUCUAAGCUCUCUCGACAUUUGUAAAGCGUCAUAAACACUUAAAGGAGUGGGGAUGCGCUUAAGAUGAGCCAAGAUAUCAUACUUAAGUGCAUGUGAUUGUGAAGGCUCUUUUGUUUUACUAGUGUCGGGCUCAAGGUCUUUUGCUUUUGAAGAGGACGGUGGAACUUCCCUUGCAACAGCUUUUUCCGACAAGGAGACCUUAAUCUCUUUCACCUUUGACUUCUUCUCGGUUUUAAAGGGAUCAGCUUCCUCAUUUUCUUGUUGUUUAUUGGCAGAUGGGAUGCUCCGACCAGAGCGGAGGUUAAUCUCAUCAACCUCUGUGUCAACCUCAUAUUCUCCCACAGAAACCAUAUUGCAUUGGAUAAUUUCUUCCUCAACCUCGGAUUCACUCGAGAAGAACUCAACUGGCAAGAAUUCAGUGAGUGUGACAGGGACUAUUGCGGGUUGCUCAUAUUCAUCCUCUUGAGGGAUAUGAACCUUCUUUUGCACCUUCUUCUUAUUCCUUUUAUUUUUCAAGGCUGGCAUGCCUCGAAUCUUGACACCAGGACGAGAAACAGAUUUGUGAUUGGGUGGGAAAUGUUUGGCCAUGUGCUUGGCUCUUUUAACAAAUGUCUUCCACCCCUCAGCAGAUUCGUCGGCUGAAGAAUCUUCCCAUACCUCUAGACUGGGUGCAGUCAUAAGCUCAUGAAGAGCGGGAAUUUGAAGAUCACUAGACCACGGUGCAUUUGGAUAGGCAUGUACAAUUGUACCCCCAUUGUCAGUAUUAAUACCUGCAAGUUUCACUCCGUCUAGUGGUGUAGUGGUAGGUGUGAGCUUUUCCUCUAUCAUAUUUGCCGCAGCUGAAUGAUGUUGGGGAGAAGAGUCUAUCACCAAGCCACCAUUGUUGAGGAGCUCUUGAAUUUUGUCUUUCAGGAUAUAACAAUCCUUGAGCGUAUGACUGAUGAGGUAAUGAUACCGACAAUACCUAGGGUCAUUUGUCUUGUUAGCCUCAGCAGGACGCUUUGAUUCUCGCAAAGCAAUACUAUUGGAGGCCAAAAGUUGGUCAAAGAUUUCUUCUACAUCCUCAUCGUCGAAAGAAUAUUUAACCUCUUUGCGGUCUUUGAGAGUGAGCCUUUUGGGUGGGUCUUUGCUUUGGCCUUUGUUAUUUCUCUUUUCUGUUUUGACAAAAGUGGCCAAUGACUCUCCUUUUGCAGACUUCUUGUCAUUUUUCUUCUCCCCAAAUUGAAUUUUUUGGGUCGCGGACUUUUGACGAGCAAUUUGUCUUUCAACAUUGCUCGCCUUUGACACCAAGGCAUCAAAUGAUUGGGGUUCAGCAGUGGCAACAAAAGUCGCAAUAUCUGGUAUGAGGUUGUUGUAGCACAUUUGCACGGCUAAUUGCUCGGUAAUUUUCUCCGGGCAUUGAAGAUUGAGGCUCCUCCAUCUCAUUUUGAAGUCAUUAGCACUUUCCCCUGGCUUUUGGGUAGUUUGAGCUAGGUCCAUGAUCGAGACCUUCUUCUUUGAACUGACAAACUGUGCCAAAAAUGCUUUUUGCAUGUCGUCCCAUGUCAGAAUAGAACCUGGCGGCAGUUGUGUAUACCAAGUAAAAGCUGACCCUUUUAGGGAUUGGACAAAUUGACGCACCAGAAGAGCGUCUGACUGAGAUGUCUCGCCACAUGCUGAGUAAAAAUGUGCCAAAUGUUCAUGGGGUGAGCUACUUAUGCCAUCAAAUUUAUCAAAUAUAGGCCGUUGAUAACCCUUCGGGAAUGGUAUGGCGUCAUAGUGAGAAGGGAAAGGUUUUCGAUACCCUUGAACAGGAGGUGCUAUAGACAAUUGGAACUCACGAAUUCCUUCAGCAAUUAACACCUUUAUGUCAUUUGGGGAAAUUGUGCUCGUAGAGCUUUCUGCUUUUUCCUCUUUUGUUUGUUGUUCUUGGGCGGUCGAUUCAUUUGUUUUGCCCAUAUCUUGCUCACCUAUGAUGUUUUUUCCUUUCAGCCGAGCGGAUAGUAACGCUAUUUUCGCGUCUUUUUCUACCAACUUCUGCUGCAUUUCCCUUCGCAGGUCUUGCAUCAUUUCUUGGACUAAAGGUAACUGGUCCUCAGUAUUAGAAGUACCAAUCAUCAUGACUUGCAUGCUUUCCACUCCCUCAUGAAGUUUGGCCCCUUGGGAUGAUAUACAAUCAUUCUCUUGAGUUUGAGAUACAGGAUCAUCAUAGAGAGGAUUCCAUUGCAAAUAAUCAUCCAAGGUUGAGCUUAGACUGGAUAACUCAGGAAUAAUCGUCCCAACCAUGUUUCGGGAUUUAGAACGAGUCAAUGGACCCACGUAGGUCCUCGACUGAUCUUGAGGUUUUGGGACUCCCCCUUGUGAUACGGGAAUUUGAUCCCCUGAAACAUCAGUUAUCUUCACCUUUUUCACGCGUUUCCUUUGUGCAUGAGGUAUGUUCACCACCUUCUUUUUCAUGACGAUGGCUCUGCUUUUACCCUUAGGAGAACAUGGGUAAACCUCUUGUAAUGUGGAUUCCACAACAUGGGCUAUAAGGCUUGAUGGAGGUUCGGCCCCUUGGACCUCGACGUUCUUCACGAAGUCGUCCUUUUGACCUUCAUCUCUAGCUUCGUUGGUGGAAGUCAUCAGAACAGAAUCUGUAGGAUAUAGGUUGACUGGAAUUGAUCCAAUCAUGAUUUUGACAAAUCGGGAAGUAUUUGUUCUCUUGGGAUUCGGCACCGCCAGGGUGGUUAAGGUGUUCUUGCCCUCAGUCAUUAUUGGGCUUGUCCCAGAAAGCUGGGAUAAGAUUGCCUUAAUAGACUCCUUUUUUGCUUCUUUCUUUCUUAAAGCACGCGCAGCCCUCUUUCUUCCAUUUCGGAGAGCGUUCUUGGACGGAGUUUUCUUCAAUUGGGUCUUGACGACCUUAGGAGUGACCUGAGGUCUGGCCCUCUGAAUGGGCUUUGGCACAGUGCACUUGAUGAGGCUCUCACCAACAAUGAAAGUCUUUUUGAACCCUACUCGUUUGGUGCACGCAUUCUUGGUAGUUUCAAUUUUGUGGAAGAAAAUCGUUACUUGUGGUGCCAUCGUAUCUGGUUUUGUUAACCUGUGAAAAACACAAAUAAAUAAAACAAACAUUAGUCACUUUAUGAUUGGAGAUGAAAAGGUAAAUGGGUCCCACUGGGCGUGCCAAAAAUUAUGUUGAAGGAAAAUUGUGAUCUUCCUAAUAUAAUUUCACCACCACUAAUUAAAUAAUGGGGUUUUAUUAUUUUAGGUUCGACCCAUUCGAGACUCAAGUCUCUUAAUUACAAUCCCUUGCUUCAAGGGAAAACCCUUUGAUUCCAUCAUAAAGAAACAGAACGUGUGUGUUUGAUUUUGCAGCUGCUCCCAAGUCCAACCUCAGGAUGCCUACGUAUCCCUUGCGGGAAUCAAACCACUCGUAGUUCAAAGAUUCAUGAUGAACAAAUGACUCAUCGCAAAACGAAGAAUUUGAAUGAGUUUGAUUGAGGAGUGUUUGAGUGAAUUUAGCUGAAUAAACCAGGGAUUCGAUAUGGAAAUAUGUUUGGGAUGGUUGCACCUAGAUUGAAUCUCUAGAUUGCCUACGUACCCUUUUAAAGGGAUCAAACCAACGUAGUUCGAAAUUUUAGAAAUUAAUGGGUAAGUGUGGCCCAAUAAUUUAGAGUUGGUGUCUUUGAGACGAUUUGAAGAUUUUCAUAGGUAGAUGACCUAUGGGAAAAAUUGGAAAUUAAUGGGUAUGUAUGACCCAAUAAUUUAGAAUUUGUAUCUUUGAGAUAAUUUGGGGAUUUUCAUAGGUAGGUGACCUAUGGGAAAAUUUUGAAAUUAAUGGGUAAGUGUGGCCCAUUAAUUGAGAAUUUGUGUUUGAGAUAUUUGAAUUUAAUCUCAUUGGAAUUUUCAUGGGUAGAUGACCCAUGGGAAAAAUUUGGAUGGUUUUGUACCACUUUUUCUUUUUGUCAAUGUCCCAGAAAAUUAAUGAGCAAUUUUGAUUAACCCACUAAUUUUCUAAAGUUGACAUUUGCACUUGGACCCAAAUAUGGCUACAAGGAUUUUUUUUAACUAAUCCAUUAACCAUAUGAUAGGAAAUUUGGGCCUUAGGAAAUUUAAUGGGUAAUUAUUUGGGUUACCCAUUAAUUAUAUGGGCUUCUGAGAGUCAAUGGAUAAUUAUUCUCUGACAGCCCAUGAUCCUAUUUUGGGCUUUUGAUGUUUGUUGAUAGUUAGCCCAUGAGCAUGGAGCCCCAAAAAAAAAACUUUGGUCCAUCAGGCGAUUAAAACAACCUGAUAGUUAUCCAACUCUUUAUAGAGUUUGUUUCCAAGUAAAGUCAAACCUUGUAGUCUCAUCUUUAUCUGGAAUACUUGUGAUCAGUCCGAAUUAAGAGCAAACAUUUUUACUGUUCAGUCUUUGAAGAAAAUACACGAAGUCACAAUCUGUACACAGCCUUUGCAAACAAAAAGAGAAAGCCAGAAGAAAAACUGCCGCAACACAUCAAAGAGAUUUCAGACUUUUUCUUUGUCUUUUUCCUCUUUUUUUCUCUGCAAACCAUGGUCCUUGUCCCCUUUGUUUUGCUUUUCUUCCAACUUCAACAAAGUGGCGUCAGCCACCCUCUUCUCUUUUUUUUUUUAUGUUUUGACUUUUCUUCUUCUUUUUGAUGACUGAAGCAAACCCCUUUUUUUUUAAUUGUCAUACAUCCAGAUAUUUUAGUUGUUUGUUAUGAAACCAAAAGAUAGGGCAUUCAAAGCAUGGGCUGCUCCAACAUGGCCCUUCCCAAGUUCUACUUCUCUUUUUUUUUUACACCCAUGUUUUCUUUUGGCUGGCACCAUUCUCUCCCUUUAACCCAGCAACACCCACGAAGUGGCGCUCAGCCACUUUCUUUCCCUCUUUUUUUUCAGUGUCUGUUUUCCUGCUUUAAUUUUUUUUCUGUCUGUUGUGAUUGUGUGCCCAACAAGAGGAUCAUCUAAGAGAGAGAGGGAGAGAGGCUGUGACAGAAAAACAUGGCCUCUAUUUUCUUUCCCCUUUUUUUUUACAGAUCUCCAUUUUUUCCUCUGCCUAUUCUUUUCUUCAUGACUAACAUCCUUUGCAUUUUUAUUUUUUUUUAUGUAGUUUGCUCAGAGAGAAAAAUAAAGGCCUUCUUAAGCAGAGAUGGAGAGGAGUGGUGAGAGAGCCCAAGAGGUAAUUCACGCUCUCUUUUUUCUGUACAUUUUUGGAAUUAACCCUCCAAACACCAUUUCCAUUUCAAAGGAUUUCCUUUUGCUCGGCAGAGUUUUGUUAAACAGGAAUCCUCUCAUGGAUUUGUUGUUCAUGAUUUAAGGGUUGCCACCCAUUAUGGAUUUAUCAUCCAAGAGUUUUAUUUGAGGGUUGCCACCCAAUAUGGAUUCAUCAUCCAAGAAAAUGAUUUGAGGGUUGCCACCCAACAAGAAUUAAUUGACAGGAUCCAUAUACCUGUGAAAAUGUCUCCUCUUGUAUUUGUGCUCUUGCAAUUUUCCUCCUGCAACAGUUUUCUUCUUCUGUCGUGUUCUCCUUCCUCCCUCUUUUUUUCUUUUUCUUUUUAGUGCAGAAUAUUUAUACUGAAAACUGAAUAAUCAGCUCCCCCAAAAAUAGGAGCCACUAAACUCUCUUAAACGUUUUCAUUGGUUUAGACCCCCACCUUUUUCCAAACUUCCCCCCACCUAUCCAAUCCCACGUUCCAAUAUUUUUGUGAUUUUUGUGAUUUUUUUUUAUUCCAACAACUUCAAAAUGAGAACGUUUCGAAAAUUCAAAGGCCACUUGUGAUAGUGUAACACCCCGACUCCAAAUUUAACCCAUUAUUUACAUUAUUUAAGUGAAAUUACAAAUUUACCCUUGAGGUAGGGGUAAUUUGGUCACUUUCUUACCCGGAAAGAGUUUGGGGUAAUGACUGAUAUUUUUGGGUAGGCCGUACCGAGAUGAGUCCGUAGACACGUGGUGGGCUCGAAUCAGAUUUCUCUCUUUCUCUCUCUCUCUCUCUCUCUCUCUGCUCUCUCUCGCGCGCGCAGUGGCAGCCGUCCACAUUUUAGUCGGCCGUUCCCUAUUCCGGCCACCGAUGAUGACGGGACAGGUACCAAAAUGACCGGGGCGUCGUCCUCUUCCAACCCCAGCCAGGUCCCACCGCCAGCCUUCACGGUUUCGCCUGAAACUGGAGAAGAAGCGGCCGGUGUCGUCCGAACUUCUCCGUCGUCAAUCUCCCUCCUCCGGCCACCGAUUUAGACGAGUGAGGUAUGGUUUCUCACCUACUUUUCAUGCUCUAGCUGCCUGUUGGGUAGGAUUGGAUCAAUUCUUAGCAUAGGUAAUUCGAUUUACGAAUUGAAAUUCGGCCGGUUUUGGGAUCGCGUUUCUGGCCACCUCCGGUCAGGUUUUGGGGUAGGUCCAAGAACAAAAGUGGCUCCAAAUAGGGUGUUAUACCUAGGGGAUGAGUUUGGAGCCGUGGUUUUGAGCUUUUCCGGCGAUGCGUAAUGGAUUUGGGCACCCAGCCCUGCCGGCGCGUGUCGCGGUACGUGGGCGAGGUGGUGAAGUUUCACUUUACCUCGAUGAGAUCCUUAGGUUGUCACGAGUGCGUAGGAUUUUGCGGAUCUCAAUUCGGACGUCGUUUGACUAUCGAACGGACUUUCGCAUAUUGCGCGUUAUCCGGGUUCUAUAGGUUGGGAUCGUUGGAUGGUCUCGAAUAUAAUAUAUGUUAAUCUAGGUAUUUCUAGGAUCAUGUAGGAUUUACGGAUCGUGAAUCGGAGCCCCGGAUGUUCCAAUUUAUUAAUUUAAAGUUUAUGUUUUAUAAUAACCGUCAGAUCGUGCGAUCGUGAGCAAUCCAACCGUCCGAUCUGGACCAAACUUACAGGACGAGUGUCCUAUACCUUGUAGAACCCAUAGGAACUUUCGGAUCGGAAUUUGGAGGUCGUGGCCCGUUUGACCAAGAUUGUGUAGUUUGACCCUUGGUUGACUAUGAGUCUUCCGAGGUAGUUUUACCUUCCUAGGAGGAUUACAUUGUCCCUAGUGACAGGUCUUAAGCAUUCUUGAGUGUUAGAUGAAUCAUGUUGAUUAUGUGGGAUUAGGAUAUUAAUUUAUUGUUUUAAAUUGGGGGAUUAUCGGGUGCUAGACUAUUGUUGAGGUUUACACAAUAUUAGAAUUAAUAUAUAUAUUUAUAUAUGUUUGUAACAGUAUAAAAAGAGUCUAGAAUGUCAGUUUGAAGUGCUAUACGCACUACCUUAGGCACCUCCCCGAAUUUUGAUUACACUAUAAGUACCACCCUGUGAAAGUUAGGCCCCACGUGGCGUAGGUUAUCCGGCGUGCGGAUAAACCCCAUACGUGGCGUUGGUAGUACCGGUGUAUGGGGAGAUUAUGUGACAAUAUGUGGAGGUCGCACGUGGCGUAGGUUAUCCCGCAUGUCGACAGACCCCAUACGUGGCGUUGGUUGUACCGGCGUAUGGGGAGAUAUUGUGAUAUGAUGUUGAGGUCGCAAGUGGCGUAGGUUAUCCGGCGUGUUGACAGACCCCAUACGUGGCGUUGGUCGUACCGGCGUAUAAGGAGAUAUUGUAAUAUGAUGUUGAGGUCUCACGUGGCGUAGGUUAUCCAGCGUUGAGACAGACCCCAUACGUGGCGUUGGUUGUACCGACGUAUGGGGAGAUUAUGUGAUAGUAUGUGUUGAGGUCGUACGUGGCGUAGGUUAUCCGGCUUGUUGACAGACCCCAUACGUGGCGUUGGUUGUACCGGCGUAUGGGGAGAUUAUGUGAUAUUAUGUUGAGGUCGCACGUGGCGUAGGUUAUCCUGCGUGUUGACAGACCCAUACGUGGCAUUGGUAGUACUGGCGUAUGGGGAGAUAUUGUGAAAUACAGAGAAAUGAAUAAAAGUAUUGUCUAUGUUUGGAAUCGGGUUUUAGUGGAAGAACUACGUGUGGCUUGAUCCCUCAGUGAGGGUACGUAGGCAGCCUAAGGUUAUUAGAUGCAGCUGCGGACAUAGAUGUGAUUGUGUUAGAAGGUUAAAACCUCGUAUAUUAGGAUUGGAAAAGCAAAAUGAUGCAUGUCGAAAUUUAGUAGUCAUAAUUCAUAUUUGAAUUUAUUGGUUGCUUGUUUAAGGCAUGAAUUGAUUUGUUACCGUGCUUGGUAGUUUCUUGAGAAUUAUUGGAAGGCCGAAGGCCGUUUAUGUGAAUUGCAUGAAAUUAUAUUGUGCGUGCUGCUAGUUGUGGAUAUAAAUUGUGUUUUAUGCAGGUUGAAAUUUUGGGCAAUGCUCAAUUUACGGGGGAGAUUCUGCCAAAAUUUCAGCAGGAAGUCUCGGUCUUUAGUAAGUGGGCCCGGCAUUGGGGUGAUGUCGGGAAUUCCACAGGAUUCGUCUCGGAUUUCGAGAAAUUCGGGGCGGGUCCUUUCAGAUAGUGUGAAAGAAAGCUCCAUUUGCAUUAGUGUUGGAAAAUUUUCUAUGGACAAGACAAGACCAAAGCAUUCAAACAACUAUGAAGGCAGGCAUAAAAAGGAAGAAAUCUUAUCGGAGAAAGAAAAGCUUCAACACGGCGUUAGUGCUGGAAAAAGUUUAGUGGAUGAAAUGAAUAAAAGUUGAUAACAAUUCUCCAAGUGGUUUGCCAAUUUUAGUGGAUGAAGAAAAAUUCAACACGGGCUAUAGAUGAAUCUGUAUGCUUGUCAUCUUCAUACUCCUCGAGACUGAUUUAUGAUCAUGCCCUGCAAAGAUGGAAACAAAUUUGAAAUUAGCUUAGUAUUAAUUUGAAAUUACCACAUUUCUAUACCACAUUCUCAUACCAAAUAUGGACAUACCACAUCAUUUGGUAUAGAAAUGUGGGAUAAAAAUGUGGUAAGUGUAGCAUUACUCCUUAUAAUAUUAAAUAAACACCAUUGGCUUAUGCAUACUGCUUGAUUUGUAAAUUAUAAACAAUUUUCAUUUUUGAUAAUGUCCUCAUAUGAAAUUCGUAAGAUUUGAGAGUUUUUUUAUAUAAAAAAAAUUAAAGAAAAAGAAAUAUAGCAGGAUCUCUUGUUCCAUAUCUAUGACGAGUUAUUUACACCAACACCUUCUGAGGUUUUUUGUGUUUUAACAAAACCCCCUCAGGUCUCAAAAAUUACAUGAACACCUCCUAAGGUUUCAGUUUGUUUUCACAAAACCUCUUUCCGUUGAUUGUUUGUCCAAAAAUUGAUGAUUUUAUUGAAAAAAAAUUUGUGCAAAUGACAAAAUUAACCUCAAUGAAGUAUGCAAUCUAACAUGAAAGGACAACUGUCAUUUGGAGAAUUUUUUUGGUAUAAAAUCAUCAAUAUUUAGAUGAAAAAUGAAUGAAAAUGAGUUCUAUGAAGAAAAAAAAAUUUAAAACCUCAGGGUGUGUUCGUGUAAUUUCUAAAACCUCAAGGAAGUUUGUGAAAAAGCCGAAAAUCUCAAGGGGUGUUAGUGUAAAUAACUCCUCUAUGACUACCUCUAAUAGUUCAUUUGAAAAAUAUGCGACGUAAGUAUUCUUUUGGAUAUAUUUGUCCGACUUGUACUCCAUAUUUGUUGUCUUAAAUAUCCCAUCGACUGAAAAUUGCUACUUUAAACUUCAAAGUCAUUAUCUGGCUAAAGUGCUGAUGGGGUUGAACUAUUUACCCCACAACUCAACUUGACUUGGAAGUCUUUGCAUGCAUGAUCGUAGCAGUGUCAUUGUCAAUAUUUUAUCUUUAUCAGAGACUUGGAAGUCGUGUAAUUGAUGUUCACACAAUUUGUGUAGGUAGGGACCUGGUUAUGGAAAUUUUGCAUUCUUGGUAGCGUGUCCGCGACACAAAUUCUCAAUCAUCUGAAUUCUCAUUUGCUCCUAUACAUAGGGCAUCUCUAAACUCCAAAAUCUUGCAGACUCAUAUCUUUAGUCCAACAGAUCAACCCAUUGCAUAAGAAUCAUGGGUCAUUGCAAUGCUAGUGCUUCCAUCCAACUUGUCUCACUAAUUAUACUGUCACGAAUUUUUUCCCUUGAAACCAUUAAAUUCGGUUUCUGUAGUGAUGAUCAUAAUGUGGGAUGCAUAGGUAUAGAGAGGAAAGCCCUUCUCAAGCUCAAACAAGGCCUCACAGAUCCUUUCGACUGGCUUUCAUCUUGGGUGGGAGAAGAUUGCUGCAAAUGGAGUGGUGUAGGCUGCAACAACAUAACUGGACGUGUCAACAUGCUUGAUCUUCGCAAUCGCUAUUCAGAUGGGUUAGAUGGUUACGGAUCAAUAAAGCAUGCAUUUAGCGGUGAGAUCAAUCCUUCUUUGCUUGUUUUGAAAGAUUUGGAUUACUUGGAUUUGAGCAUGAAUAACUUUGAAGGUGUCCAACUUCCAAGUUUCAUUGGAUCACUAGAGAAACUGAAAUACCUCAAUCUCUCUCGUGCAUCUUUUGUUGGAGUCAUUCCCCCCAAUCUUGGAAACCUCUCAAGGUUGCUUUAUCUUGAUCUUAGUAAUUUUCUUUUUCCUAACCCAAUUGAGACUGACCUUCAGUGGCUUGCAACUCUUUCUUCCUUAAAGUACCUUAACUUGGAGGGAGUGAACCUUGCCAGGGCUACAUCCUAUUGGCUUCCCACUGUUAAUAUGCUCCCUUCACUUGUUGAAUUGCAUUUGCCCCUUUGUGGACUUUCCAUCCUUCCUUUCACUCUUCCUUCUAUCAAUUUCACAUCCCUUUUGGUUCUUGAUCUCUCUGACAACCAUUUCAAAUCCACAAUACCUCCUUGGUUGUUCAAUCUCACUAAACUACAGAUUUUGGAUUUGGCAUAUAACAGUCUGAUAGGAAAACUCCCUGAUUCUUUGGGAUAUCUUAAAAGCUUGAGAUACCUCAUAUUGGCGGCUAACUCAUUGAGUGGGAUCAUCCCAGAAUGUCUUGGGGAGCUCUCAUCGUUAGUUUCGCUAGAUAUCUCUUACAACACAUGGGAAGGUGCCAUUACAGAAACUCAUUUCUCGAAACUUGGAGGCCUGAGAGAAGUAUCAAUUGCAAAUGAUCCCCCAAACAUUUCCUUGGUUUUCAACAUAAGUUCUGAUUGGAUGCCUCCUUUCAAAUUAAGAUACUUGGACAUUAGAUCAUGCCAACUGCGUCCCAAAUUCCCUACAUGGCUUAGAAAUCAGACUGAGUUGACCACGGUGGUACUCAAUAAUGCUAGGAUUUCAGACACCAUACCAGAUUGGUUUUGGCAAUUGGAUUUGCAAUUUGAUAUUCUAAAUGUCGCUCAUAAUCAACUAAGCGGCAGGGUGCCUAAUUCAUUAAGAUUCAGCUAUGAUUCCAAUGUUGAUUUGACUUCAAACCGCUUUGAAGGUCCACUCCCACUCUGGUCCUCAAACAUUACCUGGCUGUAUCUUAGAGAUAAUCUAUUUUCAGGGCGAAUUCCUCAUAACAUUGGUCAAGUGAUGCCCAAUUUGACACGUCUAGACAUUUCUAGGAACUCCUUGAGUGGAAGCAUUCCCCUGUCCAUUGGUAAUUUAAGCCAAUUACAUUUCAUGUUGAUCUCAAAUAACCUCUUGUCUGGUGAGAUUCCUCAUUUUCAGAACGAUAUACCAUCGUUGUAUAUUGUAGACUUGUCAAACAACAAUCUCUUUGGUACAAUCCCAAGAUCCUUAGGCUCUCUUACUUCACUCAGAGUCUUGUUCCUCUCUAGCAACAACUUUUCAGGUGAAGUUCCUUCCUUGAAAAACUGCACUGGCAUGAAGAUUCUUGAUCUUGGUGAUAACAAGUUUUUUGGACCGAUUCCAGCUUUCAUUGGUGAAAGCAUGCUCUCUUUAAAGAUUUUAAGCUUGAGGUCCAACUCAUUUACUGGAAGAAUCCCUUUACAAUUAUGUGGCCUUUCCACUCUCCAUAUAUUGGACUUCUCACACAACAAUCUUUCCGGAAAUAUUCCUCACUGCAUAGGUAAUUUGGGUGGCUUUAAAUCUGAGGUCAAAGACAUAGAUACAGAAUCCUACGGUUAUUUGGGAAGAUUGGAGGUGGUGUCAAAAGGUAGAAUGCUUGUAUAUGACUCCAUCCUUUACCUUGUUAAUAGCGUUGAUCUCUCAGACAAUAACUUGUCAGGAGAGAUCCCUGUGGGGAUAACAAGCCUAAUAAAGUUGGGCACCUUAAAUUUGUCUAUGAAUCAUUUGACAGGAAAUAUCCCAGCAAAUAUCAGAAACUUGGGGUCGAUAGAAACUCUUGAUCUAUCAAUGAACAGACUUUCAGGUUCAAUUCCAGAGAACAUGGUUUCUUUAACAUUUUUGAAUCAUCUGAAUCUGUCAUACAAUAACUUGUGUGGGAAAAUUCCAAAGGGUAACCAGUUUCAGACUUUUGUUGACCCGUCAAUUUAUGAGGGCAACCCCGGUCUUAGCGGGUGUCCGUUACCAAUUGGUUGCCAAGACAAUGAAGAAGCACCUCAAGUUCCAAGUGGAGAUGGAGGAGAGGAUGUUGACAGUAAACUUGAAAAGCUACAGUUCGUCAUCAGUAUGGUGACAGGUUUCUGUGCAGGGUUCUGGGGAGUUUUUGGGACUUUGGCCAUGAAGAGGUCUUGGAGACAUGCCUAUUUUCACUUCGUUGACAAAGUGAAAGAUGCUGUCCUUGAUUUUGGCUCAGCCAUUGGUACUUAUCUGCAUAAAAGAUCGUAGAGCAUAGAAGAAGCUGCACAUGUGAAGGCAUAUGCAUGCAAGCGAAUAAAGCAAGUUUAGUAUUGUCCUUUACAAUUUUGUAAGUUGGUUAUUGUAAUAUGAAUUUAUACUUUUGUUUAUUGUGCCUUAACGAAACAAUUGCUUCAAUCCAUUUGGGUCAGAAAAUAAAAGAUUUAACGAAGUUCCUCACAACAAGUAUAACUGAGGUAUGUCCCAGAGCAGCAUAUGCAAACACAUCCGCUAACAACAAAUUGGGAUGUUUAAAAAGUGUUUGACAACCUCACAACCCAAAGCGCCAAAUACAAAUAGAGGAGGAAAUUAUGAACCUUAACUAAUGCUCUCUGGGCCCGAGUACUAAAAGGGCGUUAUUUUCCUGAUGUUGAUUUCACUAAUGCCGUUGGUGGAGCCAGACCUUCUGUUAAGAGUUUUAGUUAAGUUUUAAUUAAGUUUUUCAAUUAAAUAAUGCUGACUAAUUAUGUAGAGACCUAGUCAAGCAUGAGUCCUAGUUUUCGUGGAAGAGGGUGUUCACCACGAUUCAGUUUGCUUCCGUUGCUUAGGGAUGAGAACUCACCACAAAAUCUGGAUGUGAUCGUGGGAGAGUUGUUUGUUAUUUGUUUUUUCAGUCUUUCCCUUUAAAACUGUAACCUUCGUUUGAAAUUUAUGAGAAGAACAGCUCAAUAUCUUAAGUGAGUUUUUAUUCUUUCAAGUGUUCUGGGUUUAUUAAAACCAACACCUUCAUGUGAAAAAGGGCAGUCAUUGAUAGAGGUCGAAUACAGGUCUCCUCGGAAUUUGAAUCGUGCUGCUCAUGAAGUGGCAAGGAUUGGUUUGGGUGCGGUGGAUCUGCAAAGAUGGGCUGAUAGGAUAGGCCACCUCCCUCCCUGGUUCGUAUUCUGGUUGCAGAUGGUCUCCGUUGUCCCCUGUAAGGGACCUGGGUGGUGUUUGAGGGAAAGAAAUCAUGCUAGGCUUUGGAAUUGGCUGUAGCUUUGUCUUUCUCUUGUCUGGUUUCCUAUUUCUGGUUUGCUUUUGCAACUUUGUAAUUCCUCUGUUGCACACCUUUGUUGUGCUUUUGAAUGAAAUCCAUGAUUAUGACCAAAAAAAAAACAAAAAAAAAAACAGUAACUGAAGUUAAGAAAAUGUGGAUUUUUAGUCAUUGAUAUUUUUUUUUUUUUUAAGGGAACGAUAAAAUAAUUUUAGAGUUAGUGUCUUUAAGUUGUCAAAAUUUACAAAUAAUUUUAAAGGAAAUUUUGUUUUGUUUUGAGUUGUUUUCUGCUUAUUUUCUGUUUGGUUUCCUGGAAAAUGUGGCAACUAAGGAAUUAAUGCUACUCUAUCAAUAUUCUUGUUCAAAAAUAACUUUUUAUUUGUUUGAAUUUGAGUGAUUUUAUUUCAUCAAAUUGACCAAUUCGUCGUAUUUUCUGGAAACCAAUUACUUCUAAAUUCAGAGCCGCAUUUUCUUGCUAAGGAAAGAAAAGAUAUUUCAUAUUUGUUAGGGCUUUGAUUUUUUAUUUUUCCUAAAAAGAAAUUUCUUAUUUAUAAUUUAUAAGGCCAAACUGAUAUACGUUUUUUAAUUUAUGAAAUGAAAUAACAGAUAAAGAUAGGGAAUUGGGAGAUGCUAUUGGGGAAAUCAAGUCUUUGAGGAAUUCAGAGCGCCUUAAAGAGAAGGCGGUGGAAGAGGUACUCUAGUUUGCUUAUAAAGCUCAAGUUGUGCUUCUAUUUGCAAUUGGAUUGAAUUUUAUUUUCUUACAACAAUUUGCGUAGUGCGAUGUUGUCAAAUUUUGGUACUUUGUAGUAGGUUAUUAGCAACUUUUGAUAGAAGCUAGAUAGGCUUGUGAAGUUGUGAUUAUGAUCAUUGUUGUUGGAUGGUCAAAGAAAGGAAUCUUAAACUAGAAUAUAUGAAUGAGACAGAUUUUGUCACUUUUAUUUGCCAACUCUUUCUAAAAAAGUUUUUUUUUUUUUUCUUCUUCUAUCUAAUAAUGUUUUGCACCUUCUAUUAGAUGCAACAGUUAUUUUGGAGAACAUUUGUUUAAAAAAAUACCCUUCCACUUCUUAAAAUUAAAGAGCAAUCUAUUUCCAUGCAAAAAAUAUAUUGUAACACCCGACUCCAAAUUAAAUUCCUUAUUUAAAUUAUUUAAAUUAUUUAAGGGAAAUUAUAAAUUUACCCUUGAGAUAGGGGUAUUUUGGUCAUUUUCUUAUCCGGAGAGAGUUUGGGGCAGUGACUAGUAUUUUUGGAUAGAUCGUACUGAGAUGAGUUCGUAGACACGUAGUGGGCUCGAAUCGGAGUUGUAACAAGAGAGAUAUGUUCAAACGAAACCCAGUGGCACAAUCGUAAUUAUUUCAAAAUGGAAUUUUUAUAAAAAAAAUCAGAUUUCUCUCUCUCUCUCUCUCUCUCUCUCUCUCUCUCUCUCUCUCUCUCCUCUCUCCCGCGCGCAGUGGCAGCCGGCCACAUUUUGGCCGUCCGUUCUCUCCUCCGGCCACUGAUGACGACGGGGCUGGUACCAAAAUGACCGGGCCGUCGUCCUCUUUCAACCCCAGCUAGCUCCCGCCUCCAGCCGCCGCAGUUUCACCGGAAAAUAGAGAAGAAGCGGUCAGUGUCUUCCGAACUUCUCCGUCGUCGAUCUCCCUCCUCCGGCCACUGAUUCCGACGAGCGAGGUAUGGUUUCUCACUUACUUUUCAUGCUCUAGCUGCCUGUUGGGUAGGAUUGGAUCGAUUCUUAGCGUAGGUAAUUCAAUUUACAAAUUGAAAUUCGACCGAUUUUGGGAUCUCGAUUCCGGCCACUUUCGGUCAGUUUUUGGGGUAGGUCCAAGAACAAAAGUGGCUCCAAAUAGGGUGUUAUACCUAGGGUAGGAGUUUGGAGCCGUGAUUUUGAGAUUUUCCGGCGAUGAGUAAUCGCUUUGUGCACCCAGCGCUGCCGGCGCAUGUGGCAGCGCGUGGGCGAGGGUAGUGGAGUUGCACUGUGUCUCGAUGAGAUCCUUAGGUUGUCAAGGGUGCGUAGGGUUUCGCAGAUCUCAAUUCGGACGUCGUUUAACUAUCGAACGGAUACCGCCUAUUGCGCAUUAUCCGGGUUCGAAAGGUUGGGACCGUUAGAUGGUCUCAAAUUUAAUAUAUCUUAAUCUAGCUAUUUCUAGGAUCGUGUAGGAUUUCACAGAUUCUUAAUCGGAGCCCCGGAUGUUCCGAUUAAAUAAUUUAAAGUUUAUGUUUUAUAUUAACCGUCAGAUCGUGCGAUCGUAAGCGAUCUGACCGUCCGAUCUGAACCAAACUUGCAGGACGAGUGUCCUAUGGGAACUUUCGGAUCGGAAUUUGGAGGUCGUGGACCUUGUAGGCCCGUUUGACCAGGGUUAGGGUAGUUUGACCCAUGCUUAACCGUGAGUCUCCCGGAGUAAUCUCACCUUCCCAGGGGAAUUAUCGGGUGCUAGACUAUUGUUGAGGUUUACACAAUAUUAGAAUUAAUAUAUAUAAUUAUGUAUGUUUGUACAAGGGUACAAAAGAGUCUAUAAUGUCAUUUUGAAAUGCUAUACGCACUACCUUAGGUACCUCCCCGGAUUUUGGUUACACUACAAGUACCAUGUAACACCCCGACUCCAAAUUAAACCCCUUAUUUAAAUUAUUUAAAUUAUUUAAGGGAAAUUACAAAUUUACCCUUGAGAUAAGGGCAUUUUGGUUAUUUUCUUAACCGGAGAGAGUUUGGGGCAGUGACUAGUACUUUUGGAUAGGUCGUACUGAGACGAGUUCGUAGACACGUAGUGGGCUCGAAUCGGAGUUGUAACGAGAGAGAUAUGGUCAAAAGAAAUCCAGUGGCACAAUCGUAAUUAUUUCAAAAUGAGAUUUUUAUAAAAAUCAGAUUUCUCUCUCUCUCUCUCUCUCUCUCUCUCUCUCUCUCUCUCUCUCUCUCUCUCUCUCUCUCUCCCCGUCAGUCUCUCUCUCUCUCUCUCUCAUCGUAUCUCCGGCCACCGGCCGCGGUUGGGGACUGGACCGGUGCCAAAAGGACCAGCUCGGCCUCGGUGUCACGACCCGGCCCUCUCCCGACAUCGGCCGCCGCUCCAGCCGUCGAAAAAAGGUGAUUUUCGUCCGGUUUUCGCUCGAACUUCACCGGCUUCGAUCUCUCUCCUCCGGCCGCCAUUUAUGGCGACCAAGGUAUGGAAAUUCAUCCCUUCUUCGUGCUCUAGCUGCUCGUUGGCUAGGAUUGGAUUGAUUCUUAACGUAGGUAAUUCGAUUUUCAAAUUGAAAUUUGGCCAAUUUUGGGAUUGUCAUUCCGGUCACUUCCAGUCAGUUUUUGGGGUAGGUCCAAAAACAAAAGUGGCUCCAAAUAGGGUGUUGUACCUAGGGUAGGAGUUUGGAGCCGUGGUUUUGAGAUUUUCUGGCGAUGCGUAAUCGGUUUGGGCACCCACGCGCUGCCGGCGCGUGUGGCGGCGCGUGGGCAUUGUAGAAAAUGUUGUUCUUUGUCUCGAUGAGAUCCUUAGGUUGUCACGAGUGCAUAUGAUUUCGUGGAUUUCAAUUCGGACGUCGUUUGACUAUCGAACGGAUACCGUCUAUUGCGCUUAUCUGGGUUUGAUAGGUUGGGACCGUUGGACGGUCUGAAAUUUAAUAUAUGUUGAUCUAGGUAUUUCUAGGAUCGUGUAGGAAUUCACGGAUCGUGAAUCGGAGCCUCGGAUGUUCCAAUUAAAUAAUUUAAAGUUUAUGUUUUAUAAUAACUGUCAGAUCUUGCGAUCGUGAGUGAUCCGACCGUCCGAUCUGGACCAAACUUGUAGGACGAGUGUUCUACACCUUGUAGAACCUAUAGGGACUUUCAGAUCGGAAUUUGGAGGUCGUGGACCCCGUAGGCCCGUUUGACCAGGGUUAGAGUAAUUUGACCCUUGGUGAUCGUGAGUCUCCCGGAGUAAUCUCACCUUCCCAGGGGGAUUAUCGGGUGCUAGACUAUUAUUGAGAUUUACACAAUAUUAGAAGUAAGUUAUAUAUAUAUAAUUAUAUAUGUUUGUAUAAGGGUACAAAAGAGUCUAGUAUGUCAGUUUGAAGUGCUAUACGCACUACCUUAGGCACUUCCUCGAAUUUUGGUUACACUCCAAGUACUACCCUGUGAAAGUUAGGUCUCGCGUAGCGUAAGUUAUCCGGCGUUGAGACAUACCCCAUACGUGGCGUUAGUUGUACCGGCGUAUGAGGAGAUAUUGUGAUAUGAUGUUGAGGUAGCGCGUGGCGUAAGUUAUCCGGCGUGUCGACAGACCCCAUACGUGGCGUUGGUUGUACCGGUGUAUGGGGAGAUAUGUGAUAUGAUGUGCAGGUCUCGCGUGGCGUAGGUUAUCCGGCAUUGAGACAGACCCCAUACGUGGCGUUGGUUGUACCGGCGUAUGGGGAGAUAUUGUGAUAUGAUGUUGAGGUCGCGCGUGGCGUAGGUUAUCCGGCGUGUCGACAGACCCCGUACGUGGCGUUGGUUGUACCGGCAUAUGGGGAGAUCUGUGAUAUGAUGUGCAGGUCUCGCGUGGCGUAGGUUAUCCGGCAUUGAAACAGACCCCAUACGUGGCGUUGGUUGUACCGGCGUACAGGGAGAUAUGUGAUAUGAUGUGCAGGUCUCGCGUUGCGUAGGUUAUCUGGCGUUGAGACAAACCCCAUGGGUGGCGUUGGUUGUAUCGGCGUGUGGGGAGAUAUUGUGAUAUAAUGUUGAGGUCGCGUUUGGCGUAGGUUAUCCGGCAUGUCGACAGACCCCAUACGUGGCAUUGGUUGUACCGGCGUAUGGGGAGAUAUGUGAUAUGAUGUGCAGGUCUUGCGUGGCGUAGGUUAUAAGGCAUUGAGACAGACCCCAUACGUGGCGUUGGUUGUACUGGCGUAUGGGGAGAUAUUGUGAUAGUAUGGUAUGGUCGCACGUGGCGUAGGUUAUCCGACGUGUUGACAGGCCCCAUACGUGGCGUUGGUUGUACCAGCGUAUGAGGAGAUUAUGUGAAAUACAGAGAAAUGAAAUAAGGUAUUGCCUAUGUGUGGAAUUGAGUUUUAAGGGAAGAACUACAUGUGGCUUGAUCCCUCAGUGAGGGUACGUAGGCAGCCUAAGAUUUUUAGGUGUAGCCGCGGACAUAAAUGUGAUUGUGUUAAGAGGUUAAAACCUCGUAUAUUGGGAUUGGAAAAGUUGAAAGAUGCGUGUUGAAAUUUAGUAGUCAUAAUUUAUAUUUGAAUUUAUCGUUUGCCUUGCUUAAGGCAUGAAUUGAUUUGUUUGCAUGCUUGGUAGUUGGGAAUUAUUGGAAGGCCGAAGGCCUAUGUGAAUUGCAUAAAAUUAUAUUAAAUGUAUUUUUAUGCAUGUUGAAAUUUUGGAAAAUGUCCAAUUUAUAGAGGAGAAUCUGCCAAAAUUUCUGCAGAAAGUCUCAGUCUUUAGUAAGUGGGCCCGACAUCGGAAUGAUGUCGGGAAUUCCACAAGAUUCACCUCGGAUUUUGGGAAAUUCAGAGCGGGUCCUUUCAUAUAUUGUACUUAUUUUAAAUACUGCAAAUAAUUUAGUAUAUGCAUUUCAUUUGAGUUUGGCAGGAAAUUUAUUUUUUGACUGAUUGUGAGUCUACAUACUGAAGUGUGCAAUGCUGUUUUAUAUCCAUAUAAAAUAUGUCUGUAAGUGGAACUUCUGUACAACCAAGAUGAGAUUUGAUAGUCUUCUAUGUCAAUCAUCAGUCUAUUUAUACUUAAAACUGAAACCUUCAGUGUGCUAUAUUACCUAGUGGGUGGUUACUGGAUUUGAAUUCUUAUUGCCUUUUGGAUUACCCUGCCUUGCAUAUUUCUUUUGGAGAGAGAGAAGAGAGAAGAGAGAAGGGUGGUAGAGAUUAGUGCAUGUGGUAGAUUGUGAUCUUAUAAUAUUACAUAAACAGCAUUGGCUGAUGCAUACUGCUUGAUUUGUAAAUUAUAAACAAUUUUCAUUUUUGAUAAUGUCCUCAUAUGAAAUUCGUAGGAUUUGAGUGUUUAAAAAAAAAUAAAUAAAAUAAAUAAAAUAAUAUAUAUAUAUACAGUCCCGAUCUCUUGGACCACAGGAGUCNNNNNNNNNNNNNNNNNNNNNNNNNNNNNNNNNNNNNNNNNNNNNNNNNNNNNNNNNNNNNNNNNNNNNNNNNNNNNNNNNNNNNNNNNNNNNNNNNNNNNNNNNNNNNNNNNNNNNNNNNNNNNNNNNNNNNNNNNNNNNNNNNNNNNNNNNNNNNNNNNNNNNNNNNNNNNNNNNNNNNNNNNNNNNNNNNNNNNNNNNNNNNNNNNNNNNNNNNNNNNNNNNNNNNNNNNNNNNNNNNNNNNNNNNNNNNNNNNNNNNNNNNNNNNNNNNNNNNNNNNNNNNNNNNNNNNNNNNNNNNNNNNNNNNNNNNNNNNNNNNNNNNNNNNNNNNNNNNNNNNNNNNNNNNNNNNNNNNNNNNNNNNNNNNNNNNNNNNNNNNNNNNNNNNNNNNNNNNNNNNNNNNNNNNNNNNNNNNNNNNNNNNNNNNNNNNNNNNNNNNNNNNNNNNNNNNNNNNNNNNNNNNNNNNNNNNNNNNNNNNNNNNNNNNNNNNNNNNNNNNNNNNNNNNNNNNNNNNNNNNNNNNNNNNNNNNNNNNNNNNNNNNNNNNNNNNNNNNNNNNNNNNNNNNNNNNNNNNNNNNNNNNNNNNNNNNNNNNNNNNNNNNNNNNNNNNNNNNNNNNNNNNNNNNNNNNNNNNNNNNNNNNNNNNNNNNNNNNNNNNNNNNNNNNNNNNNNNNNNNNNNNNNNNNNNNNNNNNNNNNNNNNNNNNNNNNNNNNNNNNNNNNNNNNNNNNNNNNNNNNNNNNNNNNNNNNNNNNNNNNNNNNNNNNNNNNNNNNNNNNNNNNNNNNNNNNNNNNNNNNNNNNNNNNNNNNNNNNNNNNNNNNNNNNNNNNNNNNNNNNNNNNNNNNNNNNNNNNNNNNNNNNNNNNNNNNNNNNNNNNNNNNNNNNNNNNNNNNNNNNNNNNNNNNNNNNNNNNNNNNNNNNNNNNNNNNNNNNNNNNNNNNNNNNNNNNNNNNNNNNNNNNNNNNNNNNNNNNNNNNNNNNNNNNNNNNNNNNNNNNNNNNNNNNNNNNNNNNNNNNNNNNNNNNNNNNNNNNNNNNNNNNNNNNNNNNNNNNNNNNNNNNNNNNNNNNNNNNNNNNNNNNNNNNNNNNNNNNNNNNNNNNNNNNNNNNNNNNNNNNNNNNNNNNNNNNNNNNNNNNNNNNNNNNNNNNNNNNNNNNNNNNNNNNNNNNNNNNNNNNNNNNNNNNNNNNNNNNNNNNNNNNNNNNNNNNNNNNNNNNNNNNNNNNNNNNNNNNNNNNNNNNNNNNNNNNNNNNNNNNNNNNNNNNNNNNNNNNNNNNNNNNNNNNNNNNNNNNNNNNNNNNNNNNNNNNNNNNNNNNNNNNNNNNNNNNNNNNNNNNNNNNNNNNNNNNNNNNNNNNNNNNNNNNNNNNNNNNNNNNNNNNNNNNNNNNNNNNNNNNNNNNNNNNNNNNNNNNNNNNNNNNNNNNNNNNNNNNNNNNNNNNNNNNNNNNNNNNNNNNNNNNNNNNNNNNNNNNNNNNNNNNNNNNNNNNNNNNNNNNNNNNNNNNNNNNNNNNNNNNNNNNNNNNNNNNNNNNNNNNNNNNNNNNNNNNNNNNNNNNNNNNNNNNNNNNNNNNNNNNNNNNNNNNNNNNNNNNNNNNNNNNNNNNNNNNNNNNNNNNNNNNNNNNNNNNNNNNNNNNNNNNNNNNNNNNNNNNNNNNNNNNNNNNNNNNNNNNNNNNNNNNNNNNNNNNNNNNNNNNNNNNNNNNNNNNNNNNNNNNNNNNNNNNNNNNNNNNNNNNNNNNNNNNNNNNNNNNNNNNNNNNNNNNNNNNNNNNNNNNNNNNNNNNNNNNNNNNNNNNNNNNNNNNNNNNNNNNNNNNNNNNNNNNNNNNNNNNNNNNNNNNNNNNNNNNNNNNNNNNNNNNNNNNNNNNNNNNNNNNNNNNNNNNNNNNNNNNNNNNNNNNNNNNNNNNNNNNNNNNNNNNNNNNNNNNNNNNNNNNNNNNNNNNNNNNNNNNNNNNNNNNNNNNNNNNNNNNNNNNNNNNNNNNNNNNNNNNNNNNNNNNNNNNNNNNNNNNNNNNNNNNNNNNNNNNNNNNNNNNNNNNNNNNNNNNNNNNNNNNNNNNNNNNNNNNNNNNNNNNNNNNNNNNNNNNNNNNNNNNNNNNNNNNNNNNNNNNNNNNNNNNNNNNNNNNNNNNNNNNNNNNNNNNNNNNNNNNNNNNNNNNNNNNNNNNNNNNNNNNNNNNNNNNNNNNNNNNNNNNNNNNNNNNNNNNNNNNNNNNNNNNNNNNNNNNNNNNNNNNNNNNNNNNNNNNNNNNNNNNNNNNNNNNNNNNNNNNNNNNNNNNNNNNNNNNNNNNNNNNNNNNNNNNNNNNNNNNNNNNNNNNNNNNNNNNNNNNNNNNNNNNNNNNNNNNNNNNNNNNNNNNNNNNNNNNNNNNNNNNNNNNNNNNNNNNNNNNNNNNNNNNNNNNNNNNNNNNNNNNNNNNNNNNNNNNNNNNNNNNNNNNNNNNNNNNNNNNNNNNNNNNNNNNNNNNNNNNNNNNNNNNNNNNNNNNNNNNNNNNNNNNNNNNNNNNNNNNNNNNNNNNNNNNNNNNNNNNNNNNNNNNNNNNNNNNNNNNNNNNNNNNNNNNNNNNNNNNNNNNNNNNNNNNNNNNNNNNNNNNNNNNNNNNNNNNNNNNNNNNNNNNNNNNNNNNNNNNNNNNNNNNNNNNNNNNNNNNNNNNNNNNNNNNNNNNNNNNNNNNNNNNNNNNNNNNNNNNNNNNNNNNNNNNNNNNNNNNNNNNNNNNNNNNNNNNNNNNNNNNNNNNNNNNNNNNNNNNNNNNNNNNNNNNNNNNNNNNNNNNNNNNNNNNNNNNNNNNNNNNNNNNNNNNNNNNNNNNNNNNNNNNNNNNNNNNNNNNNNNNNNNNNNNNNNNNNNNNNNNNNNNNNNNNNNNNNNNNNNNNNNNNNNNNNNNNNNNNUUUGGGAAAAAUAAGCAACCCUCAAGAGGUAUUAAGUGGAAAAUACUUGCCACUAAUAGAAUACAAGAGAUCAGAACUGUAUAUAUAUAUAUAUAUAUAUAUAUAUAUUUAGCAUGACCUCUUGUUUCAUAUUUAUGGCAAGUUAUUUACACUAAUACCUUCUGAGGUUUCUUAUAUUUUCACAAAAUCCUUUCAGGUCUCAAAAAUUACAUGAACAUCCCCUGAGGUUUCAGUUUAUUUUCACAAAACCCUUUUCAUUGAUUGUUUGUCCAAAAAUUGAUGAUUUUAUUGACUUUUUUUAAUGCAAAUGACAAAAUUAACCUCAUAGCAUCCACAAUUAUACUCUCUAUUUUUUAGUUAAAUUUUAGCUAAAAAAUAUAAAAGUUAUUUUAGGAGCUCUCUAUAAAAUUUGAACUUCAAUCAUGCUCUCUAGUUUAGGGGGUCAUAAAUGCUAUAACUCUUUUUUAAUUGGUCCAUCUCUAUUUAAAAAAUAAUAUAAAAAUAGUUAGCAUUAAUCAAAGGUUUAAAAUACUCAUUAAAUAAAGCAGCAUUAAAUUAUAGGGAGCCAUCAGGAGUCCUUUCUCUCUUCUCAGAUUUAGAAGCUCCUAGAGGUCUCCGUAUUUUAGGAGGUGAAUAGGGAGCAUGGUUGGAGUUGUAUUUUUCCAAUUCCUCCCUAAAAUUUGUCUAAGAGGGUGGUUUAGGGAGCCUAUUGUGGAUGCUCUCAAUGAAGUAUAAUAAUAUAUGCAAUCUAACCUCAAAGGACAACUGUCAUUUCGAGAAUUUUUUUGGUAUAAAAUCGUCAAUUUUUAGAUGAAAAAUAAAUGAAAAUGAGUUUCGUGAAAAAAAAAAUUUAAAACCUCAAGAGGUGUUCGUGUAAUUUCUAAAACCUCAAAGAAUUUUGUGAAAAAGCCGAGAAUCUCAAGGGGUGUUAGGGUAAAUAACUCCUCUAUGACUAUGUCUAAUAGUUUAUUUGAAAAAUAUGCGACGUAAGUAUUCUUUUGGAUAUUAUUUGUCUGACUUGUACUCCAUAUUUGUGGUCUUAAAUAUCCCAUUGACUGAAAUUGCUACUUUAAACUUCAAAGUGAUUAUCUGGCUUGGAAGUCUUUGCGUGCUGAUGGGGUGGAACUACUUAGCCCACAACUCAACUUGACUUGGAAGUCUUUGCGUGCAUGAUCGUAGCAGUGUCAUUAUCAGUAUUUUAUCUUUAUCAGAGACUUGGAAGUCGUUUAACCGAUGUUCGCACAAUUUGUAUUGGUAGGGACCGGUUUAUGGAAAUUUUUUGUGCGGACAAAGGCUAGAGUUAACUCAUGCUUUCCUUUUGUCCCAGUCUCUUGAUAUAAUUUCCUAGAGAUAAGCUGCCUUACAAGAAUUUGCUAUCUAACCAUUGUAUGAAAUAUUUUUCCUCAUCGUUCAAAGAAUAUACCGUCAUCGAAAACAAAAUUUGAAGUCUUUUAUUUGAAUUAAUCUGAUGGUGUCUCUCAUUUACUUUUAGCAAAUAUUUAGUCAUAUCAAUUGGUGUUCUUAUGUUUUAAGUGGUGUACAACAGACUACUGAGGGUCAUUACUAAUUUGGUCCGACACCAAUACUGUUCCCAAUUUAAUAAUUCAGGUUUAAUUUAGUCCGACACCAAUAUUGUUCUCAAUUUAAUAAUUCAGGUCUAAUAUUGUGAGUAGAAUUCGACUCAAUGGACUCAUCCAGGUUGUACAGGUAUUGGUCUGGGGAAAUUGGCUCGGGUUGGAGGUUGGUAGGGUGGUGGGUUGUUGUUGGAGAGAGAGGAGAGAAGGGUAGUAGAGAUUAGUGCAUGUGGUAGAUUGUGAUCUUUUUAUAUUACAUAAACACCGUUGGCUUAUGCAUACUGCUUGAUUUGUAAAUUAUGAACAAUUUUCAUUUUUGAUAAUUUCCUCAUAUGAAAUUCGUAGGAUUUGAGAGUUUUUUAUAAAUAAAAAAAAGAAAAAAAAAGAAAUAUAGCAGGAUCUCUUGUUCCAUAUCUAUCACGAGUUAUUUACACCAACACCAUCUGAGGUUUCUUGUGUUUUCACAAAGCCCCCUCAAGUCUCAAAAAUUACAUGAACACCUCAUGAAGUUUCAAUUUGUUUUCACAAAACCUUUUUUCGUUGAUUAUUUGUCCAAAAAUUGAUGAUUUUAUUGAAUUUUUUUUUUAUGUAAAAGACAAAUUAACCUCAAUGAAGUAUAUGCAAUCUAAUCUCAAAGCACAAGUUUGUCAUAUGGAGAAUAUUUUUUUGUAUAAAAUCAUCAAUGUUUGGAUGAAAAAUAAAUGAAAGGAGUUAUGUGAAAACAAUUUAAAACCCCAGGAGAUGUUCGUGUAAUUUUUAAAACCUUAAAGAGUUUGUGAAAAAGUCAAAAAACUCAAAGGAUGUUUGUGUAAAUAACUCUUCUAUGACUACGUCAAAUAGUUUAUUUGAAAAAUAUGCGAUGCAAGUUUUCUUUUGGAUAUUAUUUAUCUGACUUGUACUCCAUAUAUUUGUGGUCUUAAAUAUCCCAUUGACUGAAAUUGCUACUUUAAGUACUGAUAGGGUUGAACUAUUUACCCCACAAGUCAAGAUCGUAGCAGUGUCAUUGUCAGUAUUUUCUCUUUAUCAGAGACUUGGAAGUCGUUUAUCAGAGACUUUGUGGAAAUUUUUCGUUCUUGAUAGCAUGUCCGCUACGACGUGUACAAGAGCUCAACCAUCUGAAUUCUCAUUACUCCUAUAGUGUACAAGAGCUCAACCAUCUAAACUUCUUAAUCUUGCGUACUCAUAUUUUUAGUCCUACAGACCAUCCCAUUGCAUAAGAAUCAUGGGUCACAGCAGUGCUAGUGCUUCCAUCCACCAUGUCUCACUAAUUAUACUGUCAGGAAUUUUAUCCCUUGAAACCAUUAAACUCGGUUUAUGCAGUGAUGAUCAUAAUGUAGGAUGCAUAGAUAUAGAGAGGAAAGCCCUUCUCAAGCUCAAACAAGGCCUCAUGGAUCCUUCCGGACGGCUUUCGUCCUGGGUGGGAGAAGAUUGCUGCAAAUGGAGUGGUGUAGGCUGCAACAACAUAACUGGACGUGUCAACAGGCUCGAUCUUCGCAAUCACUAUUGGUUUGAUUAUUACGGACCAACAGAGCAUGCAUUAAUUGGUGAGAUCAACCCUUCUUUGCUUGUUUUGAAAGAUUUGGUUUACUUGGAUUUGAGCAUGAAUUACUUUGGAGGUGUCUUUCCAAGUUGCAUUGCAUCACUAGAGAAACUGAAAUACCUCGAUCUCUCUGGUUCAUCUUUUGUUGGAGUCAUUCCCCCCAAUCUUGGAAACCUCUCAAGGUUGUUUUAUCUUGAUCUUAAUUUGGGAAUUCUUGAGACUGACCUUCAGUGGCUUGCAACUCUUUCUUUCUUAAAGUACCUUAACUUGGGAGGAGUGAACCUUACUAAGACUACAUCCUAUUGGCUUCCCGCUAUUAAUAUGCUCCCUUCACUUGUUGAAUUGCAUUUGCCCUCUUGUAGUCUUUCCAUAUUUCCUCUCACUCUUUCUUCCAUCAAUUUCACAUCCCUUUUAGUUCUUGAUCUCUCUGGCAAUAAAUUCACCUCCACGGUACCUCCUUGGUUGUUCAAUCUCACUAAACUAGAGAAUUUGGAUUUGUCAUAUAACAGUCUGACAGGAAAACUGCCUGAUUCUUUGGGAUAUCUUAAAAGCUUGAGAUACCUCAACUUGUCGGAUAACUCACUUGAGGGUCCAAUCCCAAAAUCGAUUGGAAAUUUAACAUCUUUGGAGUAGUUUAACCUUGGAGGGAAUCAAAUGAGUGGGAUCAUCCCAGAAAGUCUUGGGGAGCUCUCAUCACUGGUUUCACUUGAUAUCUUUGGCAACAAAUGGGGAGGUGCCAUUACAGAAGCUCAUUUCGCGAAACUUGGAGGCCUGAGAAAAGUAUUAAUUGGAAAUUAUCCCCGAAACAUUUCCUUUUCUUUGGUUUUCAACAUAAGUUCUGAUUGGGUACCUCCUUUCAAAUUAAGAUACUUGGAAAUUAGAUCAUGCCAACUGGGUCCCAAAUUUCCGACAUGGCUUAGAAAUCAGACUGAGUUGACCACGGUAGUACUCCUUAAUGCUAGGAUUUCAGGCACCAUACCAGAUUGGUUUUUGCAGUUGGAUUUGCAAUUAGAUGAACUAAGUUUGGCUGAUAAUCAACUCAGCGGCAGGGUGCCCAAUUCAUUAAGAUUCAGCUAUGAUUCCCUUGUUGAUUUGAGUUCAAACUGCUAUGAGGGCCCACUCCCACUCUGGUCCUCAAACAUUUCUAGGCUGUAUCUUAGAGAUAAUCGAUUUUCAUGGCCAAUUCUUCAUAACAUUGGUCAAGUGAUGCCCAAUUUAACACAACUAGACAUUUCUACGAACUCUUUGAGUGGAAGCAUUCCUCUGUUCUUGGGUAAUUUAAGCCAAUUACAAGUCAUAUUGAUCUCAAACAACCUCUUGUCUGGUGAGAUUCCUCAUUUUUGGAACAAUAUACCAUCAUUGGUUUCUAUAGACUUGUCAAACAAUAGUCUCUCUGGUACAAUCCCAAGAUCUUUAGGCUCUCUUACUUCACUCCAGUUCUUGAGCCUCUCUAGCAACAACUUUUCAGGUGAAUUUCCUUCCUUGAAAAACUGCACUUACCUGAAUAUUCUUGAUCUUGCUGAUAACAAGUUUUCUGGACCGAUUCUGGCUUCCAUUGAAGAAAGCAUGCCCAAUUUACAGAUUUUAAGCUUGAGGUCCAACUCAUUUACGGGAAGCAUCCCUUUAAAUUUAUGUGGCCUUUCCGCUUUCCAUAUAUUGGACUUCUCACACAACAAUCUUUCCGGAAAUAUUCCCCACUGCAUAGGUAAUUUGAGUUACUUGAAAUCUGAGGCCACUUUCAUAGGCAACUAUGCUAACUUUGGAAGAUUUGAGUUGGUGUCAAAAGGAAGAGUGUAUGUAUAUGAUUAUGGCGCCAUCCUUUCCCUUGUUACAAGCAUUGAUCUCUCGGACAAUAAAUUGUCAGGAGAGAUACCUAUGGGCCUAACAAGCCUUAUAAAGUUGGGCACCUUAAAUUUGUCCAUGAAUCAUUUGACAGGAAAUAUCCCAGCAAAUAUCGGAAACUUGGAGUCUAUAGAAACUCUUGAUCUAUCAUUGAACAAACUUUCAGGUUCAAUUCCACAGAGCAUGGUUAAUUUAACAUUUUUGAAUCAUUUGAAUCUGUCAUACAAUAACUUGUCCGGGACAAUUCCAACGAGUAACCAGUUUCAGACCUUUGUUGACCCGUCAAUUUAUGAGGGCAACCCCGGUCUUAGCUGGUGUCCAUUACCAACUGGUUGCCAAGACAAUGAAGAAGCACCUCAAGUUCCAAGUGGAGAUGGAGAAGAGGAUGAUGGCAGUAAACUUGAAAAGCUACAGUUCAUCAUCAGCAUGGUGAUAGGUUUCUGUGCAGGGUUUUGGGGAGUUUUUGGGACUUUGGCCAUGAAGGGGUCUUGGAGACAUUCCUAUUUUCACUUCAUUGACAAAGUGAAAGAUGCUGUCCUUGAUUUUUUCCCAGCCAUUGGUACUUAUCUGCAGAAAAGAUUGUAGAGCACUGAAGAAGCUGCACAUGUGAAGGCAUAUGUAUGCAAGCAAAUAAAGCAAAGUUCAGUAUUGUCCUUUACAAUUUUGUAAGUUGGUUAUUGUAAUAUGAAUUUAUACUUUUGUGUAUUGUGCCUUAACAAAACAAUUGCUUCAAUCCAUUGGAGUCAGAAAAUAAAAGAUUUAAGGAAGUUCCUCACAAGAAGUAAAACUGAGGUCACUACUACAAAAAGUGAAAAAGACGACCAGAAAACAACGACGGUCUAAGCGAAAACCGUCGUGGUUUUUAAAAAGAUGACGGUUCUAAAAACACCGUCGUGUAAUACAACCUUAGACAACUAAAAAAUGGAGAUUCAAAUGGCUGUUCAAAAACAACGACGUACAUAAUUAAACAACCGACGUCUAUUUGAAACAGAUUUCCGCAGUGUAAAAUCAAUGCCAACAAAGAACGGCAGAAGUUAUGAAUCGACCGACGUAGAAAGUAAAGACGACGAUUUCAAUAAAAACCGCCGUUUUUACUCAUAAAAUAACACGACGAGGUUUUCGUAUAAGACGCUGUAUAAUUACAAACAAAUCCACGGCUUUAAAAUACAAAAUAUCGCCGUAUUAAAUUAAUGUACAACGACGGAAAAUAUAAAUAUAUGGACGUCAUUCUCGUAUAGUUCUACGACGUUAUCUUUAAAUCGUACAAUAAAAUUUAACGUCAUAUUUAUUCAUUUUAUACGUCGUACCUUUAAUUUUAACCGUCGUCUUAAUAAGAAUUUUUGUUAACAAUUUUUUUCUUUGAUUUUCUUAUCCUACGUCGGUAGAUCUACUUAAUGACAAGAAUUGAAAUAACCACGACGGUUUAUAUAGAAAACCGCCGACAUAAUCAGAUUUGUCUGAGAUCCCAAGGGUUACGAAAUCUGAAUUAAUUUAAAAUUUAUUCGGAAAACAAAAUCUAUUUAUAAUUUCCUCGGGUUAGUAAUAUUGCGUCGUGUUAGUUUACAAAUUCAAGAUGUGUGUGCGUUUGUGUAUCUACAAAUAUUAUACCUAACGUCGUUGCAAAUUUGCAAUCAGAGAGACAAUUUUCAACGAAUUCGGGAAAAAAAACUCUAUUUAUAAUUUAAAAAUAAAAUCCACGUCGGUUGUAGUACACUUAACGACGUUUAACAAAAUAAUCUACGUCGGUAAUUAUAAAUCUACCGCCAUCUUACCUUAAUAUAGACGACGAGAAAAGACGACGGUAGAACAAAAAACCGCCGUUGUUUCAGUUUCUUUAACAGUUUGGUCCUUUAUCUUUCUGCAGGACUUGUAUAGUUCAAAGCAUUGACAAUGUCUUCAUCAUAUCUCCCAGCAACUACUGAUUCGAUUGCUCAUGCUUUAGAGGCCAUCUGAAGCCAUUUCUAUUCUUUAUCGCAUUCUUGAAACCCAUCUUCUUCUUCUGAAGCUCUACGGAUAAAGGAAGAGGCUAUCACAAAUCUGACGGAUCUUCUUAGCCAAGAAAAUCAAGCAGAUUUCCCUGAGAAGCGAACUUUCCUUCGACAGCGAGUGGAGGGCAGGCUUGCAUCUCUUUUGAUGGAAAGCAAGGAGUAUUCAGAAGCACUAAGUGUCCUAUCAGGCUUGAUCAAGGAAGUGAGAAGGCUAGUUGACAAGUUUCUUCUUGUGGACAUAUAUUUGAUGCGAGUAAGCUCAAUUUCUCUUUGAGAAAGACAUCCAAAUUAUUGUCUUUGAGACGUGAGAGACUGAGAGAGGAAGAACUUGGAACCCUAAAUGUAAACCGAAAAUGAAUGAAAGCGACAAAUUUAUAGAAUAAAUUUUUAAAACCAACGGCGGUCCUUACAAAAAAACCGCCGUUUAAAUUGUAAAAUCAACGUCGGUAUGAUCGACGUAUAUUACAGAAAUCCACGUCGAUAAAUUAAUAAAAACGACGUGUUAAAUAAUCUACCAUGAUGCGAGUUAUUACUUAUGUACUUUAAUUUUUGAGUUUACUACGACGGUACCUACAACACUACUGUCGUAUUUAUUUACCACGUCCGAAGUUAAAUGUACCGUCGUAUUUUGUAAUUUAUACGUCGUAGUUAUAUGUAACCGCCGUAUUAUUUUUUUGAAAUGGUUUUAUAUGUAAGCAACUUUUCGUCUACCUGACAUACACAUGCGCUGUUUCCAAACCCGAUUAAAAAUUUCAAUCUCCCAGAGAAAACUUUUAGACUUUUUUUCCUUGUCAGAGCACUGUCAGAGUAUCUCAUCGUCUUCCUCUCGUCUUCUUCGUCGUCUCUGAACUUAAACAUAAUCUUCCUCUUGCUUUCAUUGCACGCAAAAGGUAAGCUUUCAUUUUCACUAUUUUGGUUGCUGUUUUGCAUGCUCAUAUGUUUUUUGUUUGAAAAAUCUUUUUACCUUUUUUCUGGCCAAAAUCAUUUUACUUCUUUCCAAGUUCGAUAAAAUAUACAGACAAAGAGGGAAAGUUUCCAACUUUGAAGACAACUACCUCAACUAAAUAAGACGACGGUAGCUUCUUAUUUACGUGGUUUAAUAUGUAGACCACGACGGUUCGUCAGUCGUUCUAGCGUCGUCUGAAAAUUGACAAAGUUGUUUUUAAAAUUAUAGUCUUUUUUUUAUUUGCUUGUUUAAUUGCAGGUUUGAUUUCUCUGAACAAUGGUUUUUGUUUUUCCCUAAUUUGAUAAAAUAUAAAGAAAAAGAAAGUAGGGUUGGUAUCUAAUAUAGACAACAGUAUCUUAUUGUUUUACGUCGUGUGAAUGUUAAUACCACGACGUCAUAUUAAAAUACCGUCGUCUAUAUAAGAUUCCAAAACUUUCUUUCUUGGCCUUGUAUUUUAUCAAAUUAGAAAAUAAAAACGAUGGUUCAGAAAAAUCAAAUCUGCAAUCAAACAUUCACAGAGAAAGAAAGAAGGGUUUUGGAUCCUUAUAUAGACGACGGUAUAUUACUACUGACGUCGUGUGAACAUCAAUACCACGACGUUAUAUAAAUAUUUCGUCGUUUAUAGUUAAUUAUCACGUCGUUUAUAGUUAAUUAUUUCGUCGUUGUUUAAUUACCUUGGUUUUAAACAUUUAUUACGUCUGAGAUUAUUUCAUUGCGUCGUUUAAAAUCAUAUCAUACGUCGUAUUUUAUUAAUAACCGUCGUUUGUGUUCUUAAUCUUUUUCUGAAAUAUUUUCACUUGCAGUUUUGUCUGUAAAAAUGGUUUCUCACCAAGACCAAAGUAAGGAUUCUGGCUCCAAGAAAAAUGGAGGUAAGGAGCUUGGAAUGGUACCUCCUCAAGUGAAGCCUUCGAAGAAGAUGAAGUUUGCUUCAUCAUCUGCUGAGACAGAACCAACCAGCACGACAACAAUCUCUGAUGAUUCAAAGUCUGGUCGAGGUAUGAGCACAAUGCCUCAUGUUGUGAAGAGAAAACUUCAGAAACUGAGGCCAAUUGUUGAGUACAAUAAAAGGGGGAAAGGAAUUGGCCAAGCACAUAGUGAGAUGCAGUCCUACAUUGGUGUGUUGGCAUGCUCCAGAGUUCCACUUGUGGACAUGAAAUGGGCUCAAAUCCCCAAGGAUAUAAAGGAGCAGAUUUGGGAAGCAGUUGACAUUGCUUUUGUGGUAAGUCAAGGGACAAGAGCUCUGUGUUAGCUUCUGCUGCCAAGAAAUGGAAGGAUUUCAAGUCUACACUAACGAGGCAUUAUAUCCUUCCAUACAACAAUGACAGGGAGAGAUUAAGCCAACCCCCUGAAACAUAUAAAUUCAUAGAGAAAGCACAAUGGGAUGCCUUUGUAGCUUCAAGGUUAUCCAAAGAUUUUGAGUCUGUGCAUUCUCAACAUGCACAGAUUAGGGAGAAACUUGAGUACAAUCAUCGAUUGUCUCGAAAAGGAUAUGCUGGUUUGGAGGAUCAAUUGGAGGAAACCAUGCCUGGGGUAGAAAUUGAUCGAUCUACCUUAUGGAAGAGAGCUAGACAGGACAAACAUGGUAAUAUCCCGGAUCCAAAGGUGGCAGAGAAAGCAAAAUUAAUUGUAAGCCUACUCACUCUGUUUUAAAUUUUUAUUAAACUGUGAAUAAUUCUUAUUACGUCUUAUGUUAUAUUUUGCGUCGUGUGAAUGAUAUUACCACGUCGAAAUUUUUAAAAAAACGUCGUUAAAGGUCUAAAUCAGGAAUCACUACUCUGUUUUCUGUAAUUAUAGCAUAAGAUGUCGGUGGUUCAUUUUCGCGUCGUUUGUAUUGAAUUACUACGUCGAAAUGUUUUAAACAAGGUCGUUAAAGGUGUGAAUAUUGAAUCAUCCCUCUGUUAUCUGUAAAUAAAGCAUAAGACGUCUGUGGUUUAUUCAUUUCGUCGUUUUAAAAACUAACCACGUCGGUAUAACUACCGUCAUGAUAAAUUAUAAUAACGUCGAUUUAUAUGUUAUUGCGUCGUGUGAAAUUAUAUAAUACGUCGUUUGUAUAUAAAUAACCGUCGUGUGUUUUUGUUCUUACUUUUUUAUAUAUCUUUGUUUUAGGAUGAAUUGCAAAAACAAGUCUCGGAAGGCAAAGUCACUGUAUCUGGCAGCAAUGAUGUGCUGACCAUGGCUUUGGGCCCCGAGCAUCCAGGCAGAGUGAGAGGAGUAGGUGCUGGGAUCUCACCAAGGCAAUAUUUCAAUUUACCCAAACCACAGAGAGUGAGCUUUGACGACCAUUUGAAGGACAGUUUAAGAGUUCUCCUUCAAGAAGAGACUAAAAAGAUGGAAGCUAAGGCAAGGGAAGAGGCUUUAAGGAUGGAGGCUAGAACGAAACAAUUGGUAGAGGCUGAGAGGGAGCAUUUCCUGAGUCAGCUUUCCCAAUUAAUUCCCAAUUUUGAUCCAAGCAUGCUUAAACCCAGAAUUAGCCAAAGUCCCAAAAAUACAAUGUCUGACAAAGCAAGCUGCUCUGGAGGUGAUGUGAGAUCCCUACAUUUUGAGGAUGAUACUGCCAAAAAUGGGAAACAUCAGGAAGAAAAGGUAACAUAUCUGAACUUUGAAUUCUCUGUUUUUUUAAAACCAUUAGACGUCGUUAUUAUUAAUAAAACCGUCGUUUGAAAUACAUACCACGACGAUUUUAAAAAUAAACCGUCGUUUGUAUUUCAAUACCACGUCGUAUUUAGUUUACUUGUUUUACACGCCAUUAAACGUUGUUAUUUUUAAAACUUUGUGGUUUUUAGACGACGGAGUUAGUCAUUCCCGACGUAAUAGAUGAAGAGAAGAAAGAAGAAAAACAAGAUGAAAAGGAGAAAGAAGAUGACGACCAGGUAUGUUCACAUAACUUUGCCUUUUUUAUUUGUUUUUCAAAAUUCCAGACGUCGAUAUUUUUCUUUAAACCGUCGUUUGUUUACAACUUAGACGGCGGAAUUUUUUUCUAAGACGUAAUAAAUUAUUCACCACGACGGUUUCUUCACCGUCGUUUAAAUUCUUUUCAGACGACGUUUUAUUCUUAAACCGUCGUUUUUAUUGAAUUACCACACCAUUUUUUUUUAUUUCUUUAAACAGGUUAUUAAAGUUGUUGAUUAUUCAAAUAUGGAGGCGCCAUCUUCUUUAAAAUCCCUUUGUCGUUAUGUGGAAACGACACUCGUGCCUCAGGAUAAGACCCUGCACUUUACAAUUGAUAAAGAGGUGUUUGGUCUAGAGCGCGAUACCUUCCUCCUGCCUGAAGAUAUUACACAAUUUGCAGGCAUGGAAGAAAUAGGAGCUACUGUCAUUGCUGUAUAUAUGAGGUUUGUCAUUCUAAAAUAAUACGUCGUUGGUUUAUUUAUUGCGUCGUCUUAACUAACUAACCACGUCGUUAGUAUGUACCGUCGUGAUCAAUAUAUUAUAACGUCGUUGUCUAUUUCAGUACGUCGUGUGAAAUUUUAUAAUACGUCGUUUUGUUAUACAUAACCGUCGUGUGUUUUUUUGUGCUGACUUAUUUAUAUUCUUUUAUAUAUUUAGGUACUUACACGAUGUUUUGAAACGAGCAAAUAUGUGCAGCAUGGUUGGCUUUAUCAACCCUGCUACAGUUAGUGCCAGCUCUGGCACAAUAGCUGACAGAUCACGCCUACUAGCAGCUCGACUUCAGAGGACUGACGGUGAACAGAUUUUCCUGAUGCCUUACAAUCCAGGGUUUGUCUCCUUAACAGGAUUUUGUUUUUAUGAUUUUCAAUAAAUGACAGCGUAUAAACUAACGACGUCGGUGUUUUAUUUUAUUGAGUCGUUUGAAACUACUAACCACGUCGGUUGUUAUUUGUCGUCGUGAUAAAUGUAUAAUGUCGUCGAUUCCUACUUUAUUUCGUCUUGUGAAAUAUUAUAAUACGUCAUUUUUGUAAAUAACCGUCGUUUUUAUAUUAAUUUUGUGCAGCCGUCAUUGGAUCUUGCUGAUUGUAAGAGCAAAGAGAGAAACCGUCUAUUUUCUGGAUCCUCUGCCAGGAAAUCGUGUGGUCGAUGAAGAGGCCAAAAACAUUGUGAAUAGUGCUAUAAAAAUUUAUAAUUCUCACAUAGCCAGACCAGGCUAUAAGGCAGUCAUUUGGAAAACUCUGUCAGGCACACCAAAGCAACCCAGCAGUGUCGAAUGCAGGUAUUAUGUGAUGCACUUCAUGAGGGACAUCAUCAUGGAUCCUUCCUUGGGGUUUGAGAAGAAGGUAAGAAGAAAUUACCUUCAUACAUUUUACGUCGUUUUUUGUAUUAUCAACGACGGUCAUGUAAAAUUACCGUCGUUGAAUAGAUAUAGUACGUCGGUUAUGAAAAAUAUCGUUCUGUUUUGCAGUAUGCCAAGGGAAAACAGGAAGCGCCAUACCCCCAAGAAGCAAUUGAUGAAGUCCGGAAUGAAUGGGCAGAGUUUGUUUGCCUUCACCUGGAAUAGGGGAAUUAUUGAACAAUUGAUAUUUAUGUAUAAUGUACAAAUUUUGUCUAUAAUAUAUAAUGUAAAAAUUUGUUGAGGUUUUCUUAAAUUAAAAAAAAAACAAACAUACAAAUUGCGUAACCGACGUGUAAUACUUUUCCAACGACGUAAUAAAGUCAAAAGCCGUCGUUUUUUGUUGUUUCGUUUUAAACAAAUCCGACGUAAAAGGAUAUUUAGACGACGUUCUUUGAACAAUUGAGUCGUUUAUGGUUUACAACGUCUUCAAUUUCUUAAGGGUUCAGGGUAGUACUUUGUAACGACAGCGGUUAAGUCGUGGAAUAUAUAUUUUACGUCGGAUAGUUAAAUAUCCGCCAUGGUUUCUCAUUUAAACGACGUCAUUUUAACAACUUAGUCGUCUAUUACAAUUUACAACGUCUACAAUUUAUUAACACCGACGUGGUUUGUUGUUGUGAUAAGAAUAUUUUAUUAUUUUUAUAUCAAAAUAUUCAAAAUAAAUUUAAAAUAAAUCAGAAAAAUGCAAAGUCAACUCCUAUGAAGUCAUUGAUAUAUUUUCUCCCCCCUAAACCUUGAAAAAAUUCAUUUUGAAUAACAAAAAUUUAAAAUGACCAUCCAAAACAAAAUUGUUUUGAUGAGUCAUAAAAUCACUUCUAGUUUUAUGGUUUAGGGUUUAGAGUCUAGGGUUUAGAGAUUAGGGUUGUUAUUUAUUGGGGUUUAUUUUUAAAGUAUAAUUUUUGGGUAGUCUAGGGUAUAUAUUAGGCUGUAAAACCAUAAACCCUUUUAUAAACUUAAUUUUUAAAAUUAUAUAAUUUAGUUUUAAGGGGUUAGGGUAUUAAUUGUUAACGACGGUGGUUGAGUCGUGGAAUACAUAUGUUACGUCGUGCAGUAAAAUAUCCGACAUGGUUUCCACUUUAAACGACGUCAUUUUAAUAUGUAAGUCGUCUAUUAUAAUUUACAACGUUUUCAAUUUCUUAACUUCGACGUGGUUUUUCAGUCGUCUUUAUAUCAAAAUAUUCAAAAUAAAUUUAAAAUUAAUCCGAAAAAUGAAGCGUCAAAAUAAACGGCGUUACGUUCAGUGUUUCCGUCGUGGAAUAUUACAUUUACGUCGGUUCUUAUAGAACUUUCGCCAUGGUUUUUCUUUCGACGUUUUAAAGAGGCGCGCUCUAAAAAUUUUCGCGCGCCCUAAAUUUUUUUAUAUUUGGCUCUUAUUCUUAUACUUCUAACCCUGAACCCUAAAAUUUUCAGAUUUCGCGCAACAUAACAUUCGCUCUCUCGCUUCUGCUCUAAUUAAAAGUUGCACUCUCCAGGCUCCGUCGAAUCUGUGAGCACGUCCAACCUGUAAGUACAAACCCUAUCUUCCCCUUGUAAAUUCAUUGAAUGAUAUUAGGUUGUUUUGUUAAAGGGUUUUAGGUAUAUGCUUUGCGAUCUGUUAAUAAUGUGCUUAUAGGUAUGGGUUCAUGGAUUUUCUGUUUAAUGGGUUCAUGGAUUUUCUGUUUAAUGGGUUCAUGGAUUACAUUAUCUGUUAUGUUGAAUUGGGAAUGGAUUUAAUUUUGUCGGAUCUUUUAAUCACCCUAUGUUAUGUUGAAUUGGGAAUGGAUUUAUUGUUUUCAUGCUUGGUUUCAUGUAUAUGUUGGUUUCUUGCUUGGUUUCAUAUAUAUGUUGUGUUCUUAAUGGGUUUUGGGUUCUUGAAAAUAAACUGAGACACGACGCCUUUUUAGGCAUACGACGACGAUUACACGACGGUUUAUGAAAAAACCGUCGUUGUAUUACUUAUACACGAUGGUUUUUUCAUAAACCGUCGUUUGUAUUACUUAUAUUAGACGACGUCUGUUGAAAAUCCGUCGUCUAUAUAUGCCAAAUACGUCUGUUUUUGUUUAAAACCCGUCGUCUCUGUUGUGUAUUACUUGCUAUUAGAUCUUUGUAUAAUCUGCUAUAGUGAUGGUCAUUGCCUGUAUUUUCACUUUAUUAUAGAUAAUAGGUUAUAGUGUCGGAGAUGGAUAAGUCAUGGAUGCACUCGGAUAGAAGAUCGAAGGCAUAUGAGUUUGGGGUGGAAGCAUUUUUGAACUUUGCUGUAGAAAAUCUUCUAACUACAACACAUAUCCGUUGUCCAUGUGUUAAAUGUGUUAAUUUGAAGUUGUUUGGGGUUGGAAUUAUAAGGGAUCACUUAUACUUUAAUGGAAUUGACCAAAGCUAUAAGAAUUGGACAUUUCACGGAGAACCUUGGGAAGCAACUACUAAUGCUAGUAGAAAUGUUGAAGAAGAUGAUGGCCAUAGUAGGUACAGUUUUGUGUCUGAAGAAAUUGAUAUGGAUGAUAAUGAUUUUCGUGAUUUUGGUUCCGAUCCGUAUGAGUUUGCCAAUGUGAUUGGGGAUGGAGAUCAACCAGUGUACCCUGGUUGUAGAAAGUACACGAAGUUAUCGACAUUAGUGAAGUUGUAUAAUUUGAAGGCAAAACAUGGGAUGAGUGAUGUCUGUUUUACAUAAUUAUUGAUACUUCAAGGCGAUUUGCUUCCAGAAGGAAAUACAAUACCAACCUCUAUGUAUGAGGCUAAAAAAACUUUGUGUGCAUUGGGGCUGAGUUAUGAGAAAAUGCACGCAUACCUCAAUGAUUGCAUCUUGUAUAGGAAGGAGUAUGAGGAUUCAACUAAUUGUCCUACUUGUGGUAUCUCAAGGUGGAAGGAAGGCAAAGAUUCAAUCUUGAAAGAGGGUGUGCCAGUGAAGGUGGUGUGGUGUUUUCCUCCAAUUCCAAGGUUUAAAAGGAUGUUUCAAUCACAUGAGACAGCUAAGAGUUUGACUUGGCAUGCUGCUAGAAAAUCAAUUGACGGUCAGAUGUCUCAUCCAGCGGAUUCCCCGUCUUGGAAACUUCUUGAUGAUAAAUGGCCUGAGUUUGGUAAUGAGCCGAGAAACUUGAGAUUGGCUCUUUCAUCUGAUGGAUUCAAUCCCCACAGUUCUCUAAGUAGCAGAUAUAGUUGUUGGCCGGUUAUCUUAGUUACAUAUAAUCUCCCUCCAUGGCUGUGCAUGAAACGAAAGUUCAUGAUGUUAACCUUAUUGAUUUCCGGUCCUAAACAACCCGGAAAUGAUAUAGACGUCUACUUGGAGCCUUUGAUUGAUGAUUUAAAAUCUUUGUGGGAUGGGAUUAGAGGAGUGUAUGAUGCACAUAAUGGAGAAUACUUUACACUCAGAGCUGCAUUAAUGUGGACAAUUAAUGAUUUCCCCGCCUAUGGAAACUUAUCUGGUUAUGUUGUUAAAGGAUAUAAAGCUUGUCCAAUAUGCGGCGAUGAUACACCUAGUCACAGGUUGAAAAAUGGCCACAAAAUUUGUUACAUUGGGCAUAGAAAAUGGUUACCAAUCAAUCAUCCAUAUAGGAGGCAACGUGCAGCUUCUAAUGGGAAACCUGAAUAUGGCAUACCUCCCGAGCCAUUAACCGGAGAAGAAGUGCUGCAUAUGGUUGAAAAUGGUGACAGAGUUUGUUGGAAGAAGAAAUCAAUAUUCUUUGAUCUCGAGUAUUGGAAAUACCUUCCUGUGAGGCAUGCCCUAGAUGUUAUGCACAUUGAGAAGAAUGUUUGCGAUAGUAUUAUUGGUACAUUGCUGGAGAUCCCUGGAAAAAAUAAAGAUGGGAUUGUUGCUCGAUUAGAUUUAUUGAACAUGGGGGUCAAAACUGAUUUGCAACCCGAGUAUGGAGAAAGAAGUACUCGUUUGCCUCCUGGGCCUUGGAAUUUGUCAAGUGCAGAGAAGAGAGAGGUUUGCAAUUCUUUCUAUGGUAUGAAGGUCCCUGAAGGUUAUUCUUCAAAUAUUAAAAAUCUUGUAUCUUUACAAGAUUCAAGACUUCUUGGCCUUAAAUCACAUGAUUGUCAUACCUUAAUGCAACAAUUGCUCCCUGUGGCAAUUCGUUCUGUUUUGGAGAAGCCUGUAAGGUAUGCAAUAACUCGUUUGUGCUUCUUCUUCAAUGCUAUAUGUGCAAAGACUGUUGAUGUUUCCAAGCUAGAUAAGUUGGAAGAAGAUGUAGUAGUUACUCUGUGUUUGCUUGAGAAGUACUUUCCCCCUUCAUUCUUUGAUAUCAUGGUUCAUCUAGUAGUACAUCUUGUCAGAGAAGUUCGUCUAUGUGGGCCAGUAUAUUUUAGGUGGAUGUAUCCGUUUGAAAGAUAUAUGAAAGUGCUGAAGGGGUAUGUUCAGAAUCGUACUCGUCCCGAAGGUUGCAUUGCUGAGCGGUAUAUAGCUGAAGAAGCGGUAGAGUUUUGUACUCAGCAUUUAUCUGAUGUUAGUACAGUUGGAGUGCCUUCAAGCCAAAAGAUGGGACUUUCAAAGCCAUUAUCAGGUUGCACAGUGAGCGUAGUUGAUCAGGACCUGUUGAAUCAAGCACAUCUAUAUGUCUUGGAGAAUACGGAGGAAGUCCUACCUUAUAUCGAGUACGUAUGAGUUUUAUUCUUUAACUUAUUGAUUUUAAAUUAUUUCUUAUGUUUAUCUUCUAUAUUUGGGACCGUAAUGCUUGAAUUUUUCGUGUCAUGUAGGCAACAUAUGAUCCACAUCAAGACUGCUUAUCCAAAAUUUAGAAAAAGAACAAAGUGGCUGCAGGAUAAGCACAAUAGCACUUUCAUUCAAUGGCUACGCUUCAAGGUAUAUGUUGUUGAAUAACAUAUUUCUCUUUUAAUUUUCUUCUUAUUUCUAUGUUAGAUUGAAUUAAGAUAUAUGAUUAAUUUGCAGGUUCAAAGUGAACUUGAGGAAGACAAUCAUGGCGUAUCAGAAAAUUUAAGGUGGCUAGCAGCUGGUCCAAACAUGGCAGUGCCAUUAUAUAGGAGCUAUCUUAUUAAAGGUAUUAAAUUCAAUAUCAAGGCACAAGAUGAUGUGCGGACAACUCAAAAUAGUGGAGUUUAUUUACUUGCACAUACCAUGCAAGUUGCUAGUGCCAAGGAUAAAAACCCAAUUCUCUCAAAUAUGGGUUUCUAUGGUGUCAUUCAAGAAAUUUGGGACCUUGACUACCAAAAGUUUACAAUCCUAGUCUUUAAGUGUGAUUGGAUAGAUAGUUCUGGUCUUGUAGUCGACGAACUUGGAUUUACCCUUGUAGAUUUGAGUAAAAUUGGACAUAGGAAUGACCAAUUUGUUUUGGCUUCUCAAGUCAAACAAAUAUUUUUUGUUGACGACCCGAUGCAUCGUGGUUGGUUGGUAGUUUUAUUAAUGCCUAAUAGAGAAUAUAAUGAUGUUAUUGGUGAUGAAGUCUUAGGUGAUGUGAUAAUUGAGUGUGAGCCAUUUACUAGAGGGAUGCCAAAUGUUGACACAUUUGAUGAACUGGUGGGUGAGUUAGGCGGUCAAAAUAUUCGAGAUGGGUGUGAAGAUAUAUGGAUUGAAUGAUGCUUAUGUAAUUGGCAGUGUAUGACAUUAAUUUUGUAAUAUAUUGUAAUGUGAUUUCUUCACUUUCUACGUUCAAAUAAAACACGACGUUAUUGUGAACCAGUUAUUCAGCAUAUUUACCGACGUCUUAAAGCAACGUAACAAUGAAGAACCACGACGCUAUUGUGAAGCAAUUAUUCAGGAUAUCACAUCGGGGAAGGAUUAAGAACCGCCAUGUAAUUCAAAAUAACACGACUCCAAUCCCAUAAUACCGACGUCUAAAAAACGAGAUAUAUAAUCUGAACGUUAAAAAAUACGACGUCAUACAUUUUCCACGUCGCAAGUUCUUUUAUAAACGAAGAGGAACGAAAUGAAUUCUGACGGUAAUUCAUUAUAACCGCCGUCUAAUAUCAAUUAAACGACGUUAUUUGUAAUACGGCUCUCAUCAUAAUCAACGCCGUCUAUAUGUUCUGUAAUACGGCUCUCAUUUAUUUGGAACCGACGUUGUUUAGAAGUUCAACGUCGUCUAUAUUAAUAAGUGCGUCGUGAGUAAUGAAUACAUAUAAAUAUAACGUCGACUACAUAAAUGCCACCGACGUUGUUUCGCAUUCAACGUCAACUAUAUAAAUACAUACGUCGUAAAUAAUGACACUGACAACUAUUUCCACGUCAUCUUUUUUAGAAAAAUCGAAGUGGAAAAUUUAUUUCACGACGGUUGUUUGUAAAUAAGAGACGUAGUAGAUUUCAAUAACGUCGUCUUCUCAUGUAUUUAAAGACGUCAUAUUUUUUCUUGUCGUGAAAAUUAUAUCUGACGGCGUAGUGUUGUAGUUGUCAUCGUUGUAUGUCUAUCUUGCGGCCUUGUUCUUUUAAUAUGUGUCAUAUUUUUCCUUUUUAACGACGGUGAUUUGUUUGAGUUGGUCGUCUAUUCUCAUCCUUGACUAUUUUUUAGAACUUUAGCAGACUAAACACGUCUGUUUUUAUUUGUUUUCGACGUUGUUUUAUUUAACAACGUCUAAUAUUUAUCGUCGUUGUUUGUUUCUGAAAAUAGGACGUAUAAAUUUUGUAAUACGACUCUCAUAUAUUUGUAACCGACGUUGUUUCGUUGUUCAACGUCUACUCUAUAAAUACAUACGUCGUAAAUAAUGACACUGACAACUAUUUCCACGUCAUCUUUUAUAGAAAAAUCGAAGUGGAAAAUUUAUUUUACGACGGCUCUUUUUAUAUAGGCGACGUAGUAGGUAUCAAUAACGUCGUCUUCUAAUGUAUUUAAAGACGUCAUAUUUUUUAUUGUCGUGAAAAUGAUAUUUAACGGCGUCUUUUUUUAAUUUUCGUCGUUGUAUGUCUAUCUUGCGGCCUUGUUCUGUUAAUAAGUGUCAUAUUUUUCCUUUUUAACGACGGUUUUUUUAGAGAGUUGGUCGUCUAUUCUCAUCCUCGACUGCUUUUUCAGAUCUUUUUGCAAUACAAAGACGUCGUUUUGUAUUUGUUGAUGACGUUGUAUAUUGUAACAACGACGGUGAUUUAGCAUCGUGGUUUAUGAGGGAAAAGAUGACGGUGGAUUCCACGACCAUUGAAAAACCGAAUACACGACGGUGAUUUACCGUCGUCUUUUUGCUUUUUUGUAGUAGUGGGUUAACUAGUCAUUAGGUUCUGCCCGUUCUAAUAUUGCUUUGGUUGACUAGUCAACAUGUGCUUAUUUUGGUUGACUAGUCAUCUGGCUUUCUUCUUUUGAAAUUUCUUUUCGUUUUUAGAGGUUACCUUUUCAUGGUUUUAACGGUUUUUUUUUUGGGUCUUUUUCGCUCUUUCUUUUAGGGCUCUUUUCCCCUCUUUUUCCCAUUAUGUCUCUUCCAAAAACAAAAUCAAGCACACCAACUCGUUGGGUCCCCAAAAUAUCUUUCUCUUCUUUGUUUCCUUCCCUCUCUUUUUUGCUCUGUUUUCUUUGCUUCUUCAUUUCCUCGUCCAACGUCUCCCAUGUCUUCCUCAAAGCCUUUACUCACUUACCGGCGCCGCUCAAAAUUCAAAUCCAGUGACAGAGUGGAUUUCACACCCACAAUUGCUAGGGCACCUAGGAGUCGUUCCUCUCCCUCUGUUCCCGCUGGAGACUCCUGAGGCAGCCUUGUUCUUUGAUGAUGUUGUCUCUAAAAGGACGUGUCAAUAGGCUCGAUCUUAGCAAUGGUGAUGGUGGUGAGAUUAACCCUUCUUUGCUUGUUUUGAAAGAUUUGGUUUACUUGGAUUUGAGCAUGAAUUUCUUUGAAGGUGUCUUUCCAAGUUUCAUUGGAUCACUAGAGAAACUGAAAUACCUCGAUCUCUCUGGUUCAUAUUUUGUUGGAGUCAUUCCCCCCAAUCUUGGAAACCUCUCAAGGUUUCUUCCUUAAAGUACCUUAACUUGGGACUAGUGAACCUUACUAACACUACUACGAUUUACUAUUUGUGCGACGGAAGUUUGCGCGACGAAUAUUUUUUCGUCGCGCAAAAAGCACUAUUGCGACGAAAAAAAAAUACCGUCGCGCAAACAACAGAAAACUAGCGCGACAAACAGUUUUGUCGCGCAAACCAUCUAUGCGCGACCUAAAUUAAUUUCGUCGCGCAAAGGUAGGGGAUAAAAACCCGGUUUUUUUUUUUGGCGCCAAAAUCUUGCGCGACGACAAAAAUCGUCGCGCAUGACAAUAUUGCGCGACAAUUCAAAGCAUUCGUCGCGUAAAGAUGGACAGAAAAUUGGCUCCUUUUUUUGGCGGUAAAAAAAUUUGCGCGACGAGAGUUUUCGUCUCAAAAGACAACUUAGCGCGAUGAAAAAAUGUACCGUCGCGUAAGAAAACGAGGGAUACUUAUUUUUGGCGCCAAAAUGCAGGGUGGAUAAAAAAAAAUUUGCGCGACGGAAUUACCUUUGUCGCGUAAAGUGUAAUGCCGGUGCGUUCUUGCGCGACGAAAUAAACAAUUUGCGUGACAGAAUUUAAACUUUGCGCGACGAAAUUUGUGCGACGAAUAAUAUACUUCGUCGCGCAAAAAAGCAGAUGUCGACACGUAAUUGCGCGACGGAAAUGUUGUUUUGUGCGACGGAAAAGUGGGUUUUCGCGACGGCAUUUUGCGCGACGAAUUUAGUUAUUCGUCGCGCAAAGUCCUUCUUCUUCAUAUUAGUAUCUGCCAUUGCAGAGGCAUAAUGCAAAAAUGCAUUCUACCUCUCUCUCACUCUCCCUGCCGCUGCUCUGCUGUGAAUUCAGUACGUUCAUUGGGUAUGUAUUUUUUGUCGUUAGUUUAAAUGUAUUAAUGUAAAUUCGUACUAACGCUAUUAAUUUUGUUCUCGUUAAGGAUAUUUGUGAUUAGUGAUUGGUGGAGAACGAUUGAGAAGGUAUGUUAUUGUAAAAGUUUGUUUGUUAUGUUUGUAAUUUUUUUGUGAAGUUAUAUGUGUAUAAUGUUGUGAAAUUGUGCGUGACGUAGCACAAUGUGUUGUGAUGUACGAAGUUAAUUGAAAUUAACUUCGUACUUUUAUUUUUAUGUUUAGUAACACGUAGUUUCCCGUUCGAGAUUAGUUGGAUUUUGUGCAUGGAUGCGUAAGACAUGACUGCGGCCCAAUUAAUUCUUGAAUUGUCCCAUUAUUUGGACAGUUUGGUAAUGCAUUGUGUUGUCACAUAAUCUUCGGCCACAGGAUUAGGUUUCGAUUGUGGAUAUUUCGGUGUCAUCUCGGUACGUUCUUCGGGUGGUAUGUAGGUAUUUAUACCUAUGCCCACUUCAAGAACUGUGUCGAGAUGCUGCCGAAAUUAAUCCACGUCGAAAUCUAAUCUCAUGUAGCCGUAGGUUACGUGACAGGACUAUACAUUCCCGAAUGGGAUAGGGCCCUUACCGGAGGCAUAAGGUGACAAUAUAACUUCGUAUGAAGUUGUUGUGAUUGUUGUGUCGUGAAUGUGGUUUCAGGAAUUAUGAGCAGAAGGUGGAUACAGAACCCGAAUAGAUGCGCAGAUGAAUACUUGGAUGGAAUCGAGGAUUUUAUUGAGUUUGCACGUAGACACAACCCGGGUGCAACUAGAAUCUGUUGUCCUUGUAGGAGGUGUAACAACACGUUGUGGGAGACAAUUGAAAAUGUUGGAUUUCAUUUAGUAAGGAAUGGAAUGAUUGAAACAUAUAGCAUUUGGAACCUUCACGACGAACAAGUAGACCAUGCUUCGUCUUCAAAUGCCCCAAGAGUGGACAAUGUUGAACCUAUUGUGGAUCCUAAUGAUCAAGUCAUGGGUAUUAUACAUGAUGCUUUUCCAUUCGCAUCGACCAACAUCAAUCAGGAAGGGGAAGACGACGUGCCUACACCAAUAGACAGUGCGGAGUUUGAACAGUAUGAAAAACUGUUACAAAAUGCCAACCAAGAGUUAUACCCGGGGUGCGAGAGAUUUUCCGUUCUCACUGCCAUUGUGGAGCUAAUGCACGGAAAAAUAAAGUAUCGUAUGUCGAACUUGUGUUUCGAUUACUUUUUGGGGGUUUUCAAGAGAAUGCUUCCGACGGACAAUUGUUUGCCGAAAGACCAUAAACAUGCACAGAAGGUGUUGCAUGGUCUUGGAUUGGGUUAUGAAAAAAUCCACGUUUGCAAAAACAAUUGCAUGUUAUUCUACAAAAAGCAUGAAACGUUGGAUACAUGCCCUAUAUGCAAUGAGUCGAGGUUCAAAAUGACAUCCCAGAAUAGAACGACUAAGAUACCACAAAAAGUCAUGCGUUAUCUGCCCCUUAAACAUAGGUUGCAACGAUUGUAUAUGUCGACGCAUACUGCCACAGACAUGAGAUGGCAUAAGAAAAAACGGGUAGACGAUGAUGUGAUGCGGCAUCCUGCAGAUGGGGAGGCAUGGAAAGAGUUCAAUCGAACGUUCCCCGAGUUUGCUGCUGAUCCUCGAAAUGUUAGAUUGGGACUUGCCACUGACGGAUUCAAUCCGUAUGGGGUUCUAAACCAACACCACAGCACUUGGCCAAUUUUCGCAUUCCCAUAUAAUUUGCCGCCUUGGAAAUGCAUGAAAAAAGAAUACAUGAUGAUGACUGUUUUGAUAACUGAGGAUCCUGGCAGGUCAAUUGAUGUGUACUUAAGGCCUCUGGUUGAUGAGCUGAAGGAUUUAUGGACAAACGGUGUUCGCACGUACGAUAAAUCAACUGGGAGGAUGUUCACUUUGUGAGCAGCAGUUAUGUGGACUGUGAAUGAUUUUCCAGCAUAUGCAAUGGUUUCUGGGUGGAGCACAAAGGGUUAUAUGGCAUGUCCUGUAUGCAAGGAAGAUGUAACUUCUGGUUGGCACGCGGGAAAAGUUUGUUACCUUGGUCAUCGGAGAUGGUUGCCAUGGGACCACGAGUGGCGAGAAAAAGAUAAAGAGUUCGACGGGAACACAAAGCGUUGCCUCAGACCUAGAGAAUGGUCCGGUGAUGAGAUCUUGGAACAGCUGAACCGUUUGGAUUUUGCUCCGUUCGGGAAAACAGUUAGUCGGACCAAACCUUCUACACAUUUGAACUGGAAGCACAAGCCUAUGUUUUUUGAGCUCCCAUAUUGGUCGAAACUGAAAUUGAGGCACAAUCUAGAUGUGAUGCAUGUUGAGAAAAAUGUAUUCGACACAUUGGUGGGCACGAUUCUAGAUAUCGAGGGGAAGACGAAGGACACGAUCAAAGCUCGUCUUGAUUUGGAAAGAAUAGGCAUACGAAGGGGUUUAUGGAUGAAUAGGGGCAGUGAUAAAGCUAGAAGGGAUCUUUCCUUCUUUUCUAUGAAACCGAUUGACAAAAAAGAGUUUCUAAAGUUUGUAUCGUCUGUCAAAUUUCCCGAUGAGUAUGCUUCUAAUAUCACACGUUGCGUGAAUGUCGAUGAGGGUAAAUUUACUGGACUUAAGAGCCAUGACUGCCAUGUGUUUAUGCAACGCCUACUUCCUGUGGGUAUUCAACACCUACUGCCGAAAGAUGUGGUGAAGCCAAUCAUGUUGUUAUCCAGAUUUUUUUCCCAACUGAGGGCAAAAACAUUGCUAAUGACAGACAUGUUUCAGUUGCGCCAUGACAUUGUCCAAGUCCUAUGCAAGUUUGAGAUGAUAUUUCCUCCAACUUUCUUUACAAGUAUGCUGCACGUGAUGGUUCACUUGCCAGAAGAGGCAUUGCUUGCUGGUCCUGUCAACUAUCGCUGGAUGUAUCCAAUAGAAUGGUAUAUAAUCUUUAUCAUUUGUGUAUGCAUCAUUAUCGACACUUUGCUAAUUUGUAUCAUAUCGUUUUAUUUUGGCAGGCUUCUCGGAGAGCUAAAAAAAAGUGUACGCAAUAGGGCAAAGCCCGAAGGAUCAAUUAGAGAGGCUUGGGUUCAAUAUGAGUCGCUUACUUUCUGUGGAAUGUAUUUAAAAGAUGUGGAGACGGUUUUCAAUCGUCCUCAACGCAAUAAUGACGGAGGUAUGAGAAAUGAAAAACUUUCUAGUUUUGCCCAAAGCGCACGACCAUUUGGAGAUCCUGGACGAGGAGAGUCGUUUUCUAGAAAUGACAUGGAGGUAGCGCAUUGGUUCGUACUGAACAAUUGUGAUGAGAUAAUGGCCUACUUAGAUGAGCAUGAACAGAUGAUGAAGCGAGAACAUCCAUCAGAUUUGGUUGCCCGGAAACACCGUGAAUUAUUUCCACAAUGGUUUUUGGAUUCUGUAAGUUAUAAGUGUUUUGUAAUUGACAAAUAUAAACUGUAGUAUUUAAUUUUGUCAGACUAACAUGUAAAUGGUUUUGUAUACUAUUAGGUGAAUAAAUUGAAAUCAUCGAAUUCCCCCACUUACAGUGAUGAGUUAUAUAACUUGGCGUUCGACCCAAUUCGCGCUGAAUUGUUCUCGGGUUGUAAUGUUAACGGCGUCAAAUUUUUGGGGGCCGCACGAGAUGACAAGUUGUGUAAGCAAAACAGCGGUGUCCAUGUCCUAGGUGGAGGCGAAAGUACGGACAUUGAUUUCUAUGGCAAACUGACAACUGUCGUGCAAUUGCUUUACAAAGAUCGAUACCAAGUCAUCAUGUUUAAGUGUCGAUGGUUCGAUACCAACCCAAAUAGGGCGGGAAGUGUUAAAAUCGACCAUGGAGUACUGUCUGUGAACAUUAACAGAACUUGGUAUGAUGACGACCCGUACAUUUUGGCAAACAUGGCGUCCCAAAUUGUGUAUCUAGAUGACCCUAAAGCCGGGAACGGGUGAAAAGUUGUGCAGAAGAUGGAUCAUAGGAACGUGUAUGAUAUACCAGAACUAGACCCAAGUGACAACGACGUCGACAAUGUGGCUGACCAACGUUUAGAAUCUUCAAUGGAAAAUGAUGCGGAAACACUUCGAGAUACAAAUGUUAUACAAGAACCGUUUCAAAUAGAAGGAGUGUCUUCAGUCGAAAUACCGAUUCAGUCAAUUACAAUUGACCUCGGUGAUCUUCCCCGAUACGAUGUUGCAGUGGGCCCUAGCAACGCCGAUGAUGCAGUUAUAGAGGAGGAGGAGGAAGAAGAUUGGGAGACCGAGAGUGAUGAUAGCGACGAUAACGAAAGUUAUUAUAGUUCAGAUGAUGAAUAAUGAAUUUAUUUGUAAAUUUAUUAUGUUAGUGUAUUCAUUUUGUGUAAUACAAAUCUUUGAAUAUAUGUAGUUGUUAUAUCCAAUCCUUAUAUAUGUCAACAAAUGUAACAUUGUUAAAUAAAUCUAGUUAUAAAACCCUUUUAAUAAUAAUGCGUCCCAAAUUUUAUUGACAAAACAUUUGACGUAAUGAGGUUUAUGGCCAAUUCUAAAUUUGAUUGAGUUUUCAUGAGUUUAUGAAAGUUUAUUCCUUCACUUUAUAAAACAAAAAGGACAUUGUUAAAACAUUGUUAAAAUUUAUUAAAGUUUUCAUGAGUUUAUUAAAGUUUAUUCCUUCGCGUGAGACAUUGUUAAAACAUACAACAAAAUGAAAAAUGAAAAAAUAUUUAGUUAAACAAGAUCGGUAAAACAAAUAAUAUAACCCUCUUUAUACAAAGUUAAAAAAUGAUGAACACAAAACCUUUCCAAAAAUUACAAAGCAUACACAAUUUGAACUAAAUGAGGAUUUAUGGCACCAAACCCUUGCGCGACGAAUCAACCUCGUCGCGCAAACUAUGCGCGACGCAUAUAUAUUCGUCGCAUAAAGUUUGCGCGACGAAUAUACCUCGUCGCGCAUAGUUUGCAUGACGCAUAUAUAUUCGUCGCGUAUGGUCUUUUUGCGCAACAAUAAGGAGCCCUUCGUCGCGCAAAUAUAUAUUAGGGUAACGUUAUAGUACAAUAUAUACACACAUAUAUAUAUAUUUAAAAUUGGCGAUCGAAUUAGUUCAUUGUAUUCAUGUGGAGUGAAGGACUGUAGCUGCAAAAAAUCAUCAACAUCAGAGUUAAAAUAACCGUUCAAUCAUCACUUUUAUUUAGAACCGUCAAAAAGUUUUACCCCGUUACUUAAUCUCUGAAUGUUUUUUUUGUCCGAUUUUUGCUGUCUAUGAUCUCGAAGUAUAAAAAAAACAAGUUUGACGGAUGGAUGACUGAAACUAGUUUCGUAGACUGCGUGUGCUAUCAAAAUCAUAUAUUCACCAAAAACCCUAAAAUUUGUUCAUACAUUUGUGAAAAUGUAACUUAACGUUUAUGUGGUAUCCCCUAGUGUAAAAAUCUGAAAUUGAAGAUCAAAUUCAGUCAUUGUAUUCAUAUAGGGUCAACAAAUGUUGCUGUAAAAAAUGAUCAAAAUCGGAGUUAAAAUAACCGUUAAAUCAUGACUUUUCAUUUAUAACCGUCGAAAUAUUUUGUCCCGUUCCCUGAUAUCUGAAUGUUUGGUCUUUUUGAUUUUUGGCGUAUACAAUCUCCAAGUAUAAAAAAUAAGUUUGUCGGUUGGAUCAUUGAAACUAUUUUAGGGUUUAGGGUUUAGGGUUUAGGGCUUAGGGCUUAGGGUUUAGGGUUUACAUUUUAGGCUUUAGGUUUUGCGCGACGAAUACAAUAUAUCCGUCGCGCAAAGUGAAAGUGAAAAAGAUUGCGCGACGGAUAAAUCUUCUGUUCGUCGCGCAAUCUGGGCCACACAUUUCACCCCUCCAUCCCCUUUGAACACUUAGUGAAAAUUUCAACCGAAUCAAAAUCUUGAACUCGUGCGACGAACAACAUACAUACGUCACGCAAAGUGAAAGUGAAGAAGAUUGCGCGAUGGAUAAAUCUUCUGUUCGUCGCGCAAUUUGGGCCACACAUUUCACUCCUCCAUCCCCUUUGAACACUUAGUGAAAAUUUCAACCGAAUCAAAAUCUUGAACUCGCACGACGUUUUAACUCUUCGUGGCGCAAAAGGCACAGACCCUUCAGUUUCAGCCUCCCGCUAAACCCUAAAUCCCAAAAUUUAGGCGGAAAGAAAGUGUUUUGCGCGACGAAUAUAUUAUUUUCCGUCGCGCAAGGUUCUCCUCGUGCGACGUUUACUGUCUUCGUCGCGCAAAAGCACAAACCCUUCAGUUUCAGCCUCUUGCUAAACCCUAAAUCCCUAAAUUUUGGCGGAACGACAGUGUUUUGCACGACGAAUAUAUUAUUUUCCGUCGCGCAAGGUUUUCCUUGCCCGACGUUGAUUGUCUUUGUCGCGCAAAAGCACAAACCCUUCACGUUCAGCCUCCCGCUAAACCCUAAAUUCGAAAAUUUAGGCGGAAAGAAAGUGUUUUGCGCAACGAAUAUAUUAUUUUCCGUCGCGCAAGGUUCUCCUCGCGCGACGUUGACUGUCUUUGUCGCGCAAAAGCACAAACCCUUCACGUUCAGCCUCCCGCUAAACCCAAAAUCCCAAAAUUUAGGCGGAAAGAAAGUGUUUUGCGCUACGAACUAUGCUUUUUCGUCGCGCAAAAGGCACAGACCCCAAUCCCCAUUCAAAAUUUGGCGUUGUGGGAGACCUUGCGCAACGGAUUUUUCGUCGCGCAAGAUUCAUUAAUACCAUUUUGCGCGACGCAUUUUGUUCUUCGUCGCGCAAAGUCGAAUAAAUUUGCAGAAACGACCCGAUGCCUCCUUCUUCCCCUGUUUAUGGUUUUCCCUCCGUUGCUCCCUCUCUCUCUGCCGUCACCUCAGCCCUCUCUCUCCGCAGUCACCUCAGCCACCUCCGCUCGUUCCGUAGCCUCCCCUGCCGUCACCGUCGAGCCUGCCGUCGCACAUAGUCGGUUUCCGAUUCUUCGCUGGCCGAUUUCUCUCUCCUCCGGCCACCAUUUCCGACGCCUGAGGUAUGAUUUCUCGACUAUUUUUUGUGCUCUAGCUGAUGGUUGGUUAGGAUUUCUUGAAUUUUCGCUAUAGGAAAUAGGAAUUAAAACCCUAGGUUUUGGCCGGUUUGGGAAUUUCAAAUCCGGCCACUUCCGGCCAUUUUUCGGGGUAGGUCCGAGAACAAAAGUGGCUCCAAUUAAUGUUUUCAACCUAGGGUAGGAACCUUGGCCCUUAGUUUUUAUAAUUUUCCGGCGAAUGGUAUCGGUUUGGACACCCAAGCGCUGCCGGCGCGUGUGGUGGCGCGUGGGAUGCUGUGGCAGUGGGGCAUUGGGUAUUUGGUUACCGUUUGAGUCUUGAUCGGAUUUCGCCUAUUGUGCGAUUUCCAGGUUUGAUAUGUUCGGACCGUUGGAUCGAACUCAAACUCACGUAGUUGUACCUUUAUGUUUCUAGGAUCGUUUAGGAUUCGACCGAUCGUUGAUCGGCGUCCCGGAUACUCCGAAAUUCCAAACCCUAGGUCAUGCUAUGCUUUUAAUUAAUUAGUUUAAAUUCUUAAUGAAAUUAUAUGUGCAGAUGUCAGACUUGAUUAGACGUGGUAGGUCAAUGAUGACUGCACCGAGUUCGGAUCCCCCGGCUCAGUCGGCAUCUGCUGCCACUGCUCCAGCUUUGGUGGACCACGUGCUGGUUGGUCCCGGGGCGUCCCAGACGCCUGCGUCAUCUGUGUCAUCUGUCGCGCAGCCAGCUAGUGCUAGGCGGCGGCACCGGCCCGCCGACACCACCGACACGACAUCGACCGACUGUACUGGUGCCUCAGGAUCACAGCCAGGUAUAACUACCAUUUUGUAUUGUUAAUUUUAUAUUGAAAUUUGACAAUGUUGUUUAUUUAACAUUAAUAUCUUAUUUCUUUGCAGCAAAGAAGAACACCCGAGGGCCGUGUCGUCAGCUGAAGACGGCGAAGGUCACCCGGGCGACCAACAGUCGUAUCAGCAUCGGAUACGACGAGCGCCAUCGGGCUGCACCGACAGCGGAGUUGCAUAGCUCCUUGGCCCACGACAUUGGCCACGUCGUGCGGACCCAUUGCCCGAUGCAAUGGAAGUCUUGGAGGGUCAUGCCUGACGAGAUCAAGGUGGAGGUUCGCGGCCAGUUGUAGGUAUGUACCUUACAUUUUCAUUAUUUUUCUUCAAAAUUGUGUAUAUUUCUAUUACUUAACGUAUCUAAUUAAUUGAUUGCAGACGAACUAUAACUUGGAGGAUCUCGACGAAGAGUCGUUGGCGUACGUCAACAGACUCUUCGCUGAGAGGUACAAGCAGUGGAAGAGCGACUUGCACCACCAUUUUCAGGCCUUUGAUGAUCUGCAAGUCGCUCUUCAGGAGGGUUGCCCGAAGGAGCUUGAGGGGCAGGAGGAUAGUUGGGAGUGGCUCUGCGCUCAUUUUCAAGCGCCCGAAUAUGUGGUAUUUUUUUAAUAAUAUUUGUUUAAUUAUUACUUAUUUCUUAUUAAUGUUUAUUUCAUUUUUUUUAUUUCAUUAUUAUUUAAUUUUUUAUAUUUUAACUAAUACGAUUCAUUUUUUGUAUAACAGAAUAAAGCCCAAGUGAAUAAGGGUAAUAGGAAGAAGAAGACCCUUCUCCACCAUUCCGGCUCCAGGCCCUUUUCGUAUAGGAUGGAUGCACGGCGACGGGUAAUAAUCACAUAAUUUAUAUUUCAUUUUUAAUGUCAUUAUUAUUAAUUUAUUUUUUUCAUACUAAUAUUUUUCUUCUCUUGUUCAAUUUAGGAGGGGUCUAAGUUCCUAGAGAUCGACGUCUUUGGUGACGUUUAUGUUCGACCCGGGAAUGAGUUGGCCGAGUCCCUUCAUGUAAGUAUUAUUUAAUUUUAAUUCUUAUGUUACGCAUUCAAUUUAUAUGCAUGUUUUAAUUUAUAUUUUAUGUUAUGUUCAACAGACGACGAUGGUGGAGAGGAGCCAGUUGGUUCUUCAGGAGUCCGCCUCCCAGCUUCCUCCCGAGACUCGGAUCGAGUCUAUGGCUCCUCCACAGGAUGCUGGAUUUCAGAUCUUGACAGAGACGUUGGAUCAUACUCUCGGGAGGAGGCCGGGGACAUAUUGUCGAGGGAUGGGGAAUGCCCGGCGGAGGGAACCUAGACCUCAUUCAUCAGCGCAGUCAAACAGUCAGGUCACUGCUUUGACAGCACAGGUGGCCGAGCUUCAGGGUCAGAUGUCGGUGAUUCUACAGUCCCUCGGACAGGGCGGCUUUCCAAUCCUGCAGUUUCGUGCGUCGACCUCCCAGCCCGUCCACCCCGAGCAUGCCCACCAGACCACUGCCCCGGUGGACGCCCAGACCACUGCUCUGGUGGACGCCUAGACCUCCGAGCCGCAUACUGGAGACGACCCGGUUGAUUUUGCUUCAUUAUUUGAUUAGUGUAUUUAUUUUCAUCAUAAACAUUUAUUUUAUUUGUAAUACAUUUAUUUUAUUUUAUAACAAAAUUUUGUUCUAAUUUAUUUUUAUUGCAAUUUCAUUGUUUAAUCAAUAAAAAAAAACCAAUUUUAUUUAUAAAAAUAAUAAAAAUAAUAAAAAUAAUAAAAAUAAAAACAAAAAAAAAUUGUAAUAUUAUUUUUGCGCGACGGAAAACAUUUCGUCGCGCAAACCCACAUGUAACAAAAAAAAAAUAAAAAAUCAACUUUUUUAUUACUUUUAAUUCUUGCGCGACGAACACAUACGUCUCCCGAACAAGUUUUGCGCGACGAAUUAGUUUUCGUCGCGCUAUUCCUUUCGUCGCGCAAAUGUACGUGCGCCGAAUACUUUAUCGUCGCGCAAAUAUUAUGCGACGAACAGUUGUUUCGUCUCCACACCGUUGGUGCAACGAUGGUUUACCCGUCGCAUAGUUUUGCGCGACGAAGGGUUGUACCUCGUCGCGCAAAGGCUUUCUUCACGAUCUUCGCGCGACGGAAUGUGCGCCACGAAUUUUUGUCGCGCUGAAAUUAGUGCGACUAAAUGAGACUUUGCGCGACGUUUUGUUAUUCGUCGCGCAAAGAGUAAAAUGUAGUAGUGUAAGACUACAUCUAAUUGGCUUCCUGCUGUUAAUAUGCUCCCUUCACUUGUUGAAUUGCAUUUGCCCUCUUGUAGUCUUUCCAUGCUUCCUCUCACUCUUCCUUCCAUCAAUUUCACAUCCCUUUCAGUUCUUGAUCUCUCUAGCAAUAAAUUCACCUCCACGAUACCUCCUUGGUUGUUCAAUCUCACUAAACUAGAGAAUUUGGAUUUGUCAUAUAACAGUCUGACAGGAAAACUGCCUGAUUCUUUGGGAUAUCUUAAAAGCUUGAGAUACCUCAACUUGUCGGGUAACUCACUUGAGGGUCCAAUCCCAAAAUCGAUUGGAAAUUUAACAUCUUUGGAGGAGUUUAACCUUGGAGGGAAUCAAAUGAGUGGGAUCAUCCCAGAAAGUCUUGGGGAGCUCUCAUCACUGGUUUCACUUGAUAUCUUUGGCAACAAAUGGGAAGGUGCCAUUACAGAAGCUCAUUUCGCGAAACUUGGAGGCCUGAGAAAAGUAUUAAUUGGAAAUUAUCCCCGAAACAUUUCCUUUUCUUUGGUUUUCAACAUAAGUUCUGAUUGGGUACCUCCUUUCAAAUUAAGAUACUUGGAAAUUAGAUCAUGCCAACUGGGUCCCAAAUUUCCGACAUGGCUUAGAAAUCAGACUGAGUUGACCACGGUAGUACUCCUUAAUGCUAGGAUUUCAGGCACCAUACCAGAUUGGUUUUUGCAGUUGGAUUUGCAAUUAGAUGAACUAAGUUUGGCUGAUAAUCAACUCAGCGGCAGGGUGCCCAAUUCAUUAAGAUUCAGCUAUGAUUCCCUUGUUGAUUUGAGUUCAAACUGCUAUGAGGGCCCACUCCCACUCUGGUCCUCAAACAUUUCUAGGCUGUAUCUUAGAGAUAAUCGAUUUUCAUGGCCAAUUCUUCAUAACAUUGGUCAAGUGAUGCCCAAUUUAACACAACUAGACAUUUCUACGAACUCUUUGAGUGGAAGCAUUCCUCUGUUCUUGGGUAAUUUAAGCCAAUUACAAGUCAUAUUGAUCUCAAACAACCUCUUGUCUGGUGAGAUUCCUCAUUUUUGGAACAAUAUACCAUCAUUGGUUUCUAUAGACUUGUCAAACAAUAGUCUCUCUGGUACAAUCCAAAGAUCCUUAAGCUCUCUUACUUCACUCGAGUUCUUGGGCCUCUCUAGCAACAACUUUUCAGGUGAAGUUCCUUCCUUGAAAAACUGCACUUACCUGAAUAUUCUCGAUCUUGGUGAUAACAAGUUUUCUGGACCGAUUCUGGCUUCCAUCGGAGAAAGCAUGCCCAAUUUACAGAUUCUAAGCUUGAGGUCCAACUCAUUUACGGGAAGCAUCCCUUUAAAAUUAUGUGGCCUUUCCGCUCUCCAUAUAUUGGACUUCUCACACAACAAUCUUUUCGGAAAUAUUCCCCACUGUAUAGGUAAUUUGAGUUACUUGAAAUCUGAGUCCGCUGACUAUUAUUCCUAUGGUUACUUGGGAAGAUUUGAGUUGGUGUGAAAAGGAAGAGUGUUUGUAUAUGAUUAUGGCUCCAUCCUUUACCUUGUUACUAGCGUUGAUCUCUCGGACAAUAAAUUGUCAGGAGAGAUACCUAUGGAGCUAACAAGCCUUAUAAAGUUGGGCACCUUAAAUUUGUCCAUGAAUCAUUUGACAGGAAAUAUCCCGACAAAUAUCGGAAACUUAGAGUCAAUAGAAACUCUUGAUCUAUCAAAGAACAAACUUUCAGGUUAUUCAAUUCCACAGAGUAUGGUUUCUUUAACAUUUUUGAAUCAUUUGAAUCUGUCAUACAAUAACUUGUCCGGGAAAAUUGCAACGGGUAACCAGUUUCAUACCUUUGUUGACCCGUCAAUUUAUGAGGGCAACCCUGGUCUUAGCAGUUGUCCAUUACCAAUUGUUUGCCAAGUCAAUGUAGGAGCACCUCAAGUUCCAAGUGGAGAUGGAGGAGAGGAUGAUGACAGCAAACUUGAAAAGCUACAGUUCGUCAUCAGCUUGGUGAUAGGUUUUUGUGCAGGGUUCUGGGGAGUUUUUGGGACUUUGGCCAUGAAGAGGUCUUGGAGAUAUGCGUAUUUUCACUUCCUUGACAAAGUGAAAGAUGCUGUCUUUUAUUUUGUCUCAGCCAUUGGUACUUAUUUGCGGAAAAGAUCGUAGAGCACAGAACAAGCUGCAAAUGUGAAGGCAUGUAUGUAUGCAAGCAAAUAAAGCAAUGUUUAGUAUUGUCCUUUACAAAUUUCUAAGUCAGUUGUAAUGUGCAUUUAUACGUGUAUGUGCUGUGCUAGAAGCAUCAAGCCUUAAGGAAAUAAUUGCUUCAAUACAUUUCGAAAUCGAUAAAUUUCUACUGGAGCAAAUGUUGCUAACCCAAGGAUAAUAACAGAAAAUAAAUGUAAAAACAAGAAAAUAAAAGAUUUAACGAGGUUUCUCACAACAAGUAUAACCCAAAUCGCAAAAAACAAAUGGAGAAGGAAAUUAUGCAAAGCUACAGACCUACAAAUCUUAACUUCAUUUUUUUAUUUUUUAUUUGGUCAAAGGGUUUAUUGCUUUACUCAAACAGAAUUAACAAGUUUUUAUUUUUUCAUUUUUCAUUUAGUAAAUUUAGGUUUUACCCAUAAAAAAACUUUCACUUUUGGAAAAAGCCAAAGCUUUUUGAAAAAAGACAGAAUAACCUCUCAACUUUCAAACCAAAGACAUGUAAAUGUAAAGGAUUUCUUAGGAAAUCAAAAAAUAAAUAAGGGCAAUUUUGUCCAUUUUUGCUUCUUUUAAAAAUUUUCUCUCUCCUUUGGGCUUUUCCAAAGUCUCCCUUUUCAUUUUUAUUUUUUAAAAGAAGGUCUAAAAGACAAAGAAAGUAAAACAGAGAGAACCAAAUCCUAUGGCGCUUCUUAUCCAAUGGUGGUUCAAUCUCACUAAACUAGAGAAGUUGGAUUUUGCAUUUAACAGUCCGACAGGAAAACUGCCUAAUUCUUUGGGGUAUCUUAAAAGCUUGUGGGGUAACUCACUUGAGGGUUCAAUCCCAAACUCGAUUGGAAAUUUAACAUCUUUGGAGGAGUUUAACCUUAGAAGGAAUCAAAUGAGUGGGAUCAUCCCAGAAAGUCUUGGGGAGCUCUCAUCGCUGGUUUCACUUGAUAUCUUUUACAACGCAUGGAGGCCUGAGAGAAGUAUCAAUUGGAAACUUGGAGGCCCCAAAUAUUUCCUCGGUUUUCAACGUAAGUUCUGAUUGGAUACCUCCUUUCAAAUUAAGAUACUUGUACAUUACAUCAUGCCAACUGGGUCCCAAAUUUCCUACAUGGCUUAGAAAUCAGACUGAGUUGACCACGGUGGUACGCCGUAGUGCUAGGAUUUCAGGCACCAUACCAGAUUGGUUUUUUCAGUUGGAUUUGCAAUUAGAUGGGCUAGAUUUCGCUGAUAAUCAACUAAGCGGCAGGGUGCCCAAUUCAUUAACAUUCAGCUAUGAUUCCUUUGUUGAUUUGAGUUCAAACCGCUUUGAAGGCCCACUCCCACUCUGGUCCUCAAACAUUACCUGGCUGCAUCUUAGCGAUAAUCUAUUUUCAGGGCCAAUUCCUCAUAACAUUGCCCAAUUUAAUGCUUUGGUUUUUUAAGUAGCAAAGUUACAGGAUGACAACAGAGCACUUGAUCGGCUUACUAAAUCCAAGGAGGCUGCUCUAGUUGAGGCCGAGAGAACUGUUCAGAUUGCCAUAGUAAAAGCAUCCUUGGUUGACGAUCUGCAAAACAAAAAUCAAGAGCUGAUGAAACAGAUUCAAAUAUGCCAGGUAUGUAUGUUCUCUGAGUUUUCCUGCUGCAGGCAAUGUGUGUGAUUGAGGGAAUGUACCGUGGGUUUUGUACUAGCAUUAGACACUAUUUUUUGGAACAUGUACUGGUGGAUUAUUAGGAGGAGAACAAAAUUCUUGACAAAACGCACCGGCAAAAGGUAGCUGAGGUUGAGAAGCUAACACAAACCGUUCACGAGCUUGAGGAGGCUGUUUUAGCCGGUGGAGCUGCUGCCAAUGCUGUGCGUGAUUACCAGCGUAAAGUGCAGGAGAUGAAUGUAAUAAACAUUUCUUGGAACUCCAGUUCUUGCAAAUCACUUCGUAGUUGUUCUGGGUCUGUCACAAAUGCAAACUGCAUCUAACCUUCAAGCUUGCGUAGGAGGAGAAGAAACUGUUGGAACGGGAGGUGGCUCGUGCAAAGGUCUCUGCAAAUAGGGUUGCCACUGUUGUUGCAAAUGAGUGGGAAGAUUCCAGUGACAAAGUGAUGCCCGUAAAACAAUGGCUUGAAGAAAGGAGAUUUUUUCAGGCCUGUUACAACUUCAAUGCCACCUCAUCAUUUCUGCAUGCAAUUCCUUUAAUUUGUACAAAUAGUCAUUUCGUUUCAUUGUCUCAAGUUGCAUCCUUAACCCAAGAGGUUGGCAUUAUGGCAAUUGAAUGGGGCUUAGGCGCUUCAUGCUGGAUGUGGCAACUGCAUGGACCUAGUAAUUAUCAAUUAACAUGUGGACCAGAUGCCUCGUCAGCCCAAAAAGAAAGCAUGAAUUGGAAAUUUUUUUUUCUUCUUUAAAUCGUUCUAUAAGUAUUUAAUGAUCAUCUAUGUUAACCCAAGGGGUUUAACAUAUGGAAUUAUCAUCUAGUACCAUAGGUGACCUGCAAUGAUUAUUGUUGGCCUACUGUCAAGAUGCAUAUAGGAUAGUGAUAGAGACUGCCCUGUAUCCAGGACCUUAAAACAGAUAUCCCAUCUGGAAAAUGGUUCUUUAUUCCAUAGACCACAUAUAAUGCUUUCCCCAAAUAUUUGCAAAUUGAGUAGUUGCUAGAAAACAGGAUAUAUAUGUGUAUGCGCGUGCCGGUGUUCUAAGAUGGUUUAUUUUGCCUUAAGAAUCUGCGGUGGAAGUGAAAACAGAUCAAGAAAGGAACAGUUAAUUUUAUUUGAGAUUUACAAUGAAAUAUUUGACAUGAUUUUUGUAGGGAGAAAUGCAACAACUUCGAGACAAAUUGGCAGUAGCUGAGCGUACUGCAAAGGCAGAAGCACAAUUAUAGGUAUGCUAACUGUUUUGAAUUUAGUCUGCUCUGACAUGUAAGGGUAACUGUUUCCUAUUAUGUGUUUAAGCCACUUCUUAACAGUUGAGCAUUAAUUGAUUUCUUAAGAAAAAUACCAACUAAGAUUCAAGGUUUUGGAGGAAAAGUUUAAAGCAUCGAAUGGAAAAUUCCGCCCAUCCUCAGAUGCAAGAAUCAUCAGCAAUGGGCCUUCAAGGCGUCAGUCUCUUGGUGGAGCUGAGAACUUCUCUAGAGCGUCCUCUAAUGGCUAUCUAUCUAGGACAAAAUUGAAUUUACAAUCUGGUUUCAACCGUUCCAACACUGCUACUACAAUAUUGAAACAAGCCAAGAGUUCAUCUAGAUCGUUUGAUGGUGGUAGUAGAUUGCUAGACAGAGAUAAGCUAGUACCAGAUGCAGCUGGGAAAGAUAACACAAACAGUGCCAGUGAUCAGACUCAGAUGGAUGAGACAGUUGGUAGACAUGAGGAGAGGGCCAAUGGAUCUUUGGCUGAACAAUCCGGGACAGAGCAUGAAGAUUAUGUUUCUGGAGUGCUGUAUGAUAUGUUACAGAAAGAGGUCGUAUCUUUGAGGAAAGCUUGCCAUGAGAAAGAUCAAACCCUCAAGGACAAGGAUGAUGCAAUUGAGGUUAGCUAGUAGGAUCUAUCUCAUUAAUUUUGCAACCUCCCCCCACUUUUGUUUUGCUCUUAAUUUGUUUCUUGUGUGGAAUCAAGUAGAUGUUGGCAAAGAAGGUGGAUACACUUAACAAAGCAAUGGAGGUUGAGGCCAAAAAGAUGCGGAGAGAAGUAGCUGCCAUGGAAAAAGAAGUCUCUGCUAUGCGUGUCACCAAGGAGCCUGAUCAGAGGGCACGGCGCUCAAGUGCUCCCCGAGGGGUUGUAAAUAGCUCUCAUACACUUUCUUCUAGGUAAAUAGUUGUGUAUAAUCUUUAAUGGGCUAAAACUGAUGCACUAGUUGUGGAACAGGCCGUCAUUCUUGUUCCUGCUAAGUUCUUGAUUAUAUAAAAUAAACAAAAAUGCAUGGCGCGAUAUCUUUUUUUUUUUUUUUUCCUUUCUUGUUCUUCACAUGGUGUAAUAUCAAAUGCUGAAAGUUGAUAACUUUUGAGCUCCUUCGAGUAGAAAACCAUUGAUCAAUCUGAACAAAGUUUUCUUCUUUCUUUCAGGAAUGCACACAAGUCUAGGUGAUUGACACGGCCGUGACACAAUUGUUAGCAUUUGCAGACUAUGAUCUGCCAUGUUUUUGGAUUAUAGGUGAAUGGAGCUCUAGUAAAAUGUAGAGAGAAAACUUGGAGAAGAAGAAGAUGAAAAUAUCAGAUUGUAUUCUCACUCUUAGUCAUGCACAAUCUGUGCAUACCAAUAUAACAGUAAAAGAAAAGAAUAUUCUCUCUUACAUCAGCAAAUCUAACCAAUCAUUAACUACCCUAUGAGAUAGCUACACUUGGCACAAAUCAACUACACCUAAGAAUACAUCCUAGCUGUCCAUUUGGACUGUGAUCCAAAGGCUCACAAUUUAAGUAACAAACUCAGCUAAAUCUCUUAUACUUUAACACUCCCUUCUAAGUGUUUAGCUGAAAUAAUUCCAAGCUUGCUCCUUAGAUAUUCAAACCUAUUCCUUGCCAAAGCCUUAGUGAAGAUGUCUGCAUUCUGCUCAUCAGUUUUGCAGUAUAGCAGAUCAAUCUCACCAUUUUGCAAAGCAUCUCGGAUGAAAUGAAACCUUCUGCUUAUGUGUCUUGUCCUGUGAUGAUGCACAGGAUUCUUUGUUAUUGCUAUUGCAGAAGUGUUGUCACAUAGGAUUGUUGUAGCCUCAACUUGUUCUUCACCAAAAUCAGAUAGAACAAACCUUAACCAGACUGCUUGAGCUGUAGCUUCAGCUGCACUAACAUAUUCUGCCUCUGCAGUGGAUAGAGCUACACUGCUCUGCUUAACAGAUGCCCAAGAGAAAACACCUGAUCCAAGGUGAAAGGCAUAGCCAGAUGUGCUCCUCAUAUCAUCUUCACAGCCUGACCAAUCACUGUCACAAUAUCCAACCAGCAUUGCCUCUUUUCCUUUCUCAUAUGCAAUGCCAUAGUCUAGAGUACCUUGAAUGUAUCUAAGUACUCUCUUAGCAGUUCCCAUAUGUUUCUUAGUAGGUCCAUGCAUGUAUCUUGCUAAGAGACUUGCAGCAAACAUGAUAUCUGGCCUUGUUGCAGUCAGAUAUAGUAAGCUUCCAACAAUCUGUCUGUACAGCUUUUCAUCAGCCUGUUCACUUCCAUCCUCCUUGGAUAACUUCUCAUUCAUAGCAAGUGGAGUUGACACUGCUUUACAGUCCUUUAAACCAAACUUGUCCAACAGUGUUCUUGCAUAUUUCUUCUGAUGCAAGAAGAUGUAGGACUCAGCUUGUAUCACACCCAAUCCCAGAAAAUGAUGCAACAAUCCCAGAUCUGUCAUUUCAUAUCUCUUCAUCAUUUCAGUUUUAAAACUCAUCACCAAUUCUUCAGAGCUUCCUGUGUAGAUGAUAUCAUCUACAUAUAGUGAAACAAUUAGGAUUCCACUUUCUGCAGCUUUUACAUAUAAUGUAGCCUCACUAGGACUUUUCUGAAAUCCUGCAGCAGCAAAGUAUGAAUUAAUUUCUUCAUACCAAGCUCUUGGAGCUUGUUUGAGACCAUAAAGAGCCUUCUUGAGUCUAUAAACUCUGUCUUCCUUGCCUUGAACCACAAAUCCUGGAGGUUGAUCCACAUACACCUCCUCUUGUAGCACUCCAUUUAAGAAGGCUGACUUUACAUCAAGCUGAAACAGUUUCCACCUUUUCUGAGCAGCCAGAGCAAUCAGUGUUCUAACUGUGUCAAGCCGAGCAACAGGUGCAAAUGUCUCAUUGAAAUCAAUUCCUGGCUUUUGAGUGUAGCCUUUAGCUACUAGCCUUGCUUUGUUUUUCUGAACAGAACCAUCCAGAUUUAGCUUGACUUUAAAGAUCCAUUUGACACCAACUAUAGGUUUAUCAGAUGGUCUUUUUACCAAAUCCCAAGUUUCAUUCUUUUCUAUCAUCUCAAGUUCUGCUUCCAUUGCCUUUUGCCAUGCUGCAUCCUUGACAGCUUCUUCAAAGGAUUCUGGUUCAAUGAUGCAGAUGUUGCAGCUUUCAUAGAUCUCUGUAAGACUUUUGUAUCUCAAUGGAGUGUGGUCAAUAUCUUGAGUACCUGUGUCAACCACAGAUCUUUCUUCAUUGUCUUCUGUUAGCAACUCAUUCUCAAUUGAAUGUUCUGCUUGCUUCACAACUGUGUCAUAGCUCCCUUUCUCUUUUUCAGACACAGCAUCAGUAAGUGGCACUGAAACACUGCAUUCUUGCUGUGCAUUCCAAUCCCAGCUAGCUUCUUCAUUAAAUACCACAUCCCUUGAGAUAAUCACCUUUUCAGUGGCAAUGUUAUACAGUCUAUACCCUUUCUCACAGCUGCCAUAUCCUAGAAACACACAUCUGUUGCUUGCUGAAUCCAGUUUCUGCCUCUGUGGAUUUGGAACAUGUGCAUAGCACAAAGAUCCAAACACUCUUAAGUGUUUAAGUCCUGGCUUUCUCCCACUAUAGGCUUCAAAUGGUGUUUUCUUGUCCAGAGCUUUAGUUGGACUUCGGUUUAGAAUAUACACUGCAGUAUUAACAGUUUCUGCCCAAAACUCAAGUGGCAUGCCCUUCUCAAUCAUCAUACACUUGGCCAUCUCCACUAUGGUUCUGUUUUUUCUCUCAGCCACACCAUUCUGCUGUGGUGAGUAUGCCACUGUAAGCUGCCUCUCCAUUCCCAUUUCAUCACAGAAUUUAUUGAACUCAUUAGAGGUGUACUCUCCUCCCCUAUCACUUCUUAGUUUCUUCACCUUAUAUCCACUUUGCAAUUCAACAGUGGCUCUAAACCUCUUAAACACUGUGAAUACCUCAGAUUUGCAUCUCAAGAAAUAGAUCCAGCACAUUCUUGUACAGUCAUCUAUAAAGGUGAGGAAAUACCUGUUUCCUGCUUUGGUAACAGUUUGCAUUGGUCCACACACAUCAGUGUGUACCAAUUCCAGUGGAGAUGUAGCUCUGCUGGUUGCUUCUUUUGGAAAUGCCUUCCUGCAGUGUUUUCCAAAAGUACAGCCUUCACACACUGCAUUUGUAUUUUUGAUUUCUGGCAGACCAAACACCAUGUCUUCAUUCUGCAGCAGUUUCAAACUCUGCAAGUUUAAGUGCCCCAUUCUCCUAUGCCAAAGCAAGGUUGAUUGGUUAAUGCUUGCAGUUAGAGCAAUAUGUAAAUCUGUUUGAAGUUUCAAAGGAAAACUUCUAUUUCCUUUCAUAUCCACUCUAGCCACUAGAUUUGAAAGAGAGCUAUCAUCAUAGACUUCUGCCUUAUUAUCUCCAAAAAUUAGGAAAUAUCCAUGCUCCAUCAUUUGUCCAACGCUGAGUAGGUUCUCUUUGAGACCAGAUACCAAUAGCACCUCCUUGAUAUAUUUCCUUCCCAUUUUAGUUUGAACCAUCAGGCUUCCUUUUCCAAUAACAUCAACCAACUGUCCUGUUCCCAUAGCAACUUUUGCAGUCACAUUCCUAUCAAUAUCAAUCAAAACAUCUUCUCUGCCAGUCAUGUGGUUACUACACCCACUGUCCAAGUACCAUACCUCUUCCAUGGACCUUUUCUCAGUUGCAUUGUUAGCAUAGAACAUGGUUGGUGAAGAAGUAACCUGAGUAGCAAACUGAAGCUGCUGCUGCUGUUCAGGUUUCUUGCUAUAGCAGUCUUUGGCAAUGUGACCAAGCUUGUCACAGUUAUAGCACUUUGGUUUGCCCUUGAACCUACAUUCUCCAUAAUGCAAUUUCCCACAAUGUUUGCAAGGAGUUUUAGUUCCAUCCGUAGGUUUAUUAUCCCACUUCUUCCCUUUGUCUUUCCAAGUCUUCUGCUGCUUGGAAUUCUGAUUUCCAGUGGCCUUAGCAGAUUUGGUAUCUGUACUCAGACUAGCAAAGGCCUUCUCAGUUUUGUUCUCAUGAUGUCUUUCCAAACUUUGAGCAAAGCUCUUCAAUGAGGCUACCACCUCUUGAACCUCAAUUACAUCUAGAUCCCUUGAAUGUUCAAUCACAGAACAGAUUGGAUCAUAUCCAGGCAGCAGACUAAUUAACAUUUUCUGCACAAUUCUUUCUCUAGAUAGUUCUUCCCCAUAACCUCUCAUUUGGUUUAUUAGAUCAAACAACUUUGUAAGAUAAGCAGAUAGAGAUUCAUCCUCUCUCAUUCUAGUGUAUUCAAAUUCUCUACGAAGUCCCUGCAGUUUUACACUUCUUACCUGCUUAUCACCAUGAAAUUCCUGCUUCAGGAUGUUCCAGGCUCCAUGAGAUGAUUCUUCAUGAGAAAUCCUGGGGAAGAUCACCUCAGAUACUGCUCCUUGAAUCAACCCCAAGGCCUUAGCAUCCUUCAUCAGGAUCUCAGCUAUAGCCAUCUUCCCAGAACCACUUGAUUCCUCUUUUUCCUUUUGUUUUGUAUCAGAUUCAUCAGCUCCCUUCGAAUCUGAGCCUUCUAUUCCUCUCUCAACCAGCUCCCAAAUCCCAUGAGAUUUGAAAAUGGUUUUCAUCCUUAUGCUCCAGAAUUCAUAGUUCUCACCAUUGAAGAUUGGAGCACGCAGCUCACCACCUCCAGAUCCUGCCAUGUUAGACAGAUUUCACAGAGAGCAGGGUUUUUUUUUUUUUUUUUUUUUUUUUUUUUUUUUUUUACAGAAAAAUCGCAGCUCACAGCCUUCACAGAUUCAAGCGCCCAGCUACACGAUCAAACCUGGCUCAGUGAUACCAUGUUAGCAUUUGCAGACUAUGAUCUGCCAUGUUUUUGGAUUAUAGGUGAAUGGAGCUCUAGUAAAAUGUAGAGAGAAAACUUGGAGAAGAAGAAGAUGAAAAUAUCAGAUUGUAUUCUCACUCUUAGUCAUGCACAAUCUGUGCAUACCAAUAUAACAGUAAAAGAAAAGAAUAUUCUCUCUUACAUCAGCAAAUCUAACCAAUCAUUAACUACCCUAUGAGAUAGCUACACUUGGCACAAAUCAACUACACCUAAGAAUACAUCCUAGCUGUCCAUUUGGACUGUGAUCCAAAGGCUCACAAUUUAAGUAACAAACUCAGCUAAAUCUCUUAUACUUUAACAACAAUGGCCACAUCAAGGGCGCCACACCGAUUCUUCGGAUUCGCAAUCAAUAUAAUUGUACAGUUUUGUCAUGAUUUUUUGCUCGUCUCCAUCUAUUUAAGUUGUCUUGUCCAGGUAGGCAAUUUGUAAAGAACUGACUUGAGGUUUCUAAGGUCACCCUGCCUUGUAUAUUUCUUUUGUACUAAUAUUUCCCGGAAAUAUACCACCGAGGGUGGCAUGAAAGUUAUGAAAGAGAUGUGGCUUGUUCGAUGCUUUUCAAGGAAACUGAAGACAUGAUAAAACUCUCUAUACCAUAAAUGUAUAUUGGUAAGGAAGUUCACGUUAAUUCAAUACAGCUUUUAGGCUAUGCCUUUUCCAAAAAUGGAUUUACUGCCUUUUCCAAAAAUGGAUUUACUGGGUUGAUGUCAUAAAAGGUUUUAUGCGGACAAAUGGAGUUAAC